rnacentral:lncRNA from 1 species
AAAUUUUCUUACGAUCAAGCUCGACCGCAACAACUACCCUCUCUGGCAUGCUCAGUUUCUUCCCUUGCUGCGCAGCCGCAACUUACUCUCUUAUGUUACUGGCGAAACUCAAUGCCCCUCUGCCUUUCUUCUUGAUGACAAUGGUAAAUUCACCGACAAAGUCAUUCCAUUAUAUAAUGAAUGGAUCCAGACUGACCAGAUGAUCCUAUCUUGGAUUACGAGUUCUCUUACUCCCAAGGUUCUUGCUACGAUCGUCAACAAAAUUGAUUCGGCCUCUGCUUGGUCGUCAAACCCGAAUUAAUCUAAUUGUGGGGGUUUUGUUUUAUAUCAAUAUAUUGCAACAGAAGUCACACUUUGAAGAGUUCAUGCUGCACAGAAAGAUGAUGAAAUGUUACCCGUUGAGUCUAUCAUUGCUCCAUUGGAGACAGAGCUGAAGCUUACUGCAGGAGUUAUACAGUUGUUAUGCAAUAUGACCCCUUUAAUUUUAUUUUAAAACUGAUACAAAAUACUACAAAAAUUUAUGUAGUAUUUUUGUAUUAGUUUUGAGUGUCUAUUUUGGCUUCCAUAUAUCGUCUGUACAUGUGAGAGGUAUAGUGUUCAAUAUGUAUUUGGUUUCUAUAUUGUUAAUGGAUCCUUUUUUUUUUAAUUUAAUUUAAUUUUAUUAAGGUAACCAAGUUGCAGGAUGACAUCAGAACACUUGAUCUGCAGGUAAACCUUCAAUUUCCAUAUGAAGUUUGCAUGUUCGUUGUUUCUGGAAUUUGAGUUUUUAUUAUUUCUCAAUUCUAUCACAUAGAUUAUGAUUUCACAUAUGGGAUUAUUAAUGGCAAUUAUAUGAUAGAAGAAUUGGGAUUAGAAGAAGAUAUUGAGUUGUUUUAUUUAUGGGGAUUAGAAAAUGAUUAUCAUACGAGUGAUAUUUAUUUUUGUGUGGAUUGUUAAUAUAUAAAACUAUAAGCUUUUGAGAUUGGGAGAUAAAACCCACAAAUUCAAAUCAGACAAAAUAAAUAAAAAAUUUAACUGACUUAAAGAUCAAACUCCAAAAGGGUAUUAAAAACAAGGCUUAUUUGAUCCAUUGAGUGUGAAAGUUUUGAGCUUUGAAGAAGCAUAGGAGGAGAGUUGUUAACCAAGCUGCAUUAUCCAUGUAUUAGGAUGUUGAGGGUAGGCAGGAAAAAUACUUUUUGACGCCAUAUCCAGAGGAGCAUAACGACAGGCCUGCAUUUUUGCAGCAAGGACCAAAACAAGUAGAAGUGAAGGCUUGACUAUUUGGGUAUUAAUCCUAAACCUAAUUAUUCUUAUUUAGGUUUAGGAUAAAUGAUUGAGUGUGUCUCGAUGAUUGUAUUACCAUGUUUGAUGAAUGACUUGAGGAGUUGGAAAUGCUUUAUUGCUUAUGUUUUUCUUAGGUGUGUACUUUGGUUAUUUCCGAGCUUUUCACGACUCUUGAUACCUAAUAGAGAAUAUGGAAACCCCAACUUUAAUUUUAUGAAUUGGUUUUGGUGCCUAAAAUGAAAUCUAGCAUAGUGAAAUCUUGCAUAAUGAAAUUAUGACAAAUUUCCCUUCAUCUUUAGAUUUUCAUUUAGUUCAAUUUGUAUGCAAUUUAGGGUUAUUCAAUUCAUGAGUGAUCAAAUUAUGUUUUUAAUUCCUUCUUCUUUUGAUUUACAGUUCAGCAUUGUCGUACAAAAUGAAAAAGGUGCCAGUAACAGAGUUAUGGAUUUGGAUGCCUUUAGUGGAAUAAAACUGAAUUUUUUAACUUUGUAUAGUUGUAAACAUAAAAUACUCCAUCAGAUAGACUCAUAGCAUUUGAAAACAAUCCUUGAGGAUGGCAUAACAACAUCUCCAACUUUUGUCAUGUAAUGUAUGAAUGUAAAUAGCACUUUGUAAACAUAUGGAUGUAAUAUAUGUAUAUAAACAGUCUUUAGCAUGUAUAUUUUUCAAAACUUUCUACAUCUUCAACAAUGUUUCAAUGAUUUCUUGAUGUAAACAAUGAUAAUUUGAAGAACCAUUUAAAGUAUUUCGGUAAUCAGCAUACUUAAGCUUAAAUGUGAUAUAUCCGUUUAGUAUUUUUUAUACAGUGAUAAUACUCAAGUAUAAUUUACAUCAUAUAUCUUGUGAAGUACAUGAAACUAUGAAGAAAAAACCCUAAUUAAUCUGAUUAUGGGGGUUUUGUUUUAUAUCAAAAUAUUGCAGCAGAAGUCACACUUUGAAGAGUUCACGCUGCACAGAAAGACGAUGAAAUGCUAUCUGUUGAGUCCAUCAUUGCUCCAUUGGAGACAAAGCUGAAGCACACUCCAGGUGGUAUACUUUUGUUCUGCAAUAUGACCACUUUAAUUUUAUUUUAAGACAGAUAGGGUUGAAAAGAAUUUAUGUAGUAUUUUUGUAUCAGUUUUGAGUGUCUAUUUGGACUUCCAUAUUUGGUCCGUACAUGUGAGGUAUAGAGUGUUCAAUAUGUAUUUGGUUUCUAUAUUGUUAAUGGAUCUUUUUUUUUGUUUUAUAGGUAACCAAGUUGCAAGAUGAAAACAGAACACUUGAUCAGCAGGUAAACCUUCAAUUUCCGUAUGAAGUUUGCAUUUUUGUUGUUUCUGGAAUUUGAGUUUUUUGCAGGAUGAAAACAGAACACUUAAUCUGCAGGUAAACACUUGAUUGGUUAUUUCCAAGCUUUUCACGACUUUCGAUACCCAAUAGAGAAUAUGGAAACCCCAACUUUAAUUUUAUGAAUUUGUUUUGGUGCCUAAAAUGAAAUCUAGCAUAGUGAAAUCUUGCAUAAUGAAAUUAUGACAAAUUUCCCUUCAUCUUUACAUUUUCAUUUAGUUCAAAUCGUAUGGUUUAGGGUUAUUCAAUUCAUGAGUGAUCAAAUUAGGUUUUUAAUUCCUUCUUCUUUUGAUUUUCAGUUCAGCAUUGUCGUAUUUUGGAUGCCUUUAGUGGAAUAAAACUGAUUUUUUUUUAACUUUGUAUAGUUGUAAACAUAAAAUACUCCAUGAGAUAGACUCAUAACUUUUGAAAACAAUCUUUGAGGAUGGCAUAACAACAUCUCCAACUUUUGUCAUGUAAUGUAUGAAUGUAAAUAGCACUUUGUAAACAUAUGUAUGUAAUAUAUGUAUAUAAACACCACUCUUUAGCAUAUAUAUUUUUCAAAACUUUCUACAUCUUCAACAAUGUUUCAAGCCCCGCAGCAACGGGCGGGUACACUUGAUAGUAUACAUCUAAAAUUAUAAGACUAAAUCCUUUAGUUCUUGGAUUCAUCUAAGAACUACUUAUUCCAGCAGAUGCUAUGCUUGCACUACUAGAAUUUAUGGCUUGCCCUGUCAACUAUUGCGCGACAGAAGAUUUCGUCGGUUUCACUUUUUUUAACCGACAUAAUAUAAGUUUAGUAGGGCAAAAUCAGUCAACAAACUGGGUUGACUGAAUAAAUUUACAGGAUGGCUAGAGUUCGUAGGUUAAGACAUCAGUCGUUGGGCAAACAUUUGGAGCGAAGAUGUGAGUGUUUUAACUGACGAAUAAGCUGGUCGUCAUGUAGAUCUUCUUUCCCGACUGACGGUUCAACAUGUAGCUCUUUGGAUAAUAAUUCAUCUUCAAGGGGAACAGGUUGCCCCUCAGAUGAAUGGUUAGAGGCAAUUGUGAGACUAUAAUUUUCUAGGGCCGAAAUAAAAAAUACAUAAACCCUCACUCAUUCUGUCUCUGUAACCAUCCACCAAAUACCCUUUCUUCCCUUUCUAUUUCUCUCCUAGUAAUAUCCCCUGACCGAAUCACACAAUCCAACCAACUCUCUUUAAGCCUCCCUCACUGAUUCCAUGGAUUUCAUGGACUUAUCCCACCCUCUCUCCUUCCCUCUAUAUAUAGCAAGUCCCCUUGCCUCAGUGUCCCUGGCAACAGAAUUUAUGGCAUUUCUUCGUUCUUUCAAUUAUUUGAAAGCUUCCUAGCCCUGCAAUCUUGUACAAAGGCGUAUGGUGUUUCAUCAGUUCCAUUUGGUGGUUGGGUGGGAAAUGAAAUUAAAACACUGCAUUUCAAAUGCAUUUCAAAUGGUCUAAACCAAAUUGAAUCAAAUGUGAAGCAAAGGGCAAGAGGUGUAGAUUGAAGAACAAUGGCACCAAGAGCGAAAUUGAACUUGUUGACAGGAGGAAACCAAGUAAGGAUAACACGUCUAAAUCUUAUUUUGAAUCCAUUCAGCUCAUGAUGUUUUGAAUGAUGAUGAUCGGUAUACUCUGCUACAUGCUGUGAUUUUUCCGCUUUCAUGUAAUUAACGGCUUAUAUGUGGUAACGAUAUUGAUUAAAAAAGGUCGUACCCAGUGCAUAAGGCUCCCGCUUUACGCAGGGUCUGGGAGAGGUGAAUGUCGGCUAGCCUUACCCCCAUUUUAUGGAGAGGAUGCUCCAAAGUCUCAAACCCGAGACCUACCGCUCAUGGGCGAAGGCAUUUGCCAUCGCACCAAAUGCGAUAUUAAUUAAUUUCGAGAAAUGACAGUCUGAUUUUUGCAACUGUCUUUUGCAGGCAAAACAAAGACGUUUGCAAGGGUGAGUUGUGUAGGAGCUUUGUUUCAUGUCCAAAUGACACUUGAGAAUAAAUGUUUACACUCAUGGAUAAUAUCUAUCUAUUUGCAGGAGCAACCCUGGGUUCAUUUGUUCUGUAACUGCUGGUCAUUGCGGCAUAUCACGCCUAUAGCACUGACAAAAGUAAAAAGAGAAUCGAAUGAAAUUUGAUAAGUUUUCAGCGGACUACAAAGAUCUUAAGCCAAGCAUAUAUUCCCAUGCAGAUAUUAAGAGGUUUACAAAUCAAUUCAAGUACAAGUUGGGCCAAGGAGCAUACGGAACUGUUUUUAAACGAAAGUUUUUUUCUGAAUGCUUUGUUGCCAUGAAAGUACUUAACAUUUCCAAGGGUGACGGGGAAGAGCUUGUAAAUGAAGUGGGAACAAUGGGCCAUAUUCACCAUGUCAAUGUGGUUCACUUGGUUGGUUUUUGUGCUGAUGGAUUUAGAUGAGCUCUGGUUUAUGAGUUCUUUCCCUUUGGUUCACUCCAGGAUUAUAUUUCAUCAGCAGAUAGAUUUCUUUCCUUGGUUGGCAUAAGUUGCAAGAUCUUGCUAUCAGCAUAGCCAAAGGAACUAGGAAUGUGAUCUACAAAUCCUCCAUUUCGAUAUCAAACCCCAUAAUGUUUUGCUCGACCAAAAAAUCACGCCAAAAAUCUCUGAUUUUGGUCUGGCCAAGUUAUGCCAAACAAUUACAGACAACAGUUAUUCACUAAAUCACUUUAAGGCAAGAAUUUAAUUAAUAAUACAUUACUGCACUUUCUUAACCAUUUGACUAUCACCUAGCUGACAAUGAACACGUUAGCUCCGCGUUAGAACAUCUUGGGUUCAAUUCAUUGUCUUGAAUAUCACCCAUUGUCACAGGCGUCUGUUGGGGGCAUAGAGAAGGCCUGAGAGGCAUUUGCAGACAUUCAACAUCUCCUCCAAGCAUUUUGACAACUUUGGACAUCGAAGGGCGAUCAUUUGGUUUCAUUUGAAUACACCACAAGGCGGUUAUAACCAUCUUUCUUAUUACUUUCUUUUCCUCCUCUGUAACAUUGUCCAUUUCCAGGUCAUUUCCCACAAUAUAUUGAUCGUAUACCCACAUUGGGAAGUAGAUUUGGCUUGAAUGCUCUACCGUUGGAUUCAAAUUCUUCCUUCUGCUUGCCAUUUCCAUCAACAACAUUCCAAAACUAUAGACAUCUGACUUGUAUGAGACGCAUCCAAUAUUUUUGUAGAACAACUCAGGAGCAAUAUAUCCCAGUGUACCCCGUGCUGCCGUCAAAGAGACAAUGCUAUUAUCUACAGGAUACAAUUUUGCAAGCCCAAAGUCAGAAACCUUUGCUUUAAAGUUCUCAUCAAGAAGGAUGUUAUGAGGCUUGAUGUCGAAAUGUAGAAUUUGCAUUUCACAACCUUGGUGUAGAUAUUCGAUCCCUUGAGCCACUCCAAGAGAAAUCUCGUACAUGUUCUUGAUAGUUAAGGGGACACUUCCUUCUUUGGAAUAAAUGUAUUUAUCAAGAGAACCAUUAGGCAUGAAGUCAUAUACUAGAGCGCGUUUUGAUCCCUCAACACAGUAUCCAACAAGUUGUACCACAUUGGCAUGGUGAAUCCUUCCGAUUGUAGCUAUUUCGCUAAUGAAAUCUUGGCCAUCAGCUUUGGGCUUGCCCAAAACUUUAACUGCUACAAAUCGACCACUGCGUAGCUUUCCCUUAAAUACAGAGCCAAAGCCACCUUCGCCCAACUUGUCCUUAAACCUGCGAGUCAUUUUCUUGACGUCCGAGUAAGAGUACCUUAUAAGCAUGAUGUUGUUAUUGCAUUGCAGAAAAUCUUCUAUUGUGCUAUACAUUGAUAAAUGUCUUCUGCGCCAUGUGUAGAUUAGAAAUGCAGUCACAACUGGAACUCCAAAAACAAAUCUGGCUAGGAAAAAUAACCCUGCAUGCAUGGACAAUAAUAUGUUAGAUCCACUGUGUACUACUUUUUCUUCCCUUUCUUUCCAAAUUACUUUAUCUUUGAUGUAAUUAAAGAGAGAGAAUGGGAAAUCUACAUAUGUUGAUAAUAUAAUCUCGUCUUAGUCCUUACCGAUCCAUAUGAGUAUAAACCAUCCAAGUGCUGCAAAAAAAUCAAUCGACUAUGAGUUUGAAAAGUGCAUAAAGUGAAAAAAAAAAAAAAAAAAAAAAAAAUCAAAGGGUGCCUUUAUUGACACCCAAAUUUUAGUUAGUUUUACUCAACUAAAAAAUUUUUGUCAUCAAACUUUUUAAUUUGCCGUCGAAAUUGAGUUCACCCAACCACAAAGCAGCAACUACCACUCACAAAAAAACCAACAACACACAGCCACCAGUACCAUUCACCAAUAGAAAGAGAAGGAACACACAGACCCACCAAGGAGCCGGCAUCGACGCAUCUACGAGGGAGGGACCGGAGGGUGGUGUAGUUUUGUUGGGCGCGCGGUGGUUGUUUUGUUUGUUCAUUUUCUCUUUCUUUUGGUAGGUGGAGGCUGGUGUGGAUUUGGGCGAACUUAAAAAUGAGGGGAAACUAUGAAGUUUGACAAAAUGUUUUAGUUAGGGGAACUUAACUAAAAUUUGGGUGCCGAUAAAGAUACCCAAUUUCAAAAAUACUUGAGCUUAUAGACUAAUUAAAUGAAGUUGAUCUUACAGAUCUCGUGGCUGUAUGAUGAAUGCCACUUGCCAGCUGCAAUAGAUACCACGGAAAAGUGAAUAAAGACAUACAGUUACUAGGUUUAAGAAGUACAGAUAGAGCACACAAAAAAUAAAAGAAGCUUUUGGGAAGAAACUUCUUACGCCAAUAGUUGUGUUCUUGACCUACAGUAAAAAAUGUGAAGAAGAAUACACAACAUUAGCAAUAGCUCACCCAGUCUUCGGAAUUUAAAAAAUCAAGUUUGUCUCGAUCGAAAACUUGUAAAUAAAACAAAAAGAGGACCCCUUACGGAUUUGGUGCCAUAGAUAUUGAAAGAAACCUACAAAAACAAAGAAAGAACAAGACCACAUGCAUUAGCAUAACAAGUGUGAGGUGUAUAAGCCGUUAGAAAAUAAAUUUAAAAUUCUAGUGCUGUCAAUACAUUGAUAAUAUAUAUAUAUAUAUAUAUAUAUAUAUAUAUAUAUAUAUGUAUUAUUUUUCUGAAAAUUUAACUUUCUCCCUCCAAACUCAUUUUUCUAGUCUCUAGCCCAUCAUAUAAUAUUUAUCAGAAUAAAACCAAAUGAUUAGGAUCCAACUAAGAAACUUACCAAAUUAAGUUUGUGUGUCCAUUUUUAUAUUUUUUGGAUCCCUAAUAUACCCCAUCUAAGCCAGUAUGGAAAGUUCUUGUAAUUUUGCUUUAAGUGAUCACGUGCAUUGAAUUUGGCAAGGUCUUGUAGCCAUGAAAUAUGGUUCCAGAUGGAGGAAUGAAUUUGGAUUUUUUUUUAAUUUCGGCAACAAAUUUCAAUUUGAAUAUACCUAAUUUAGUGUUUAUUUUCAACAAUAUCUAUUGUUUAAUUUUAUGAAAAUAAUUAACCUAAUAUGAAAAUUAAUUUUAUGAAAACAAUAUCUAUUGUUUAAUUUUAUACCUACAGGAUAAUUACAUGAAAAUAGUUUACCUACUAUGAAAAUUAAUUUUUUGAAAGCAAUAUCUAUUGUUUAAUUUUAUGAAGAUAAUUUACCUACUAUAAUUACAUGAAAAAAUUUACCUACUAUGAAAAUUAAUUUUUUGAAAACAAUAUUAUUGUUUAAUUUUAUGAAAAUAAUUUACCUACUGUAUAAUUACAUAAAAAUUAGGGAAAAUUAGAAUCCCCUACAGUUUUUAUAUAUCAUUUAGAUUAAACAUUUGUACUUUUUUAAAAUUUGAUUAAAGUGCUUUGACCAAUAGUUACCUCUAUUUUUUUAAAUUAAAAUAAUUUUUGAAUUUAUCCUUUUAUCUGCACAAUGCACUUUUCCUUAUUUAGUGGAGAUAUUAGUAAUGAAACUAUAUUUUCCCUUCUUCCAAAUAUGUUUUUUCGAUCACAGUUUUUUUUUUUUUGGGUAUGCAAACAUUUGAUAUUAUUUUUUUUCCAAAUGGUUUUUUCUUUUUCAAAUAGUUGGUGAUCAACAUAUAAGCUCUGUGUAUUUUUUUCAAUGUUUUUGUGAAAUUAUAUUUUUUUUGCUGUUUUUUAAGUAUAGUUGUUGACGAAUUAUUAUUAGGUACAAUACAUUACGUAUAUAUUAUCUGCGGGUACGUUUGAAUUUACUAAAAUCAUUAAUUGGUACGUUUGAUUUGAUACAUAUUGUUAAUAUUGGUACAUUAUUUUUAUUUUGGUACGUUUUAUUUUGAACACAUUUUGUAUUGGUACGUUUAUAGUAUUCUCAAUCCUAUUUUCUCUUAACGUACUAAAAGAAAAACUCAUUUUGGUACGUUUGAUUUUGGGGGAUUUAAAAAUAUUUUAAACUAUUUUGGAAAAAAAAAAAUCUUAAAUCGUAGAUAAUUAUUGCUAAAUUGUAGCAUUAUUGUGAAAAUAAAUUGAAUCUAACCAACUUUUUUUUUUACAAUUAUCUCUAAUGGAGGAGAGUGUAAUCAAAAGGCUAGAUUAUAGGAAAUUUGUUACAAUAUAAUGGGCAUAUAGCACCAAAAUUAUGAUAAAAAAAAGUUUAAUCAAAUCAUUAAAAGGCAUGGAUGUUUGAUCUAGAAAAUUCAAAACUGAGGCGUCUAUAUCAAAAGAUCCCUAAAAAUUAAUGUGCCUACUUUUUAAAUUUGUAACAAAAUUAAUUUACCUACUUUUUAUGGUAUUAGUAUACAUAAAUGUAGAAUAUAUGUCCGUAUAUAUUUGAUCUAAUUAGGUUUUGGAUUGGAGGAGUUGACACAAAAUUAUAAAUAUAUUAAACAAAUUUAUCUAUUCUAAAGUUGGAGGGGAAUUGGUCUGUACAUUGCUACAGUAAACAAAUGCUACUCAAUUUCACGUUAUUUACAACAAAGCUAUCAGAUUUGGGUUGGGUUGGAGGGUAAUUUGUUAAAAGUUAGGAGGGUAAUUUUGUGCAUAGGGUUUAGGUGCCCUCCUAUACAUGACCCUUGAGUUUACUUUAUUUACACCACUGCCAUCAAAUAUGUGGCUGAAUUGGAGGGUAUUAUUAAAAGUUAAGAGGGUAGUUUUGUUCAAGGGGUGGGGGCGACAUUCGCAGACGGAGGCCGAUGGGAGCCAUGCCCAUUGCACAGAGAGAAAGGGAGUGAUGGGGGAAAUUACAGACAGAAAAGGAAGGGAUGGGAGGAUUUGAUGGAUGGUCACAGAGAGAGAUUCGGUGAGGGAUGUGAGGGGAGAUUACAGAGAGAUAAAUAAAAGGGAGGGAUCGGGGGAUUUGAGGGAUGGUCAGAGAGAGAAAUAGUGAGGGAGGGAGGGAUGGGGGGGCUGAUUUUCGGUUCCUCCUUCAGAUUUGUUCCGUAAAACCUGUUGGGUACAAUUCAAUUUCCUCCCCCUUUCCCCUGAACGAAAAAUUCGAAACCUACAAUUCAAUUUCCUCCCUCCUUGGCUUUCCGCUUUACUCAUCUCCCGGUGGUUCUUUCUCUCCAUACGAUUCGAUUUCGGUGAGUUCUUCGUUGCCCUCAUGAUUUCCCAGUUUGAUUUUUUGAGCGUCCUUAGUCGUUGUUUUUAUCUGGGUUUACUGCAUUGUUGCUUUUAGUUUCUGGAUUUUUAUUUGUUCCGCGGUUCGAUGAAUCGGUUAAUAAUUUCACACCAUGGGAUUUUCGCAUGGAAUUGAGCGCGGGGAUUCGGGGUGGGGUUUUACUGAUAAUUUGUCUUCAUUCAAAUGAAUGGUUAAAAUUUCUGAAGUGAGUGUGCAGGUGGGCCCGUUCACUAACUAAGCUUUCAAGGGAACCCAUCAGCGGUUUGCUUGCUGGGGGAAUUCGGAGACUACCAGUGUAUGAUUUAGUUAUCAUUUAUUUUUUUACUUAAAUUUAUCCAUAUAUAAUAUGUGGGUAAAUUUACACUAAACAAUUGUGAUAAGCCAAUAUGCCAUACGACUUUGAAAGCAUUGAUUUUGUGUUUAGUUUGCAUUUUUGCAUUGUGAAUGUUGAAUUUUGUGUUUGAAUUUGUAGCAUGAUCUUCCGCUGCAGCAUCCAAAUUUUGCAUUUGUAAAUUGUCAAAGAAAAACGAAGUAUGAGGAAAUUAUAGGAGAUUGUGUCGGCUUUGGCCAUGAAGGGUAUCAGCAGCUUGUUCCCCCAUACAGGUGAUUAAUCGUUUUUCAGUCUGUGUUCUAUUUGGAUGAGAAAGUGAUUGAAAAUAUGAUUUUUUUAUUUGUUGGUUGAUUUUGUAUGGACGAUGUAUUAAUUUUAUUUUUUUUGGGAUUUUGUGUAUUGGGCAUUGUGUAGAACCAGCAAUGCAAGAGCAGGAUCUGAUCAGUCAUGCCUGAAAAGGGGUUUGUUUCUCAAAUCACAUUAAUUAAUUAGAUUAUUAACGUGCGUUGGAAGGCUCUUCAAUAUGAUUUCUAAUUUCUCCUUUCCAGCAUUCUCUUUUUGGUUUUUGGAGUAUGUAUGUGAUUUGUAUUUUUUUAUAGAAUAAAAAUUAAUAAAACACGAGAUGCAGCAAUUAAUUUGCAUCCUUAUGACAACACAUAUGAAAGUGCAUUCAAUUUCAAUGUGCGAAUGUGUGACAGGAUGUGCCUGCCCGCUGCUGCUGGUAUGCUUGCUGUUGUUUCUCGCGUUGUUAAUUUUUUGUGUGUGUUGAUUUGAUUAACAACUCAAGCGUAUCUUUUUUUUUUGUGUUGGUUAGCAGCCAGUUUUAUGGCCCCGAUCUAGUGAUGCUUCUCAGUGACUGUGGUAAUUGCAGUUCAUUGCCACCAGUUGGUCAGCUACCUGCUCUGAAAGAGCUAUACGUAGAAGGGAUGAAAGUUGUUAAGAGUGUUGGUGUUGAGUUGUACGGGGGAAAUCAACCAUUUCAAUGUUUAGAGAAGCUAAAGUUUCGGGAGCUAUAGCAGCCUAGUCCAAGUGGAUGUGAAAGUCCAGACUUUCCUCAUCUUAAGGAGCUGGGGUUAUACGAAUGUCCGAAGCUGAGAGGAAACUUGCCCACUCAUCUUCCCUCCUUGAAAACACUUCAUGUGAACAAGUGUGAGGUUCUACAUAAAAACAGGGCCAGUAAUACCCUGAACGUGGAAUCCUUACGAGGAUCUCUUGAAAAACUGACAAUAAAUGGAUGCCCGGGUCUCUCAUUGUUACUAGAGUCGACGGAGACGCUGCCGUCGCUUCAGAAGCUUGAUAUUGAUAAUGUGGUGGGAAAGAGUUGUUGGCGCAAAUGGUGCACAACAGCAAUCGUCUUCAAAGUUUGACUUUAUAUAAAUGUUCCUCACCCUUGUCGUUCCUUACAAAUGGUCUGCCCACCACGCUGACAUCACUGAGCAUAACAGAUUGCAAGAAAUUAGAAUUCCCAUCACGUGAGAUGAUGGCCAAAUUGACUUCCCUUCAGUCUUUGCGUCUAUCCAACAGCUGUGAACGCAAAGGCUUGAGUAUUUGCAGUUUAGUUUUUUUUUUCUUCAUUUUAGAGAUUUUUCUACUGUUUGGUUUUUGGGUUUUGUCUAAUUUUUGUGGUCUGCUUUAUAGAUUGUUCUCUUUGGAAGCUUCUUUCCAGCCUUGACCUUCUUCUUGCCUGGUGCCUUCUCAUUGAGUAUUGGAGGAGCAUUAAAACACAGGUGUGUGUGUUUUGUCGACAUAAGAGAUGAAUGACAUAAAAACAUCCGUCUCUGUAUUUUUUUGUGCUUUUUCUAACCCAUCAAUUUCUUUUGAGUCAACCAAAUAGUCCCAAAUUGCAACUUAUGUUGUGAGGUAUUAUUGUCUAAAAUUAAGUAUGCAUGUAUAUUUUAUGUUUGUGCCCGCGCACACAUCCGCAUGGUGUUAAUCUCUGUGGGUCAUCUAUGUAUAUGUAGAUAUAUCUAUAUGUGUGUGUGGAAUGCAACAUAUCGGAUUUAGGUUAUACUGUGCAUAGUUUUAUUGCCUGUUAUUAUCUACGAUAUCACUAUGCCAUUUCUAUGCAGGCUCUGAAAGUUAUUCAUGAGCUUUAUAAGCACUUACCAUAAUUUAAGCAGUCUGUUUUGGGUUCUUUUUCAUUAGGUCAUUAGCUACAGAUUAAUGGAGAAACGAGGACCAUGCCACUGAUUUGGGUUCUUUUUCUAAUUUUCUGAUUUUGGGGUUUUGCAGGGAGAACUCCGCCUAUGUACUUACAUUGCCGAUCCCAAGCUCGGAUAAAGGAGGAGGGGGAGGGCGUCAGGUAGUCGACAGUCGGCACUCCAUGAUCACGUCGAAUCCUUAUGAAAAUGAAUUCAGAAUAAAAUUGCGCUAAAGCUAGGGCGUCACCCGUAAGUGGCGCGCUGUGUGGCCCGAGCACAGUGAUAAGUGAGCAAGGGUCGCUGUAUCUCCAUCGGCACCCGGAUGCAGUGUUAAAUGAGCAAGGGGGGCAUAGGAACUUCUUUUCGAACGACUCCACUCAAAGUUGUUUGGGAGCAUAUGCUCCUAUCAACUUUACACGGGACACACAAAAGAAGUACUUUGAUCCUAUUAGACGGGGGAGGGUGAAGAAGCUAGGACAGAAGGGUAGAGUUCAAGAAAGCAAAAUGCGUUUAGGAACGUGGAAUAUAGGAACCUUAACGGGAAAAUCUAUGGAAGUAGUGGAAGUUAUGGUGAGGAGAAGGAUAAAUAUUAUGUGCCUACAAGAAACUAAGUGGGUUGGUAGUAAGGCAAUUGAUCUAGAAAACUCAGGGUUUAAACUUUGGUAUUCGGGCACAAAUAGAACGAGAAACGGUGUUGGCAUCAUCGUGGACAAGACCUUGACACAAGAUGUUGUAGAUGUCAAGAGGGUAGGAGAUAGAAUCAUGGCAAUCAAGAUUGUAAUAGGACAAGAACUUAUCAAUGUGGUUAGUGCGUACGCACCUCAAGUAGGGUUGGAUACGAGUUCGAAGGAGAAAUUUUGGGAAGACCUUGGAGACUUGGUGUAAGGAAUUGCUCAGACGGAGAAGUUAUUUAUAGGAGGAGAUUUAAAUGGACACGUGGGCAGAGAGACAGGCAACUAUGGAGGUUUUCAUGGUGGCCAUGGUUUUGGGGAGAGAAAUGAGGAUGGGGAAGCUAUCUUGGAUUUUGCAAUGGCAUAUGAUCUCUUUUUAGCCAACACCUUCUUUAAGAAGAAAGAAGAACAUGUGAUCACCUACAAGAGUGGGUUGUCAAAAACACAAAUAGAUUUUCUUCUAAUGAGAAACGAGGAUGGGGAAGCUAUCUUGGAUUUUGCAAUGGCAUAUGAUCUCUUCUUAGCCAACACAUUCUUUAAGAAGAGAGAAGAACAUGUGAUCACCUACAAGAGUGGGUCGUCAAAAACACAAAUAGAUUUUCUUCUAAUGAGGAAAGGGGAUCGUAUAACUUGUAAGGAUUGCAAAGUUAUACCAGGAGAGAGCGUGGCUAAUCAACAUCGCUUGUUGGUGAUUGAUGUACAUAUCAAAAGAGUGAGACAAAAGAACAAGACUUGGAAGUGCCCAAGGACUAGAUGGUGGAAUCUAAAAGAAGAAAAACAAGCCAUUUUCAAAGAGAAAGUAAUCAUCCAGUGUGUGGGAUAGAGAUGGGGAAGCUAGCCAAAUGUGGGAUUCAAUGGCUAGUUGUAUCCGAAAAGUAGCAAAAGAGGUAUUAGGAGAGUCAAAAGGCUUUGCCCCACACCAAAAAGAAUCUUAGUGGUGGAAUGAGGAGGUACAAACAAAGGUGAAGGCUAAGAAGGAAUGUUGUAAAGCCUUAUACAAGGAUAGAACUGAUGAAAAUGGUGAAAGGUAUAGAAAAGCGAAGCAAGCUGUGAGAGAAGCUAAGUUAGCGGCUUACGACGAUAUGUAUAAACGACUAGAUACCAAAGAAGGAGAGUUGGAUAUCUAUAAACUAGCUAGAGCAAGGGAAAAGAAGACAAGGGACCUAAACCAAGUGAGGUGCAUCAAGGAUGAGGAUGGAAAUGUUCUUGCUACAGAGAACGCGGUUAAAGACAGAUGGAGAGGUUAUUUUCAUAAUCUUUUCAAUGAAGGACAUGGAAGGAGUGCUUCUUUAGGGGAGUUGAGUAACUCAGAAGAGUGUAGAAACUACUCUUUUUAUCGUCGAAUCCGGAAGGAAGAAGUGAUUGUAGCUUUGAAGAAGAUGAAACAUAGAAAAGCAAUAGGCCCAGACGAUGUACCAAUCGAAGUGUGGAAAGUUUUGGGAGAGACAUGUAUAACAUGGCUCACUGACCUUUUCAAUAGGAUUUUGAAAACGAAGAAGAUGCCAAAUGAGUGGCGAACGAGCACUUUGGUGCCUAUCUACAAGAAUAAGGGCGACGUACAAAAUUGCAUGAACUAUAGGGGUAUUAAGCUAAUGAGUCAUACAAUGAAGCUCUGGGAGAGAGUCAUUGAGCAUAGAUUGAGGCAAGAGACACGGGUUUCGGACAACCAAUUUGGGUUCAUGCCAAGGCGCUUAACCAUGGAGGCAAUCUAUCUCUUACGAAGAUUGGUGGAAAGAUAUAGAGAUGGGAAAAAGGAUUUACACAUGGUUUUUAUAGAUUUGGAGAAAUUCGUAUGAUAGGGUCCCAAUAGACAUUCUUUGGAGGAUUUUAGAGAAGAAAGGAGUACGAGUAGCAUAUAUCCAAGCUAUAAAUGAUAUGUAUGAAUGAGCAAAGACUGCUGUAAGAACUCAUGAAGGACAAACUGAAAGUUUUCCCAUAACUGUAGGAUUACACCAAGGCUCAUCCUUAAGUCCCUACCUUUUUGCGUUGGUAAUGGAUGAGUUAACAAGACAUAUUCAAGAUGAUAUUCCUUGGUGUAUGCUUUUCGCAGACGAUAUAGUGUUGAUAGAUGAAACACAGGAAUGGGUAAAUGCAAAGCUUAACCUUUGGAGAGAAGUGUUGGAAUCUAAAGGUCUUCGCCUAAGCCGAUCAAAGACAAAAUAUAUGGAGUGCAAGUUCAGUGCAAAUGGAGGCCAAAACGAGUUAGGGGUGAGGAUCGGAGAUCAAGAAAUACCAAAGAGCGACCGUUUUCGUUACCUAGGAUCUAUCUUGCAAAAGAACGGAGAAUUAGAUGGAGAUCUCAACCAUAGAAUACAAGCUGGAUGGAUGAAGUGGAAGAGUGCAUCCGGCGUGUUGUGUGACCGCCGUAUGCCACUGAAGCUCAAGGGAAAAUUUUAUAGGACGGCAAUAAGGCCGGCGAUGCUGUAUGGCACAUAAUGUUGGGCGGUGAAGCAUCAACACGUACACAAAAUGGGUGUAGCGGAGAUGAAGAUGCUUCGUUGGAUGUGUGGGCACACGAGAAAGGAUAAGAUUAGGAAUGAGGAUAUCCGGGGUAAAGUAGGAGUAGCCGAAAUUGUAGGAAAGAUGAGAGAAAAUCGGUGACGGUGGUUUGGACAUGUGCCAAGAAGGCCUACUGACGCUCCGAUUAGAAGAUGUGACUACUGGACAGAGGUUCAGGGCCGAAGGGGUAGAGGAAGACCUAGAAAAACUUUGGAAGAGACUCUAAGAAAGACUUAGAGUACCUGGAUCUAACGAAGGACAUGACACAGGACCGAGCAUAAUGGCGUUCUAAGAUUCAUAUAGCCGAUCCCACUCAGUGACUUGGAUUUUCCAAGUCUCCAGCCGAGAAGUUUUCCUCACUCAGGAAAUUAAGGGAACACUACCCCAACCUACAUGCUCCACUCACAAAGCUUCAACAAAAGAAAAUUCAAAGAACUUAGCGAAGAAGGCUUUGAUGUAUUUAACACAAUACGUUGAAAUGAAGGAAAGCUUAUUUAUUGAUAUCAUCGAUAAGCUACAAAUAUGUACAUAUACAUAAGUCAAAAUAAACAAACAAGAGGGAGCCUUCACAAAGGUUGCUUAGGAGAAGUCUCAGCAGUCGGUAGAGCCCCAGAAAGAGAAGGCACCGGAGGGGGAUCAUUCGGAGCCUCAGUACUGGACAGAACCCUAGAAGGAGGAGGCAUAAGAGGUUGAUCAUUUGGUGCUUCAUUACGCGGUACAGCCCCAGAAGACGAAGGCAAUAAAUGCCUUUGGAACAAACCCACAAAUCUCUGAUGAUCAAGUAAAACCUGACCAUCAGAUUCCUUCAUCUGGUCAAGCUUCCUCUUCAUGUUUGUAGCAUAGUCAUGUGCGAGCCGGUGCAACUGUUUAUUCUCAUGCUUGAGCCCUCUAAUCUCCUGUUUGAGACUCAUCACUUCAGCCGCCAAUGAUUCAACUUGGCGGGUUCGAGCAAAUAGGUGUUGGGCCAUAUUAGACACAGAACCUGCACACUGAACACUGAGAGCCAGAGAAUCCUUAACAGCUAACUCAUCAGACCGUUUGGAAAGUAGUCUGUUAUCUUUGGGAGUGAGAAGGUUCCUGGCCACCACCGCAGCGGUCAUAUCAUUCUUCAUCACGGAAUCCCCAACGGUAAGAGGACCAGUAGGGGAGACGAAGGAUGGGCGCCAUAUGUUGUCUGGAGAAGGCGGGGCUUCCUCUUCAACAAGGUUCAAGUCAAAACGACGGUCGGAGGGGCCAGACAUUUUCAAAUGUGUUGAAGAGAGAAGAGGUCGGACAAAUCAAGAUCUUAGAAGUGUAAGAAUGGAGCUUCUACUGGUGGAGAUUCAAGUGUGCUUUGGAACUUAAUGUCAGCCCCUAUAAAAAUCUGCACUCAACGGAGCUUCAGAAAUCGAAGAGGCGCCUGCUCAGAAAUCGAAGAGGCGUUUGCUUUCUCAAAAGCAAGGCUGCUCAGAUACCACGAGGGUCGAUCUCAGAAAUCGAAGAGGCGUUUGCUUUCUCAAAAGCUGGGCAGCGCAAAGACCACGAAGGCCGAUCUCAGAAAUCGAAGAGGCGCUCAAAAGUUGGGCUGCUCAGAGACCACGAGGGCCGAUCUCAGAAAUCGAAGAGGCACCUACUUUUCCAGCCUUGUCAGUACCUGUCACACACACACUCAGCUUUGCGAAAAUUAUGGGGAUUCGGUCGAAGACUUCUGGUGAAGUAGAAAGCACAUGAGUCUUACUGUUCAAUCACCCACUUCCCACACGCAACAGUAGCUCAUGGGUACCACAUAUAACUUUUCCAAAGUUCUCUGCCAAAGUUGAACACGUGAAGUUUGCAGCUCCCACUACAUCGCUCUGAUCAAGAAGGGUAAAAGAAUAGCAAAGAAACAACACUAACAAAGUUUAGACACAUAAAUUUUGAUGGUCGAGCUACCAUAUUAUUACCCACAAGGGUAAAGGAACAGUACCACUGCUGGAUAAUUGGAAAGUCCCUGUGUGUCAACCUCUGUGCUUCGUGGCAAGGUAGACUAUCAAACAUGCCCAACCUUUACUCACAUUCGAGAAAACACUCCCAACAAGAUUGCUUGCUCCAAAAUCGAAGAGGCACCGUCCUUCGAAUCUCGAGAGCCAGACUCCCAACAUGACUACUUUCUCAAAAAUCGAAGAGGGUAAAGGAACAGUACCAUUGCUGGAUAAUUUGAAAGUCCCUGUGUGUCAACCUCUGUGCUUCGUGGCAAGGUAGACUAGCAAACAUGCCCAACCUUUACUCACAUUCGAGAAAACACUCCCAACAAGAUUGCUUGCUCCAAAAUCGAAGAAGCAUCGCCCUCCGAAUCUCGAGAGCCACUCCCAACAUGACUACUUUCUCAAAAAUCGAAGAGACAUCGCUCUCCGAAUCUCGAGAGCCAGACCCCCAGCAUGAUUGCUUUCUCAAAAAUCGAAGAGGCACCGUUCUCCGAAUCUCGAGAGCCAGAUCCCCGAUAGGAUUGCUUGUUCGAAAACCGAAGAGGCAACACUUUCCCAAUUUCAAGAGCCGGAUCUCCUUGGAUAAAGCUAUCUGUAAUCUUCACUCGCAACAUUAGCUUUCCAGCUACCACAGACCACUUUUUCAAAGUGAUCUGACAACGUUAAAACAUGUGAAGCUGGCAGCUUCCACUACCGUGCUAUGACCAAGUAGGGUAAAGGAAUAGCAUUACUACUUGUUGUUAAGGAGACUCCUAUAUAUGUCGACCUCCAUCCCCAACGGAUAGGCAGACCUGCAAAAAUGCUCAACUCUUCCUCAUAUCUGAGAGGGCACUCCCAACGAAGCCUUUCGAAAUAUUCAGCUUUCUUUCCCCCCGAUAAUACCUCUGCAAACAAGCUAUACUAGAGCAAGAAUAUCUCAUAUCAUCAGGGUUAAAAGCAAGAGUAUCCCAUAUCAUGCUUUUUCCUUGUCUUUUUCUUUGGCCUUGUUCUUACCUGCAAGACAAGAAGAAAGAGAGCAAUCAGUCAGUACUUGGAAUCAAGCUUCCAGCCAGGAACUGACUGCCUGGAACCCCUUACCUGAUUACUUACCUGACAUUGUUCUCGAGUACUCAUCUUCAACAUCUUAUGCUUCCAGGGAAGAUACCGCAUCUGCCUGAGGAACAGAUAGGGCAAGGGAGAAGGAUAUAAGGAAGCAUGUGGAGACAAGCGUAACAGCACACGUGCCGAUACAUCCAUUACUCUGUCAAAGCAAAAGUAUCCCAUAUCAGUAGGGUCGAACGUACUCUAGAUUUGAUGGACUUGUUUUGACCCUCAAAUUCUUCAGUCGGCCUUAUACUCUGGAGGAAACCAGAAAUUUCUCCAGCUCAGUGCAAGAAUAAGCUUGUGGAAAGUUACUUCUUCAAAAGCAAAAGUAUCACAUAUCAUCUCUUCUCAUUUUCUUCUCUUUAUCCUUCAUGCUGCCUGCAAGAUAGGGAGAUUGUGAACAAUCAGCUGGAGCUAUGAUUGCUUACCUUGUCUGUCACCUCUUUCAGCAGAUCCCCUAGCUCGGCGAUUUGGGGGACUCCUACUACAUGGUUUGUAUCGCGCUUGACCAAGCCUGAAACUACAAGUAAGCUUCAAGUGAAAUUGAUACAUUACCUUGUGCAUCUCCACCAGUUAAAGAUACUACCCCUGGAUGGAGGAAGAGUACUUCCAGAGAAGAUGCCCCAUCUACCUAUGAGACAGAUAAGGCACGUCAAGACGAUACCACACUCUGAUACUUAGAAGUUUCGUGAUUACGAGAUCAUUCUCCCACAAUAUUUCCUAAUGUCAUUUGUACUAAAUCAUUCACUUGUACUCACUAAAGGAGAGCUUGAACCUAUGUACUUGUGUAAACCCUUCACAAUUAAUGAGAACUCCUCUAUUCCGUGGACGUAGCCAAUCUGGGUGAACCACGUACAUCUUGUGUUUGCUUUCCUAUCUCUAUCCAUUUAUAUACUUAUCCAUACUAAUGACCGGAGCAAUCUAGCGAAGAUCACAAAAAGCGACCGUUUUCGCUACCUAAGAUCUAUCGUGCAAGAGAACGGAGAAUUAGAUGGAGAUCUCAACCAUAGAAUACAAGCUGGAUAGAUGAAGUGUAAGAGUGCAUCCGACGUGUUGUGUGACCGUCAUAGGUCACUGAAGCUCAAGGGAAAAUUUUAUAGGACGACAAUAAGGCCAGCGAUGUUGUAUGGCACAGAAUGUUGGGCGGUGAAGCAUCAAUACGUACACAAAAAUGGGUGUGGCGGAGAUGAGGAUGCUUCGUGGGAUGUGUGGGCACACGAGAAAGGAUAAGAUUGGGAAUGAGUAUAUCCGAGGUAAAGUAGGAGUAGCCGAAAUUGAAGGAAAGAUGAGAGAAAAUCGGUUCCGGUGAUUUGGACAUGUGCAAAGAAGGCCUACUGACGCUCCGGUUCGAAGAUGUGACUACUGGACAGAGGUUCAGGGCCGAAGGGGUAGAGGAAGACUUAGAAAACCUUUGGAAGAGACUCUAAGAAAAGACUUAGAGUACUUGGAUCUAAUGGAGGACAUGACACAAAACCGAGCGCAAUGACGUUCUAGGAUUCAUAUAGCCGACCCCACUUAGUGGGAAAAGGCUUUGUUGUUGUUGUUGUUGUUGUUGGGGUUUUGCAGGGAGUACUAAUGUACUGAUUUUCUGGGAUUUUUUUUGUCCUUGCAGGAUUUUUGGUCUUUGAAAUGGGUAUGUGUUGUUUUUAAUGUUUCAGUUCUAGCGUUUUCCGUUCUUCGUUGCUUCGUGAUUCUCAUUUUUCAGUGUUGGGUGAUGGAAAUUUGUUAAAGUAGUUGGUAGUUUUUUGAGAAAGUUGGCAUUUUUAGUUAUAUUUUCUGUUUAAUCCUAAAUGUUUUGAAAACUCAUAAUUUUUUUGUUCUGGGAUUUAAAAGCAUCUUUUCCAGAUUGGUUACAAGGGUUAUGUUCUCUUCAAUUGGUUCACCUAAUUUUGAUUAGUUUUAAGUUUUGUCCUUUAAGUUUGUCUUUUAAGUUUUGUUCUUUAAGUUUUGUCUUUUAAGUUUUGUUCUCUAAGUUUUGUCUUUUAAGUUUUGUCUUCUGUGCUGUAAUGAGAGAUUUCCGUUGGCCUUUCGGAUUUUGGCAUGGGAAAGUUCACUUAUUUGCAAGGUUCUAAAAAACGCUAGGCGUUAGUUGGGCGGUGGGCUAGCGCCUAGCGGCUAGGCGGCUAGGCGGGAUCUAGGCGGGAUCUAGGCGGGCGCCUAGGCGGCCUAGGCGGAUUUAGGUAAAUUUCUUAUAUAUUUUAUGAAUUAAUUAAAUUUACUAUAUCAAAUGUAAAUAAUUAUUAACUAAUAUGUUAUUUCUUAUAGAAGAACAUACAUAGUGAAUGUUUUAUGUACAUAUAUAAUAUAUUUGUCUAGGAAAAAAAAAUAUUAUCUAAAUAAUUUUUAUAACAUAUAUAUAUAUAUAUAUAUAUAUAUAUAUAUAUCCCAAACUUUUAAAAAUAUAAAUAGCAUUGGGAGAGGGGCGUAGGGUUUCUAAAAGCACACUCAGAAAUAGAGCAUAUUUUAGUCUUUAUUUUAGAAUCCUAAGGAGCACCCUACUCGGAUGCACGACAUGUGUGCAAAUCUGGAGAUUCUUGCUGUAUCGGAUACACCAAUGCUUAGUCAAAAUUUCCUGCUAGGGUUUAUGGUGGACAUGUGUGUGUGGUCUUCAUUAUUAAACCCAUUAGCACCUCACCUUUUCACAUCACCCGUCCAUCACCUUGGGUGGUUUUGAUAAUUAAAACCAUCAACAUCCAUGGUUUUGAUAAUUAGAACUACCAACUUUUCCUUGGAUUUGAGAAUCUGAGAUCCCAUUCAUCGCCAUCAAAUAUUGAAAUGUUUCAUUGUUCAUCUCUUUCUCCCUCUUCUCACUCUCUAUUCCCUCAUCUUCACAGAGAUGAGUUACAGAAAUUCUCCGGUAAUCUCUCUCUCUCUCUCUUCGUAAUCGACGAGCUCCUCGACUUGAAGUCGCAGCCAAGUUAUGAAGAAUCGAGAUGCGAGAGCAAGUGGAGAGUGGAGACUCUGGAAAUUGGGAGUGACGAUCGACGACGAUGAGUCGAUGACCCAGGAAACCUCUUGAAGUUGCAGCAGGUGAGUGCACUGCAGUUGAGGAAGAAGAGACGAAGAGACUUAGUUUCUGAAAUUAGGGUAGCUGCAAGGCACGGGAACUUAAAAACAAAAAAACAAAAAGAAAACCGCCUAGCUCCGCCAGCCGCCUAGCCUGCCUAGGCGCCUCCUAGCCCGCCUAGGUGCCGCUUAGCCACCGCCUAGAGCCCAGCCGUUUUUUCCCACCGUUUUGCACAAAAACGCCUUGGCCACCCUCCGCCUAGCGCCUAGGCGGCCGCCUAGGCCGUUUUUUAGAACACUGCUUAUUUGUCUAAUUAGAUUGUGGAUGCCUUCGAUUCUUUAUUUAAUUGUUCUGUUUGCGUUCGGGUGUGAUGAUCUAAAUUUCAUAUGUUUGGAAUUAUUUACUUAACACCAAUUUGUUACAUUCAGAUCUCCACCCCACAUUUCACUAGUUCAAAUUCCAUAGAAGUUGGUUAUUGCAGAUUGCGUCUACAAUUAGAUCAGAGAUCAACUACUCUUUUGUUAUCCUGCAGAAGAUUGCUUUUGGGAAGGAUCUGAAGUAGUUUCUCUCUGUAUGUUUAUUCCCAUGUAGCUCUGUCUUUUCUAAUUGAUGGUGUUGAUAUUACACUGUAAUUCAUGAUGAUGAUUUAAUUGUUUAUUGAUUUGUAAUUGUUUGUGAAUAAUGUGGCAUAUAUGAAUUGCAAUCUGUGUUUGUAUGAAAGGGAUGGCAUAUUAUGUUGCUGACUUAAUUGUUUAUGUUUUUCAUAUUUGCGAAUGGUGUUAUGAUCAAUUAGGUGAUUGCUGACCUGUGACUUUGUUUGGAGCUCAAAUUUUGUGAGCAUUACAUUGGAUUGUUUUGAUGUUGUUUUGGUUGACAAUGCAGGGAUAGGAGAAACAAAGAGGAUGACACUUAUAACUGCCAUUCCCCAUCGGCCGUCUUCAAAUUUGGAUCACAAGAAGGGAGCAACAUAGGUGUUUUCCUUCUUUAUUUAGAUAUGGUUAGUGUAAAUAAUUGGACAAAAGAGCCAAACAAACCCUGUUCUCUCAAAUGGAGUUGAUGAUGUGGUCGACGGCCACCAGCCCCAACUCAAGAGUUUGGCCUUCAUAUAAUUGGAUUGUAGUAUAAUUUUAUUUUUGUUCAUUUCUUUUUUCCUUUAUAUAAGUGCAGGUGUUGUGAUGUUUUGAAUAAAGGGUGAUGAAAGGUGGUUCACACUUCCUCCUUACUUAAAGCAAGUGGAGAUGACGGUUUGUAUAAAAAGAAAAACUUGCCACGUACUUCAAUUUUCUAUUUUAUUAAUUAUUGUUUGGUUUUCCAAAUGUUGUAUUCACAAAGAGAGACCAAUUAUGUCUUUGAGAAACAAGUUUCUUUGUCUACAUUGCGAGAAUUUGCAGUUUGCAACUUUCAUUGGUUAUUAUAUUUGAUUGAGUUAAACUUGGAUUUCUGGAUUCUGACUUUUUCGUUUGUUUCUUUGUUGCAGAGUUGGCUUCAUUUCAUUCCAGGAACUCUCUAAAUAGGGCCAAGAACUCACUAAAUAGGUAGUCAAGAGGAAUUCAGUUUUGCCUUCAAUUUUUGCCUUCUGUUUACAUUCUUCCUGGAUGCACUCUCACCGCUUCUCUCGCUUACCACUUUUUUCUCACUCACCGCUUCAUCUCUUCUGUUGCUUACAAGGUCGUGUCAUAUAUUUUUUAAUUUUGUGGUUUAAUUUAUUGAAUAUUUGAAAAAAGAGAUAAAAUUAUAAGAUACUAUAUAAGAUACUAUAUAGUAUCUUAUAAAUAAAUGAAUCACAAAUGAUACUAUAGUUGUUAAAAAAUCCCAUUACUCAAAACUCCAAUUCCCUCCCAUUACUGAAAGCUCCAAUUCCAUCAAAACCGAGAUGGUAAAAGUACAAACUGGCUAGUUUCCACCAAAAAAAAAAGUACAAACUGGUUACAAAAAUAUGUUUUGUCCCAUCCAAUUGACGAAAAGAGAUAAAAUUUUCAAUUUACAAUUACUGAUAUGAUGUUUGUUUUGAAAAUCAUUAAGGUGAAUGGAGAGAUUUACAACCAUGAAGAGCUGAGGAGCCGUUUGCCAAAUCAGAUUUAUAAGGUCUCAUCAAUUAUGAAUAAACGACUUUUCAUUCCCAAUGACCUUUAUCGUUUUUCUUAAUGGGUUAGCUGAACAUGAGGUAGAUGCUGACUUUAUCAAAUAUGAGAAUGUUUUAGGAUUUCAUUCUAAUUUUUUGGCUGUUUGAUUACUUUGCUUUUCGUAAUUUGUUUUGCUUAUCGUCAAUUGGAUGGGACAAAACAUAUUUUUGUAACCAGUUUGUACUUUUUUUUUUGGUGGAAACUAGCCAGUUUGUACUUUUACCAUCUCGGUUUUGAUGGAAUUGGAGCUUUCAGUAAUGGGAGGGAAUUGGAGUUUUGAGUAAUGGGAUUUUUUAACAACUAUAGUAUCAUUUGUGAUUCAUUUAUUUAUAAGAUACUAUAUAAGAAACUGUUAUUAGCACUCUAAAAAACUCAUUCUACACUCGCGACAAGUGUAUUUUUCUUUUUAAUUAUGGAAAGUUUGAAGGGCAAAAUGAGAAUUUUGGAGUGCCAAUAACAAUUCCCUAUUAUAUAUAGCUCUACUGGGAAGGCUACUGUAUAUGUCUUCAUCCUGUUAAAUUGUAUAUGGCUCUUGAUGUCGGCUGAAUUAAAUCAAAAUGAAAACCAAGCUGAUCUUACCAGCCGAUAUCACUUAUCACUUGCUUAUUUAAAUUAUUUGAAGAUGCGUAUGUGGAUUGGUGAUUUUGUUGGAUUCACUUAGCUCAAAUAUAUGUUAUCUGAGUCGCUACAUUUGAGAAUGUGAUUCUGUUCCUACCACCAUUUUGCCCACUUUUUGUGGAAAUUAUUCAUUCCUGUUGUGAAUAAUACAUUCAUCCCCGGCAACGAAGUGCGGGCACAUUUUAUAGUUUAAAUUAAAUCACACAAUGGGUCAUCAAUAAUGACAAACUCGUCAUUUAUGCGAGUCAAACAUGAGGCCACCUACCUACUAGUUUAGUGGAAUACCACAAAGUGACAUGUUGAUACCUUUAAGUCUCAUAUAAUGGAUUGCAGAAUUAGGAUAUACCUAGACUAAUUUAGUCAGUGCGUGAACCCGAACAAUUAACAAGGGUUUUAUUCUUGCUUGAAUGUUUGUUAUAUGUUCCUAGUUUGACAAGGCAAUUAUAUUUCCGAUUACAAAAGUUAUUAAUUUAGUCGAGAAUUGACGCACCUGAAAUGGUGUGAGGAAAACAUGUAGACACAUCAACCGCAGUCCACUGUCCUGGGCAUCUAUCUUCCCCGAAACGAAGCUCAAAGCCAUACAUGAGGGCAUUGUGUAUGUCUUUAUAAGAGAAGUUGCUGUAGUCUUCAACGUAGCCGGCAGCCAAACUCAUCCACUCUACACUGCAACCCUCAUCCAAAUCCCAUGCUUCCAACCUGCCCCCGACAUAGUCAGCGACCAUGACAUAGCUAUACGUUUUUGGUUGACUCGAAGAAGAAGAAGAAGUAUUAUUCAAGCAUGGAGCAGUGUCCACGUACAGAGAAGAAUUCGAUGGAUUCGAACACUUCAAGUAAUAUAUAGAUAGAGAAUUGAUGUCAUAGGUGGGCCAAUAUGGAGAAUUGAUGUCCUCGGUGGUGGGCGGAAUAUUUUGAGACAUGGAAGAGCAAUUGUUGUUGUCAAGCCCAGGAUCUAGAACUCGGAUUGUAUUGUUAAUGUAGUUGAUUGCCUGGACAUAGUAUUUUCCGGAAGAAGGUACGUCUAGUACAGUAAUGUUGCUCUCACAGUACAGAGUAUACAUUAUGUUGCCACAGUACUUUGGAUCAUCGUUCAGUCGAAAAGGAUGGCUUAUGUAGUGGAUAUGGCCGCAGGAUGAAGUGCAGGACUUGGCACUACUGUUGUCAGCGUUACAAGUUUCACUGCAAAAGCAAAGAAGAAGAAAGGCUAAACUUAAGGUGAAGGACCUGCUUCCACUAAUUUCCAUUGAUCUGAGAGAGAGAGAGAGAGAGAGAGAGAGAGAGAGAGAGGGUACUAUAGCUUGAACACCAAGGAGUUAUAUAAUAUGGGAGGGGUUAAAGCGCUUCGCUUAAAGUUGCAGUAAGCCCGGCAAAUAUCCUAGGGAAAAGUCGGUCAAUGGUGUCCUAUAGAGAAAAGUCGGCCUUGGUGUUUGACACGGUCACUCACUCUCUCUCUCUCUCUCUCUCUCUCUCUCACAUUGACGAGGGACACUGUAAUUAACAAAAAAAUUGUUCUUCAGAGAUAGAUUUUGAAAUUCUUAUUUUAUAUAAAAAAACACCUAAUAUUAAUCAUUCAAAUGAAAUUCCUAAAAUUAAGUAUAAAUAAUACAUAAUAAAAACUGAACACAUACAAUCAACGGUCACGAUCAUGAAAUCCUUCGGAUCCUCAGAAAAAAAUCCGACGAUGAUCUUUUUCUGUGUAAAAUAAUUUGAGGGUAUAAUACUGGAUGUGCGAUUAAACCGAAGAACCCACCCACCUCCAUCUUCUCCGACCAACUUGAACCCAGCCACUACUACAUGUCAUCCCGACAACCCACUCUCAGCUUCCCAAACCGCCAUUUUUCACCCAUUCACCUACCACUGCCAUUAUUCAUUCAAUCAACCCAAAACACGAGAGCCACCCCCAUCUCACCAGUCGAACAGAUGCAGCCACCCACCCAUUUAAUCCCAGUCCAAAAUCAAACCCUCUCCUAAACCCACCCCAGAAUCCAAUAAUUUCAAAAAAUGGCUGAUUAUAUCAUUUCAAGAACCUCACAAUUCCAAAAACUAAAAACCCACUUCAAAGAUGUAAUAUUUUUCUCUCUUCCUCUUUUUGGGUUUUUUUUUCUUUUUUUUUAUCAAUUCUCUUCUGGGUUUUUGUUUACAGUGUAAAAUCAACACUAAUUUACUAAUUUUGCUUUGAUUUCAAACACUAUUGAGGCGUGAUAACCUGUUGCAAGCUCAGCCAUGGCGGCUACUGCGAAAUCUAACGGAAAAACCAUCACAGACUCUGCCAUUUCAUCCAAGGUUCCGACAAUAGCAAAACGAAUAGCUGUCGCAGAUUUCUUCCAACAUCAAUCACUACGCGAAAUUAAUUGUCAAUGAAGACGAUCCCAUUCCCCUUCGAAAUCUGCUGGGGAAAGAGACCUUCUUUCAGAUCUGCUCUGAGACCGGUUUAUGCGAGAGAGUGGUGAGCCUGACGACAGAGAGAAAUAAGGGCAGGAUUGGAAAAUUGGAAAGUUCAUUUAUUGGUUACUGUUUAUCCGUGUUUCUUCGAAAUAAGCUGCUUUUUCCAGCUUUGGGUUUCAGUGUUUUUUAACCCAUAAUUUUGAAAGAAAAAAAACUGAUUUUAAAUGUUUAUCAAACACUUAAAAUGUUCCAAUCUUUUUUCAUACCUACUUUUUAUUAAAAGUUAAGCUAAACAAAAAUCAAGAUUAAGUUUACUACUCUGAAGUUUCUUGCUUUUCAACAUUUCAUACAUUGAAUUUUUCUCAUCCAGUGUCAUAUCUAAGGUGGGAAUUGUGGGACACUUUUAUACAUCCGUUAGAUUUUAUGUGAAUUGCGUGGCACUUUUAUACAUCCGUUAAAUUUUUUGUGAGAACCUUCGCUGACCCACGAUGCGGCAUGCAUGUGGACAUUAAAAAAAUUCAAAAAAUUCAAAAAAUUUUAAAAUUUUAAAAUUUAAAAUUCAAAAAUACUAAAAACCUAAACUUUUCAUAAUAUUGAAAGACUGAAUCUUUUCACAGUCAGCCAAAUUUUCUUCAAAUUUUAAUUAGAUGAAAUAAUGAAUCUUGAACAAAGCAAAACAAAACGUAAUAUUGAGAGAUUCAGUCAUUGAAGUGGACGUGGAUGUUGGGUACUCAAUAGUCCAAGAAUGAAAACUCUCAUAUCAGUUUCUAUCCAAAAUUUUGGAAUUAUGUGUGUUGCAACGAUUGUCCAAAGGAUUAUUCUUCUUUUAUUAAAUUUCCAUGAAAAAUGAGCAUGGAGCACAAAAGUUGAACGAAUGAUUAUUCUUCUUUUAUUAAAUUUCCAUGGAAAAUGAGCAUGGGGCACAAAAGUUGAACGAAUGAAAUUUCAACGAUUUGAAAAGGGAUUGUGAGUUUGACAUGUCAUUUUUCUUCCUCUAAUGCAAUCAUGUUUAUUAAAAGACAAAAAUAAAUAUGACUUUACAUAAGGAGAGAGAAGGAGUAGUUUUCUUUGAAAAAAUCAACCAUUUAUUGAAGAGGAUGUGGAUGUUGAUUGAUGCGUCGUGAAUACGAAAAAAAGGACCUUGAAAGGAGUUGAGACAUUCAUUAAAAGCUAGAAGAAAAAAAAGUUAAAAGUGUUUUAGAAAAAAAGCAAGAAAGCCUCAUUUUCAAAGUUGUGGUCAUUGCACAAUACUUGAUUAGAAGAAAACUCAUAGUAUUGUAUUUACAAUUUCAAGUCUUUAUGGGGAACGAGAGAGCAAGUUUUCCAAUUGGAAUAUGAUAUGAAAUUUCUACAUAACUAUAUAUGACAAUGAAAGAAGUCUAAGUUUCUAAAUGGAAGGGCUUCCAAUUGAUGUGAGUUUGUUGAGAAAUUAGUGAACAACAGAACAAGUUGCUUCUCCUUUGGCCUUCUAACAUGAUAUCACAGAAAACAAGUUGUUACUAAUAAAUGUAUCUGAUUGGUGGACUUAGACGUGCGCGGUACGAUUUUUGAUAACUAGAGAAGAUGGGCAGUGUCAUGACAAAAUUUAUCCAAGUAGACCCAAAGGAAUGACUUAGGAACUUCAUAUGCAGUGGGAUAAAAUCUUAAGCUAAUUUCCUUACCUAUCUUAUAGGCAUUAAGUAAAAUGUAUAUGCAUAUUUCUAGACACACCAAUUUACUUAAUAUUAACUUCUUUCAAAUACCCAUUUGCAGAAACGCAAAGCUCUCUUGCAUGCUUGUUGUAAUGCUUAUGUAGUGCGUAUCCUAUAUCUUAUAUAUAUAUCUUACUUUUUGUGAUCCAUUUUUUCAUCACUAUGCCAAACGAAUAGCAAAACGAAUAGCUGUCGCAGAUUUCUUCCAACAUCAAUCACCACGCGAAAUUAAUUGUCAAUGAAGACGAUCCCAUUCCCCUUCGAAAUCUGCUGGGGGAAAGAGGCCUUCUUUCCGAUCUGCUCUGAGACCGGUUUAUGCGAGAGUGGUGAGCCUGACGACAAAGAGAAAGAAGGGCAGGAUUGGAAAAUUGGAAAGUUUAUUGGUUACUGUUUAUCCGUGUUUCUUCGAAAUAAGCUGCUUUUUCCAGCUUUGGGUUUUCAGUUUUUUUUACCCAUAAUUUUGAAAGAAAAAAAACUGAUUUGAAAUGUUUAUCAAACACUUAAAAUGUUCCAAUCUUUUUUCAUACCUACUUUUUAUUAAAAGUUAAGCUAAACAAAAACCAGGAUUAAGUUUACUACUCUGAAGUUUUUUGCUUUUCAACAUUUCAUACAUUGAAUUUUUCUCAUCCAGUGUCAUAUCUAAGGUGGGAAUUGUGAGACACUUUUAUACAUCUGUUAGAUUUUAUGUGAAUUGUGGGGCACUUUUAUACAUCCGUUAGAUUUUUUGUGAGAACCUUCGCUGACCCACGAUGCGGCAUGCAUGUGGACAUUGAAAAAAUUCAAAAAAAAUCGAAAAUUUUAAAAUUUUAAAAUUUAAAAUUCAAAAAUACUAAAAACCUAAACUUUUCAUAAUAUUGAGAGACUGAAUCUUUUCACAGUCGGCCAAAUUUUCUUCGAAUUUUAAUUAGAUGAAAAUAAUGAAUCUUGAACAAAGCAAAACAAAACGUAAUAUUGAGAGAUUCAGUCAUUGAAGUGGACGUGGAUGUUGGGUACUCAAUAGUCCAAGAAUGAAAACUCUCAUAUCAGUUUCUAUCCAAAAUUUUGGAAUUAUGUGUGUUGUAACGAUUGUCCAAAGGAUUAUUCUUCUUUUAUUAAAUUUCCAUGAAAAAUGAGCAUGGAACACAAAAGUUGAACGAAUGAUUAUUCUUCUUUUAUUAAAUUUCCAUGGAAAAUGAGCAUGGGGCACAAAAGUUGAACGAAUGAAAUUUCAACGAUUUGAAAAGGGAUUGUGAGUUUGACACGUCAUUUUUCUUCCUCUAAUGCAAUCAUGUUUAUUAAAAGACAAAAAUAAAUAUGACUUUACAUAAGGAGAGAGAAAUAGUAGUUUUCUUUGAAAAAAUCAACCAUUUAUUGAAGAGGAUGUGGAUGUUGAUUGAUGCGUCGUGAAUACGAAAAAAAAAGACCUUGAAAAGAGAUGAGACAUUCAUUAAAAGCUAGAAAAAAAAAAGUUAAAAGUGUUUUAGAAAAAAGCAAGAAAGCCUCAUUUUCAAAGUAGUGGUCAUUGCACAAUACUUGAUUAGAAGAAAACUCAUAGUAUUGUAUUUACAAUUUCAAGUCUUUAUGGGGAACGAGAGUGCAAGUUUUCCAAUUGGAAUAUGAUAUGAAAUUUCUACAUAACUAUAUAUGACAAUGAAAGAAGUCUAAGUUUCUAAGUGGUAGGGCUUCCAAUUGAUGUGAGUUUGUUGAGAAAUGAAGAUGAAGAUGAAUAUUGAUGUUGAUGUUAGUGAACAACAGAACAAGUUGCUUCUCCUUUGGCCUUCUAACAUGAUAUCACGGAAAACAAGUUGUUGCUAAUAAAUGUAUCUGAUUGGUGGACUUAGACGUGCACGGUACGAUUUUUGAUAACUAGAAAAGAUGGACAGUGUCAUGACAAAAUUUAUCCAAGUAGACCCAAAGGAAAGACUUAGGAACUUCAUAUGCAGUGGGAUAAAAUCUUAAGCUAAUUUCCUUACCUAUUUUAUAGUAUUAAGUAAAAUGUAUAUGUAUAUUUCUAGAUGCUGACACACCAAUGUACUUACUAUUAACUCCUUUCAAAUACCCAUUCGCAGAAACGCAAAUCUCUCUUGCAUGCUUGUUGUAAUGCUCAUGUAGUGCGUAUCUAAUAUCUUAUGUGUAUAAUUUUUUGUGAUCCAUUUUUUCAUCACUAUGCCAAAAUCCCUUUAGAAUUUGCAAUUUAUCCAUUUGGUUAUGGUAAAAAAAAAAACUCGGAAUUUCAUUUAAACUCGAAAAUCUAGAAUUGGGAAAGCAAUUUUCCCUUGUUCGGCAACUUGUAGCGAUAGCAAAGGCAAAUUGUACCGGAAAAAAGUGGAAAUUGGGGAUGAAGAUCCAAUUUUAAUUUCGUCAAAAUAAGUGUAAUUUCACAAUUCCAACAACGUUGAGAAUCACAAAUGCAUUGUGGGGAAAUCUUGCGACCACCAAACUUUACGAUUAGAGCGCCAAAUUUCAUGAUAAAACGUAAUAAGGGUUUAGGACUGCAUCGUUCGCUCUGUUAACUCUCCAAUCUUCGACGGGAUUUUCAACUCGUGCAUCAUUUUUUGCUUUGUUCUAGGUCAAAGCCUACUCUUUUCUUUCUUGAAUUAUUUUAGCUUUGCGGGUAUACUCUUUAGGCCAAUUGUGAAUUUUGCUAGUUAUUUUUAUUUUCUGAUGGUCAUAUGUUUGUUUUUUUUUUCUUCCAAUUGAGCUGUGUAUUGGUUGGAUCAGUAACUUUUUUUUUGGAUUUUUAUUUUUAUUUUUAUGGAUUUUGGUGUUAGUUCCUUGUUAUAGAUGUAUAGAUGUUGUGGAGCAAAAAAUAAUCUCAAAAAUCGUGGAGGUGACACACGGAUUUUUGGACAAGAAUGACAAAAUUAUCCUCGAAGCACAUCAUGAUUCCCACGUGCAUGCAACGGACAAUAACGGCUCAAUCAUGGAAGAGUCAAAGGUGAUCAAUAUGGUAUUUAUUCAAAUCCCUCUCAUCACUCCUCAUCAAUCCCUUUUUGAUUUUAUUCAAAAGGUAACUCCCAAAACUUCCUAUUUAAUUUAGGGAUCAUUGUCAUGUUAAUUGCAAGAUAUUAUUUCACAAAAUAUCUUGUAAUUAUUCUUCAAUUACCACCAUGUAUGGCCGGCCACUCCUCACCCUAUGGGCCGGUCACUCCUCACCCUAUGGGUCGGCCACUCCCUAUAAAUAGCCCUAUUAUUCCACUAAUAAGGAAGCCAUUUGCUACCCACAAACUCCUAAACACAUUCUUUCAGAAUUCUAACUUUGGCAUUGGAGAUUCUUAGGCCAAAUCCCCCCUCCCAUUCAUCGUGGGCGCAUAAGGCUUUUGGCCUUAGUCUUAGGUAUUAUUAUUUUGCAGGUGCAUUUUCGUCAAAGACGAAGAUGGUGGAAAUUUGGAUCCACAAAUUGGUGUUUUCAUUGAGAGUUUGAUUCACAAGCUCGAAGAAGACUCUCGCAUUCAAAGUUUCACAUUUCUCAUUCAUAAGUAAAUUUUUCAUACGUUCUUAUUCCUAGAAUUUUUUUAAAUCUUUGAAUAGACGUAGGAGAGAAAUACAAUGGCUAGAAAUUUAGAAACCACGACGAACGAAACUUCCUACGUUCAAAGAUCCAGAUCAAAUGAUGGAAAUUGCGAUGUAGCCCCACCACGACGAUCCACGAAGCUCAACGUAGUGGCAAAAUGAGUAACUUGGCCACCACGGAGUACCACCACCACCAUAGCCAAGGCAACCCAUGUUGCAGUGGGGAGUGGGACAACUCCAUGGCAGCAAGGCCACGAAGCAACAACAGAUGCCAUCUUGCAGUAAUGAGCCCAAGCCUGUGUCACAAGGUAGUCAACCCAGCGCUAGGUAACCUAGAUCUAGUAGGCCCACGACGUUGCCAUAGUAGCUGAGGCCUAAAGCAAGGCCCAAGCAGCUGCGACUGCGGCAAAUGGAGCAACACAACACUGGCGGGGCCAAUGCACCCUUGGCCUAAUGCCAAGCAGGCUAAAUCGCACCACACCCACUAUUCAAACUAACCCUAAGUUGAGUAAGUAGCAUUGAAGGUUGUCAACCGCAAGGCGUUGAAGUACGAAUAAAGUUACACACCCCGCACAUGACUUGGCCCACUUCCGCGGCCCAACUUGCUCGCAAGGUCCACCUAGUGAUCCCGACCAGUCGAAGGCCAGUUCAAUCAUCCCAUCUUCAGAUUUCUGGACUGACGAUUGAAUCGGGGGUAUUUUCACCCCGAUUUUCUACAGAUUUGACAUAUCUCAACACAAAUCUCGCACUUGGAGUCCAUUGCACUUCCAUUACUCAAGGAGACGCAUACCAUUUAAGAUCUUCCAUCCCAAAUGGCGAACAACACUUGUCUUGACAAGUCAUAGAGUUGACAUGCACUUUUGCGCAGUAGACGACCUUAGUGAAUCAGCUUUUGCAACGCACAAAGAUGCAGUAUGCCCCAGACGAUGUGUCCCGAAGCAGGACAAGUAUAGACGACGAUUCUCUCCAGCAGCGUCCCAACAAGCAGCCGCUCGACUAGCCACGAACCGAGCAUUCUGGCAGUGUACACUCCCGUCUAGGUCCUCAAGAAAGCAUAUACUCUCAUCUUAGCGCGCGGAUGAGCGUGCACUCCUGGUUAGGCCUACGGACGAGCAUACAUUCACGGUUGGGACCAUACUCUUAUAAUUAACAUGGACAACCUGCUAGACGAAGUGUUCAUUCGCGGCUAGGCUCGCAAAGAGCAUUUUCCACCUCAUAUUGGAGUAAGCAGCACAGAAGACGAAGAUAAGCAGUCAAUUAAUCUGGCUCAAAUUCAAUCGGCCACCUGUAAGUAACUAGCUCGCCUGCCAAGAACGUACCAUAUGCAAUGUAGCCACGACAUAGACUAGCUGAGCACAACGAUGAGCAACCUAGACUAACAGGUUACGACUGGGGGUAGCCAGAAGCUUCACUGCCCCAAUAUAGGUAAAUUUAGAAAGAAGUUGAGAGGCUUCUGACAGAACGAUUGUGCGAUUUCCAACGCAAUGAAGCUACUGACAAGGCGCUUAAACGAUACACGACCAACAUAAACGGGUCACCUUUUAUUGACAAGAUUGAGCAGACAGAACCAUCCUACAUACACUGGCGGAUACAAAUAUUACUUCUAUUUUAACAUACGCAUCAACUCAGCCUAAUGGCGUGUCGAGGGCAAAUGGGUUCCAGAAUGGCACACUAACCCAACCACCAAGAACCAGGGCCAAAUCUUAUUUUCAUCACUCCACACGAUUCAAUGCUUGAGCAUCACAUCACCAGUAAUAGAGCACCGCAGACCUAAUGGUCCAAUUCCUCCUGAUGCACACAAGCUCACCCCAGCUCCACGCUCAAAGCCGUGCCUACCUGCUCCACAACACUCAGCCACCCUUGAUUUGUCACCAUGGCUCACAGUUAUGCCAAUUUUGCACCACAGCUCCCAGCCGUGCUAAUCUUGCCAUGCGGCUUUUAACUACGUUAACCAAGCCCACGAUACUUCAUACUUCAAAACAUCCAAUGACGAAGUAGAACAUGAGGCUCUACUAGCAGCCCCUGCUAGUGAAAGGCUUUGCGGUGAAGAGGCUUCCAAUCCAUUCAAAUUCUCAGUUGACCACCUGUUGGGUUUUACGGCUCAAAAUUAGGAUGAUGCAAAAAAAAUUGUGUUACCUAUUUGGUUUUGGUGUCGUAUUUGGGUUUGGAUUUUGACCUCUUAGUUGGUUUCCUUGGUGGAGAGAUUUUGUUAAUUACCUAUUUGAUUAGGAUUUGGAUUUACUUCCUAUUAAGAUUCUUAUUGUAACCUAAGUCUUAUGCACUAUAAAUAGGACCUCAGGGUUAGUGUAUUUUGUGUGGCUCAUUCGUGUGGCAAUUUGGUGAGAGUCAAUUUGUGAGUUUGUGAGUUAGAGAGCAAUUUGGGAGAAUCUUCUCCGUUAGUUUUGGGUUCUCUACUCGUUUGGUUUAGGGUUUGUAAUUUGUGGGAUUUGGAUUGUGAGAGUUUAAACACUAUUUUGUAAUCUCCGUUUGUUUAGUGAAAUUUCUUGUCAUGCUUCGCUCGUGGACUUAGAUUUUACACCGAACCACAUAAAUCUCUUGUGUUAGUUUGAGAUUGUUUGUUUUAGUUUUCACCUACAACGUUGAUAUCGGUACUUUGCUAUAAUUUGCUUUCCUUUGCUCAUAAAAGUACGACAAGUGGUAUCAGAGCCCAGCUUUCGGCUUGGGCUUUUCUUGGCAAUCAAUAUGAAGCCUUCUGUGUCGUCGGUGAAAGUUGAUAUUGAAAAGUUCGAUGGCAAUGACUUUGGUAUUUGGCAAUUGAAGAUGCGUGCUUUGUUAAUUCAACAAGAGCUUUUAAAAACGCUAAAGGGUGUGAAGGCUUUCCUGAAUUCGUGGACUGAUGAAGAAAAACAAAGAAGUUAUGGAGCGGGCACUUGGAACAAUCCUGCUGACUUUAUCGAAUGAAGUCUUGCGUCAAGUUGGUAGCAUCAAAUCUGCACCGAAGUUGUGGCUAAAAUUGGAGAGUUUGUAUAUGACCAAAUCCCUUGCUAAAUGGUUGUAUUUGAAGAAAAGUUUGCGUACUCUUCGUAUGGAUGAAGGUACGUCAAUUCAUAAGACCAAAUCCUUAUUGCUGCCAAAAGUCCUCAACAGUUCCAAGGGAGAUGGGUAAGAGUUCGUAAUAGUGAGAGAUUGAAUCUUUUCACACUUGGCCAAAUUUUAAUUUUAAUUAGAUGAAACAAUGAAUCUUGAACAAAGCAAAACAAAAUUUAAUACUGAAAGAUUGAGUCAUUGAAGUGGACGUGGAUGUUGGGUACUUAACAGUCCAAGAAUGAAAACUCUCAUAUCAGUUUUUAUCCAAAAUUUUGGAAUUAUGUGAGUAUUGCAACGAUUGUCCGAAUGAUUAUUCUUCUUUUAUUAAAUUUCCAUGGAAAAUGAGCAUGGGGCACAAAAGUUGAACGAAUGAAAUUUCAAUGAUCUGCAAAGGGAUUGUGAGUUUGACAUGCCAUUUUUCUUCCUUUUAUGCAAUCAUGUUUAUUAAAAGACAAAAAUAAAUAUGACUUUACAUAAGCAGAGAGAAAGAGUAUUUUUCUUUGAAAAAAUCAACUAUUUAUUGAAGAGGAUGUGGAUGUUGAUUGAUGCGCCGUGUGAAUAGGAAAAAAAUGACCUUGAAGGGAGACAAGACAUUCAUUAGAAGCUAAAAAAAAGUUAUAGUGAUUUAGAAAAAAGAAAUUUUAACGAAAUAUUUCCGGUAUUGUUCACUCUUUACGAAAAACCACAUUUUUACAUUUCCUGGCUACUAUUCACUACACCUUUAUUUAUCAUUUUUCAUUAAAACUAAAUUUGUUUUUGAACUUUUCGUUAGUUUCCUUUAGAAAAAAGCAAGAAAGCCUCAUUUUCAAAGUGGUAGUCAUUGAAACAAUACUUGAUUAGAAGAAAAGUCAUAGUAUUGUAUUUACAAUCUCAAGUCUUGAGGGGUAACGAGAGUGCAAGUUUCUAAUUGGAAUAUAAUAUGAAAUUUCUACAUAACAAUAUAUGACAAAGAAAGAAGUCUAAGUUUCUAAGUGGAAGGGCUUCCAAUUGAUGUGAGUUUGUUGAGAAAUGAAGAUGAAGAUGAAUAUUGUUGUUGAUGUGAGUUAGUGAACAACAGAACAAGUUGCUUCUCCUUUGGCCUCUAACAUGAUAUUACCGGAAAACAAGUUGUUACUAGUAAAUGUAACUGACUGGUGAACUAAGACAUGCGGUACGAUUUUUGAUAACUAGAGAAGAUGAAUAGUGUCGUGACAAAAUUUAUCCAAGUAGACCCAAGGGAAAGACUUAGGAACUUCAUAUGCAGUGGGAUAAAAUCUUAAGCUAAUUUCCUUUUUAAUCUUAUAGUCAUUAUGUAAAAUGUAUAUGCAUAUUUCUAGAUACAUACACACCAAUGUACAUAAUAUUAACUCCUUUUAAGUAGUCAUUUGCAAAUCCCUCUUGAGUGCUCUUUGGAAUGCUCAUGCGGUGCCGUUCUAAUCUCUUAUAUAUAACUUUUUGUGAUCUGUUUUUUCAUCAAUAUGCCAAAAUCCCUUUAGAAUUUGCAACUUAUCUUUUUGGUUACGGUAAAAAAAAACUCGGAAUUUCAUUUAAACUCGAAAAUCUAGGGAUGUGAAAGCAAUUUUCUCUUGUUCGACAACAUUUAGCGAGAGCAAAGGCAAAUUGUACAGGAAAAAGUUAGAAAUUGGGGAUGAAGAUUCCCAAUUUUAAUUUCGUCUAAAUAAGUGUAAUUUCACAAUUCUAACUACGAUGAGAAUCACAAAUAUAUUGCAGGGAAAUCUUGCAACAGCCAAACUUUACGAUUAGGGUGCCAAAUUUCGUGAUAAAACCUAAUAAGGGUUUAGGGCUGCAUUGUUCACUCUGUUAACUCUCCAAAUCUUCGACGGAUUUUCGGCUCGUGCAUCAUCUUCUUGCUUUGUUCUAGGUCAACGCCUCUACUCUCUUCUUUCUUGAAUUAUUUUAGCUUUUUAGGUAGGCUCUUUAUGGCUGUUGUGAAUUUUGCUAGUUAUUUUUAUUUUCUGAUAGUCAUUUGUUUGUUGUGCGUUUUUCCUUCCAAUUGAAUUGUGUAUUGGUUGGAUCUGUAACAUUUAUUUUUUAUUUUAUUUUAUGGAUUUUGGUGUUAGUUCUUUGUCAUGGAUGUUGUCCCUUUGAAGGUUAACAAUAGCCAAGACUAAACAUGAUGAUAUUGUUAAUUACUUUCUCAUGAUACUAAUGCCAUAUUGUUCUCUCUUUUGCACUUACAAGUGAAGAGAAAUAUCCUAGACCCUAACUGGAUAUGUUAUUGUCAUGGUCAUGCAUUGGUAUGGUAACAAUAUGUUUGGAUAAGGAAAAUAAACUUAGAAUUUGACAAAAGAUAGAAUUUAUAAAUUGAUACAAUCAAUUCCUUUGUUUAGAUUCAUAAACAUAGAAAUUUAAACUUUCCGUGUGAGAAAAAACUUGGAAUUUGGGACCUUCAAUUCUCAUGUUUAAAUUUUAUGUAAAUAGGUGUCAUUUCUAAAUUUCAGCAAGUGAGAAUUUAAAAAUAACAAACAUGUAUUCAAAUUUCAUUCCUCUUUUAGGUUAACCAAACAAGAAAUUUUAUAAAUUCUAGAAAAUAAAAUUUCGUUAUUUCAAUUUCUGUUAUUUUAAAAUUAGUAAUCUUAAAUUUUCCCAUCCAAACAAAGAGUUUCCUUGUCAUAGAACUUUCAAUUGGGAUCAAGGAAGACAAUCUUUUCACAACUGAUUAUUCUCACCAAAUUUUAUUAUUAUUUUAAAGCAGAUCAAUACCAAACUUCAAAAGCAAAGUAGGAAGGCUAAAAUUAAGGUGAAGAACCUACUUCCACUAAUUACCAUGGGAGGGGGAGAGAGAGAGAGAGAGAGAGAGAGAGAGAGAGAGAGAGAGAACCAAGCGAGAGAGAAGAGAGAGAAAACACCAAGUAGUAUUAUAAUAUAGGUGGGGUUAAAUCACCUUUCGUGAAGUUGCGGUAAGAGCAGCUCCAGCGGGAGGUCCAGCUUGAUGGACCGGUGAGAUUUCCUACCCAAUAGCCCCAGCUCCUUGCUCCAGCCCAUGCGGGCGAUUGGGCUGAGGGGGUGCCCGAGUGAGAGGCCUGACUCGAAUCGGUAGCCUGAGAGCUUGAGGCCAAAUGAUGCAUGGACGUCAGCCACGUUAUAAGAAGGAAGCAUAAACUAUGAAUAAUGAUAGAGAUUUAGAUUUUGGUGUGUGAUUUCAUCGGAUGGAUGGUGGGUUAUAUGGAGGAAAAAAAAAAGAUUAGGUUGUAGAUAAUGCCACGUGGCAUGCCGUCAUUCGUUAAAAAUCUGAUCGAAAUCUAUCAUCAAAGAUUUUAAACAGAUUAUGACACGUGACGCAACGUGAUUGGUUAAAAAUCUUAUCAGAAAUCUAUCCUUAACGAUUCUGAAAAGGUAACGAGAUGGGGCACGACGGCAUUGGAUAAAAAUCUUAUCGAAAUCUAUCACCAAAAAUUAUCUUUUUGGAUAAUGACACGUGGUGCAACGAGAACGAUUAAAAAUCUUAUCCGAAAUUACAAAUAGAAUUAUUUUGUAUUAUUUUAUAAAAUAAAAAUACUAAUAUUUUAUUGCCUAUUGACAUGACUAUUCAAUUAUGGGUGUGGAGAUGCAGAAGAUAAUUAUUAUUAAUUAAAGGUAAUUAUUGUUCAUUGGAGGGGAUUGAAUAUGAAGUUGCAGUAGAAGGCCUUUGUCACAGCAAUAGGCAGUUACUGUUCUAAGGACUUCUAUCCUAGAACAGAGACAAAAACACCAAGUAGUAUUAUAAUAUAGGUGGGGUUAAAUCACCUUCCGUGAAGUUGCUGUAUGGACUUCUAUCCUAGAGAAAAGUCGGUCAAUGGUGUUUGACACAGUCAGUCAACGACAAAGACAGAAUUGUGUAACCAUAAUUCUCUCUCUAUCUCUUUUUCAUUAACGGAGGACAGUGUAUAAUUACUACGUAUAUAUCUCUGCUCAAUUAUUGAAAAGAAAAAUCCAUGUGCAUUAUUUUUAUUAUUAUUAUCUCAGAAAUGCAGAAAUUGAUUAUCUCUUCCUUCUGCAUAUUGAUACUGGUUUUCUUCAAACUAGUUGAAGCAAGCCAAUAUGUGUGCGCGAAAUCCAACUGUAGCAAUGAUCAAGGCCCGGCUAAUUUCCUUAGGAGGGAGAGAGAGAGAGGGGAGAGAGAACCAAGUGAGCGAGCAGAGAGAGAAAACACCAAGUAGUAUUCUAAUGUUGGUGGGGUUAAGUCACCUUCCAUGAAGUUGCAGUAAGGACUUCUAUCCCAGAGAAAAGUCAGUAAAUGAUGUUGACACAGUCCGUCAACGACAAAGACAGAAUUGUGUAACCAUAAUUCUCUCUCUAUCUCUUUUUCAUUAACGGAGGACAGUGUAUAAUUACUACGUAUAUAUCUCUGCUCAAUUAUUGAAAAGAAAAAUCCAUGUGCAUUAUUUUUAUUAUUAUUAUCUCAGAAAUGCAGAAAUUGAUCAUCUCUUCCUUCUGCAUAUUGAUACUGGUUUUCUUCAAACUAGUUGAAGCAAGCCAAUAUGUGUGCGCGAAAUCCAACUGUAGCAAUGAUCAAGGCCCGGCUAUCCAUUUCCCAUUGAACAUCAGGCGCACACAUCAUUGUGGAAAUUCUGGGCUUGAAUGCAAUGGGAGAUAUGAGCAGCAAAUACUAAUAAAAUUAUUUGUCAAAGACACAGAUUACAAGCGUCAGGAAAUCCAAGUCUAUUCCCCAAGUAACUGCCUGCUGCUAAAGCUUGUUGAAAUCCCAAACAUGCCACCCUCUCCCUUCGUGCCAGUAGUCGAUUACAUGAUUAAUUUCAUAAACGUUACCUUAUUCAGUUGUCCUACUUCUGUUGCAAUACGAGAUACGUAUGGUUGUCAAGUCCCCUGCCUUGGCGACCGUGGCAAGAGAACUUAUGCCAUUGAUUCUGGGGUUUAUUUUGAAACUCUCUUCCAGAAUCUAGAAUCCUGUACAAAAAUGUAUGAUGUUUUAUCAGUUCCAAUAGCCGAUGAAUAUUAUGUUUUUCGUUUCAAAUGGUCUAUACCAAAUUGCAGAAAAUGUGGAGAGGGAAAGAAGUGUGAAUGGCAGAACAAUGAAAUUAAAUGUCUUCCCUGGAGGAAACCAAGUAAGGAUAACAUAUGUAUUCAUUGCUAGUUUUAAACAUCUUUACAUUUAUGUCUUAGUAAUUAUUAUUUGAAGGAUGUUGUCCAAUCCAUUUUUACUAGGAAUAUUACCUGACAGUCUCGUUUAAAUUCGCAAUGAUCUUCUACAGGCAACACAUGGAAAAAAGUGGUUACAGGUGGAAUCCUGUGUGCUUUGCUUCUUGUUCUACUGACGAUUGCAGCAUAUCGGGUAUAUAGCGCUGAUAGAAAGGAGAAAGAGAGUCGAUUAAGAAUUGAAAGAUUCUUGGAGGACUACAAAGCACUCAAACCAAGCAGGUAUUCGUACGCAGAUAUUAAGAGGAUUACAAAUCAAUUCAAGGACAAGUUGGGCGAAGGAGCCUAUGGAACUGUCUUCAAAGGAAUGCUCUCUUCUGAAUUCUUCAUUGCUGUCAAAGUCCUCAACAGUUCCAAGGGAGAUGGGGAAGAGUUCGUAAAUGAAGUGCGAACGAUGGGUCAUAUCCACCACGUAAACGUGGCUCGCUUGGUUGGAUUUUGUGCUGAUGGAUUUGUACGAGCUCUUGUUUACGAGUUCUUCCCCAAUGGUUCCCUGCAGGAUUUCAUUUCAUCUGCAGAUAGUAAGAAUUCAUUUCUUGGUUGGGAUAAGCUACAAGAUAUUGCCCUAGGCAUAGCCAAAGGAAUUGAAUAUCUUCACCAGGGAUGCGAUCUACGAAUCCUGCAUUUCGACAUCAAACCCCAUAAUGUUUUGCUAGACCAAAACUUCACUCCAAAAAUUUCUGAUUUUGGUUUGGCCAAGUUAUGUUCCAAGGAUCAAAGCUUGGUGUCCAUGACUACAGCAAGGGGGACCAUGGGCUACAUUGCACCUGAAGUGUUCUCCAGGAAUUUCGGAAAUGUGUCGUACAAGGCAGAUGUUUAUAGCUUUGGAAUGCUACUGCUUGAGAUGGUAGGAGGAAGGAAGAAUAUUGGUUCAAUUACGGAUAACACUACAAAUGAAAUUUACUAUCCACAGUGGAUUUAUAAUCUUCUAGAGGAAGGGGAUGACCUACGAAUCCACAUUGGGGAAGAAGGAGAUGGUAAAAUUCCAAAGAAACUUGCAAUUAUAGGGCUAUGGUGUAUCCAGUGGCACCCGUCGGAUCGUCCUUCCAUGAAAAUAGUGGUUCAGAUGUUAGAAGGAGGAGGAGAAAGCUUGAGUAUGCCGCCUAAUCCCUUUGUGCCUACUGGUUCUACAACUAGGAAUGCAAGACACCUAGAGCUAGAAGCUAUUGCUGAAUUAGAGUAAAAUGUAUAUGCAGAUAUGUAGACGUAUAGAUAUAGUAAUAUUUAUAUUGAAUAAGAGGCCGUUUGAUAACCAUUUCGUUUUCAGCUUUUAAUUUUUAUUUUUCACUUUUUUGAAAACUAAAAACUAAAAUCUUGUUUGGUAAAUACUUUUAGUUAAAAAAAAAUGAAGACUGAGAACUAAAAUGUGAAAGCUCAAAGGAAGUAGAUUAAAAGUAGUUACCAAACAAACCGGAAUCUCAAUAAAUAAAAAAGAUUGAAUUGCACAAUGCAAUCCAAACCAAUCAAAACAUUUAAAAUAGCAAAAAAAAAUUAAAAUUCUAGUUGAUUAGAUUCUAAACAUAGUAAAAAUGAACAGAUCCGAUGAAAAAAACAAAAAAUUCUCAGAUAAAAAUAGGGAUAAAGUAAAAUAUUUAUAAAUAGCUCUUUGUCUCUUAUGCCAUCAAUUAUUUCUAUAGUAUAUACACGUUUUUGGAAAAAUUAGGUUCCCAUCCCUUAUUUUCAUAUUACAUUGAUUGAAAUCUUAUUAUUUUUCUAUUUUAGAUCAAGGUCCCUUGACUUAUUCUAUGUCAUCAUUUUAGUAUUUAAAAUAUUACACGUUAUCAUAAACGAAAUCUCAUCCCUUUCUGCAUUUAAGGCAAAAUAAACUAUAUGAGUAAGUUUAAAACAAGGAAAAUCCAUUUGAACUCCUCCAUUCUUCUUCUUCUCUUAUAAACAUCUGGAAUCUACAACACCCCAAACCCAAUUUUCUCCAUUUUUUCUCCUUUCCUGAAUUGAUCCAAUGCAUAUAUGUUGAAUAAACCUAUUGUGAUUAAAAUACAAAUUAGCAUCAAUGGUUUUAUUGGCUUGUGAGAUUUGUGUGGCAUAGGCAAGGCAAUGCAGGCAUCGUUUUCUCAAGGAAUCUGGUUGAUUCAAACAUGCAGAGACUGUAGAGUGAGUGGGCUAUGUGAAAACUGUACCAUUCUGAAGUCAUUUUCUUUUGUUCUUUAUAUUUUUUUUUCUUUUUCUUUUAUUAUUAUAUAUUAGUCUUGGUUAUUCAAUGCCUGGUUGGCUACACUUAUAUCCAUGGGUACAUUUUUAAUCUACAUGUUUCGUUCUAAUAUAUCUAUUGCUAUAAUAUGUUUUGGUUGGUUCAAAUUUGUUUUACAUAAAUAUAUGGGUACAAAGUUUUUGGAGAAUAUUAUGUAAAUGGUUUUUAAGGUUGCUGCAUUUUACGUACCCACAUAUGCAUGUCUAUAAAACAAUGUGGUAUGAUGUACAUUCUUUUCUUUGAGUUUUUAAAUGUACCCAUGAGUUUUUUUGUAAAUUCGGUAUGUACCCAUAUGCUAUUUAUGUUAUGGGUACAUACAUUAUUUUUGGUCUAAGUUCAGGGUACAUUGCUUUUGUAUGUAUGAAUUCAAGGGGUACAUUAUUUCCCUUAAUACUACUCAAUAAAAUUCACAAAAUAUGUGUAGUGUGCAUGAUUUUUUAUUGUAGAAAUUGUUUUUUUUUAAGUCUCAUAAUUCAUGAAAUUUGUACAUAUAUGAUCCCAUAAAUUUUUUAAUUUUAUUAAAUUUCUUUUAGACUUGAUCGAUUGAUUGAAUCUCAUCAUACUAGGAUUUUGAAUUACAUAAAUUCUUGGAUUUAAAUCCCUUAAAUGUUGGACUGCAAUCAAUAUUUUAAAUUAUAGUUUUUUAUUUAAGAUAUCAAAAAGAUGACAUGGAAAUAUAGUAAUACUAAAAUGCUGAGGUGUACAAAGUCAAAGGACUUUGAUCAAAAAAUAAAAAACAAUAAGAUUUCAAUCUAACAAUUAAAUUGACUAGGGACCGGAACCAAAAUGACCCUAGAUUUUUAUUGAGUUUAAUCUUAAUCAAAAAAAGACUUCUUGUAUCACAGAAAAUACAAGAACCAUUAUUUGAAUGAAAUAAAAGCUAUGGGAUGGAGAUAUAAAUGGAUCAUUUUAUUCACAAUCGGAUUAUAUUUAUUUGAUACACUAUUGUCAAUAUGAAUGUUGAGAAAAAGACUACAAAAGAAAAAACAAUUUAUAAAUAUAACUAACAAUUCCAAUUUCAAUCAAUUAGACAAUUAGAUAAUACAUCAGUAAACGCGGGGUGACUCAGUGGUUAGAAACGAAUUUUAGGCUCGUAUUCUAUACAAUACGUCUUGGGUUCGAUUCCUGACAAUGGUGAAUCACGCGACGGUAGAUAUAGGGGUGUUGUUGGAAGUUUUGAGACUCAAGUCCUUUAUAUAGAUUUAGUGCUUUAGUUUAGUAAUUAGAAUAUGGGUCAUUUGGAAAUGGAUUGAAGGUUUGGGCCUUAUGGUUGUGUGGAUUAGGCUUGUAUAAUAUAGCCUAAAUACAAUUAAUAUUAAUUAAUCAAGACAAGGGCCUUGGGCCUUACUUGGGGCCUUGGAAUUUAAAAUUAAUCUGAUUCAUUAAUUUUAAUUUUCGGAUUAAGUUUUUAAUUAAUUUAUUAUUAAUUAAAAACGUUUUGAUUAAAAGACACAGCUCUUAGAAAAGAGUUAUGAACCUUCAAAUACACUGAACUGGUAUUUGAAAGGGUGUGAAACAACCUAUAUAUCUGCAAUCCAUGGUAUCCAAAUAAAUCAUCUUUUCUUCUUCCUUUUCUUCCGUACAAACUUUCCAGAGAGAGUAAACACACAAAGCAAUUCGCUAGAAUUCUAUAAUUUAGUGCGGGUUAUAGGAUUAGGUAGUUGUAUCCUGGUCGAGCAGACGUUAUAGAACCACAAGCACAAGAGUGGGACGGAAUUACUGUUCGAAUGACAUAGCUUUUACGUUAGCCUCUACCUUCUGUAAUCAAGUUAGUACCGUUGACAUUCUUAUAUUAAUUUCUGUAUUUAUUGUAUACUUUUCAUUUUGUAUAGCAAGUACCUUUUGUUAAAUAAAAAUUGUGAAUUUCAAGUUCUGUUUAUUUCUGUUAUUCUGUUUAUUUCUGAAUUGUUCUCCAACACCCCUAUAUCUACCGUCGCGUGAUUCACCAUUGUCAGGAAUCGAACCCAAGACGUGUUGUAUAGAAUACGAGCCUAAAAUUUAUUUCUAACCACUGAGUCACCCCGCGUUUGAUUAUAUUUCACUUAGACUUAUCUUGCGGUAUAGCAUGUCAUCCCCGCCCAAGUUUUUCUGUUGGCAUUGAGUUUGGGAUACCAAAACUUGCCAAACAAAGUAGAUUGAUUAGUAAGCGAAGCUAAUUAUUCGACUAAACAUUGUUUAGAAUUUUAAUUAAAAGAAACAAUAUGAAUCUGUUUAUUUUUUUUUUUGACAAACUAUAACGUUAAGGAGUUAAAUUGUUAGUUAUUAAGAGUACAAUGAUAGGUGAGGAUCGAACCUCCACCAGAGUGCAUAGACAUUAUUGGUUCUACAACUGCGGUAAAUCACAUAAAACAAAACGUAAUACUUUGAGGAUGGAAGACACUUCGUGGAUAGCGGGCAAUCAACACUAUCAGUUGCUAUCCAAAACUUGGAAUUAUGUUUAUUGUCCGAAGGAUUUUUCUUCCAUUAAAUUGCUAAGGAAGAUGAGGAUGGGUGGAGUGUCUAAAUGUCAAGGUUGACAAGAACGUGUAUGGUGUUCAGCUUGCGAUUGAGAUUUGUUAGAGUGGCACAACAAACCACAUAAAAUUUUCUAAAUGAUAAGCUUGAGUAUAAUUUUUUAUCACGUAUUUAUCUUUAAAAUCAUUAUAAUUAGAUUUUCUCUUAAUUAAUAUAGACCGUUAGAUUCAUCUAAUGACCCAAGUUUUUUUCCUCUUUUCUUUCCACUCUUUUCCAUUCACCGUGUAGCAGUCGUUCUUCCCCAACUACGUUUCUUAUUUUUCUUCACAAAAAAUUUGUAGAAAAUAUUAAGAAAAGAAAAGUCAUCAAUAUCAGACUCGACCAGGUAAUCGUUCCAACCUUCCCAGCAACUCUCAGUCUUAACUAGGCACCAAAUUUUCUCCGCCACCUAACUCGUCAUUCAUUCAUGGGUGUUUCAAGCUUGGUGAAAAUUGAUAGAGUUCCAUGUGUGUACACGGAUGUGAACAUAUUGGCCACUCUCUAAGAAUGAGUCAUUGGAAAAGUUGAAGGAAAGAUGUAACCGAUGAAAUUAAUGGAUUGGAAUUACAAUGAAGUCUGUGUUGGUUUAUCACAAAGAACCCAGAUACAAAAUUUUAAAAGCAAACAAUUUCAACUUCUCAAAUAUUAUCUAACAAACUUUCAAUGAAAUGUUGCUCAUAAUUGAAAAAAGGUUGACGAAGGACGGAGUUGGGGUUAUUUUAGAUGAGGAAGAGUUAAAAGAAGGAAGCACCAUUUAAUUAAUAAAAGUGAUUGGAGAAAUGGUAAUUCAAUGGUGGGCGUUUUUAAGGUGUGGACCUUGUAUCACACCCUGAUCCCAACAUACAUUGAGGAUCGACACGUGACAUGGGGACAUAGGGGACAAAAAUCUUACAUAAGAUACAGAAUGAAAUACUAUAUAAUAUCCCAAAAUGAAUAUGAUAGUGGGUUCACCCCUAUAAAAUACAUACGAGUUUGUACAUUCACAAAAAAAUAAAAAAAAUAAAAAUAAAUAAAAAUAAAAAACACACACACAACUCUCGCUAGGCCAAGACUUGCCCAUGGUGCUCAAAGGAAAGUCCCAAAAGAAAUAGUACAAUGAAGGAUAAAGGGGUAACCUAAACACUCCAAGUCUCUGAUCUCUGCACUGCUACCCCCACCGGCUCCUCGUAAUCUACUCAGACCUGUCACAUGUACAAACAGUGCCUACAUUGUGGGAAUGGUGCACCAGGCAAACAAAAACCCGGAUAAGCUGCAAAACUCGUGUGAGUGACAAUAAUGCAACGUAUGUGAUAAUCAAGAAAAACAGACCAUCGAUCACAGUUUAUAAAUCUCAAAUAUAACUUCAUACUUAUGAAAUCAUAAUCAAGUCACUGAAAACUUCGAAUGAGUCACCCAGACAUCUAACGACUUUUCUAAAUCAAAUCUCAGAGAUUCCCAAAACUAUCGUUCACAAAUACACUAAAAACUAGGGCUAGAGUGACACAGUUCAGCCAAAGCCUACAUAAGUAACCAAAUAAGAAGUGGCCCCCCAUAGCGGAUUAACCAAGCAGAGCCACUCCUGAGAAAGUAACCAAGUAGGUAGUGACCCCCAUCACGGAUUAACCAAGCAGAGUCACUCCUACGAAACUGUUAGGUAGUGAUCACCCAUUACGGAUUAACCAAGCAUGAUCACCCCUAAGCACGUAUGGCCAUACCUAAGAAAUAAGGAUCGCCCAUCGCGGAUUAACCAAGCACGAUCCAAAAAUAUUAUGGGUCCCCUAUCGCCGAUUAACCAAGCAUGACCAUCCAUGUACCACUGCUACAUGGUGUAAAUUCGGUGUCACCUAACCUCGUGACACUAGGGUAACGGUCCUCUAGUAGCCCUCACGUUUUUCAAACAUUUCAAAUAUAUAAUUUAAAACACAAUUCAUAAACAUUUCGAAUAGGGAAGUCACAUAGUGUUUAAUAAUGUAGGUCAAUGGCAAACUUUAAAAACAAUUAUUUAGCAUAAAACAUAUUUUAGAAAUCCAUGCUGUAUCCACAAAGUAUACUAGCACGGGAGAUUUUCAGGGUAAUAACUCUAUCACAUAUAUUAAAGUCACUCACCUGGAGUCCGCACUAACGCACCCUGGCACGAAUAUCAAGACGUCGCGUACUAUCAUCUGCAACAUCCCACAUCGACCAACGAAGAGGGGGUGAUGUGCCUUCUAUGUACAUGCCCACCUCCAUAGCAUGAGGCAUUUUGGGAGCUCACUGGCUUCAUAUUCCAUCGGAACUCCAAAGUUAAGCAAGUUUGGGCGAGAGUAGUCCCAGGAUAGGUGACCCAUUGGAAAGUUAUUGUGUGAGUCCUAGAAACAAAACCGUGAAGGCGUGGCCCGAGGGGGCCCAAAACGGACAAUAUUGUGCUACGACGGAAUCGAGACUGAGAUGUGACAGAAUGGUAUCAGAGCCACUCUGCCGUGUGGUGCGAGUGUGCCGACGAGGACGUCGGGCCCCUAAGGGGGGUGGAUUGUAACAUCCCACAUCGACCAACGAAGAAGAGGUGAUGUGCCUUAUAUGUACAUGCCCACCUCCAUUUAGCACGAGGUCUUUUGGGAGCUUAUUGGCUUCGGGUUCCAUCGGAAAUCUGAAGUUAAGCGAGUUCAAGCAAGAGCAUUCCCAGGAUGGGUAACCUACUGGGAAGUUCUCGUGUGAGUUCCCAGAAACAAAACUGUGAGAGCGUGGCCAGGGCCCAAAGUGGACAAUAUCGUGUUAUGGCGGAGCCGAGAUUGGGAUGUGACAUUGUCACCUAAGACAAAGUACAGAUCCACAUUUAGAGUUCUUCAAGUAUUCACAUAAUAAAAAAUUUCCAUACGCCCCCUACAACUAAUGAACAGAAAUCGAGACACGUUGACAAAAAGUCAACCGUCGAUCAACGGUAGGGUCCACAACCCUACAUAACUCGAUCCGCAAUAUCCAACCACUGUAUUUGUGAUUCAUAAGUUCAUAAGGUCUUCAAAUCCUACCUACAAUAACAUACUAAACUUUGGUGAUGAUCUAAUGGUCGAAUCAUCAUUUGCUAUAAUGUUCAAAUGACGCAAAUUCAUCAAUCAGAUGUCAAAUAUGGAAUCAGACAUCGAAUUUAGCUUAGGAAUGUCAAGUGGUGUCUCGAGCACGCACCGCCGUGCGCAACAGCUGGCAACCUAGAUUCGUCGGAAAAAUCACCUAAUUCCAAAAUGAAUGUUGUGAGACGUGGAGUAAAUUGUAUACCUGUGAAGAAGCCCAAUUUGGCCGGGAAGUGGCCUGAAAUCACUUUAGACCGUCGGAAACCCUAAAAUAGGUGAAUCUCGAUUCGUCAUCCCCGGUAUUCCACCGUUCUCAAACUUGUUUAGGGUUUGCUCAUGGUCUCAAAAGAAUGCUAAUGAUGGUGGUGAUUGAAAGAGAACGUUUCAGAAAUAGUGAAUCACCAAUGAGGGUUUCACGAAACCGACAUGGGUGUUCCUCGUGGAACCAAGACCAAAUCUCAACGGUUUUGGCUAGAAAUGGAUGCUGGGAUGUCAUGGUGAAGUUUGGUAGUGAUGGGAGGUUGAAGAAAGACAAAAAAAAUCGACAAAAAAAUCGUCGUCGGAGUCGCAAGAAACGAGUUAGAAAAAUGAGUCGUCGGGUCUGAAACGUCGAAGGCUUUUGAGACAACUACUUACUCUCUCUUCUCUGAUUAGUCACUCCACUCACUCUCUCAUUUGAUUGGUCCAGCCUUCCCACAUGGUGGGAGUUCCCUCAUAUAGUAACCCAAAAUUUACUAUUUAAAUCUGGUAUUGAACGUCCGUAACUUUUUCGUUAUGGUUUCGAUUCGCAAACGGUUUUCACCUAUGCGCUCGUAUGAUCGAAUUAUACUCAAAAACAUUAAUUAUGACCUCGAAAAGGUCUACGAGUUUUAAAAGAUUAAUUACAAAAAUUCACACCUUGUAACUAUACGAUUCAAAUCCUAAAAUUAACGGAAUUAAAAUAAACUAAAAAUAAUGUAAACACGAAAUACAGACUUUAAUAAUGAAAUACGUAAUUAAUAGUGGAAUUCCGGGGAUGGGAUUUCACAACUUGCGUCCGGACCUUCAAUGCGGAUCAAAAUCCAAAGGUCGUGAUCUGACGAGCUCAUGCAUAGAACAGAGUUGUUGUGACCCAAUGCAAUUCAAAACUUUUAUGUUUUUUUAUUUACUGGGUACGUUUUUUAUUUACUGGGUACAUUUUUGCAAGACGUUAAAGAAAGCGCUUCUUGGGAGGCAACCCAUGUAUUCAAAAAAGGAAGAUCUAUGAAUCGCUCUACAAUUAGUUUUGCGUUUCUAAAAACCUUCCCUUUUCUGCAUUUCUAUUUUGCCAUGAUUGUCAUUUUUUAUUUUUGUUGUUUAUUUAAUUAUUUUUGGGUGUGGGUUUAUUUUUGAAACAUUGACAGAUAUGCAAGAUAUUCUUACAUUCAUUUUCAUGAAAAAAAGAAAAGGGAACAUUAAGCAGGAAAUUACAAGAGGGAGCCUUCACAAAGGCUGCUUAGGAGAAGUCUCAGUAGUCGGCGGAGCCCCAGAAGAAGGAGGCAGCGGAGGUUGAUCAUUUGGAGCUUCAGUACGCGGUGCAGCCCCAGAAGACGAAUGCAAAUGUUGUUGGAACAAACCCACAAACCGCUGAUGAUCAAGUAAAAUCUGACAAUCAGAUUCCUGCAUCUGGUCAAUCUUCCUCUUCAUGUUUGUAGCAUAAUUAUGUGCGAGCCUGUGCAACUGUUUAUUCUCAUGCUUAAGCCCUCUAAUCUCCUGCUUAAGACUCAUCACUUCAGCCGCCAAUGAUUCAACUUGACGGGUUCGGGCAAAUAGGCGUUGGGCCAUAUUAGACACGGAACGUGCGCACUGCACACUGAGAGCUAGAGAAUCCUUUACAUCCAACUCAUCAGACCGUUUGGCAAGUAGUCUAUUAUCUUUGGGAGUGACAGGGUUCCUGACCACCACCGCAGCUGUCAUAUCAUUCUUCAUCACCGAAUCCCCAACGAUAAGGGGACCAGUAGGGGAUAUGAAGGAUGGGCGCCAUAUGUUGUCUGGAGAAGGCGGGACUGCCUCUUCACCAAGGUUCAAGUCAAAACGACGAUCGGAUGGGCCAAACAUUUUCACAGGUGUUAAAGAAAGAAGAGGUCGGACAAGUCAAGAUCGUAGAAGUGCAAGAUGAGAGUUUUUACAGGCAGAAAUUCAAGUGUGCUUUGAACGUCCUACGUACUUCUAUAAAAAUCAGCACUCGAUGGGAUUUCAGAGAUCGAAGAGGCAAGCUCAGAAAUCGAAGAGGCCAACUAAAAAAAUUAAAGAGGCGCUAGCUUUCUCAAAAGCUGAGCUUGCUCAGAAACCACGGCCAAUCUUCUUUUCCAGAUUUGUCCGCACUUGUCACAUGCAACUCGACGGGAUUUCAGAGAUCGAAGAGGCAAUUCCAGAUAUCGGAUAGGCAUCUGCUUUUGCAGACGUGUCAACAUCUGUCACAUGCAGAGUAAGCUUUGCGAAAAUCACGGGCAGUUUGUGAAGCGCCGAUUCCAACCAUCUGCUUUUGCAGACGUGUCAACAUCUGUCACAUGCAUAGUAAGCUUUGCGGAAAUCACGGGCAGUUUGUCGAAGCACCGAUUCCAACCAUCUGCUUUUCCCGACGUGUCAACAUCUGUCACUUGCAGAGUCAGCUUUACGAAAAUUACGGGCAAUCUGUCGAAGAUCUCUUGUGAAGUUUACUAUUAAAUCAUCCAACGGUUGCUGACAAGAGUGAAAGAAUAGUACCGACUAUUAAUUCCUAUAAAUGUCAUCCUUCACCCUCAAUUGCAAGGCAGACAUACAUAACCCCCUUCUUCUCAGAAAAUGCCUUUCCAACACACCCUCUCGAGUCACUCAGUGUUCCUAAUUCCUUGGGGUACCUCUGCAAACAACUCAUCCAAAGCAAAAGUAUUUCAUAUCAUGAAGGUUGAAAGCAAGAGUAUCUCAUAUCAUGCUUUCUCCCUGUCCUUCUCCUUGUCUUUGUUUUAGGACAAGGAGAAAGAGAGCAAUCAGCCAGCACUUGGUAUCAAUCUUCCGAUCUGGAACCGACUGCCUGGAACCCCUUCCUGAUUGCUUACCUAGCCUUGCUCUCGAGAACUCAUCUUCAUCAUCUUAUGCUUCCUCUUCGUCUACCACAUCUGCCUGGGGAACAGAUAAGGGAAGUGAAAAUGAUACCUCGAAGCAUGUGGAAACAAUUUACCAAUUCAUCCUUAGCUAGGGACAAGGAGAAAAAAAGCAAGAGGUGGGCACUUGGAAAGAUUGAAGAAAGAAACAGACCAACACCUCUACCUCAUGCCUGCCCGCCGUGCAGAAGAAUCAAGCAGAGAAGAAUACAGACUGCACAAUCAAAUCAGGGAACUCUCAUAUUUCUCGCUCAGAAUUCCAAACCAGUUCAAGAUCAACGCUGUGGAAAGUCAACAAGAUCAUCUAUCUCCAAAACCAGAUUUGCGUUCUUAAACUCUACUCUGUCUGGUUUUUACUUUGCUAUACUUGUCAUGUUUAUUCGUUGUUUGUUUGUUUGCUUGUUGUUGUGUGAGUUUAUGUUUAAAACAUUGAGGACAAUGUUUGAUUUAAGUGUGGAGGGAUAACCAUUGUUUUGCAUGAAAUUCGUAGGAGUUUAUCACCCAUUACUUCUAGUGUUGUUCCUUGCUGUUUUAAGUGUUUUAAGCUGUUUUGGAGUGUUUCAGUGUGUUUUGACAUAAAAAUCCGAAAAUCUCAUAAAAAUUUGAAAAAUUGUUUUGAAAAACCAAAAAAGAGUUGUUUUUGUAUGUUUAUUUGUGUUUUAGGGUACCUUCCAACACAAUGAUGAGGAUUUGGUUUUUAAUUACAUGACUGUUAAAGAGAAUUAUAAACAUGGAUGAAAAUUUGAUUUACUCUUUGGUGUAUGCUUGGUUGUGGUUAUAAUUUAUGAAUUCACAUGCAAUCAUAAAGGAAAAAUCAAUUUUGUAACAUGCUUGAAAGAAGGAACUCAAAUGUACGCUACAACCUUGUGAGACUUGAGCCUAGACGUUUAUUUGGAGAGUUAAUAAUGUGCAUUUUUGUUUUCUAAAGUCGUUGUAUGAUCUCAUUAUUCUUUGCUUGGUUGCUACCUAGAAUGCGUUCAUCAUUAUAGAUCCACAUACUAGAACUCAUGCCCGUUCCAUUCAAAGCAUGACAUUAAUUUGCAUAACACAUAUCCAAGAUGAAGUUGUUUAGUGAACCAAAGCCAAAAUAGCCGAACCCACCUUUGUCAUUUGUUUUGUAGGUUUAAACCCCGUUGAGCCUUGUUUAGCCUAUUUUCUUUGUUAAACCACAUCAUCUCUACCUAACCUAGAAUAGGACUAUCCAUACCCUUGUUCUUGAAGUAUAGUGGAGCAUAACUUAGAAAGAAUUCAUUUUGAAACUUAUUGGGGGAAUUUAGAUUUCAAAUUUUUUGUGUGCCAAAGAAAACGGCAAGAGAAAAAAUUCGUGAAAAAAAAGAAAAAAGAAAAGAAAAAUUUGCAAAUUUUCCUGUGUUUAAAAGUAGAUGCCUAAAUUAACCCUUACAUUAAUUUUCCUUGAAUAAUUUCUCAUUCCAUCUAAUUUAGAUCCAUCUUGCUCACUAUUCUUUUUAAAUUUGUGGAUUUUGAAAUUUCAAAUGAGAAUGAAAUUGGAUGAGUUCAAUUUUCGUUUAAUUCUUACAAUUAAUAAGAAAUUCCGUCGAAAACAUUUUGAGUAUUGUUUAAUUUUUCAAUAUUACCGUAUUGUGUCAUUGAAAUAAUUAUCAGAGGAAUUAGGGAAUUCUCUUAAGGAACAACUCAAAAUGUAGUACAUGAUUAAAUAAUUCCUUUGAAUGGUCAACUAUGAUCAACAUAUCUUGUAUCAGAUCUUAGUCAAAUACCUGUUAAGAGUGUAAAUUUCUUGUGUGAAAAUGAGUGUAUCUAGUAAUUUUGGCAUUAGGAUGUUACUACAUUCUCAAAAUGCUGUUUUUUGAUUAAAUGAGCUGUGAGGUACUAAUCAAAUAUGCUCGAGGGUAAGAAUGGCUUAAAUUAUGUGAGUGGUGAUCUGGUUCAUGUUUCAUUAAAAAUCCCUGAGGCAAAUGUUGGAAGAUUUAGGUUAUGUUUUGUUUGUUUCGUUUGUUUUGUUUUGCUCGAGGACUAGCAAAAGCUAAGUGUGGGGAAUUUGAAUUUGAUAGGAGCAUUAUUAUGCGACUGAGUUAGCUUGUUCUCAUGCAUUUAUGUUGUUAUUUCUUAGUUAAUUAUGUAUUUUAAGCUAUUUUCGUGUGUUUGUAGGUCCAUAGGCCUUAUAAAGCAAUAAGGUGCAUUUUGGAGCAGUUUUGGGCUUGGAAUGGAUAGCACAUGCAUGGAGUAAGGUGAUGGACGAAAUUGAAGACUAAAGAGGCUUGGAAUGUGUUAAAAAGAAAGAAUAAUUAAUGACAAAGAGCUCAGCAACCAAACAGGGAACAUGAGUCAAGAUUACCUUAUUUUGAUUUAAUCUUUCCUAAUCUUCAAUGUCCCUAAGUUCCAACAACAUUCCUUGUCUAUUUCAUUCACUCAUUGCCUAGCACCACCCUUGUUCCCUCCAUCAUUCCAAAUUUCUUGCAUCAAUCAUCACUCCACCUUAACCCUUGACUCAUUUCUACACCAUUCCACCUCCCUUUCCUUUCUCUACCAUGUGCACAAUCAUUCAUGUUCCCUACUUGCAUUCAUUGUUGCAACACCACUCCAUUUUACCCCUCAUGCUUUGCAUCAUUACUUCACUUUCACCUUUGAAUCAUUUCAACACCACUUCAUUUUACCCAUGGUUUGCAUCAUUACUUCACUUUCACUUUCACCUUUGCAUCAUUACUUCACUUUCACCUUUGAAUCAUUUCAACACCACUCCAUGUCCCCCUCCAUUGCCUUGCCCUUCCUCUAUAAAAGGAAGUGUGUGUAACAUAAAUUUAGUUCAUAUAUUUUUUUAGAUCAUUCACUCCCAUUUCAAUACAACCUUCAUCCAAACACAUUCAUUCAUCUUCACAUCCAUUCCUCCAUACAAACAAACCUUCAAACACUCACCAACACCUUGUGCCAUAGCAAAGGAAGGAAAGGAAAAUGCUUGGACGUGCGUGCUGUCAACUUGGAUCGUUGGAGCGUUUAGGUGUUUUCUUUCUUUUGUUUCCAAUGUUAAAUUCAUUUUCUGAUUUUGUUGCAAUUAUGAGUGGCUAAAACCCUAUUUAGUUAGGGGGAAGUUUGAAGCCAUGAACAUGCUUGAGAUAUGAAUUGAUUUCUUCCAAUUGUGAUUUGAUAAGUUGUGAUUGCAAUUCAAUUAUCUAUUUUAUUCAUAACUGAUUCUUGUAUGUUUAUUAAGGAUGCAUACUUAAUUUUCAUGCAUGAAUUAGAUGCUAGAAUAUAAAUGAGUUUCACCUAAUCGUUACAAGUUUAUAUUCAUGAGUAGUGAAGGUUGUUUAUCACAAUCUGACACACCCCGUCCCGAAGGAGGGCGUGCUGGCCGUCACGUGAGAGUGACGUAACCAUUUACACAGUUCGGAAGCUUUAAAAAAAAAUUCCAAUUACUAAUAUAACACACCCGAGGGUGAGUCCUACUUUUGUGAAUUCUGUCAGAACACCGUUGGAUUCCUCGUGGCCACCAAAGCUCUGCUAACUUGAACCUGGGGCGCAAAACAAAAGCUUGAACUUGAACCUUUCAGGCGCAAAACAAAAGUUUUUUCGAAAACUUUUCAUUUAAAACAUUUCUAACCCCUCACUGUAAAACCUGUAUACUUUCCCAGAAAAUAGUGUAUAUAUAAACAUAUAUAUAAGCAAAAAUCUCGAAUCUCAAACCUUUAACACUUUUCAGAAAUAUAUAUAUAUAUAUAUAUAUAUAUAUAUAACCAUUUGAAAUCUCAAGACUUGAAUCCCAAAUCUUUAACAUUUUUCAAGAAAAGCAUGCCAUGCCAUAAAUCAAAAAUAUAAAUCAGGUGAAAUAAGGAAUCAAUCGGAGACCCUGCAGUUGGUCCUAUACGAUUAAUUCAAUAGCUCAUUAUCUCACUAAGCCGGAGUCACCACAGUAACCUAUACGGCCCUACUCUGCACAUCACUCAGAACUACGUAAGGUAGUCUAUACGAUGAAAGGUGUAAAAAUACGCUCUAGUGCUUCUCUCAUCAUAUCAUCAGCGCGCAUAACUAAGAUCACCCACUAGUCGGAAUCACGCCUAGUGAUCUAUACGACUAGCAUGUCGGAACCCUCACAUGGUCUGUACGACAUCCACCUACUUGGAUCCAAGGCGAGCGUGCGGUGUGGUGAAUAAAAUAAGCACUAACACCUAGGGUGCAGGUUAUGAGCUUAAAACAUCUUAUCAACAAUCAAUUAAAUGAAUAAAUGAACUCACCUGACUUACCUGUGCCUCCACCGCACCAUGCAACAUGUAUGCAUCAAAUAUCAAUUCGUAUAACUCAUACGCAAUUCACAUUUUUCAAUUAAUUCUAUGCAUGGCAUUUUUAAAACAUAUUUUCAUAUAAAUUCAUUUUAUGGGAAAAAUCAAUAGUAUAAAGGUAAUACAAAAACAAAACUGCCCACUCACCUGGAGUUCGCCCAACAACUCCCUAGCACCACACAUCAAGGCGUCAUGAAGAUUAGUGCCUAGAACAAUAAUCAAACCCAACCUCAGAAAUCAUGCCGAUAGAAUACAUAACUUAUAUAAGACGCGUCCCUACGUAGUUCGAUCCGGAUGAUCUGCAACUCGGAUUUCAAAUCCGUAACUUCCAGAGGUCCACAAUAUACCUCUAGGACAACAUCCUAAAAUUUCAUUACCAUCCAACGGUCGGAUCUCCGUCAAUUUCCAAAACUAAGUGCCGGUUAACAUUCUAUUUUAUGAACUUACAACUCCAAUUCCGGAAGAUCCGUAAAUCGGAUUCCCAAUCCGUAAGUUCCUAUAAUCCUCAAAUAUUACGUAUUACAACGUAUCAACGUUUGGUGACGAUCCAACGGUCGGAUCGUCAAUUCACAUUUUCACCUAACUACGAAUCGUAACCAACUUAGGUUCAAUUACUCAAUUUACGUCCAUCAAUUAUCAAAACUGAACCUAGAGCCUUAAUCACAUGCUAAUAAUGACAUUGGCGGGCCAUUGGCCAUGCGCCGCCGCGCGGGCCGCCGCGGGUGGCGGUUGGCCGCCCCCGGCUCGCCGGAAAAUUCAACUAUUUCCAAAAAUUACCAAAAUUUGCAGAUUUGAAGAUAUCAAUGAGUAGAACAACUUUCAUACCUGUGGCCAAGGCCAAUUUGGCCUGGAAGUGCUUCAAUUUCACCAAAACCGUGAAGAACCCUAGAAUUAGGUGUUUCCAAUUCGACCUUCAAACUUGUUCCAACGCCUCAAUUACCUCUUAGUAUUUGUUCUAGGUCCUAAAGGAAUGCUAAUGGUGUUAGUAAUUGAAAGAAAACAUUUCAAAAUUUCAAGAAUUUAAACAAAAGGGUCGCGGCACCCGUGUGGGUGUUCUUCGCGAAAUCACCAUGAAAUUUAAUGAUUCUUGGGGUGAAACGUGAAGAGGGAAGGCCUAGAUGUUGAUUAGGAGUGGUACCUUGACUCAAUUCGUCGGAAAUUUGGACGAAAAUGGUGAGAACCCGCCGAUUGGAAGUCGCGGGUCGCACGGGUAUACGGGUUGGGAAAACCCAUUUCUUCCUUCUCUCCUCCGCUUCUCGCCCUCUCUCCUUUCCUCCUUUCCUUCCUCUGGUUGGUCAGCUUCUCCCUCUCUCUUCUUCUGAUUCGCCUCUCCUCCUUCUUCUCCGAUUGGGCAGUUUUUGCCCAAUCUCUCUUCUUCUUUCUGUUUUCUGGUUCUUCUCACGCGCACACACACACACAACUUCCUUUUUCUCAUCCCAGCCAUCUAUUUCAUUCAUCAUUAAAUCUGGGUCGUCCAUUUUCAUAAAAGAAUUUCUAUUUUACUAAAAUUAUAAUUCCUUAAAAUCCCAAAUUUCAAACGUUAAUAACUUCUUCGAUAUAACUCCAAAUCACGAACCGUCUACGCCCACGCGUCCGUAACGACGAGUACUACGAGGAUAUGUCAAGAAAACAAAUCUUAGAUGGCACGACACAACGAUUAACCUCGAAUGAUGUGCGUGCCUCAAAGGGCAUUUUUGUAAAAUCCUUUAUGAAAACUUUAAAAAUUCUUAAAAUUAGGGACGGGCUGUCACACAAUCGCGUUAAUUGAAUUCUUGGCAAUUGUAUCAUGCAUUCAUAGUUAUAAUUGUCUCGUCAACACUUAUGAUUUUCAUUGAACGUAAUGAUCUCUGAUUGUAUCUCUAUUAUGCAUUAAUAUAGGGGACUUUUAGAGGAUGAUUUGGGUUGUCGCAUGCAUUCAUCCAAUUCAAUGAGUAAAGGAAAAUCUGAGGGUUAAUUUGUGCAUCACGGUUAAUCUGGGUGUUGAGCAUAAUAGUUUAUUGAAAAGCAAUUGGAAAUCGAUUCAUGUACAAGUGUGUCAUGUGUGAAGAACGGACCUCUAACUAAUCCAUCCAUCAUUUUAUUUCUCAAAUUCAUUUUAUAAUCUGCCUAGUUUUAUAACUUGCUUGUUUAUUUCAAAUUCAUCCAAACCAAAAUCCCCUUUUUACUUUCUUGUUUCAAAGUGUUAAAUUUCUGUUUUGUUUGUGUUUUUGAGUGUUUUGAUUCAAGCCAAAACACUAAAUUCAUCCAAAGUUGAUUUAAAGUCCAAAUCUGACUAGUUUGUGUUUUUAGGCAGUUUUGAGUGUUUUUAAGUUGUUUUGAAUCUUUAGAAUCUGUUUUGAGUCCCUUGAGUCUAUUCAAACAUUUUUAAUUUUGUUUUUAUGUUUUUGAGUCAGUUUAAAGGUUUUAGCAAGCCCUCCUAAUCCCCGGUUUAGAACGAUCCCUACUUGCAUUUAUACUACAAUUUGACAACAAGAGGGUUUAAUUUGAGUGCUUAACUUUCAUCGCAUCAUGUGAGUUCCCAGAAACAAAACUGUGAGGGCGUGGCCAGGGCCCAAAGCGGACAAUAUCGUGUUAUGGCGGAGCCGAGAUUGGGAUGUGACAUUGUCACCUAAGACAAAGUACAUGUCCACAUUUAGAGUUCUUCAAGUAUUCACAUAAUAAAAAAUUUCCAUACGCCCCCUACAACGAAUGAAGAGAAAUCGAGACACGUUGACAAAAAAUCAACCGUCGAUCAACGGUAGGGUCCACAACCCUACAUAACUCGAUCCGCAAGAUCCAACCACUGUAUUUGUGAUUCAUAAGUUCCUAAGGUCCUCAAAUCUUACAUACAAUAACAUACUAAACUUUGGUGACGAUCUAAUGGUCGAAUCAUCAUUUGCUAUAAUGUUCAAAUUACGCAAAUUCGUCAAUCAGAUGUCAAAUAUGGAAUCAGACAUCAAAUUUAGCUUAGAAAGGUCAAGUGGUGUCUCGAGCACGCGCCGCCGUGCGCAACAGCUGGCAACCUAGAUUCGUCGGAAAAAUCACCUAAUUCCAAAUGAAUGUCGUGAGACGUGGAGUAAAUUGUAUACCUGUGAAGAAGCCCAAUUUGGCCGGGAAGUGGCCUGAAAUCACUUUAGACCGUCGGAAACCCUAAAAUAGGUGAAUCUCGAUUCGUCAUCUCCGGUAUUCCACCGUCCUCAAACUUGUUUAGGGUUUGCUCAUGGUCUCAAAAGAAUGCUAAUGAUGGUGGUGAUUGAAAGAGAACGUUUCAGAAAUAGUGAAUCGCCAAUGAGGGUUUCACGAAACCGACAUGGGUGUUCCUCGUGGAACCAAGACCAAAUCUCAAUGGUUUUGGCUAGAAAUGGAUGCUGGGAUGUCGUGGUGAAGUUUGGUAGUGAUGGGAGGUUGAAGAAAGACAAAAAAAUCGACAAAACAACCGUCGUCGGAGUCGCAGGAAACGGGUUAGAAAAAUGAGUCGCCAGGUCUGAAACGUCGAAGGCUUUUGGGACAGCUACUUACUCUCUCUUCUCUGAUUAGUCACUCCACUCACUCUCUCAUUUGAUUGGUCCAGCCUUCCCACAUGGUGGGAGUUCCCUCAUAUAGUAACCCAAAAUUUACUAUUUAAAUCUGGUAUUGAACGUCCGUAACUUUUUCGUUAUGGUUUCGAUUCGCAAACGGUUUUCACCUACGCGCUCAUAUGAUCGAAUUAUACUCGAAAACAUUAAUUAUGACCUCGAAAAGGUCUACGAGUUUUAAAAGAUUAAUUACAAAAAUUCACACCUUGUAACUAUACGAUUCAAAUUCUAAAAUUAACGGAAUUAAAAUAAACUAAAAAUAAUGUAAACACGAAAUACAGACUUUAAUAAUGAAAUACGUAAUUAAUAGUGGAAUUCCGGGGACGGGAUUUCACACCUUGCAUCCGGACCUUCAAUGCGGAUCAAAAUCCAAAGGUCGCGAUCUGACGAGCUCAUGCAUAGAACAGAGUUGUUGUGACCCAAUGCAAUUCAAAACUUUUAUGUUUUUUUAUUUACUGGGUACGUUUUUGUAGGAGGAAAAGGGGAAGUCGAGAGAUUCUUUGCGCAUUAAAGAGGGAAAGAGAGAAAGGGGGAGCUAAGAGGUUCUUCGCGCGUUAAAUUUUUGCUUCUGAUUUUGCAACCUAGAAAUAAAGUAUUUUCUUUAUGGUUUAUGGUUCAAGAAUAUAAUGGAUACAGCCUAAAAAUGUUUCUUUUUUUAUUUUUUACUUUUUUUUUCUUAUGUUGGCUUUUGGUUUAUUUUUAUAAUGCACUAUAUAUUAACUAAAUUUAUAAACAUUUUGUAUCUUUGUUGCAGUCAAAUUAAUCAUAUGGGUCGGCAUGACGAAGUUCGACUGAGACAUACAGAUGUUUUGCAAUCUUAAGUCUAACCUGACACACCCCGACCUCAAUAUCUAGUGGACACCAAAAUUGAGGUGUGAUGGCCAUCAUCCGGAUGGGUGAUGAAACCAUAAUAUGCAUGAAACAUAACUAAAUUAUCAACCAAUAAAAUCUAUUGAAAAAUUUGGCAGAACAUCCCUUAAAAUAGGGAUAUGCCCAAAUUAAAAACACUUGCACAUGAUCAAAAUUAUUCAACACUUCCCCGAAGGGCCACACUUAAUGGGACUUCGACCAUCUAUUACAUGCAUGAGAAUAUGUUCAGAGCAUAAUUACCCAAACACGUCUUAUUAAAAUAUUGAGUAAAUACCAUACAAGAUAGAAUACGUCAGAGCUGUUGCAAAAUACCUCAAUGUCCGAUGUAAUCACUGAUAGAAUUACUGAAUCAUGUAUAGAUGGAAAGCUGAUAAAUACAUGUAAUUUGAGUGGAUACUUACCAGCAGCAUGGAUACAAUAUCAUCCACCGGUCGUAACUAAUGACAAGCUGAGAGUAUAACUGUAGUACCUCUUAUUAGUGCAAUGCAUGAUAUGAAUUCCAUCUCACAUAUAUAUGCAAGCCAUAAUCAAACCAAUAAACAUCCAACAAAAGCCACAAUCCUUUUAACAUUCGACCACAAGAUCAAUUUUCAUAUUUCCCAAACCUAGGUUCCAAAGCAUUGUUUCGAAUUAUUAAUACAAGAAACCACCACCACCUCAAUCAACUCCUAUUCCCAAGUGUAAGCAAUUACUAAAUGCAUCACUUUCGACUCUAGUCUUAAUUAGAUUACUUGGGAUACUCAUUCACACCAUCAGAUCCAAGUACUAUUUUGAUAAACUUUAAAUAGCAUGGUUAAAAUAAAUGAAACACUUUUAGAAAAUAAGUGAAGAUGUUGUUUACAAAUAUAGAUGCAUCUGUAUAUAAAAGCUUUGGCGGUUGAUCCGUAUACACUUCCAAAGAUAUAAGCAAGUUCAUUGGAAUAUACAUGCAUAGUUAAUGUAUUACAGUAUAAUUAAUAAGAAAACAAUUGCAUCCCUUUAAGAAUAUAUAUAUAUAUAUAUAGACACACACACAUACAUACACACAGGCCCUUUAUGCAAAGGAAUUUCCAUUUUUUUUCAAAAAAUGGGGAUUAGUUGUGGGGCCCACGUUGCAUUGAACUUUAACGAUCCGAACAGUCUAUUUUGUAAGUCUCGAUUCAUAUAUCAUCCUUGUAAAAAUUCAAUUCAAUCCGAACCCAUUUGCCUAUUUAAUUAUCAAGAUAAAAUUUUAUUGUUUCUUAUAUAACAAAGUAUUCGUUAAUUUCUUUGAACUCAAUUAGAUAUCUUAAACAUUUCCGAUUUGGUUAAUAUUUUGUAAGGAUGAUCUAUGUGGUGCAACUUGAAAAAUAGACGAUUACGAUCGUUAAAGUUCGAUGUGGUGUAAACCCUACAAUUAAUCUUCAUUUUUAUAAAAGAAUGGGAACCCCUUCCCUUAAAGGUUUCCUAUGUAUAUAUUUGUUCUCCAGACAUAUGCAGAAGGUAAUGUAAAACUAAUGAGAACUUAAAUGGAUAUUCCAUACAUAGGACAAUUCCAUAUAUGCUUUUUCAACAUUUAUAUCGAAAAGCCAAAUUGUUUUGAGGAAAUUAAUUGUAGCAAUGAUCCCUUAACUUUUAUCUUAUUGGAACAAUGGUCUCUCAACUAAAAAUUCAUGACCAUUGGUUCCUUAACACCACACAACGUGUAGUUAUGGUCAUUUUCAUUAACUCCGUCAGAACUUUUGUUAAAACAAGUAAUGUUAGAAGAAUCAUUGCUACAAUUAGGUUAAAGUUGGGGACCAUUGCUCUAAUUAAAUUAAAAUUGAGGGAUCAUUUCUCCAAAUUGCUUAAAGUUCAAGGACCAUUUCUACAAUUUUCUCAUCUAGUUUCCCAUAUUUACCCCAUGAUUCAGCUUCACAUGCAUUGCACAUGACUCAUUUUGACAAAAAAUUUAACAAAAUUGACGAAAAUGACCAUAAAUGCACGUUUUGAAGAGUUAAGAGACCAAUGGUCGUGGAUUUUAGUUGAGGGAUCAUUGCUCCAAUUUGGUUAAAGUUGAGGGAUCAUUGCUACAGUUUUCUCAAAUGUUUCGUAUGCGAAAAUAGGCAUUUGUAAAGUUUGGCUUGUUUAUGGCAUUAUUACUUUAGUCUAAAGUAAGGCUGGGAAUGGCACUGUAGAAAUGAAUAGUGUUCCAAUCCGAAUUUCAGUUUAAUUACAACAAUGCCAUUGCUCUUUGUGUUGCCUUUAGGUGAGCAGCCCGGCUUGCAGUCAGGCCCAAAUGUAUUGGUUUUAGCUGAGAAGCCCGGCCCUUGGUCAGGCCCAAAAUUUUAAAUUACAGUUUUGCCCAUACAAAAUAACAAUCCGAUUGUAUCGGGAAGGACAAUUUUGUCCUUUCAGUUUUGGGUGAGAUAAGGGGUAACAGGGUAAGUUUCAUUUGCUGUCGUUUAAUGAGGGUUUCGGGGAUGAGGGCUCUGUGUGUGUGUGGAUGAGAGAGAGAGAGAGAGAGAGAGAGAGGGAGAUGGCGAUGGAAGGAGAGCGAGGGGGAAGGGAAGGGUUCUCGGCACUGUUGCUGCAUGUGGAUUUCACAUGUGGGAGAGUGGGUAUGGUCAGAGAAAACCAUAUAGGUCAUUGGGAUUUCAGGGAAACGGGGUAGGGGUCAUGAAUGAACUCUGCUGAGAGUGUGGGUACCGGAUCUUGCGCUGCAUGCCUCAAAUCAAAGAUAAGUUCGUUUUUUUAUUGUAUUUUUUGUGGUAGCUUAGCUUUUGGAAUUGUUUAGUAUGUUAGGUCCGAUUUUGGGGGAUUUAUCUUUUUAGAGAGAGAGAUGGACAGGGAGAUAGAGAGAGAGAGAGAGAGAGAGAGGAGGAGGAAGCAUGACUGUGUGCAAUUUUUGGUGUUAAUUAAUGGGUUGGUGCGUAGGGUGAGUGACAGAGUGACAGAGUGAAGGAGGGACGUGUGGGAGGGUAUGAGUUUUCAGUUCUUUCUUUUGAUUCAACAGGUUAUACAUUGUUUGAAAAACCUUUUUUUAUUAUUUUUUUCUCGUUUGCUUUGUUAAAACCAUCAUUUGAAUUUUUGGGUUUCACUGUGUUCAUUUCUCUGCUUCUUCAUAAUUUGCUGGUGUUUGCUUUUCAUCCCUCUAUUGGUAGAUCUUUUUCUCAUUUCUUGGUUCCUUAUGUAUUCUUUGGUACAAAUCUAUUUACUUUUUGGCUGUGUGAUAAUCUUAGCAGGUGAACUAUAUGAACGUUUUUUUUGAAACGAGUUAAGAAGAUCCAGCUGAAAAGAGCAUGCAAGAUAGAGAACUGGUAUGCUGCUCGCCAGGGAAAGGCUGCUGGAGAGGCUGAGACGGAUGCCUCCUUCAAAAACCAGGUCAGUUUCCUGCUACUCGGCGUCUUAAUGUAUCCAAAUUGUUUAUCUUUUGAUGAAAUUAGCUGGCUUUAUUUUCUAUUUUAUUUAUCUGCAUAUUAUUUUGGUUUGUUGAAAUUUUGACUAUAGUCAUUGUGUCACAUGGGCGCCCAGCCCAACCCAAAUUAGUUGAGGAUAUUUAAAUCUUCACCAUGGUAUUAUAGUACUCACUCACAGUUGUGAAUACUAAGGUGCAGGCAUGGCAUGAAGAAGUGGACCGUGCACGCCAAGGUCAGAGGGAUGCAGAGGGCAAACUUUUUUCUUUGGAGGUAAGUAUCCUUUGUUUAUUGCCCAACAGUGUUGUUAUUAUCAAUUUGUAGCUUUGCGUUCUGAAUUUUUUGCUUUGUCAAACAACCUUUUUGAAAUGCUCGAUUUCAAGCCGAAGUCCAAAAAAUGAGAGUUGAGAUGGCUUCCAUGAAGAGGGAUGUAGAGCAUUACUCGCGCCAGGUGAAAUCUGCUUCCUCUCUUUUCGUAUAUCUUCAUAUGAAGAGUUUUACUAAGUUAUAUUGAGAACUAUGUUAUUUAUAGGUUAUAUUUUCCAUUUUGCAAGAACACAUGGAGCUAAGGAAGAGCUAUCGUGAACUCACUGAUCUACUGGUAAUGUCACUCAAACUGCUUUAUUUGUGCAUGCUGCUACUAUGCGCUUGAAUGCAUUUUAUUACUGGCGGGAUGCGAAGAAUGCUAGAUAUAUGUGCUGGAUCGCUUGAUUAGUGUUAGGGUUUUAACAACUAAUUGUUAGCAGCUAGAAGCUCUGGUUAGAUGAAUGCUAAUUUGAUUUUCCUUACAGUACUUGAGUGCCAGUUUCAUAUUGUUUGUUCCCUGCUGGAUACAUGCUGUACAGUUUCAUUUCUGUUUCUUCAUAACUUUCUUGGCCCUGCGAUAUAUGCAUAUUGAGUACAAUGAAUAUCCAUUGUUCUCUAACUGUUGGGCUUUACUAUCUUUGUAGCAGCCUGCCUAACAUUUUUUAGGCUCUACACUCUACCAUCCAAUUUAUGAAAAAUUCAAAGAUUGGACGGUAUUGAUUGCAUAAAUGAAAAAAAUACUAUGAUAUUAGAAAGGUGAAUGUAAUUGUGUUAGAAGAAGCGUCUAGCAUGAUGGGUAAUAUUUUAAGUUUGUAUUUCUAAAAUUUUUUCGUUCUGGAGUAUGAUUUACCUCAAUUGUUUUGUACUUUAAUCUUUACUAAUUUUCAUUGUGGAGUAUGAUUUGCCUCAACUAACAACUUUUCAUUGUUUAACUUUUUCCUCCCUUAGAUAGUUGCAUAUGUUUGAUUUGUUAAUCUGCUUCUUACACAUGUUGUUUCCUAAUGGUGUAGGUGGAUUGCCGGAUGCAUGUGCAGAUUACUUGAAUAGACGAAGCUAAGAAUGACUUAGUAUUAAGUGAGAAAGAAGCUUGGGUCAGUUGGAUUUUGACAUUUGAUUUAUUCAUGUUUUUUUGUUGCUUGCAAUGUUCUCUCAUUGUUUGUUCUGAGAUUCUGUGAUCUUAUUUUUCAUAGGAACUGACAUUGGUUUGCCAUAUAAUGUUUCAGGAACUAAUACAACAACUAAUCACCUUGCUUAGGUCUCAAGACACAUACUUAACAGGUUAACAAACGCUAACCUAUAAACUUAUCUACUAAGCUGGACCAUUAACCUCUGUUUAUAUCCCUGCCACUCAUCUUUUGGCACUUAUCAAUAGCAAAAUCUAGAGUUGUUGAAACCCCAAUUUUAAUGAAUAUUAUUUUUAGUUGAUAAUUAAAAUUAAUUGAUGAUUAAUCUAUUCCAUUGUGCAUUAUUUUAUCGCCAAAUACUUUGAAUAUUCAUUAGCAAAAGAUAUAGGGUUCACUAUUUAAUGAAUAGAAUUUUGAUGGUGGAUUGCAUUUCCUGAGUUAUAAAUGUGGUGAAUCCAUUAUUUACUAGCUGAAUAAUCAUAAUGUUUUGGCCACUUACCUUGAAUUUUGUUCAAAUUGAAGAAGUCACAUGUUUCUUUCUGUUGUUGAGGUAAUCUCUCUGUUGAAAGCUUCUAUUUCUUUUUUCUUUUUCUUUUUUUCAUUUGGGUAGAUUUUUUUUUUAUGGAUUUAUGUAUUUUUUUUCUUCAGAGAAUUCGAAAUGAAAUAAGAAUAGCGGAUUGAGCAUAAACAAAUUGAUGAAAUUUUUAUUUGAGUGUUUGUGUUGGUCCUUUUUUGAUUUGUUGAGGUUUGGAAUUAUUUGAGUUUUUUUGCUGUUAGUACUGUGAAGGAUGCUUGGCAAUCGCGAAAUGGGGGCUACCUCUUUGGAAAGAGAAGUCUCGCUAUCCAACCUCUCAUGAAUUACAAACAGGGUGCUUUCUUGCUGAAAAACCACUGAAUCAGUAGAACUUUCCUCGGUUCUUCAAUUCGAUUCGAAUAAUUUUUUUACCCAGAAAAGCCAGCGUUUCCUGGUGAGUUUUACAGCUUUCUCAAUGUUUUUUUUAUUUUGGAUUUGCAAAUUUGUUUUCUGUUCAAAUUUCCUUUUGUGAUUUUGGAGGUUUUGUUUAUCGAUUCUCUCACUCAUCUCUCAGCUCUCUCCCACUUUUGAGGUACAUGUCGUUGGAUUCCGUUUGCUGCUGUUGAUCUGCAGGUAAAGCUUCAAUUACCAUACAAAGUUUACAUUUUUCAUGAUUUCUUGAAUUUGGGUUUUAAACAAAGGAAAUAUUGCUAGAUUCUUAUCUUAUGUGCAAAUUACUGGCUAUUUGGAUUGGUGCUUGAGAUUUAGAGAAUGUCUCGCAGCUUUAAUUUCUUUUUCCUUCAUUAUUACUGUUUUCAAAAUUUUUAUUGCUGGGUAUUGAUAAUUUGUAGUAUGUGAGGGCUUCAAUAUGUUGGAAUUUUGAAUGGUUAUUGCUUCAUCGGAAUUUGGGUGGUCCAAAUUUUGAAUUAGAAGAAACCCAUUUGAUUAAUAUUUUUGGUGGAUUGGUUCUCUGUGUUUUCUUUGCUAUUUCUCCCCCAGUUGGAAAUUGGAAGCCCCAACUUUGAGCUCAGAGCUUGAAUUUCUCAAUCGUUCGUUUCUCUACACUCUCAUCAGUCACUCUUGAUCCUCUAUCUAAAGAACUGGGUAAUUUUCCAGCUCUAUCAAGUAAUACUCAAUUUAAUUGCUUAAUUGAGGUUUUUUGUUUCUCUUUUUCGCUCUUUCAUCAGUUCAUUGGCUUUGAUGUUGAGCUUAAGUAAAUGGGAGAUCAUUAAUUGGCAUUGUUCAAAAUAUAAUUAUGUGUUUUUGGAUUUGUGAAACGAUUUGCCUAAUGAUGAUAGUGGUUAAAAUAAAUUUUUCGUUAUGAAAGAGAACAUUGUUCUUCAUUUGCCUACGGUUUUAACUACAAAGUUAAACUACUAUGCUUUUGUUCAAUUGAUUGCAACUCAUGCCGCAGUUUGCUUCACAAACCUCUAUGGUUAGCUUCCAUACAGUAUGUUGCAAGUUUGAGGAUAUCUUUACAUCUUAAUUUUUGCUCUCUCUGGUUGCUUCAAGUUUGUAAUUUUACGUGUUACAUUGCUACUUGAUUUGAUUAUAAAAAUGCAAAAGAAAAUCCAUUUUGCUUUUAUUCAACUUAAAUGUAUCCUUUUGUUUGUUCAUAAUUGUGUUGAAUUUAUUCAACUUAAAUGUGUUUUAUUCAUCUGUUUACGCUUAAAACAACUGGUUCCCCUAGCAAUGCGCGGACCUAAUUUCUAGUACAUAUACUAAAAGCCAGCAGAAAAUUACUGUUCAUCAUGGGAGAUAGAGCACUGUUCAUUAACAGUGAAAGGGAAAAAAUGCCCUCGGUUUCUUCUUUACUUCACGUACUGUUUACGAAUUGCUACAGUAUAAAGUCCGUUUUGUCAUUCCUGUCCACGCAUCUUUCAUCGUCCGUUUCUCUUGCUUCGACCGCAUCUUUUUCGCUUUACCUUUCCUCUUCGUUUUUCGCCUUCGCUAGGCUGCAAUUUUCGGAGGUGGAUUGUUUGCCCUUCUAUUUCCAUGCUCUCCCCAUGCCCUCCAUUGAUGUGUGGUCACGGUUAAACUAUGUCAACAUUUUAUAUUAAUUUUUUUAUAGAAAUAAUAAAAUAAAAAGUAAUAGGUAUCCAGGAAAUUUUCGUCAAAAUAUCCAGGAAAUAGGUAUCCAGGAAAUUUGCUUUACCGAUAUUUUAAUAGGUAUCCAGGAAAUUUGCUUUACCGAUAUUUCGCCGAUAUUAUCGGUUUUUUGCUUUACCGAUAUUUUAAUAGGUAUCCAGGAAAUUUUCGUCAAAAUAUCGCGAUAUUAUCGAUAUUAUCGAUAAUAUCGCGAUAUUUUAGAUAAUAUCGAGACAUUUUGGUUUCUCGACAGUCAGUCACAAUCUCGCCGGAGAAUCAGAAUAACUCCGAGCAAGAACAAAACCUGCAACCAAACGGAACAAAAUCAUCACUAUCUUUCAACAAAAAUCACCACUUUAUACCAAAAUCAGUGACAAAAUUACACUAAUCCGAGAAGCAAGGGCUUGAAUUCGAGCAAGAUCUGGAAGAAAACAGUAGAAGCUGAGAAAUCGAGUACCUCACCGGCAGUUACAGUGCUAAAGAUCAUCAUCUUUGGAAGGCCGCGGAUCAGACGGAGCUGAGAGAUCAAUGAGUAAGCAUUUCAUAGAUCGUAUUCGAUGAGCAGCUGAAAGAGAGGAGAGAGAAAGCAGAGAGAGACGCGGACGAGGAGGAUCUCGCUGAUGGGGACGACGAAGGAGAGGUAGAGGUCGCGGCCCGCGGGACAUGGUGACGGGCUCGACGAGGAGGAAGGCGAAGGAGGAGCAGAGGAGAUGGGUGCGUGCGUGCUGCGGUGCAGAGAAGAGAGAUGAGGGAGAUAUGAGAGAGAGAGAGCCGAGAGGGAGACAGAAGAAAAAGAAAAGAAAACAGAAAGAAGAAGAAAAGAAGAAGGGAGUCGCGGGGGAACAAAGAGAGAAAAGAGAAAAGUGGAGGGGCUGCCACGUGGCCACUUCAGAAAGAAAGGGAUCCAAUGUUUUGGAUCCUGAUUGGGUAGUCAAAGAGGACCAAUUUGAUAUAUUAAAAUGUUUAGGGGAUAAUUACACAAAUAUAUCUUUAUAAAUGGGGGUGGGUGUUACAUAUUGCCCUAAAAAACUCCAAGUAAUUACAACAUCGUAUUAGAAUUGUAAUUGAUCCUUGUUAGAUUUGGUUUAGAAAUUCUAUGUAAUUUAGUGAUUGUUUCAUAUUAGAUUUAGAUUUGAAUUUUUUACUCCAUUCAGAUUUUAAAUGAUUAUAAUAGAUUUAAAAAUUUACGAACUUUGAUGAAGUUUAAUAAUUUUUAAAACUUUUAUGUAAAAUUUUAAGUGAAUUCCCUCAAAUUUUCAGGUAGCGAUUUGAGAAUGUUUAAAAUAUUAUGUGAAAUAUUUCUAAUUUUUUCGAGUUUCCCAGCUUUUUAAAAAUCUCUUUGAAUCAAUUUCUAAAUUAAUACAUUUGGAAUGUAUGAAUUUCUUAAAAAUCAUGAUCGAAUACCCCUUAAACUUUAAAGAAUCACUUAAAAUCCUAAUUAAAUGCCCUUAGAUUUUUAAGGAGAAUUAAAAUGUUUAUAAGCCCCAAUUGGAUGUACCGCUUAAUUUAACUAAUUGACACAACACAACAUAACCAGUUAAGAUUACAAAUUAACACAAAAGACGACUUGAUGCGAGGUCAUAUCUACAAAACUUGCCGCAAUAAGCCCCAAUUGGUGUGUUUAAACUUCUUUCAUUAAUUACUACAUAUUUUCUACACUCAUAAUGUUUGUCAGCUCGCUAUAUAAUCAACUUGAUAAUGUUAAAUCCAUCAUGCAAUGCAUUUCCUUCCAAUUUUUUGUGAUAAACUAAUAGAUAAUUGACUAAAUAAACAUCCUGCAAAGUUUCAAUAAAAAUUUUCAAGUUUUUUUUACAAUUUCCGUGAUUUUCAUGUAAUUUUUAUCGGUAUCGAUAUUAUGCCGAUAUUUUUAUCAAUAUUUCCGUGUUUUCGAGUACAUAUUUCCGAUAUUACCGAUUCAUCCGCGAUUUUCUCCCUUUUCGCCAGCCCCUCUUUUGCUCUCAAAUCCUUGCUCUUUCUUUUUCAAACUAGUCUCAGAAGAGAUCCUGGGUUUAUCUAAUCCUUUGUUGUUCGGCGUUUUGUUCUCAUCUUGCGAUCGUCGGGGCAGCAGCUUUAAGGUAAGUUUGUUUUUAAUGAUUUAUCCUCAAUUUACGAUGUCUGGGCUAACAAAUUUAAGAUCUUUAUUUUUCUUUUUGCUGUGGAUCUGCAGGUUUUGACAAGUUUUUUGUGAAAUUGGUGCUGUCAGUGGGUGUUAAUAUCAGGUACCCAUGUUCAGUUUUUCGUUUUGAUUUGAAGGAAUUUCUUGCGCAGAAGAGCUAGGUUUCUUGGUGAGUUCUUCGGGUUGUGCAUAUGGGUAAUUUUCUUUUAGGUAUAACCCUCUGCUUCUGCUGCUCUCUCUCUCUCUCAUCCCUGCCUGCUCCUCUCCAAUUGUUUGCUGUUCUUAAAUAUUGUGUUCAUUGCCUGAUACAAGGAGCUGCAGCAAUCUGUUUUAUCCUACACGGGACAACGAGGCAAUGGCGUGACAACAAGUGAGCUUGGAUAUCCAAAGAAAAAGAACAGUUGGUUCAUCUGCUGGAGUCUGAAGCUCAGAGAAGUGGAGGAAAAUUGCAGGUGUGCGAGAAAUUUUAUUUUGCUGAUAGGACUCCUUAUUUACCGAUGCAUUUUGAAUUAAUUGAAAAGUUGGAUUUGAGUUAACAGCUAUAAAAAUGUAGACAUGAUUGCUGAGAUUAUGCUAUGAAAGUGGAAUAAAAAAAUGGUAGUUUAUAAUAUUGCGUACCAAUUUUUUUCUCUCUUUUUUACCAAAUGAUAAGGGUGGUGGCUCAGGCCGCCCCCCUACGCGUCCCCACUCUUCGACAAGUUGAAAUCAUGGUGAUAGUUUAUGGGUUGCGGUCUUGGGAUUCUGCAAAUAGAAUAAAAAACAGACACUUAACUAUCUUGUUAUUAAGCAUUUCUGCAUCAUUCAGUUGCUCUUGAUUUUCGUCUUUUAAGCGCUCUUAUUUCUGCGAUCUGACUUGAGGAGGGGUUUUAGACCUAUGGUUGUGGGUGUUUUGUCUGACCCCAUUAAAUUGGUUUCCGAGAUUUGUAGACUUGCGAUCGGCGGUCAAACAUUUCGUGAUUCUUGCUUUUUUUCCGACUGGGAUUGACGAAUUUUGGCCGAAUCUGUUUCCUGUUUUCUUCUCUGUUUGAGCGGCCGCUGCCUUUCGGUCGUUGAGCGCCGGCAGUCUUUAGAUCUUUGGCAAAUCAAUUUAAUACAACCGAGGUAUGUUUUAUAACUGCUGUCUUUCAAUUUUUGUUCUGUAUUUUUGUUAAUUUGGAUGAAGCUCUAAUAAUUUUGUUUUGGAUCAGUUGUGGUCCUCUGUUAGGAUUUUCCUGGCUAAGAGGGUAUUUGCAUUUUUGUUGCUUGGUUGGUCGAUCCAGUGUAUUAAAAGCGUGAGGCGUGGGCGAGGCGUCCGAGGGAAGCUCGGCCUAGGCGUGAGGCGUGAGGCGAAGCCUCAUGGGACCUAAAUUUUUUAAUAUAUAUACAUUGAGCGUACACAUAUAUUAUAUUAAAAAUAAGAAGAUUAUUAAUCAAUAAUCACCUUGAGCACACACAUAUAUUAUAAAUAUAUACACACACACAUAUAUAUACAUAUAUUAUAUUAUAUAUGCAUAAAAUAGAGGAUGAAAAACACAAUGAGCACACAUAUAACAAUGCACGCAAACAACACACACAUCCAUUAUAUAAAAAUAAAAAUCAGAAAAAAGGCAUAGAGACAAAAGUGCAAGGAAGAUGUAUGAGACAGUUAAAAUCCUACCCAAAAUUUGGGUUUGGGAGUAAAGAAAAAAAAAAAAAAAAAAAAACUCACUGAGGCGCGCCUAGGCGGCUCCGGCGACGCCUAGGCGGCCUUUCGCCCACUCCAGCAAAACUGAGGCGUUAGCCAUGGAGCCAAGCCUCAAGGGCGCCCUAGGCGCGCCUCGAGGCGAGUUUUUUAAAACAUUGGGUCGAUCACAAAUUUACGAACAGCUGUGGUGGUCCUGUUAGAGCCAAGCCUCAAGGGCGCCCUAGGCGCGCCUCGAGGCGAGUUUUUUAAAACAUUGGGUCGAUCACAGAUUUACGAACAGCUGUGGUGGUCCUGUUAUUUUUUUGGUAUGUUUUUUCUCCUUUUUGGUUUUUUCCCGGUUUGAGCACCCAUUCAUGAAGAAUUAAAAUGUGUUUAUAGUUUUUCAGGAGAGAUUAGAAAAGUGAUUUCAAUUUGGGAAAAUUUAAUGUUGGUUAAAAUUUGUUUAUAAUUUUUGGGAAGGAAUGAGAGGACCCAUUGAAGUAUGUGUUGUGAUUAUUUUUUAUUCAUAUUUUUAACAAAUUGGGCAUGAAUUGGUAGGUUAACUGUGUGUGUUUAUUAUUUGAAUCGGCCAUGUUUGUCUUUCUAUGGUUCUAAAAAAUUUGUAAAGGCUGUUAACUUGGAAGAAAAUGGGAUCGAGGGUGAGGGGAAAACAGCAGAGAAAGCAUGGAAGAGAGAUUUGGGAUUAGGGGUAGGAAAACAGAUGAAAAGAAUAUGAUAGAGGAAUGGGUUCAGUUCAUUUUCACUAUUUUUUUUAACUGAUUUGGAUUUUGUUUGGGUUUGAGGCCAUCAUUGGCGUUAAGACGUUUAUUAUCAGAUCGUGUGUGUUUUUUGCUAACUUUUAUUGGUAAUUUUUAUGUUGUUCUUAUGAUUUUGUGUGGUAGGGUUUCUGAAUUUUAUCGUUGUUCAUUUGGUUUUUUCUGAAUUUUAUCUGAUUUUGUGUGGUGAGUUUACAAAAUAAUACUAAAUAAAUUUAUUUGUAAUUUCGGAUGAUUGUGAUUCAAUCCUACUACAAUUGAAAUUCACAGAAAGAAUGAAAAACCAGAACAAAACUGCAGCACCUAAAAAGUUGUCAUACAAAAAAACAUGGAAUGUAAAAAUAUGUUAAGAAAUCUAGUUCGUUAAUUUCCAGCUGGUAAGCGGCAUUAUGUAACUUUAGUAGUAUAACUAAUUAACUACUUAUCUAGUGGGUUGCACUUCUAUCCUUGAUCUCAGUUGUGGCUGCAAAGUGCAGGCCACCACCAAGUCUCAGUGUUUGUGUAUUAGCAAAACACUUAAAUAAAUUAAAUUCUGAAAUGUAAAUUAUAUUCCUAUAACUUUAAGAUGCACAUAUAGUAUUGUUGAAGUCGAACUGAAAGCACUGACAAUUCCAAGCAACAGAGCAGCAAUUAUUAAGAGCCAAAACUCAUUCCUAGUCUCCUCAUCCUGGUACUCUACUCCGUAAUCUUCGUUCAGCAUCAUUGACUGAAAUUAGGAGAGAAAAAGAAAAGGAAUUUCAGAAAUUGUCUAUGAAGCAAAGGAUACUGCAGUUACUUCAAGACAUGUAAAUUGCAUAUGUAUAAAGUAAUUUUCUACAUAAAGUAACGAGGCAUAACUCUCUCUCUCCUCUUCAAACCCUAAACAGAGCAAAGCCACAAACUUUACAGAGAUUAGAAUGAGAACUGGAAUUAAUAGAACAAUGACUGAAAAGUAACAUACUUGAGGAGUGAAUGAUUUAGUGUUUCCAUCAUCGGAAAGCCGGAGUAAGUCGCUAAGAGAGGUCGCAAACAGCCCAAAGGGACAAACCCAGACCCCCGGCCCCGAUCCAUACCCUUCCCCCUCAAAUCCCGACGGCCCCCAUACUUUUCUCUGACUGUACCCCCUCUCCCACUCAUGAAAUCGAGGAUCUGUAGCAAUGGUACUGAGAUCCCCACUCCUCCCCCUCCCUUUCUCUCUGUCACUCUGUCUCCCUCUCCCUCUGUCUGUCUAUCUUUAUCCCAGAGCGGCAUGGCCUCGCAUCCCUGAAACCCUCACCGAAAGGUGGCAAUUUUGUAAAUAACUUGAAAUCCACCAACAGCAGGGGCAGAGAAUUGAAACAGACAUUUAGGCUCGUUCGAUAACCAUUUAGGCCAAAACUGAGCACACCUAAACCAUUCCUACUCGUGCCAAAUGUUAGCGGGGAAGCAAGAUGAUGACUUUAUUGUUCAAAACCAAAAGAAAAAAAGAGAGAAAACAAAAUAACAAAUCUAAUGGUUGUAGUGUAAAAGCUGAGAACGUAAAUAAACAUGCAGGGAAAAAAAUUGAAGAUACAAAGUAGCUGCAUCAUGAAACACUUGCUCCAAUUAGACGCAAAAAGUGAUGGUGAUGAGAAGAGAGAGAAAAUGCAGUCGUUUUGAUUUUUCUGGCUUUUAAAGGGAGCAGCUUUCUUCGACCACCAAAAAAAGGAAGCUGCUUUUCGUGUGGUUGUGAUUUCCUGAGUGUAUGUGAGCGGGUCUAUGGCACUUGCACUUUUUGUGUCGGUUACGGUAACCGGGCGAGGUGGACACGGCGGCGUGGGACUGAAUUCGGAGAGGUGAGAAAAAUUAAAAACACAAAAAGAAGGUGUUCAUUUUGUCACAUUUUUAUUACUAAAAAUUCAAUAAAGUACAUUCAUUAGUAUGGUAACUUAACUAUUUAAUUCCAUCUCAUUAAACUAAAAAAAACAAUUACAUAAAAAUAAGGGAAACCUUGUCCAGAGAGACCUGAGAGAAAGUGACGACUUCUCCUCUCAUUCCACUCCAUACUUGAUCUCUAAAGUCCAUUUGGCAUGUAAUUGAUGUUCAAUUUCAAAUUUAGUGGUAGCAAUUAGCAAAGCUAAUGAAAGAAUAAAAUAAAAUGAAAGAAAAAGCAUCAUGAAAUAAAUCAAGAUGAAGAAUGAAAUUUUGGCAACUCGCCAUUCUCUUCUUUUAUACAAAAGAUACAUCCUAUUUGUAGUGAAAACAGGUCCCGACAAACCCAGUUAUCGUCAAGAAGUAUUUUGUAUGACUUUAAAAACAUAUUCCGAGAAAUUAUCUCUUGGCUGAGAACAACAACAAAUCUUCAUGCAUAGCUUGUAGAGAAAGACAUCAGGCAUACAAAAGAACACGCAAGCAUAAAAUAAACGACGCAGGGAAAACCAAAAAUACAAUUGGAUACGCUGUCAAAAGAACAUAAAUAAAUGAAAAUUACAAAACAAAGAAGUGAUGAGAAACCAAAGUACCCAUUUCAUAAUCUAAUUGCUUUUUAGUUUGCUUGCCAUUUUUAGUUCUUCAAUUUAGAGAGAAACCAUAAUUCAGCACAUGAAUAAAGUGAAAACAUAAAAGAUAUGUGGGAUAAGCUAACAGCCAUCCCUGAGUAAUGCAUUCACUUCUGAACCCCAAACACACCAAAACAAAAAUUCACACACAUGAACUACAGCUCUGCUAUGUAACAAGAAUUAAAAGCAUCUCAAAACAAAAUGGCAAACUAUAAGAGCAAUGUAAAAGUAAAAUUGCAAGAAAUCUAAUACUUGGAGGGCAAGUACUAAUCAGACGAAAAUGAAAGAUUGAACUACCUCGCGUGGAACUGUGCCUUGGUUUUUUCCCAUGCUUACAGGAAGCUUUGCACUGAGCUCUUAUAGCCCAAAUUUUCUCUGAAGGGAAAAAAACACAAUUUUGAAAUAAGAUUUUCAUAUUAUACCUUAAAGAGAAGAAUUAGACAACAAAAAAGAGAACAAUGAGUACUUUUCAUCAUAUAUUGUUAGAGUAUGUGGUCCUCUAGUCCAAUGGUCCUGCAGCCAUAUUUACUUUAUAACUCUUUCUUUAGUCUAAAAACAUCUUGGAUCUCAAAUUAAUAUGAAUACGGAUUCAUACGCAUGCAUUGCAUUACAAUCACAAUGCAACAUCUCAUUAGAAAUCCCCACACAAAAUUCUUUUAUUGCUACUUUGAUUUUAGUUUAUAUUUUUUCUGAAGCACGAGGGAGCUAAUUUUUUUUUAAAAAUUUUUUAUUCCAAUAAUGUUAUAGGGUUGAAAGGAUAUUAUCAAUUUAAUUGAUUGUAUUUGAUUGGUGGAACUUCUAUAUCUAUAUUUCAGGUUUUCAAAUUCAGCACUGGGAGAGUCAUUCAUAAAAUGUUUGACAGUGAGAUUACCUCCAUGGAUUAUGCUCACAAUGGACAGCUCAUUUUCCGCGGUGAUGGGACAAUAUAUUUCAGUCAUUCGCCAUUCAAUCAAUUCAAACCGAGGAACAAGCAACAUCAAGAAGAGGAUCUGCCAUGUCAGGAUCACUGUCGUCCAAUUAAUACAAAAAAUCUAGAUAAAAACGAUCAAUUUACAUAAAAGCCUUUCAUUUUCUCAGCAACCAAGCAAAAGAAAAUACCUAUCCGUUAAACACUCGAUUUGGGAGUAAACGUUGCUGAAACUGGACUUCAAUCCCCUCAACCGCAACAAUCGAAUCGAGGUGUGCAAGUCAUUGAAAAACUCACCCAAGAUUUCAAAAUCUGCAUAAAGAAAUAAAUAAGCACAUAAAUUAGCCAACCCUGUUAUGAUCCCACAUCGGGUACACAAGAAAUUGUGUAGUGGUACUUAAGUGCAAGGGGUCAUCCCACCUAUUGGACUAGUUUUUUGGAUUGGGCUCUUCCCUUGGGCUUGAGUACCUAACAUUGGUAUCAGAGCCUAGGUUCCCGACGCUGCGAGACUUGGCGAGUGGUGCCGCCUCAUGGUGCCGCCUUGGGAGUAUGGGCUCCCAAGGGUCUUGGAGACGGGCAAGGUAUGAAAUGUCGAUAUUAUCGCGAUAUUUCGCCGAUAAUAUCGGUUUUUUGAGUUACCGAUAUUUUAAUACUUAUCCACUGAGUUUUCGUCAAAAUAUCGCAAUAUUAUCGAUAAUAUCAACAAUAUCGCGAUAUUACCGAUAAUAUCGCGAUAUUUUGGAGAUGUGCGAAUCGGAGAAGAAGGCCGGAGCUUCUACAGCUCCUGCCGACUGUAAAAGAGCACCCUAGACUCCGAUCUAGGUAUCAAAAUGAAAUACAAGACGAGAGGAAUGUUUUUAUAACUUCCGUUUGCCGUGAAACGGUCGAAGGUGUUCGGAAAGUUCGUCGACACCCACGGCCUCGCCAGAGAUGGGUGUGCCUAUUCUCGAGCCGAUUUCGUCCCAAAAACCUUGCAAAAACACGAGAUAGAACUUAAAUUUCACAUCUAAGCUUCAAUCUAGAAUAGAAUGAGGUAAACCCGAAGCUUACCUAACCGGAGAAAUUCAAGAAACUCGCCAGAGGGUUCCUGCGUCGCCGAGUUGCAGAGACGAGAAAGAGAUGGAGAAAGACGAGGUUGCUGAUAACGAUGGGUGUCUUCCUCAAGCAGGUGCGAUGGUGUGCGUGUGUGUAUGUGGGUCUCGGUGCAGAGAGAAAGGAGAGAGAUGAGAGUUUCAAGAAAGAGACGGCGCCAACGAGAGCUAUUUGUUUUUUUUUAUCUUAAAAAGAGAGAGGUCUAAGAGAAAUGGGAAGAGAGGGCCGAGUGAAAUGAAAGGAGGUCCUUGAAUUAUUGAGAGAUAUCUCUGAGAGAGGCCUAGGAUUUCUAAAAGGUAAUUAGAAAUGGGAAAAAUGGGGCACAUCUUAGCCUUUAUUUUGGAAUCCUAAGAAGUUCACCACAUGGAUGCAUGACAUGUGUGCAUGCCAUGUCUGUUGAAUGGGAAAAGUCUGACAUGGAAAGACAAAGAGUCGUUUGGUCCUCUGGGCUCGAGGCAAGAUAGAAAGUGCUAGGGUUUUUUUUUCUGAAAUGAACAUAAGCUGCUAAAUUCGCAUAUAUUAUAGUUGUUGCUAAAGAUUGACACUAGUGCGGACUUGGACGUGUUGGUCAACAUGUCCUCACAAUCCCCAAGUUCUCCGGUUCGAACCCUUACGCCCAUCAAAUUUUUCUUUCUUUUCGAUGCGCUUUUUCCAUGGCUCUAGGUCUUGAUUUCGAAUCCAGGUGAGCCCUUUCCUUUUUCUUUUUUUUUUCUUUUUGUUUUAUUAUUUGUUUAUUUUAAUUUAUUUGUUUCUUUUAUGUUUUUCCUUUCUUUUAGUUUCUUUGUCUUAGGCGUUCGUGUUUAUUAAAGUAGGAUGUAAAAUCAAUUAUCUUAAAAUUAUGUGUUUUUAAAUUUUGGACUUGUUUGUUGGAUACUUUUUUUGCAUUUUAUCAUUAUUUUAUUAUGAAAAUAUGCUAAAAUAUGCUAAAAUAUCACUUAUGUUUUUGUGAAAAUAUGCUAAAAUAUUUAUAUAUAUGGUUUUGUUUUGAAUUCUUUUUGUACUAAUUCAUUAUAUAUAAAUGAUUAUGGUGUGUUUAAACUUCUUUAAUUAAUUACUACAUAUUUUCUAUACUCACAAUGUUUGCUAGCUCGCUAUAUAAUCAACUUAAAUCAGUAAAAUCCAUCAUGCAAUGCAUUUGCUUCCAAUUUUUUGUGAUAAACUAAUAGAUAAUUGAUUAAAUAAACAUCCUGCAAAGUUUCAAUAAAAAUUUCCAAGUUUUUCUUACAAUUUCUGUGGUUUCCAUAUUAUUUUUAUCAAUAUCGAUAAUAUCCCGAUAUUUCCAUCGAUAUUUCCGUGUUUUUGGACUACCGAUAUUUCCGAUAUCAUCGAUAUUUAUACCUUGGCGACGGGGGACUUGCCGACUGGUGCCGCCAUGGACGUUGGGUCUUUCGAAAGGUGGUGUAAUGUUAUGAUCCCACAUCGGCUACACAAGAAAUUGUGUAGUGGUACUUAAGUGCGAGGGGUCCUCCCACCUAUUGGACUAGUCUUUUGAGUUGGGCUCUUCCCUUAGGCUUGAGUACCUAACAAACCCAUAAAUCAAAGAAAUCAAAAUCCACCCAGAAUCAAAGAAAUCAAAAUCCAUCCAAAACCAAAGAAAUCAAAAUCACACACAGAUAUACAAGGUGUACAGUAUUGACAUGCCUUAAAUGAUAUUAUUCACAAGAUUUAUAAAGCUCAUGUUGUAAUACUUGUGCAGAAUCUAUCAUUCACGGCGUCACUUUUGUGCAAGUCGUAAAUAAAAUUAUUCACGAUUUAAACAUUGUGUGUCGUAUUUGACAAUUUAUACUACGCACUUUCUUUUUCUUUUAAAGCUUUGCGUUAUGUCGUAAAGUUGACUUUCUAUAUAUUUGGGUUGUACCUUUUAUGGCGCAAAUAACACGUCGUAAAUAAUGGCUUUUAGCACAGAAGUUUUGUGGUAAAGAAGCCCGCGCACUAAUUCAUUCUCGCGCCUUCUCUUUUUUAUUUAGCCGCUUCUUUUUUUGGUUUUUUUUUUUUUUAAAAUUCCCCUCAAAUCUUAAAAGGGUUUGUAUUUUCUUUGGUAAACUUGAAAGAGAAACAUUGCAAUUGCAUUUUCAUUUACCCAAUAUUAAUUGUCGAGAGCCCACCCCCUUCCCUUCUCUCUGACAUCGUAACUCUCUCCUCUCCAUCGAUCUCGCUCCAUCUGCUCGCCGUCGCUCUAUAUGCUCGUCAUCGCCGUCGAUUCGUCUGCUCGUCGUCACCGUCGCCCAUCUGCUUUCCGUCACCGUCGAAGUGCCCCGCCAUUCAAAAUCUGAAAUCCCCAAUACAGGGUGCUUUGCGGCAUUUCGUUCUCCAAAACUUUAGGUAUGCUCUCAAUCUGUAUCAACCCUAUCCUGUCACCUCUACUUCAAGGUGAACAAUUUAUAGUUUAUAAAUUUUACUUGUGUUAAUAUAUAUUUUUUGGUAAAUGUUAUGGAUAUUUUAUCAAAUCAGAGAGUAAAUUCGUAUUAAGUGAAGAUUGGCAAAGAACAUAUUGUUUUGAAAGGUUGAAUAAUGUUUGCAGAUCACAUAAAUCAGUAGUUGUCAAGUCCAUAAGAGAAGCAAGAAAUCGGAAAGCAAGGCUUCGACUAAAACCAAAUAAUGUCAAAUUAAUUCAAGAUUGGAAGACUUUCCUUGCAAAGUGUAAGCUCAUUUUCAUUUUCUUUCAUUUCUAAGAUUAGUUAUCUUCUUUUGAGUUCAAAAUUGGGUCAGAGAAAUCAAACUGAUAGUAGUUAAAAGUCUAUUUCAACACCAAGCCUUGUCUACACAAGAAUUUGGUGUUAGUUAAACAUGUGUAUGAUUCUAUCUUGAUUGCAUGUUAAUUUAGUUUGAAGAUAGAUUUGGUACAUGCUAGCUAAUUGAUACGUGAUAUGAAUCUUUGGUUUCCUUUUGAUAGGACAAAAGUGAAACAUUCAGAGAGAUGAAGUCUAAGCAACUCCGCACACAUGUAGUCGCAAGGGAUAUGGUAGGUUGGCCGAGGAUUUGGUAAUUACAUUUCAUUCUAGUGCCUUCUUUUCUACAGGACAAGAACAAUUUACUAAUUUUAUUCUGUGUUCUACUGUGUGUUUACUACAUAUAUGUUUCUAUUUUGUAGAAAAGAAAAAGUGUAGACCCUUCUCUAGUUUCUAGAGGUGAUGUUUGGAUUGCAGCACAUACUAAAAAGGGUGGUGGACCAUCCAAUUUGCUUGCUGCAGAGACUAUUGUAAGUAAUUUUUAACCAUUUAUUUCUUCUUGUUUGUUGAUAUGCAAUGACGGAUGAGGUCUUAACUUUGAUGUGCAACGUUAGGAAAAAAAUUAAGCAAUAUGGAAAUGGAUCAUCAUCUGGUUUUCGAGGUGACGUUCUUUCCAAAGUUUUUGGUGCUGAGCGACAUGGUCGUGCAAGAGGAGUUGGAGGUGGUGUUCCUCCUACAAAGCUUGGAAUAUUUUCACAACAAAAAUUGCGUAAUCACCAAAUGGAUGAAAAGGUGCACAAUUUAACUAAUCAGGUCAGAGCACUGACAGAAUUGGUGCAUCUUUUUAUGAAAAAUCAGGUUAGUGAUUUAAUAACAUUGGUAUCAUAUUGAAUAUUUGUGAAAUCAGUUGUAGUGACACAUCAAAUCACAGGGUAAUGAUCUACCAAGUGAGGCAUCUCCUGACACACAGGUUGCAGCUCCUGAGGCACAUGUUGAUACUGUCGCAAGAACUGAAACUCGUCUUUCCCAAUGCGCAACAAAUGAAUCGUGGUGGCGAGGUUGAUACACUUUUUCAAUGAGCCUUCUAACUAUUAAUGCUCAUUGACUCUGUUAAAAGCUCUGCCAUUUUCAAUCUAACUAGACACUAGAAAUGAUCAUUGACUCAGUUAAAAGUUUUGAUGCUUUGGUCCUUUUGCAUAGUUGCGCAUCUACUGAUUUCUAUUUUUUUUCAAAUCCUGCAGGUUAUUUCUGAAAACAUUGAAACAUCGUGGUGUGCCAGAUGGUUUGAUUAUAAGACACCUUCCUUUUGGUCCACCAACUUAUUUAUAACUGCUAAAUGGUACGUAGUGUGAUAAUUUUCAAAUAUUUUGAUAUUAAGACAGGUGUAGGACAACAUAGAAAUUCUUAGGGCCUUCAGCAACAAAAUUAUGAAAAAGUGAGUGAGAUACAAUUAAAAAAAUGAAAGAGAAGGAUCAUGAUUCAUGAUCUAAAGGUUUGAAUAGGGUAGAAAGGAUUUAGUUUCGUUGUUAAAAUCGAUUUGUGAGUCUAUUGUUAUUGUAUUGUCAAUUUGUUUAUUUACUUGAACUUCCUAGUAUCAAUUUGGUUCGAUAUAUCUAGCACCACCAUAGAUAUAUCUAGUAUCAAUUUGGUUAGAUAUUGUCAAUUUGUUAUUUUAUUGUCAACUAUAGAAUGUGCAUCAGUUGUAAAAGGAACAAAACAAUUCAGAUUUUUUGUUUAUGUCCAAACUUAGAAUUGUAUUGUAAUUGACAAUUUCUACUAAUUAAUCCAAGUAUUUGGAGUUUAAUAUGUUUAUGAUCAAUAUUGUUAUCCUUGUAUUGUAUCAGUUUAGAUGUUAUGAAGUGAGGUCUGUCUAAAAAUGAUAUGCUAAAUAUAGAUGUAAAUUACGGCAUCUAAAAUCAGCAAUAAUUGUUGAUGGUAGUCUUUUUUUUACGAUGUAUGCCGUAAUCACCUUCACAAUAUUACGACACUCAACAAAUGCUGUAUCAAAUAUAAAUUACUGCACACUAGUAUGUCGUAAUUGUUUUUCAGUAUUACGACACCCUAUUAACGCUGUAACUAAUACCAAUUAAGGCACGUAGGACAUGCCUUAAGAACAUUUAUGGCGUGUUUUACUUAAAUUAUUCACGACUAUUAGAGUACGUUGUAUUUGUCAAAACAUCUUUUACAACAGGGGCUUUUACUGCUUGGAGGCUCAAGCCGUGAAUUUCCAUUUAUGGCACCCUUUGUGCGCCGUAAAAGGCCAAUUCUAUUGUAGUGAUCCAUGGGUACAUUUUUAAUCUACAUGUUUCGUUUUAAUAUAUCUAUUGCUAUAAUAUGUUUUGGUUGGUUCAAAUUCGUUUUACAUAAAUAUAUGGGUACAAAGUUUUUGGAGAAUAUUAUGUAAAAUGGUUUUUAAGGUUGUUGCAUUUUAUGUACCCACAUAUGCAUGUCUAUAAAACAAUGUGGUAUGAUGUACAUUCUUUUCCUUGAGUUUUUAAAUGUACCCAUGAGUUUUCUUGUAAAUUCGGUAUGUAUCCAUAUGCUAUUUAUGUUAUGGGUACAUACAUUAUUUUUGGUCUAAGUUGGUGGGUACAUUGCUUUUGUAUGUAUGAAUUCAUUGGGUACAUUAUUUCCCUUAAUACUACUCAAUAAAAUUCACAAAAAUGUGCAGUGUGCAUGAAUUUUUAUUGUAGAAAUUGUUUUUUUUUAUUUUUAAUUUUUAAGUCUCAUAAUUCGUGAAUUUUGUACAUAUUGAUCCCAUAAAUUUUUGAAUUUUAUUAAAUUUUUUUUAGACUUGAUCGAUUGAUUGAAUCUCAUAAUAAUCCCUUAAAUGUUCCAAUCAAUAUUUUAAAAUACAGCUUUUUAUUUAAGAUUUCAAAAAGAUGACAUGAAAACAUAGUAAUACUAAAAUUUUGUUUUAAAUUACAUUUGUGUAACAAUCAAUGGUAUGUUAAAACUGGGCAAAAAAAAAAAUGGUAUAUUAAAAAAUUAUAAUUUAUUCUUUUUUUCAUAACUGUCUUCUGCUUAGAUUAAUUUUUUCCAACGUUUCUCUUCGGGAGAAUUAGUUCUUACCAAUAUAUAUGCACAUUAUCUGCUUUUUACCUGGUCUUAACACAUGAUUAAUUACUUUCCUACCUGCUAACGCGUUGACUUGCGCAUCCAAAGUAUUAUCAAAGUCACUGCCACCAAAAAGGUGCCCACUCCACAACCUUUGGUUGAACCAAAGAACAUCACAACAAUAAGGAAAUCGUUAAAUCUAUCUCCGCAACAUUUUUAUUAAUCAUUAGAUAGAUUAAACGAUCCCCCUAUUCAUAUUGUGUUCUUUUGUUGAACCAAACCAUGUCAACAAAAUAUAUCUAUGGUUAAAGCAUCUAGAUUCAAGCUUUUGGAUGUGCAACUUAAACCCCUCAAUGAAUAGCCAAGCAAUUUAUCAUGUGUUUACAGUAGGUCAAAAGAAGAAAGUGUUUGUCUAUAUAUUAAUAGGAACUAAUUCCUCUGAAGAGGAGAGAUGGAAGUGAUGAUAAUAAAAAAAAAAAAAGUCGUAUUCAGUGCACAAGGCUCCCGCUUUACGCAGGGUCUGAGAGAGGUGAAUGUCGGCUAGCCUUACCCCCAUUUUAUGGAGAGGCUGCUCCCAAGUCUCGAACCCGAGACCUACCGCUCAUGGGCGAAGACACUUGCCAUCGCACCAAGUGCGACCUCUAAGGGAUAAGAGAGUAAUCAUGAAAAUUUUGAAAGUGAAAGCAUUGCCUUGGAAUAUAUAUUCUCUUUAGGAAUUCUGUGCCCAACUAAAUUCUAGAUUCUCAAAAUAUGAAAUUAGCAACUUCACCAAACACUUGGACAUGUAACAGGUCACACGUAUGGUACCAACCUUACCAACCUUACCAACCAUCUAUAUACCUAUGUUUUCGAACAUCGUUAGAUAAUUAAAGUACAGUUCACACAGCAUUUCACAUAAAAAUGGCAUCAUACAACACAUGAGAAGUACUUCUUACAGUAGCAGUCUCGUAACAUGACUAUAGUUUUUGUUACUUCUUAAGAAAAAAGAGUUUAAAAUCCUAUUGAAAGAUAAUUGUAGAGACAGAAACCCAAACUAGUUAAUUAGGUUUCUUUACAUCUCAAUAAAAUUGAAGGGAAUGUAUCUAAUAUUAUCUACUAGAGCCUCUACAAUCAUCAUAGAAUCCACAACCCACAUUUUAAUUAAUCGAAAUUCCAUGAACACAAAUAAGCAAAAGUUGAGUGAAGCCUAAGCAAUAUGUGAUCAUUUAGAGAGUCAAACUCCAUCUUUUUAGAAUUAGGGACUUUUCAAUAUGAAAAGGUAACCUCCACAAUCCAAUAUCAUAUGAAAAGGAAAACCCAAGAAAAAUACAGUAUAAUUGUGUGCAAGAGCAACACAAAAAAAGUUGAAGAAUUAGAAAUCAUAAAGAGACUUGAGACGAUUGUUGCUCACUUAGCUAAAGAGCAUUUGCACUUGAGGUCUCGAGUUCGAUUGCCCCCUUUCUUUAGAUCGCUUGAGAGGAAAAACCUACCAUUCUCUAGUCUAAAGAUAUAUGCAUCUUUGACAUGAAUGACUAGAGGGGAAGAAAGUGCAGACAAAUCACACAUACCUUCAAAAAAUUUUAUGGGGUUGGUGAAUGGUGAUUAGGGAUACUGACUUUUAAUAGCCGUUGAUCAGUGUAUAUUGCACACGCCUUCAUCAAUGGCUAGCGUCGGUACAACUGUGAUUGGGAGGGCCUUUUUACGAUAAUAGAUGGGUAAAGGUUUCAUUAGAAGGGGAAUUUUGUUCUGGUUUGCCAUAAUAACUUGAAAUUAAUGGUUUUUUGUAAUCCUUAAGUUAUUGUCAUUUUAGGUUAACUUUGUACCUGGACUCUUUACUGGAGCUAUCAAUUGAAACCCCCAUUUUCUUACCAAAAUAUGAAAAACAAAGAGUCCCAUUUUUACAGCACAGUCCUACUCUAGUUGAAAUCCGAUCGACGGUCAAGAUUUUCUAGUCAUGUGAAAGUAUCACAUAUAUAAAAUUGACUGGAGAAGGCAUGCCACAUUGCCAUGCCCUUGACAGCUUUACUUUGUUUACAAACUUUCUAAAAGAAAGAAAGAAAAAAAUCUAAAAUGGAAGGUGAUAGCGAUUUUACCACUUGUAAAACAAAGGGUUAAACCAUAGAAAAUUCUUGCAAGAGAACAAGUGUUUGUAGUAUAGAAUGGCUCAAGCAAGGUCGAUCUCCUCAGGGACUGAUAUAAACAAUUUACGAGUUUUUAUGUAUUUAACUUAUUUAACUCUAAGAAUUACACUAAUUUAACGAAACUAAAUAUUAUUGGAUGUGACUUAAACAAAUAUCUAAAAUGGGAAUUGGUUUUAGGGAAUAAUGAUUCAACUUAAACAAAACAAGUAAAUGAGGAAAUUCAAGAUAAAAUAAAUGAUUAAGAAAAAUAGAUUGACAAUAUGCUAGAGUUCAACAUUUACCAACAACACUCUUACGUAGCUAUUCCAAUUGCUUAAAUAAUUGAAAACACAUAUGCUUUGAAUGUUGGAUUUUCCUUGUGUAUGUUUUACUUGUGACAUUCAAGCUAAAACGCAUACCACUACAUGCAACUUAUCCAUGACAUUUGAAUUAAAUAUAAACAUGAGUGAUUCAUUAAUCUUGGUGAAAAUCCUUUUGUUAAACCAUAUAAUCCCUAAGAGCAUGAUAUUUACCUUAGGAGAUUACAAUUCUCAAUCACAAGAAGCACAACCAAUUUUAACGUGACAUUCGUUCAAAAUUGCAUCCGAUAACUUUUCUAAGCAUCCUAAUGGUGAUCAAGCAUCAAGGUACAUAGAUAGUUUAAUUCAGUGAUUGAAAAUAUCAAAACAAGCAUGUAACAACACUUAAGCAAUUGAAAAAUAAAACUACGUAUUCAUGUUGCGGCUCAUGGCCUCACUCUAGCAUAAUACUUUAAAUAAUUAAAGCCCAAACAAUUUACCAAAUUUCAUCUCUGUACUCCGCAGAGACGCUAAACGAGACAUAUUUGGUCCAUCUCUGAACAUCUUUUCUUACUGUUCUUACAAUAGAAAGGGCACAAAAUUGACUUACACAGUCUUGCACAAUACUCACUUUGCUUCAACCCAUAUUUCACUUUGUCAAAUCAUACACGUUCCUGCAACAGGUGAACUCAUAUUUAUCUACCACUUCUUGCUAAUUUUAAUUUUUCCAUUCCCAUUUUUACUACAAGUUUUCACAUAAUUUUUUUAUUGCAUUUGUCAAUUCUUUAUACUUUUUAAUUGUAUUUUUUUUUUUGUCUUUUAUGUGUUUUCUAUGUUGGCACAAGGUUACAACAGUAUUAAACAAUUACAGGUCCUCCAGAGGUUUGCUUAUUGCCCUAUUUCAUCAAGCUCGGUAUAAAUAGAUCUUAAUUUUUUACUACAGUUAAAUACAUGGACAUGCCUCCACAAAUACAAAUUAGUUCUUGCUUAAAUACUUUGUGUGUUUACAUAGAAAAUGUUCCCAUCGUCUACCAAAAUCCUCCACACAUGAAAACAAAAAUUCUUACUCAAAAUACUUAUUACAAUACCACCAUAUCUGUUGUUUUUUAUUAAAUUAACACACUGUUUUCAAUUUUAUCUUCAACACAAAAGAAAAUGCUCUUACACAAUGUGUUUGCUUACAUUUUAUAACUUAUCUACCACAUGUUAAUCGCAGUUAUAUAAAUAGGAAAAUACGUGUUCAAUAGAAGUGUGAUGCAUGUCACUUCGUUAACAAUAGUGGAAACUAAACAAUUAAAUAAUUUGUUUCAAUUAGUUAGUACAUUUUAUAAAUUUCUCAAUUAGAACUGUUUCAGUAUAUUUAAUACAUUUUUAAACAACUUUCCAGUUAGUUGCCCAAACUAAUUAUUCCAGCUUAUUCACAGUAUAAUACCAACAAUUUAACAACCAAUGAUACUUCGUUUAACAUAAACUUCAUUUGGAAAAAACAAAAAAAAUCUUUUUCUCUGCUGAAAAAAUCAACAGAUUUAAUGAUGUAGAUCAGUUAUACCAACAAAUUACCAUAGUUUACCCAAUGCUAUACAGGUUUGACUUUUGUUUAUAUUCUUGGAUCUGUUGCUUGGUUGUAUAAUUUGGCUGUGUGUUUUGUUUCAGGACAAUUUGUUCUUCGUUUCUUGAGGCUUCUAUGUGUAGAUUUGAACCGUUUAGCUUUCAAACCGUUUAUACUCAAGGUAAAUAAUUUCGUUUGUUUCUUUUUAACCUUUUUUGUAAGAAUUUUUUAUUUAAUGUUGUGAGAGUUGUGUUUUCUAUAGUAUGGAAAUUGAAUCUUUGUGAUCUUAUAUCGUUAGAUACGUUGCUUGGUUAAUGUGAACACGGAAAAUUCCCGAAACGAAAAAGACAAGAACAACGUGCACAAACAAAUAUUUUGUAUUUGAUGAUUAUUUUGGGUUACAAUCUCUCUCUAAUUUGAUCCUCUGAUUCGAUCUCCGUAAGAUAUUGGUUUGUGGAUGUGCGAUUGAUCCAAGGGCCGUCGAGGCUUGAUCUUGGAUGAACGGUGAUGAACGGAUCUUCAAGGGCUUUUGGGCUUGAUCUUGAAGAAUAGUGAUGAACGGGUCUUCAAGGGCUUUUGGGCUUGAUCUUGAAGGAUGGUUGGAUGUGUGGAUUUGUCGACGUUGUUAAUCCAAAGGGCUGUUGGGGCUUGAUCUUAGGAUGAACGGAUGAUGAACGAAUAACACUUUCUUCAAGGGCCGUCGGGGCUUGAUUUUGAAUUGGUGAAAGUUCUUCAAGGGCCGUCGGGGCUUGAUCUUGAAGGUAGAUGAUUGUUGAUCCAAGGGCUGUCGGGGCUUGAUCUUGGAAGAACGAUGAACGAAGAACGAAGAAGGCUUUCUUGAUUCUUCGGGAACCUGGAUGCUUGAGAGCUUCGGAGUUUCAGAGCUUCAGAGCUUCAAGGUGUAAUAUGAAUUUGGUUCCCUUAAAUGAAUGAAAUUGGCUUCUAUUUAUAGAAUUUUCCAAGGCCUAAUUUUGAAUAUAAUAUUCCAGAUGAAAUAAGUCGUUUCUGCCAAGUGUUGACACGUGUCCUAUUUGAUGACUUUUCCGACUCAUUUCAAUUUUUCGUCGAGUCACACACUACGUGUAAAAUUUAUGUAAUACAUGAGCGUUGAAACUUUGAUUUAUCAGUCAACAUUUAUUUACCAAAAUUUCGAUGUCUACAAAUGCCCCCACUUCAAGGCGCGUCGUAUACAUGUGCUUGUCACGUGUAGGAGAUGCGUUUUGAAGUCCCCUUACUGUAGAUGUCGAUCCAAGGGCCGUCGAGGCUUGAUCUUGAACCGGGCUGGAGAUUUCUUCAAGGGCCGUUGAGGCUUGUUCUCGAACUUUGUUCGAAAUUUCUUCAAGGGCCGUUGAGGCUUGAUUUUGAAUUGGGCUGAAAGUUUCUUCAAGGGCCGUUGAGGCUUGAUCUUGAAUUGGGUUGAAAGUUUCUUCAAAGGCCGUUGAGGCUUGUUCUUGAACCUUGUUUGAAAUUUCUUCAAGGGCCGUCGAGGCUUGAUCUUGAAUUGGGCUGGAAGUUUCUUCAAGGGCCGUCGGGGCUUGAUUCUUGAAGGUGGAUGAUUGUUUAUUCAAGGGCCGUUGAGGCUUGUUCUUGAACCUUGUUUGAAAUUUCUUCAAGGGCCGUCGAGGCUUGAUCUUGAAUUGGGCUGGAAGUUUCUUUAAGGGCCGUCGGGGCUUGAUUCUUGAAGGUGGAUGAUUUUUUCUUCAAGGGCCGUUGAGGCUUGUUCUUGAACCUUGUUUGAAAUUUCUUCAAGGGUCGUCGAGGCUUGAUCUUGAAUUGGGCUGGAAGUUUCUUCAAGGGCCGUCGGGGCUUGAUUCUUGAAGGUGGACUCGAACACAUGGCAAGCAGGCACGAGGUGAAGGUGACGGUCUGUUUCUUUGCUCAAUCUUUCCAAGUGCCGACCGAUUGCUUUUCUUUCUCCUUGUCCCGCAGGCAAGAGCAAGGGUAAAAGAAAAGCAUGCCAUGAGAUAUCUUUGUUUUUGACUCUGAUGAUAUGAGGUACUUCUGCUUUUGAAGAAGUUGCGGAUGAAUCGACACGUGCUUUGUUGUGCUUGUCUCCACAUGCUCAGACUCUUGGCAGAAUGUGAAAGGUGGCAUUUUCUCGAGUUACUCAACUCAGACUCAUUCUGCUGAGUUGACUGUGCGGGCCGCAUUCUUCUCUGCUUGUUUCUUCUGGCAGCCUUGCUCUCGAGUACUCAUCUUUAACAUCUUAUGUUUCUUCUUUGUCUACCACACUGUGGAAGACGAGUACUCGAGAGUAAUACCAUGUAAGCAAUCAGAAAAGGGUUCCAAGCAGUCGGUUCCAGAUCGGAAGAUUGAUACCAAGUGUUGGCUGAUUGCUUUCCUUCUCAUUGUCCUACAGGUUAGAACAAAGACAAGGAAAAGGACACGGAGAAUGCAUGAUAUGAGAUACUCUUGCUUUCUCCCUUCAUGAUAUGAAAUACUUUUGCUUUUCAAGAUUUGUUUGCAGAGGUAUCCUAUGGGAUGAAGAACACUGAGUGAGUUGAGAGGGUUUGUUGGAAAGCCAUUUGUCGGAGAUGACGGAAUGUUAUGUAUGUCUGCCUUGCCAUGGAGCGUGAAGGUCGACAUUUGUAGGAAAUAAUAACUGGUACUGUUCUUUCACUCCUGUCGGCAACCGUUGGAUGAUUGAACAGUAAACUUCACGUGAUUUCCUCAAAGCUUUUUCUGCAUGCGACAAGUGCUGACGAGGCUGAGAGAGACAUGCGAUUGGAAUCGGCGCUUCGACAAACUUUUCCAUGAUUUUCGCAAAGCUGACGAGGCUGAGAAAGACAGAUGGUUUGGAAUCGGCGUUUCGAUAAACUGCCCGUGAUUUCCGCAACGCUGACGAGGCUGAGAAGGACAGAUGGUUUGGAAUCGGCGUUUCGACAAAUUGCCCGUGAUUUCUGCAACGCUGAGUUUGCGUGUGACAGGUGCUGACGAGGCUGAGAAAGCUGACACUUCUUCGAUUUUUGAGAUCAGUCCGUGAUCCUUGAGUAGGCCUAGCUUUGGAGAAAGCAGGCGCUUCAUCGAUCUCUGAACUCGCCUCUUCGAUCUCUGAAAGCCCAUCGCAUGCUGUUUUUUUAUAGAGGUACGCAAGACAUUCAAAGCACACUUGAAUUUCUACCUGUGAAAAAAAACUCCCCUUUUGCAUAUCUGAGAUCUUUAAUUUGCCCGACCUCUUCAUUUUGUUGAACACCUUCGGAAAUGUCUUUCCCAUCUGACCGUCGUCUUGACUUGAAUAUCGAAGAAGAUAUUGACAUGUCUUCUCCAGGCAACAUUUGGCAGCUGUCCUUCGUAUCCUCCAACGAACCUCUUACGGUUGGGGACACUGUGAUGAGGAAUGACGCAACGGCUGCAGUGGUUGCUAGAAAUCUUCUCACUCCUAGGGAUAGUAAGAUGCUUUCCAAGCGGUCCGACGAGAUGGCUGUUCAAGACUCUCUGGCCUUCAGCGUCCAAUGUGCGGGCUCAGUAUCAAACAUGGGCCAACGCCUUCUUGCUCGAUCUCGUCAGGUUGAGUCUUUGAUGGCCGAGGUGGCUAGUCUUCGGCAGGAGAUCAGAGGGCUUAGGCACGAGAAUAAAGAGUUGCAUAUGCUAGCAACUAGUUACUCAACGAGCAUGAAGAAGAAGCUAGACCAACUGCAGGAGUGUGAAGUUCGGGCUCGAAAUGAUCAUCAAAGGUUUAUGGCGUUACUCCCGAGGCAUCUUCUGCCUUCGUCAUCUGGCGCUUCACCAAAUGUUGAGGCUCCGGAAAAUCAAACUCUGGCGCUUCGUCUUUCUGGAGCUUUACCAAGUGUGGAGGCUUCAGUUGAUCCACCUCCGGUGCUUCGUCUUUCUGGAGCUCCGUCGAGUACUGAGGCACCACAUGAUCAUCCUUGAAGAUCCUUUCCUGUAAAUUUGAUUUGACUUUUUUUUUAAGGUAUGUAUAAUGUAAAAUUUCUAGAAAAAUAAAAUGGACUUUAUUUCUCUGAACAUGUUUUUUUUGUUUUUUUUUUUGGCUGUAUAUUUUCUCUUUAAUCAUGGUGCACCCAUUUUCCACAUGGUGCCAGACGGACCAAAGAUCAAACAUUUCCUUUUUUUAUUUUUUUAUUUUUUCUUUAAUCAUGGUGGCAGACGCAUAAACAAUUUCAUUUAUAUUUUUUUUUCUUUUUGCUGGCACAUGGUGCCAGAUGCACCAUUCAUUUAUAUAUAUUAUUAUAUAUGUUUUUUUUAUUUUUUUUUAUUUGCACAUGGUGCCUGAUGCACCACCUCUUUUUUUUUCACGUGGUGCCAGCAUCACUUUGCUCCACCAUCCAUUUUUUUUAUUUUUAUUUUCUGUAUAAAUUUGGGUGAUGGGUAGAGGAUUUUGCAGGCAGGGAGCAAGGAGGCCGAGAAGAUGGUGCUUCGAACUUCAUGACCGGCUAGUCGUUUGACGGCGGUCGUUGAAGUCGUUGGCAGUUGCGAGGCAAAAGACGGAGGAGAAGGUGGAGUAGGUGACCUUGAUGUCGGAUCCAGCUAGAACCCAGAGCACAGCGACUGAGCCCAAUCACCGAGCACAACCGCUGCACACCCGUUGUACUGCCACCGAGCACUGCCACUGCGCAUCUGUUGCACUGCCAAUUGCUGCAAAGGAUUAUGUUUAACGGCGGAGACGCUGCCCUAUUUGCCAUGCUAUGCCGACGUGCUUCACAUAAUUAACCAUCCAGAAUUGUUAAACAUUCCAUCUGGGUUUAUCGCAAAAACAGAAGAAGAAAAAAACCAAGAUCCAUCCAUGCCAAACACCAAUCUGCCAUCUUUUUGGGAUUUGUACGACAUCAUCAGCCAAAACCUGCUUGGUCCGCUCGCAAAUUGUGGGAGAGGAAGAGUUGGCGGAGCAGCUGUAACACUGGAAAAUGGAGGACGUUGACGAGUCCUCCAAGUUGUUCUUGACGUUGGUGCUGGAGAAACCUGCCUCUCUCAUGACUCUGCUGACACUUGGGUCGUCAAGGAUGGGGAUGAUGAGCUGCUCGAGCUCGACUUUGAUGGUUAAGAGCGGCUGCUGCUGCUGCUCGAUGCAGUCUCUUCUCUGAUGGGCUUGGGCUCUCUUGAGGGCGUUGGAGAGAGAGGGCUGCCCGUGGAGGAGAGGGCAUGGAGUUGUUGGGAGAAAUCAGGGCCGGAAUGGAAAAUAUUCCCGAGCUGCAUCAACGAGGAGAUAACACCGCUAAGUUAUUCAUCUGGUUUGCUUUAGUCAAAUGGAUCAAUCCGCGGGUCAUGCUCGCUUGCCAUCAUCAUCCCAGUGCACAGGCAUGUCGGGCACAUGACCUUUCCAGCACCAGAGCAAUUUGGGCACCUCUCAGUUGUGGGCACUCGCAAAGGUUGGUCUGAUGCACUAGAUGCUGAUAUAGGAUUGAUGUUCAAGCACACUCCACUUGCAGAACAUCUAGCACAGGCCAAGUACCCAGUUCCAUGGCAAUAUUUGCACCUUUUCUUCUCUUGCUGCUCAACAUUAUUAGCUUCAAUCAACAUCAAUGCUGAAAUGACACCCACUGCCCCACCGGAGAAGGAUGCCACAAUAGGAUCAACCUGACUUAAUUGUAAAGGCAGAUGCAUGCUACGAAUGAAAUCUUCAUACGAGGUACCUCCUAUACCUAAUUUUAGUUCCAACGAUGGCGCAAUGAGACCCCCAAAUACAAUUACACUAGAUAUCAUAGAUAAGCUUGUGAGGUAGAGCUGCUUCAACGUCUUUGGUGUCAUAUGAGGGAGAAAAGGGAUAGUGGAUGGAAUGUCAGGCAUCUCAUUUGACUCUUCCUCACAAGCCUCAUCCAUAUCUCUCGCCAUCUUUAUCCGUUGCUGCACCCGCAAUCUCCUUAGCUCUUCCAUGAGAAGAAAAAUCUUGUUGUGCCGGCUUCUUAUGUUGUCCUAAAUUUCCUGUAGUUGCAUCUGCACAAAGUCCUGCACCGUCUCCGGCUCUUCUAUGAUACAAAAAGUGCUUGGCGUGUUAUCGCCGGGGAAUGAUUCCUUGGAAGCAGAACAGGAAAUUUGGGGAUGCGGGGAGGUGAAUUUGGACAGAGAGAGACGUCUAGGGAUUCCAUGGGAGGGGGGUUGAGAGUGGUUUUUUGCCGGCGCCUCUAGGGUAGUCGUCGUUGGCUAUUGCUAUAGAGAGGUCAAUGACUUCACCGGAGAUGGCGUUGUUCUGGAGCCCGAGCGUGAGAAGCCGGGUGAGAUUGUCUGGAAAGGGUCCCCAGAGGUUGUUGUCGGCGAGGUCGAGAAGCUUGAGCUUGGUGCAAUUGACGAGAGGAGAAACGGUGUCGUUGAGGCGGUUGUUGUGGAGGUCGAAGAGUGAGCUGGGCGAGAUCAGAGAACCUUGACGAAUUCGGAGCGUUGAGGGUUAUCAACACGAUCCCAUCGACGAAGAAGAAGCAGAAUGGGCCUCUUGCGGGGCCUAUGGCAUCAACCGGUCUUUGGGCUUCUGGGCCAGUAAAUUGGAGAGAAGCCUGGGCUUUUGACUUGCAGAGAGAUUAGGCUCUGGGAGCCGCUUGUAGUAUUGUGGCUAAAGGGGUUGCUUCCUGUGGCCACUUAUAUAUAUAUAUUUUGUAAAUACAUAAAACAUUUAUCUCUUUUUUUUUCUUUUUUUUUUGUACAAAGAAAUUGUAAUAGCAUCAAAACUUUUAAUAAAAUCUUUAUUCCUUAUUUUGGUGUGACUGAACUCAAAUUUUGAAUAUUCGAGUUGCCUACGUACCUCUCCAAAGAAGAGAUCAAGUCGUAACGUAGUUCAAAUGAGUGAUGAAUUUAACAGUGAUUUUGAUGAUGAUUUUGUCGUACACAGUUUAUGCUCUUGCGGGCCAGGAGCUUUGGUUCGUGCAGUUUAGGCUCGUGCGAACAAGGAGUGUUGGUGUUGCCUUUUAUGCUCGUGCAGACCAGGAGCGUUGGUGUUGCCUUUUAUGCUCGUGUAGACCAGGAGCUUUGUGCCAUGCAGUUUAGACUCGUGCAGGCAAGGAGCGUUGGUGUUGCCUUUUAUGCUCGUGCAGACCAGGAGCGUUGGUGUUGCCUUUUAUGCUCGUGCAGACCAGGAGCUUUGUGCCAUGCAGUUUAGACUCGUGCAGGCAAGAAGUGUUGGUGUUGCCUUUUAUGCUCGUGCAGACUAGGAGCUUUGUUGUGCCAUGCAGUUUAGGCUCGUGCAGGCGAUGAGCUUUGGUUCAUGCAGUUUAGGCUCGUGCGAACAAUGAGCAUUGUGCCAUGCAGUUAGGCUCAUGCAGGCGAGGAGCGUUUAUUGGUUCGUCAAGCGAUCCAGGAGAGUCGUUCCUCGCAAUCUUCAUAGCAAGGAGCCUUGACUGAGUGAUUGAAGAAGUCUUUGGGGAAGAAAUCGCGCAUCGUGAUGGGGAUGGACGAUAUUUGUGUCGUCAUUUCAUCAUCUUCAACACUUUCACUUUUCUUUGAAGGUUGACAAGAGCUGCUUUGCCCCAUUUCCGAUUGGCGGACUUGUGGAUGAGACGUAUGCUUCUUCUGCAGUUUCUCUAGAGUGACAUGAGUCAUUCCUUCAACUUCGCUUGGCUCAACUGGCAUGGUUUUGGAGCAUGCCCCCAGCGAUUGAGGUGAAGAUUUUGAGUUGACAAAGCCGGAAGUGACGUCUUCUUCCAUGAUUUCAUCUUCUUUGUCUUCUUGGGCUUGUUGGCGUGAAGAUUGGCCGGCGUAGAUGAUGGUGCGCCUCUUUACCUUCAGUGGUCCUUUUGUGUCGACCUCCCAAGCUGUUUGGCGCUUUAUCCUUGAAUGAAUCAAGCUUCGAACGUCGUCUUUUCCUGCUAGACCGUCGAGCUUUUCUUCCUUUGGCGUUGUCUUCCUAUUUCUAGAAUGCUUCUUGGUUUCUUCAAGUUUUUCCAAAGCCGAUCGUUGGGGAGGAGAGCCAGCCUUGCUGCUUUGUUUCUUAGGUUUUGACAACCUUUCAAAAACAGAGCUUUGGGGUGUUGGCGUGUUAAGCCGUUUGAAGAUGGAAGUUCGGUCUUGCCCACCAAUGCGAUCAAGUGCCGACCUUCUGGGUUUUGAACGAUUCAGCCUAUCGAAGACUGACACUCGAAUAGGAGGUUGAGGCUCCUCUUGAUCUUGUUCAAUCCUCAAGCUGAUGUGUCGAGUGCUAGCAUUUUUUGCUUUACUUGAAAUCUUCACGGGUGCAUUUGGUGUGAAGCCAAGUCUAGCUCUGUUGUUGUCAACUCCGUAAUCAUGCUUUUCCAACUUCUUCUGAGUCUCGGUGAAGUCAUGAUCUUUGUCGUUGAUGGUGUUUGAAACCUUCUUCUCAAGAUUUGAAGAGGAAGCAAAGUCGUACCCAGCCUUUAACAUGAGUUCGUAGGCGUUUGGGUUGAGACCUUCUUCGGUCCUCUUAGUUGGAAUGAAGCUUGGGUUCGCUUUGACGCCAUGAUGCGCCUCCAGACGGUUGAUAAGUCCAACGGUUUGCAAGUUUUUCUCCUCCGCAGUCUUUAUCAGCCUUGCAAUUGUUUCCUUCAUCUGAACUAGUUGUUCUUCAAUAGAGGUAGCGCCGAUGGUCAUGACUUGUUCUUUGUUUGAAGCCAUGAAGUGUGCUUGAAUUUCUUGAACAGAGAAAGAGAUGAGAGGUAGAGAUUGUCCCACUGGGCGUGCCAAUUUGUGAACACGGAAAAUUCCCGAAACGAAAGAGACAAGAACAACGUGCACAAACAAAUAUUUUGUAUUUGAUGAUUAUUUUGGGUUACAAUCUCUCUCUAAUUUGAUCCUCUGAUUCGAUCUCCGUAAGGUAUUGGUUUGUGGAUGUGCGAUUGAUCCAAGGGCCGUCGAGGCUUGAUCUUGGAUGAACGGAUCUUCAAGGGCUUUUGGGCUUAAUCUUGAAGAAUAGUGAUGAACGGGUCUUCAAGGGCUUUUGGGCUUGAUCUUGAAGGAUGGUUGGAUGUGUGGAUUUGUCGACGUUGUUGAUCCAAAGGGCCGUUGGGGCUUGAUCUUAGGAUGAACGGAUGAUGAACGAAUAACACUUUCUUCAAGGGCCGUCGGGGCUUGAUCUUGAAUUGGUGAAAGUUCUUCAAGGGCCGUCGGGACUUGAUCUUGAAGGUAGAUGAUUGUUGAUCCAAGGGCCGUCGGGGCUUGAUCUUGGAAGAACGAUGAACGAAGAACGAAGAAGGCUUUCUUGGUUCUUCGGGAACCUGGAUGCUUGAGAGCUUCGGAGUUUCAGAGCUUCAGAGCUUCAAGGUGUAAUAUGAAUUUGGUUCCCCUAAAUGAAUGAAAUUGGCUUCUAUUUAUAGAAUUUUUCAAGGCCUAAUUUUGAAUAUAAUAUUCCAGAUGAAAUAAGUCGUUUCUGCCAAGUGUUGACACGUGUCUUAUUUGAUGACUUUUCCGACUCAUUUCAAUUUUUCGUCGAGUCACACACUACGUGUAAAAUUUAUGUAAUACAUGAGCGUUGAAACUUUGAUUUAUCAGUCAACAUUUAUUUACCAAAAUUUCGAUGUCUACAGUUAAAUGAUUUGGCUGUGUGCAUUGUUUCAGGACAAUUUGUUCUUCGUUUUUUGGGGCUUCUGUGCGUAGCUUUGAAGUCCUUUGUAGUCAACAUAAAUAAUUUUAUUUUUCUUUGUUUUUAGUCUUCUAUGUAAGAAUUUCUUAGUUAAUAUUCUGAGAAUUAUGUUUACUAUAGUAUGAAAAUUGAAUCUUUGUGAUCUUCGAAGUGUAACGUCAUUGCAACAUGGACGACUGCCAUUAUCGAACAUGAAAAACAUUUUGAUUUCUGUACUCCGUCUAGUAGAAAACUCUCGACUUCUUCAGAAACCACGAGAAACUUAAAACUGAGAAAGCUUCGCGGUCUCCCUUCCAUCUCUGCUACGCGGUCUCUGCUUUGCGAUCUCUGCUUCCUUCGUGAUUUCUUCCUUCCUGAACGACAUCUAUUCGAAUUGAAAACCUUCUGGAGCUCUCUUCCCCAAAUUUCAGCAGCAACUUUGCUCCAGAUCUUUCCAAUUGAAAUUCCUCUCCUUCACAUUUUGCAUAUUGAAUUUCGCAUCAUCAUCAUCUCCCUAGAACCUAGGAGUUCGGUUCGGUUUCGAGUUUUCCGACGGAAAUCCGGCGACAGCGGCCAUCGAGGUUGGUCUGAAACUAUUCCUCAUCACCACAGGUACUUUCUACACCUAUUACAUUUUAGAAAAAGUUUCAUGACUUUGUGGAAUCCAAUUUAACGAUUAGAAAAAUUUUCAUUAAUUUUCUGGGUUCGUGAGUUGGAGGGGGAUUAGAAAUUUUUUCAUUAUUUUUCUGGGUUUGUGGUUUUUUUUUUCCAAAACGUUUUUCCUUUCUACUAAUCCAAGUUCCUUCACAUCAAUCUCUCUGUUUUGUUCUUGAUCUUCCUCGAGUAGAAUACCUCUUCUUGCUCUGGAGCGCGUGGGCAGUCUCUCUAAGGCAGCCCAUGACGUCAUUUUCCGAUUCGACUCGGAGGAGGUUGGCUGCUCUUCUUGGCUGAGCUUCAUGGCUGGCCGAAUUCCCCUAUUCCCUUCCUCUUAUACUUUUUUAUAUUCGUUCACCAAAACAAUAGGAAAACGUCUCCGUCUGUUUGAUUGACGGCGAAAAAAAAAAAGACGGAGAAUAAAAGCCUGACGGAAGCUGAAAGCUUGGACUCUGUUUGUAUUUUUAAUGGAUUUUCAGAACACAGGUCAAGAAUAUUGCGAUUUGAGAAAAAAAGAAAGAACCACGUUGACAUAAUAUAUUCACAAUAGGUGUACAAGGUUCAUAAAGCUUUACUGUGGUUCCAUUUUUUGUUAAUGGAAUUAGCCUUUUGUUUUAGGAAGAACUUGGAACCCCCUCCGUCCAUUCUAUCCCCAAUGGAAUUAACACUUAGAUAGUACUAUGACAAUGUGUCAUUAUUUGAUGCAUACCUGUAUAAAUUUAGGCUAAGUGUUUUAUACACAAAUUGAUACAGAUUAACUAUACAAUGAUAACUAUAUACCGGAGAGCUAACUAUACAAUGAUACAUUCUUAUCUGUUAAUUAUCUUUGGUUACCAGCUAUCCAUGUUGCUGUCAUAUUAAACUACACAACAUCAGUUGUAAUUUAUGUCUUAUUAGUAUCAUCAUUUUUGUUCAUUAUUUCAAUGUCUAACAUAACUCCGCCUAUGUCUUACAUGGCCGGUCCCAAGCCCGGAUAAAGGAGGAGGGGGAGGGCGUCAGGUAGUCGACAGCCGGCACUCCAUGAUCACGUCGAAUCCUUAUGAAAAUGAAUCCAGAACAAAACCCCACUUAGUGGGAAAAGGCUUUGUUGUUGUUGUAUUUCAAUGUCUAACAUGAUGAUCUGGUUUCAAUUUGCUACAGGCAUUAUUUCCAGACAAUAGCUAUGGUUUUGAUUGUAGCGGUGACUGAAAAAUUAUUCCGAAACUAACAUUUGAGGAAUUCAAGGUUUGUUAGUUAAUUUGUACAUCAGAAUACCAUGACAAACUAUGAAGUUGUAAUUGUUGACCUUACAAUGUAUCUUUUUUGGUUUGGAGCAUUAGACUUAUAUGUGUUGCUUUCACCUCAUGAAGGCUAACUCUUUAUUUUAGGCCGUAAGAGUAUAAUUUCUUGGAGAAUCUACAUUGUUGAUAAUUUUUUGAACAAUAUUAUCCCCAAAAUUUCUCCGCAUGUUACCCUCAACGUAGACAUCAUAUAACCAUCAUUGAACUUCUGAACCAAAAAUUUGAGUUUUAUGAUUAUAACUAAACGUCUAUAAACACAUGAUACAGAUUGAGACGAAUGUCAAAUUUAAAAUGGCAUUAAUACAGCUGCAAACUCUGAUUUGCGGGAUUUGAAAUGGAGCAGUUACUUCUUGCUUCACUUCAGCAGCAUAGUCCAGCUUCUAAAUUCAGUUCUCAGGUAUGAGGUUUCUCAGUUACCUCUUUUUUGUAAUAAAACAUUUGAUCAGUACUUGCCAGGAUAUCCAAUUAAUUAGGUCAGUUUUUGUUAGCAGUAAUAAUUUGUUUUUGCAGCUUUAUAUGUGUCUCUGUCUCCAAAUAUGAUGAUCUCUUAAUUUGCUUCUAUAGCUUUUGUAAUAUAAUGAUCUCUUAAUUUUCUUUUGCAUAUCUUCUUUGCUUCCUCUGCUAGCUCUAUAUGAGAUUCCAUCUCCAAAUAAUUAUUCCUUAUUUCCUAUUUUUACCAGAAGCAAAUCAUUGAAUACACAUGGUAAAUUAAAAGGGUUUUAGUUUUUGGAGUAGUUUAAAUUUUUUGUUUGUUAUUGCUUGUAUUGCUGUUAAAUAUUUGAUGGGUAGUUUGAAAUGGGGAACUUGGUUGAUUGAGUAUUAACUUUUAUUAAAUUAAUAUUCUUAUUCAAUAUUGAAUUAAGACUCCUCUUAUUAAAUUAAGACUCUUAAGGCUCUAAUCUAAUGUUCAUGCUCAAUAUCUCCUCUAUCUUUCUACAAUUGGUAAAACUUUUGUAUUAUUAUUCCAAUUUUGGUUACUGGGUUGUGGAAUUUUCCAUUUUUUUUCUGGGUAAUCAAUACUAUAUAUAUGCAUGACAAGUAUAAACAAUAUUUUGGGGCAAAUUUAGUUGUUUAAUUUUUAAUUUUUAUGUGACAGUGAGAUUAUGGUAGGAUUUCGUUUAGAUUCUGCGGCCCAAUGGGAGUCUCUGCUUUGAUAAGAUUGGGGUUGAUGCCAAGAAAGCCAAUAAGCCUACUGUGGACGCCGUAGCCGCCUGGCGCUGUUUUCCAAAAUCCUCUCUCACUUGGUUAAGCAAUUAAGACUUUUUGGUUCAGUUUUUAUUAUGCCCAAUUUUGUAUUUAAACCUUAAAAAAAUUUAAACUGAUAUGGGGAUACUGAAAUAGGCUGCAGAGCUGCCAUCCCUGAAUCAGAAGAUGUUCAGAAGGAAGAAGAAGAACAAGAAGAAAGUCGUGGAAUAUCAAAAGCUUUUAGCUUUGUGAAGGUAUGCUUUUUCCCAACUCACCUCUUGCUUUUGUUGCACUGAAUUGGUAGAUUGGGUUCAAAAAUAUAUAUAUGUGAUUUUUCGUGUAACUAUUUCUUUACAUAAUUACCAAUUGGAGGUGAUUUGAGAUCAUGUAACAUUUCCUCGCUAGAACCGAAGAUUGCCGUCGCUCAGAGCUGCGUUUCAUGAAACAAGUUCAUCUCCUGCCAAUUUUGUGUACCCACCUUUUAUUCAUGAGGGUUGGUGCUUGCUUGCAACACAAUUUGGUGCUAUUAAGUUUUGCGGUUUUACAAUUUGUUCAUGCUUAAACCUCUUUCAAAUUUUCAUUUCUAUGUAAAUCUUGCAGGUAGGACGACACACCUAUCUUGGCAAUGUCGGGAUGUCUAGGCUUGGGUGGAGACGUGGUCUUAUGGAAGAGGUGAAGUAGCUUAGCUCGAUCUCAUUAGCUCUUAUCUGUUCUAUUAUGCUAAGAUCAAUAGUAAAAAGUUCUAUUGAUUUUAUAAUCAAAGAUACAUAUAUUAUAGAAACAGAGGGUAUAUAAUUAAUUUCUUGAUGUAAACAAUUAUAACUUGAGGAACCAUUUAAAGUAUUUUGGUAAUCAGCAUACUUAAACUUAAAUGUGAUAUAUCCGUUUAGUAUUUUUUUUAUACAGUGAUAAUACUUAAGUAUAAUUUACAUCAUAUAUCUUUUGAAGUACAUGAAACUAUGAAGAAAAUGAUAAACCAAAUCCCAUUCCAUCUCUGUUUGCUACUGCACAAUCACAAUCCAAUUCCAACAUGGAAUCCUCAGACGACAUGCCUACUGCAGAACAAGUUUCAUCCUGACUUAACUUAUAUUUAGUCCACGUCCUGUUUAGAUUGUAAUCCUAGUUCUACGUGUGUUUGUAUAGUACUCCUAUAAAUAUCAAUGAACAUCGCUCACUCUAAUUAAGAGUUGAGAUUCUGCAAAUCAUAUUUACUAUCUUUCAUGGUAUCACGAGCCAGCGUCUAACGACAACGGUUCCUAUUAUAAUUUUUUUCUCUUUUGCAGAUCCUAAACUAUGGCAUCUUCUUCCUCCUCCGCUGCUCCCUCCAUCACAAAUUUUCUUACGAUCAAGCUCGACCGCAACAACUACCCUCUUUGGCAUGCUCAGUUUCUUCCCUUGCUGCGCAGCCGCAACUUACUCUCUUAUGUUACUGGCGAAACUCAAUGCCCCUCUUUCUUCUUGAUGACAAUGGUAAAUUCACCGAUAAAGUCAAUCCAUUAUAUAAUGAAUGGAUCCAGACUGACCAGAUGAUCCUAUCUUGGAUUACGAGUUCUCUUACUCCCAAGGUUCUUGCUACGAUCGUCAACAAAAUUGAUUCGGCCUCUGCUUGGUCGUCAAACUCGAAUUAAUCUGAUUGUGAGGGUUUUGUUUUAUAUCAAUAUAUUGCAACAGAAGUCACACUUUGAAGAGUUCAUGCUGCACAGAAAGAUGAUGAAAUGCUACCCGUUGAGUCUAUCAUUGCUCCAUUGGAGACAGAGCUGAAGCUUACUGCAGGAGUUAUACAUUUGUUAUGCAAUAUGACCCCUUUAAUUUUAUUUUAAAACUGAUACAAAAAUACUACAAAAAUUUAUGUAGUAUUUUUGUAUCAGUUUUGAGUGUCUAUUUUGGCUUCCAUAUAUCGUCUGUACAUGUGAGAGGUAUAGUGUUCAAUAUGUAUUUGGUUUCUAUAUUGUUAAUGGAUCCUUUUUUUUUUUUUAAUUUUAAUAUAAUUUUAUUAAGGUAACCAAGUUGCAGGAUGACAUCAGAACACUUGAUCUGCAGGUAAACCUUCAAUUUCCAUAUGAAGUUUGCAUGUUCGUUGUUUCUGGAAUUUGAGUUUUUAUUAUUUCUCAAUUCUAUCACAUAGAUUACGAUUUCACAUAUGUGAUUAUUAAUGGCAAUUAUAUGAUAGAAGAAUUGGGAUUGGAAGAAGAUAUUGAGUUGUUUAUUUAUGGGGAUUAGAAAAUGAUUAUCAUACAAGUGAUAUUUAUUUUUGUGUGGAUUGUUAAUAUAUAAAACUAUAAGCUUUUGAGAUUGGGAGAUAAAACCCACAAAUUCAAAUCAGACAAAAUAAAUAAAAAAUUUAACUGACUUAAAGAUCAAACUCCAAAAGGGUAUUAAAAACAAGGCUUAUUUGAUCCAUUGAGUGUGAAAGUUUUGAGCUUUGAAGAAGCAUAGGAGGAGAGUUGUUAACCAAGCUGCAUUAUCCAUGUAUUAGGAUGUUGAGGGUAGGCAGGAAAAAUACUUUUUGACGCCAUAUCCAGAGGAGCAUAACGACAGGCCUGCAUUUUUGCAGCAAGGACCAAAACAAGUAGAAGUGAAGGCUUGACUGUUUGGGUAUUAAUCCUAAACCUAAUUAUUCUUAUUUAGGUUUAGGAUAAAUGAUUGAGUGUGUCUCGAUGAUUGUAUUACCAUGUUUGAUGAAUGACUUGAGGAGUUGGAAAUGGUUUAUUGCUUAUGUUUUUCUUAGGUGUGUACUUUGGUUAUUUCCGAGCUUUUCACGACUCUUGAUACCUAAUAGAGAAAAUGGAAACCCCAACUUUAAUUUUAUGAAUUGGUUUUGGUGCCUAAAAUGAAAUCUAGCAUAGUGAAAUCUUGCAUAAUGAAAUUAUGACAAAUUUCCCUUCAUCUUUAGAUUUUCAUUUAGUUCAAUUUGUAUGCAAUUUAGGGUUAUUCAAUUCAUGAGUGAUCAAAUUAUGUUUUUAAUUCCUUCUUCUUUUGAUUUACAGUUCAACAUUGUCGUACAAAAUGAAAAAGGUGCCAGUAACAUAGUUAUGGAUUUGGAUGCCUUUAGCGGAAUAAAACUGAAUUUUUUAACUUUGUAUAGUUGUAAACAUAAAAUACUCCAUCAGAUAGACUCAUAGCAUUUGAAAACAAUCCUUGAGGAUGGCAUAACAACAUCUCCAACUUUUGUCAUGUAAUGUAUGAAUGUAAAUAGCACUUUGUAAACAUAUGGAUGUAAUAUAUGUAUAUAAACAGUCUUUAGCAUGUAUAUUUUUCAAAACUUUCUACAUCUUCAACAAUGUUUCAAUGAUUUCUUGAUGUAAACAAUGAUAAUUUGAAGAACCAUUUAAAGUUUUCGGUAAUCAGCAUACUUAAGCUUAAAUGUGAUAUAUCCGUUUAGUAUUUUUUAUACAGUGAUAAUACUCAAGUAUAAUUUACAUCAUAUAUCUUUUGAAGUACAUGAAACUAUGAAGAAAAAACCCUAAUUAAUCUGAUUAUGGGGGUUUUGUUUUAUAUCAAAAUAUUGCAGCAGAAGUCACACUUUGAAGAGUUCACGCUGCACAGAAAGACGAUGAAAUGCUAUCUGUUGAGUCCAUCAUUGCUCCAUUGGAGACAGAGCUGAAGCUUGCUGCAGGUGGUAUACUUUUGUUCUGCAAUAUGACCCCUUUAAUUUUAUUUUAAGACAGAUAGGGUUGAAAAGAAUUUAUGUAGUAUUUUUGUAUCAGUUUUGAAUGUCUAUUUUGACUUCCAUAUUUGGUCUGUACAUGUGAGGUAUAGAGUGUUCAAUAUGUAUUUGGUUUCUAUAUUGUUAAUGGAUCUUUUUUUUUUGUUUUUUAGGUAACCAAGUUGCAGGAUGAAAACAAAACACUUGAUCAGCAGGUAAACCUUCAAUUUCCAUAUGAAGUUUGCAUUUUUGUUGUUUCUGGAAUUUGAGUUUUUUGCAGGAUGAAAACAGAACACUUAAUCUGCAGGUAAACACUUGAUUUGUUAUUUCCAAGCUUUUCACGACUUUCGAUACCCAAUAGAGAAUAUGGAAACCCCAACUUUAAUUUUAUGAAUUUGUUUUGGUGCCUAAAAUGAAAUCUAGCAUAGUGAAAUCUUGCAUAAUGAAAUUAUGACAAAUUUCCCUUCAUCUUUACAUUUUCAUUUAGUUCAAAUCGUAUGGUUUAGGGUUAUUCAAUUCAUGAGUGAUCAAAUUAGGUUUUUAAUUCCUUCUUCUUUUGAUUUUCAGUUCAGCAUUGUCGUAUUUUGGAUGCCUUUAGUGGAAUAAAACUGAAUUUUUUUAACUUUGUAUAGUUGUAAACAUAAAAUACUCCAUGAGAUAGACUCAUAACUUUUGAAAACAAUCUUUGAGGAGGGCAUAACAACAUCUCCAACUUUUGUCAUGUAAUGUAUGAAUGUAAAUAGCACUUUGUAAACAUAUGUAUGUAAUAUAUGUAUAUAAACACCACUCUUUAGCAUAUAUAUUUUUCAAAACUUUCUACAUCUUCAACAAUGUUUCAAGCCCCGCGGCAACGGGCGGGUACACUUGCUAGUAUACAUCUAAAAUUAUAAGACUAAAUCCUUUAGUUCUUGGAUUCAUCUAAGAACUACUUAUUCCAGCAGAUGCUAUGCUUGCACUACUAGAAUUUAUGGCUUGCCCUGUCAACUAUUGCGCGACAGAAGAUUUCGUCGGUUUCACCUUUUUUAACCGACAGAAUAUAAGUUUAGUAGGGCAAAAUCAGUCAACAAACUGGGUUGAUUGAAUAAAUUUACAGGAUGGCUAGAGUUCGUAGGUUAAGACAUCGGUCGUUGGGCAAACAUUUGGAGCGAAGAUGUGAGUGUUUUAACUGACGAAUAAGCUGGUCGUCAUGUAGAUCUUCUUUCCCGACGGACGGUUCAACAGGUAGCUCUUUGGAUAAUAAUUCAUCUUCAAGGGGAACAGGUUGCCCCUCAGAUGAAUGGUUAGAGGCAAUUGUGAGACUAUAAUUUUCUAGGGCCGGAAUAAAAAAUACAUAAACCCUCACCUAUUCUGUCUCUGUAACCAUCCACCAAAUACCCAUUUUUCCCUUUCUAUUUCUCUCCUAGUAAUUUCCCCUGACCGAAUCACACAAUCCAACCAACUCUCUUUAAGCCUCCCUCACUGAUUCCAUGGAUUUCAUGGACUUAUCCCACCCUCUCUCCUUCCUUCUAUAUAUAGCAAGUCCCCUUGCCUCAGUGUCCCUGGCAACAGAAUUUAUGGCGUUUCUUCGUUCUUUCAAUUAUUUGAAAGCUUCCCUGCCCUGCAAUCUUGUAUAAAGGCGUAUGGUGUUUCAUCAGUUCCAUUUGGUGGUCGGGUGGGAAAUGAAAUUAAAACACUGCAUUUCAAAUGCAUUUCAAAUGGUCUAAACCAAAUUGAAUCAAAUGUGAAGCAAAGGGCAAGAGGUGUAGAUUGAAGAACAAUGGCACCAAGAGCGAAAUUGAACUUGUUGACAGGAGGAAACCAAGUAAGGAUAACACGUCUAAAUCUUAUUUUGAAUCCAUUCAGCUCAUGAUGUUUUGAAUGAUGAUGAUCGGUAUACUCUGCUACAUGCUGUGAUUUUUCCGCUUUCAUGUAAUUAACGGCUUAUAUUUGUGGUAACCAUAUUGAUUAAAAAAGGUCGUACCCAGUGCACAAGGCUCCCGCUUUACGCAGGGUCUGAAAGGUGAAUGUCGGCUAGCCUUACCCCCAUUUUAUGGAGAGGCUGCUCCAAAGUCUCAAACCCAAGACCUACCGCUCAUGGGCGAAGACACUUGCCAUCGCACCAAGUGCGAUAUUGAUUAAUUUCGAGAAAUGACAGUCUAAUUUUUGCAACUGUCUUUUGCAGGCAAAACAAAGACGUUUGCAAGGGUGAGUUGUGUAGGAGCUUUGUUUCAUGUCCAAAGGACACUUGAGAAUAAAUGUUUACACUCAUGGAUAAUAUCUAUCUAUUUGCAGGAGUAACCCUGGGUUCAUUUGUUCUGUAACUGCUGGUCAUUGCGGCAUAUCACGCCUAUAGCACUGACAAAAGUAAAAAGAGAAUCGAAUGAAAUUUGAUAAGUUUUCAGCGGACUACAAAGAUCUUAAGCCAAGCAUAUAUUCCCAUGCAGAUAUUAAGAGGUUUACAAAUCAAUUCAAGUACAAGUUGGGCCAAGGAGCAUACGGAACUAUUUUUAAAGGAAUGCUUUUUUCUGAAUGCUUUGUUGCCAUGAAGUACUUAACAAUGGGCCAUAUUCACCAUGUCAAUGUGGUUCACUUGGUUGGUUUUUGUGCUGAUGGAUUUAGAUGAGCUCUGGUUUAUGAGUUCUUUUCCUUUGGUUCACUCCAGGAUUAUAUUUCAUCAGUAGAUAGAUUUCUUUCCUUGGUUGGCAUAAGUUACAAGAUAUUGCUAUCAGCAUAGCCAAAGGAACCAAGGAUGUGAUCUACAAAUCCUCCAUUUCGAUAUCAAACCCCAUAAUGUUUUGCUCAACCAAAAAAUCACGCCAAAAAUCUCUGAUUUUGGUCUGGCCAAGUUAUGUUCCAAGGAUCAAUCGGCGUGACUAAAGCAAGGGGGACUAUGUGACUAAAGCACCCGAAGUGUUUUCCAGGAAUUUCGGAAAUGUGUCUUACAAGGCAGAUGUCUUGAAUGCUGCUGCUUGAGAUGGUAGGAGAAAAGAAGAAUAUUGGUUCAACCAGAGGACACGACAAAUGAAAUCUACUAUCCAAAAUGGAUUUAUAAUCUUCUAGAGGAAGGAAAUGACCAACAGAUCCCUAUUGAGGAAGAAUGUUAUGGUAAGAUUCCAAAGCAACUUGCAAGUUUAGGGCUCUGGUGCAGCCAGUGACACUCAGUGGAUCGGCGGUCCAUGAAAACGGUGGUUCGGAUGUUAGGAGGAGGAGAAAACUUGAUGAUGCAAGCAACCCUAAAAGCCUCAUACAGUUAGAAGCAAUUGCUGAAUUAGAGUAACAUACGUAUAUGUAUACGCACCAACACAAGUCGUUCUUAGAUGAAUCCAAGCCAAACAAUUACAGACAAUAGUUAUUCACUAAAUCACUUUAAGGCAAGAAUUUAAUUAAUAAUACAUUACUGCACUUUCUUAACCAUUUGACUAUCACCUAGCUGACAAUGAACACGUUAGCUCCGCGUUAGAACAUCUUGGGUUCAAUUCAUUGUCUUGAAUAUCACCCACUGUCACAGGCGUCUUUUGGGGGCAUAGAGAAGGCCUGAGAGGCAUUUGCAGACAUUCAACAUCUCCUCCAAGCAUUUUGACAACUUUGGACAUCGAAGGGCGAUCACUUGGUUUCAUUUGAAUACACCACAAGGCGGUUAUAACCAUCUUUCUUAUUACUUUCUUUUCCUCCUCUGUAACAUUGUCCAUUUCCAAGUCAUUUCCUACAAUAUACUGAUCGUAUACCCACAUUGGGAAGUAGAUUUGGCUUGAAUGCUCUACCGUUGGAUUCAAAUUCCUCCUUCUGCUUGCCAUUUCCAUCAACAACAUUCCAAAACUAUAGACAUCUGACUUAUAUGAGACGCCUCCAAUAUUUUUGUAGAACAACUCAGGAGCAAUAUAUCCCAGUGUACCCCGUGCUGCUGUCAAAGAGACAAUGCUAUUAUCUACAUGAUACAAUUUUGCAAGCCCAAAGUCAGAAACCUUUGCUUUAAAGUUCUCAUCAAGAAGGAUGUUAUGAGGCUUGAUGUCGAAAUGUAGAAUUUGCAUUUCGCAACCUUGGUGUAGAUAUUCGAUCCCUUGAGCCACUCCAAGAGAAAUCUCGUACAUGUUCUUGAUAGUUAAGGGGACACUUCCUUCUUUGGAAUAAAUGUAUUUAUCAAGAGAACCAUUAGGCAUGAAGUCAUAGACUAGAGCGCGUUUUGAUCCCUCAACAUAGUAUCCAACAAGUUGCACCACAUUGGCAUGGUGAAUCCUUCCGAUUGUAGCUAAUUCGCUAAUGAAAUCUUGGCCAUCAGCUUUGGGCUUGGCCAAAACUUUAACUGCUACAAAUCGACCACUGCGUAGCUUUCCCUUAAAUACAGAGCCAAAGCCACCUUUGCCCAACUUGUCCUUAAACUUGCGAGUCAUUUUCUUGACGUCCGAGUAAGAGUACCUUAUAGGCAUGAAGUUGUUAUUGCAUUGCAGAAAAUCUUCUAUUGUGCUAUACAUUGAUAAAUGUCUUCUGCGCCAUGUGUAGAUUAGAAAUGCAGUCACAAUUGGAACUCCAAAAACAAAUCUGGCUAGGAAAAAUAACCCUACAUGCAUUGACAUUAAUAUGUUAGAUCCACUGCGUACUACUUUUUCUUCCCUUUCUUUCCAAAUUACUUUGUCUUUGAUGUAAUUAAAGAGAGAAUGGGAAAUGUACAUAUGUUGAUAAUACAAUCUCGUCUUAGUCCUUACCGAUGCAUAUGAGUAUAAACCAUACACGUACUGCAACAAAAUCAAUCGACUAUGAGUUUGAAAAGUGCAUAAAGUGAAAAAAAAAUAAAAAAAAUCAAAGGGUGCCUUUAUUGACAUCCAAAUUUUAGUUAGUUUUACUCAACUAAAAAAUUUUUGUCAUCAAACUUUUUAAUUUGCCGUCGAAAUUGAGUUCACCCAACCCACAAAGCAGCAACUACCACUCACCAAAAAAACCAACAACACACAGCCACCAGUACCAUUCACCAAUAGAAAGAGAAGGAACACACAGACCCACCAAGGAGCCGGCAUCGACGCGUCUACGAGGGAGGGACCGGAGGGUGGUGUAGUUUUGUUGGGCGCGCGGUAGUGGUUUUGUCUGUUCAUUUUCUCUUUGUUUUGGUAGGUGGAGGCUGGUGUGGAUUUGGGCGAACUUAAAAAUGAGGGGAAACUAUGAAGUUUGACAAAAUGUUUUAGUUAGGUGAACUUCACUAAAAUUUGGGUGCCGAUAAAGAUACCCAAAAUCAAAAGACUAGAUGGACUAAUUAAAUGAAGCUCUUACCCAUAUAUAACGAUGGACGCAACUUGCCAGCUGCUGCAGUACAUACCACGGAAAAGUGAGCAAAGACAUACAGUUACUAGGUUUAAGAAGUACAGAUAGAGCACACAAAAAAUAAAAGAAGCUUUUGGGAAGAAACUUCUUACGCAAAUAGAUUUUUUUCAUGACCUACAGUAAAAAAAUGUCAAGAAGAAUACACAACAUUAGCAAUAGCUCACCCAGUCUUCAAAAUUUAAAAAAUCAAGUUUGUCGAUCGAAAACUUGUAAAUAAAACAAAAAGAGGACCCCUUACCGAUUUGUUGCCAUAGAUAUUGAAAGAAACCUACAAGAACAAAGAAAGAACAAGACCACAUGCAUUAGAAUAACAAGUGUGAGGUGUAUAAGCCGUUAGAAAAUAAAUUUAAAAUUCUAGUGCUGUCAAUACAUUGAUAAUAUAUAUAUAUAUAUAUAUAUAUAUAUAUAUAUGUAUGUAUGUAUUAUUUUUUCUGAAAAUUUAACUUUUCCCGUCCAAACUCAUUUUUCUAGUCUCUAGCCCAACAUAUAAUAUUUAUCUGAAUAAAACCAAAUGAUUAGGAUCCAACUAAGAAACUUACCAAAUUAAGUUUGUGUGUCCAUUUUUAUAUUUUUUGGAUCCCUAAUAUACCCCAUCUAAGCCAGUAUGGAAAGGUCUUGUAAUUUUGCUUUAAGUGAUUACGUGCAUUGAAUUUGGCAAGGUCUUAUAGCCAUGAAAUAUGGUUCUAGAUGGAGGAAUUAAUUUGGAAUUUUUUUUAAUUUCGACAACAAAUUUCAAUUUGAAUAUACCUAAUUUAGUGUUUAUUUUCAACAAUAAAUGUGCCUACUUUUUAAAUUUGUAACAAAAUUAAUUUACCUACUUUUUAUGGUAUUAGUGACACACCCUGUCCCGAAGGAGGGCAUGCUGGCCGUCACGAGAGAGUGACGUAACCAUUUGCACAGUACGGAAGCUUUAAGAUACAAUUUAUAAGUUGAUACACCCGAAGGUGAGUCCUAAUUUUUGUCCAAUCUGUCAGAACACCGUCAAAUUCCUCGUAGUCACCACACCUUUGUGAUUCCUGAACCUGGAGGGGCGCAAAACCAAAAUUGAGUGGGUCAGUAAAACAAUUCUUUUCCAAAUCCAAACAUUUCUCAAAACGUUGUAACCCUCUCCGUAAAACUUGUAUACUUUCCCAGAAAUGUAAAAUAUAAAUAUACAUAUAUAUUCUCAAACUUCAUUUUUACUAUCUCAACAUUUUUCUUUAUCAAACAUGCCAUGCCAUGUCUAAUUCAACAGUUAAGUAUGGAUGCAUCAACAAUAAUCAUAUCAGGUGCAAGAAAGUAAUCAACCGGAGGCCCUCUAAUAGCCCUGUACGGUUGAACCUAGAGCUCAAAAUCUAUCACUCUCACUCUGCCGGGAGUCACCUCUGUGACCUGUCCGGCCUUCUGCACACAAGUUACGCUCUAGUGCUUUCUCAUCAAUCAUCUGUGCACAUAAUCUAAGGUCACCCACCAGUCGAAAUCUCACUAACACUCUUCGACUGGCCCGUCGCACCCACUCCGCGUGGACUGUGCGACCAGCAUCUACUUGGAUCCAAGGCGAGCGUGCGAUGCGGUGAAUACUAUAAGCACUAAACCAUGGUGCAGGAUUUGAGCUCAAUAUAUAUCAACAUCAUCAUAACAGUACUUAAAUACUCACCUGAUACUCACCUGUGCGUCCGCCGCACCAAUUCAUACAUAUGCAUCAUAUUUCAAUUCAUAUCAUUUCAUGCAUGGCAAUUCGAUUCACAUUUCUAUAUACAUUUCAUAUACUUCUAUGCAUGACCUUUCAAUUCACGUUUUCAUAUAAUUCUAUAUACCUUUCAUUUAAAACAUAAUUUCAUUCUAAUUCAAUUUCUGGGAAAACGUCAAGUAUAUAUAUACGGAAAACAAAACUGCCCACUCACCUGGAGUUCGUCCAACAACUCCCUAGCACCACACAUCAAGGCGUCAUGACGAUCGCCGUCUAGAACAGUAAUCAAAUCCAGCCUCAGAAUUCAUAUCGAUAGAACAUAUAACUUAUAUAAAAUAUGUCACUACGUAGAUCGAUCCGGAAGAUCUGCCACUCAGAUUUUAAAUCCAUAACUUCCAGAGGUCCACAAUAUAUCUCUAGGAUAACAUCCUAAAAUUUCAUUACCAUCCAACGGUCGGAUCUCCGUCAAUUUCCAAAACUAAGUGACGGUUAACAUUUUAUUUUAUGAACUUACAAUUCUAAUUCCGGAAGAUCCGUAACUCGGAUUCCCAAUCCGUAAGUUCCAAUAAUCCUCAAAUAUUACGUAUUACAACGUAUCAAAGUUUGGUAACGAUCCAACGGUCGGAUCAUCAAUUCACAUUUUCACCUAAUGCGAAAACUAUAAAACGUUAUUCGAACACCUAACCAACAAUCCUUAAUAACUUUCUCAUACGGUGUUCAAUUUGGGUAUAUGAAUAUACCACAGUGAUCUACUCAUUAAAAUAAUUUUUUACUGUAGCACGCGCCCCCACGCGCCAAGGAAGGCACGGACCUACGCGCCCCCACGCGCACCUUCUUCUUCCUUGGGUCGCCGGACUGGUUUUUCCGGCGGCCGUUUUUCAAAUUGCCAUAACUUUGUCAUUUCUCAACGAAAUCAAGUGAUUCAAAAACGAAAGUUGUAGCCCUUGAAGAGACAAAGAGAAUGGUACCUUGCACAACACCUAGUUCGCCGUGGUUUGGCCGGAAACUGCUUCGAAAGCCUCGGAGGUCGCCAGAAACUGGGUAUUUUUCAAAUCAGUAUAACUUCUUCAAUACUCAACGAAAUUGAGUGAAACAAAAAGGAAAGUUGUAGUACUUGACGAGACGAAGAGAUUGAUACCUACCUCGACUCCUAACUCACCGGAUAUUCGCCGGAAAAUGCCUCGAAAGCUCCGGCCAAACUUUGAACUUGUCGAUCUCCGUGUUCUUACAUCCAAAAACUUCCAACGAAGCACUCCGAGCUUCCUUGGGACCUCACUAAGCUCGCUAUGAUCUUGUUUUAGCCUAAAACGUAGUCAUUUAGAAGAUCAUGAACAAUACCAUUUCACGGGAACUUUGAAACUAGGGUUUUCCGAAGCAAAACUUACCUGAAAUGGAUACCAUCGUGAUCGUGGAGGUUCCAGGAGUUUGAUGGUGGUCUUAACUCUGUCGUUGGUGGAAGUUUAAGGUUGUUUUGUGGUUGGUUUGUUCGAACGGAGAAGAAGAGUGACAGAGAGAGUGAGAGAGUCGUGAGGGAAGAGAGAGAGAGACAGCAUGCAGAAAAUAGGGAGAGGAUUGAGGGGUGUGGGGAUCCCACGUGGUCCUUUUCCAAUCCCCAACUCCAAACCAUAAAAUUUUAACCUAAAAAUCUAAGUUCAAUCCUUAAUAAAUUCCAUUUUAUUUUCAAAACUUAGGAACCUAGAUAAUUAUCAACUUGAGCUUCACAUACUUAGUAUUUCUUAAGGGCAAUUUCGUUCAUUCACAGCCACGAAUGUAAUAUUUUGGAACGGGCUGUGACAAUUAGUAUACAUAAAUGUAGAAUAUAUGUCCGUAUAUAUUUGAUCCAAUUAGUAUUAGGGAGAAUGACAAGUCAUCCAAGUCUGCUACUGUUAAUAAUUCUGUUACUGUAAAUUAACUGAUUGUAUUAGUUGUGAUUAGUUAAGAUAGUUAUAAAGUAGUUAGGGGUAUCUAUGUAAAUAGCCAAAGGCUAUAUAUAUUCCUACACAAUGUGUAAAGUUCUCAGUCAAGUAAAUACAAUCAAGAAAACUUACUGUUGAAGUUUUCUGUUUCUACAUGGUAUCACGCCAUUCCGCUUCACAGCUUCGAUCUUUCUCUUCGCUUGCUGCAUCGAUCGACUCUUGAUCGAUUUUUCUUCUCUGAUCUUCUCUUCGCUUGCUGCAUCGAUCGACUCAUGAUCGAUUUUUCUUCUCUGAUCGUCACUUCUUCCCUUCCGAUCUUGUAGUAUUUUCUUGAUUUCUGUCAGUAAUGGCGGCUCAAUCGACUGGUUCAUCUUCUCCGGUCAUCUCCCCCUCGAGCCCAAACCCUAAUUUUCUCUGGAAACCCUAAUUCCUCUGGAAAUCCGAGUCCUCUGACUUCCUACACUUCUCUCUCACAAUUCAUAACAUCGGCAGCAUGGUGCCGAUCAAGCUCAAAAGAUCCAAUUACCUACCAUGGCGCGCCCUGUUUGGCCCGAUUUUCCGGCGAUACAAGCUUCUUGGAGUAAUCGAUGGUACUGACGUCUGUCCAUCGCCAUUUCUGCCUGAUCGUAGCAUCAAUCCUGCUUUUGAGGACUGGUAUGAGAAAGAUCAAAAUCUUUUUGAUCUGGUUGAAUUCCACACUUUCUGAGGAAAUCAUCCCGUUCACGGUUGGGGUUUCAUCCUCUCGAGAACUUUGGGUAAAGCUUGAACAGCGCUUUGGUGGAAUUUCAGAGGCUCAUAUCCAUCAGUUGCGAUCGCGCCUUCAAUCUGUUCAGAAAGGAUCGCGUUCUAUCUCUGACUAUCUUCAAGAACUCAAGGAAAUUUCAGAUUCUCUGCAAGCUGCUGGUGCUUCUGUCUCUGAUCGAGAUCUUAUCGCCGCCACACUACAUGGCUUGCCUGAUGAAUUUGAGUCUUUCAUCGACUGUAUCAUGCUCCGAUUGUCCUCUACCUCUCUGAUGAACUUCAUGGCCUCCUUCUCACAAAGGAAUUGUCUAUGGCCAGACGCAAAACUGUCAGUUCAUCUCCUGUCCCUGAAUCUUUUCAGGCUUUCUCGGUGCAGUCUCAGCCUCAUCUCCUUCCUACUCCAUCUGCUUUUGCUGCUCAGAAUCUCCCUCUUCAAUCUGCAUCUCGGUUCAACUCUAAUCGUGGCAGGAACACUAAGGGCCAGUUCUUUUCCAAUCGAGGUCAUCGAGGUAAUCGUGGUAAUUUUCCUAAUAAACCGUGGCAAUCGAGGUUAUCAAGGAUUUCGCAGCAAUCAAGGCUCUUCUCACUUCAAAGUGCUUUGUCAAAUCUGUGGUUCUACCAGUCAUGAGGCUAUUGACUGCUUUGAUCGUAUGAAUCCUGACAUCUUGUGGUCGUAUUCCUCCAGCUAAGCUUGCUGCCAUGUGUGCCACAACAUUCUGCUAAACCAUCUCAGCCUUGGUUAAUUGAUUCAGGGGCAACCUCUCAUAUCACUAAUGAUGUUGCUAACCUCACCUCUCCUACUCCCUACACUGGCGAGGAUUAAAGUGUAUAUUGGAGAUGGUAAAGGUUUAUCCAUCCUCAAUGUUGGUUCAUCUACUCUGCACACCUCUCAUAAUUCUUUUCAAUUGCGAAAUGUUUUACAUGUUCCCCACAUAACCCAUAAUCUUAUCUGCUUAUCAGUUUUGUUAAUGAUAAUAAUUGUUCAUUGACACUUGACCCUUAUGGAUCCUAUGUCAAGGAUCGUAUUUCGGGGAAGAUGCUUUUACGGGGACCGGUUAGAGAUGGCUUCUAUCCUCUUCAAAGUUCCAGCAAUCUUCAUCCUCUUUCACAUACCGCUUUACUUAGUAUUAAAGCUCCAGUUACAAUUUGGCACAAGCGUUUGGGUCACCCUUCCUCCUCCAUUUUUAGAAGGCUCCUUUCAUCCAAUAAUCUUGCUUUACAAGGCAAGUCUACUGUGGACUUUUUCUGUUCGGAUUGUGCUCUUGCCAAGAAUCAUAAGCUUCCAUUUAAAGCUGCUACUUCAUCAUCAACUCACAGCCUUCAACUACUGCACUGUGAUCUGUGGGGACCUGCCUCAAUCACAUCAAGUAGUGGUUUUCAAUAUUAUUUGCUCAUUGUUGAUGACUAUAGCAAAUAUAGUUGGUUCUUUCCUUUGAAAUCUAAGUCAGAUGUAUUUUCUACAUUUGUUGUCUUCAAAUCAUAUGUAGAAAAUUCACUUGGAAAUAAAAUAAAGGUUCUGCGUUCAGAUUCAGGGGGUGAAUUUACUAGUCACUCUUUUGCAUCAUAUCUCAGCAAACAUGGCAUUCUUCAUCAGUUCAGUUGUCCCCACACCCCUGAGCAAAAUGGUUGUGCAGAAAGAAAGCACAGGCACCUUGUUGAAAACAGCUCGCACUUUGCUUCUUGCAUUCUCAUGUCCCUCAUAUUUUCUGGGUUGAAGCAUUCUCCACUGCUAUCUAUCUUAUUAAUCGCCUUCCUAUUUCUGGCAUUUCACAGUCCCCUUGGCAGUUGCUAUUUCACAACCAUCCAGACUACUCUAAGCUCAAAGUAUUUGGUUGCCAAUGCUUUCCUUGGCUCAAACCUUACUUUCAUAGCAAAUUGGAUCCCAAGAGCAAAAAGUGUGUUUUCUUGGGGUAUAGUCUUCAACACAAAGGCUAUAGGUGCCUUGAUCCUAUCACCAAUCGCAUCUACAUCUCUCGUCAUGUCUGUAUUCGAUGAAAGUACUUAUCCAUUUCAGUUGUCCCACAUUCAACACUCUUUUCCUGUUCCAAGUCCUCCAUCUUCCUCACCAACAAUUUCUUCCUCUCUGGAUCUUCAUUUUUUAGCAAACACAUUCCUCCUGUUUUCAGUCAGCCAUCUACAUCACCAUUAUGUGCUUCUGUGCCUGUUCCUAUUUCUUCAUCUUCAUCUUCCCCUGCACCUGUCUCAGUUGGCUCUUCUUUCCAGUUUUGUUCCUCCUUCAGCACAUUCAUCUUUCUCCCAAAAUCAACAGAGUCAUCCUCCUGCCCCUGUUAAUUCUCAUCCAAUGAUUACUAGAUCCAAGGCUGGUAUACUCACGUCGAGAGCCUGUGCAGCAACUAAGCACCCACUUCCGGUUGAUAUGGAUUAUGUUCCUACAACAUACUUGCAAGCUUCUAAGCAUGCUCAUUGGAGGCAAGCUAUGCAAGAUGAAUUUAAUGCCUUGCUAACCACUGGUUACUUUGGUCUCUUGUUCCUUCUCACCAUUCUCAAAACUUAGUGGGCUGCAAGUGGGUUUUCCGGAUUAAGAAGAAGCCCGAUGGCACUGUUGACAGAUAUAAAGCCCGGCUUGUGGCCAAGGGUUUUCAUCAACAAGAAGGUAUUGACUUUUCAAGAAAACCUUCAGUCCAGUUGCCAAACCGGUUACAAUUCGGAUCCUUCUUACCCUUUGCUGUGCAAUAUAAUUGGUUUCUCAAUCAAUUGGACAUUAGUAAUGCCUUUCUUCAUGGAGACUUAAAGAGAGGAUGUCUACAUGCAACAACCCCCUGGUUUUGUUGAUCCCUUUACCCUACAUUUUGUAAGUUGAGGAAAUCGUUGUAUGGUCUCAAACAAGCUCCUCGAGCUUGGUUUGAUAAACUGUUCCAAGCUCUUCCUCUCUUGGAUUCACCCAAUCAUCCUCAGAUGCUUCUUUAUUUGUUCUCAAUGGUCCUCAGUUUAGUCAUUGUCCUUGUCUAUGUUGAUGACAUUCUUGUCACCGGACCCUAUCCUUACCUCUGUCAACACUUCAUUCAGCAACUUGGGGCUCAAUUUCCAGUAAAAGACCUUGGUCCUCUUCAUUAUUUCUUGGGAUUAGAAGUACAUCGAUCUUCCCAGGGUAUAUUUCUCCAUCAAACAAAGUACUUAUUGGAUCUUCUCAAGAAAACAAAUAUGGAGGGUGCAAAACCUUGUUGUACUCCCCUUGGCUCUAAGAAAUUAGAUCACAGUGGCCCUCUUCUGUCCAAUCCUACUGAAUAUCGCUCCAUUGUUGGUGGUUUACAAUAUCUUACUUGGACUAGACCCGACCUUGCUUUUGCUGUGAACCAAAUCUGCCAAUUCAUGCAUGCUCCCAGGGAACAACAUCUCCAGGCAGCAAAAAGGGUUCUCAGAUUUCUCAAAGGCUCUAUCUCACAUGGUGUGUGGUUCACUAAAGGCCCUGUCCAUCUUUCUGCCUACUCGGAUGCCGACUGGGCUGGUUGCACAAUUGACAGGAGAUCAACCACUGGUUAUUGUGUAUUUUUGGGUUCCAAUCUUAUCAGCUGGAGUGCCAAGAAGCAAAGUACUGUUGCCAAGGUCCUCUACAGAGGCUGAAUAUCGCUCCUUAGCUCACACAGCUGCUGAGAUAACUUGGGUUUGCAGAUUCUCAAAGAUCUGCACUAUCCUCUCUCUUACAUUCCCUACUUUUGGUGUGACAACAUAUCAGCAAUAUCUUUAGCAUCUAAUCCUGUCUUUCAUGCUCGAACAAAGCAUGUUGAGAUCGAUUAUCNGAAGUUUUCUGUUUUCUACAUGGUAUCACGCCAUUCCGCUUCACAGCUUCGAUCUUUCUCUUCGCUUGCUGCAUCGAUCGACUCUUGAUCGAUUUUUCUUCUCUGAUCUUCUCUUCGCUUGCUGCAUCGAUCGACUCAUGAUCGAUUUUUCUUCUCUGAUCGUCACUUCUUCCCUUCCGAUCUUGUAGUAUUUCUUGAUUUCUGUCAGUAAUGGCGGCUCAAUCGACUGGUUCAUCUUCUCCGGUCAUCUCCCCCUCGAGCCCAAACCCUAAUUUCUCUGGAAACCCUAAUUCCUCUGGAAAUCCGAGUCCUCUGGACUUCCUACACUUCUCUCACAAUUCAUAACAUCGGCAGCAUGGUGCCGAUCAAGCUCAAAAGAUCCAAUUACCUACCAUGGCGCGGCCCUGUUUGGCCCGAUUUUCCGGCGAUACAAGCUUCUUGGAGUAAUCGAUGGUACUGACGUCUGUCCAUCGCCAUUUCUGCCUGAUCGUAGCAUCAAUCCUGCUUUUGAGGACUGGUAUGAGAAAGAUCAAAAUCUUUUGAUCUGGUUGAAUUCCACACUUUCUGAGGAAAUCAUCCCGUUCACGGUUGGGGUUUCAUCCUCUCGAGAACUUUGGGUAAAGCUUGAACACAGCGCUUUGGUGGAAUUUCAGAGGCUCAUAUCCAUCAGUUGCGAUCGCGCCUUCAAUCUGUUCAGAAAGGAUCGCGUUCUAUCUCUGACUAUCUUCAAGAACUCAAGGAAAUUUCAGAUUCUCUGCAAGCUGCUGGUGCUUCUGUCUCUGAUCGAGAUCUUAUCGCCGCCACACUACAUGGCUUGCCUGAUGAAUUUGAGUCUUUCAUCGACUGUAUCAUGCUCCGAUUGUCCUCUACCUCUCUUGAUGAACUUCAUGGCCUCCUUCUCACAAAGGAAUUGUCUAUGGCCAGACGCAAAAACUGUCAGUUCAUCUUCCUGUCCCUGAAUCUUUUCAGGCUUUCUCGGUGCAGUCUCAGCCUCAUCUCCUUCCUACUCCAUCUGCUUUUGCUGCUCAGAAUCUCCCUCUUCAAUCUGCAUCUCGGUUCAACUCUAAUCGUGGCAGGAACACUAAGGGCCAGUUCUUUUCCAAUCGAGGUCAUCGAGGUAAUCGUGGUAAUUUUCCUAAUAACCGUGGCAAUCGAGGUUAUCAAGGAUUUCGCAGCAAUCAAGGCUCUUCUCACUUCAAAGUGCUUUGUCAAAUCUGUGGUUCUACCAGUCAUGAGGCUAUUGACUGCUUUGAUCGUAUGAAUCCUGACAUCUGUGGUCGUAUUCCUCCAGCUAAGCUUGCUGCCAUGUGUGCACAACAUUCUGCUAAACCAUCUCAGCCUUGGUUAAUUGAUUCAGGGGCAACCUCUCAUAUCACUAAUGAUGUUGCUAACCUCACCUCUCCUACUCCCUACACUGGCGAGGAUAAAGUGUAUAUUGGAGAUGGUAAAGGUUUAUCCAUCCUCAAUGUUGGUUCAUCUACUCUGCACACCUCUCAUAAUUCUUUUCAAUUGCGAAAUGUUUUACAUGUUCCCCACAUAACCCAUAAUCUCUUAUCUGCUUAUCAGUUUGUUAAUGAUAAUAAUUGUUCAUUGACACUUGACCCUUAUGGAUCCUAUGUCAAGGAUCGUAUUUCGGGGAAGAUGCUUUUACGGGGACCGGUUAGAGAUGGCUUCUAUCCUCUUCAAAGUUCCAGCAAUCUUCAUCCUCUUUCACAUACCGCUUUACUUAGUAUUAAAGCUCCAGUUACAAUUUGGCACAAGCGUUUGGGUCACCCUUCCUCCUCCAUUUUUAGAAGGCUCCUUUCAUCCAAUAAUCUUGCUUUACAAGGCAAGUCUACUGUGGACUUUUUCUGUUCGGAUUGUGCUCUUGCCAAGAAUCAUAAGCUUCCAUUUAAAGCUGCUACUUCAUCAUCAACUCACAGCCUUCAACUACUGCACUGUGAUCUGUGGGGACCUGCCUCAAUCACAUCAAGUAGUGGUUUUCAAUAUUUAUUUGCUCAUUGUUGAUGACUAUAGCAAAUAUAGUUGGUUCUUUCCUUUGAAAUCUAAGUCAGAUGUAUUUUCUACAUUUGUUGUCUUCAAAUCAUAUGUAGAAAAUUCACUUGGAAAUAAAAUAAAGGUUCUGCGUUCAGAUUCAGGGGGUGAAUUUACUAGUCACUCUUUUGCAUCAUAUCUCAGCAAACAUGGCAUUCUUCAUCAGUUCAGUUGUCCCCACACCCCUGAGCAAAAUGGUUGUGCAGAAAGAAAGCACAGGCACCUUGUUGAAACAGCUCGCACUUUGCUUCUUGCAUCUCAUGUCCCUCAUAUUUUCUGGGUUGAAGCAUUCUCCACUGCUAUCUAUCUUAUUAAUCGCCUUCCUAUUUCUGGCAUUUCACAGUCCCCUUGGCAGUUGCUAUUUCACAACCAUCCAGACUACUCUAAGCUCAAAGUAUUUGGUUGCCAAUGCUUUCCUUGGCUCAAACCUUACUUUCAUAGCAAAUUGGAUCCCAAGAGCAAAAAGUGUGUUUUCUUGGGGUAUAGUCUUCAACACAAAGGCUAUAGGUGCCUUGAUCCUAUCACCAAUCGCAUCUACAUCUCUCGUCAUGUUGUAUUCGAUGAAAGUACUUAUCCAUUUCAGUUGUCCCACAUUCAACACUCUUUUCCUGUUCCAAGUCCUCCAUCUUCCUCACCAACAAUUUCUUCCUCUCUGGAUCUUCAUUUUAGCAAACACAUUCCUCCUGUUUUCAGUCAGCCAUCUACAUCACCAUUAUGUGCUUCUGUGCCUGUUCCUAUUUCUUCAUCUUCAUCUUCCCCUGCACCUGUCUCAGUUGGCUCUUCUUCCAGUUUUGUUCCUCCUUCAGCACAUUCAUCUUUCUCCCAAAAUCAACAGAGUCAUCCUCCUGCCCCUGUUAAUUCUCAUCCAAUGAUUACUAGAUCCAAGGCUGGUAUACUCACGUCGAGAGCCUGUGCAGCAACUAAGCACCCACUUCCGGUUGAUAUGGAUUAUGUUCCUACAACAUACUUUGCAAGCUUCUAAAGCAUGCUCAUUGGAGGCAAGCUAUGCAAGAUGAAUUUAAUGCCUUGCUAACCACUGGUUACUUGGUCUCUUGUUCCUUCUCACCAUUCUCAAAACUUAGUGGGCUGCAAGUGGGUUUUCCGGAUUAAGAAGAAGCCCGAUGGCACUGUUGACAGAUAUAAAGCCCGGCUUGUGGCCAAGGGUUUUCAUCAACAAGAAGGUAUUGACUUUCAAGAAAACCUUCAGUCCAGUUGCCAAACCGGUUACAAUUCGGAUCCUUCUUACCCUUGCUGUGCAAUAUAAUUGGUUUCUCAAUCAAUUGGACAUUAGUAAUGCCUUUCUUCAUGGAGACUUAAAGGAGGAUGUCUACAUGCAACAACCCCCUGGUUUUGUUGAUCCCUUACACCCUACAUCUGUUUGUAAGUUGAGGAAAUCGUUGUAUGGUCUCAAACAAGCUCCUCGAGCUUGGUUUGAUAAACUGUUCCAAGCUCUUCACUCUCUUGGAUUCACCCAAUCAUCCUCAGAUGCUUCUUUAUUUGUUCUCAAUGGUCCUCAGUUUAGUCAUUGUCCUUGUCUAUGUUGAUGACAUUCUUGUCACCGGACCCUAUCCUUACCUCUGUCAACACUUCAUUCAGCAACUUGGGGCUCAAUUUCCAGUAAAAGACCUUGGUCCUCUUCAUUAUUUCUUGGGAUUAGAAGUACAUCGAUCUUCCCAGGGUAUAUUUCUCCAUCAAACAAAGUACUUAUUGGAUCUUCUCAAGAAAACAAAUAUGGAGGGUGCAAAACCUUGUUGUACUCCCCUUGGCUCUAAGAAAUUAGAUCACAGUGGCCCUCUUCUGUCCAAUCCUACUGAAUAUCGCUCCAUUGUUGGUGGUUUACAAUAUCUUACUUGGACUAGACCCGACCUUUGCUUUUGCUGUGAACCAAAUCUGCCAAUUCAUGCAUGCUCCCAGGGAACAACAUCUCCAGGCAGCAAAAAGGGUUCUCAGAUUUCUCAAAGGCUCUAUCUCACAUGGUGUGUGGUUCACUAAAGGCCCUGUCCAUCUUUCUGCCUACUCGGAUGCCGACUGGGCUGGUUGCACAAUUGACAGGAGAUCAACCACUGGUUAUUGUGUAUUUUUGGGUUCCAAUCUUAUCAGCUGGAGUGCCAAGAAGCAAAGUACUGUUGCAAGGUCCUCUACAGAGGCUGAAUAUCGCUCCUUAGCUCACACAGCUGCUGAGAUAACUUGGGUUUGCAAGAUUCUCAAAGAUCUGCACUAUCCUCUCUCUACAUUCCCUACUCUUUGGUGUGACAACAUAUCAGCAAUAUCUUUAGCAUCUAAUCCUGUCUUUCAUGCUCGAACAAAGCAUGUUGAGAUCGAUUAUCACUAUAUUAGAGAAUUGGUUUUGGCUCAACUUCUCAAAGUCAAGUUCAUCUGCAGUGAAGACCAAUUAGCUGAUCUUCACACCAAGUCUCUGUCUAAAACCAGAUUUAAUUAUCUGUGUUCCAAGCUUCCCAUUGGUCUCAUUUCUGAUCCCCCUUCUCGCUUGAGGGGGUGUAUUAGGGAGAAUGACAAGUCAUCCAAGUCUGCUACUGUUAAUAAUUCUGUUACUGUAAAUUAACUGAUUGUAUUAGUUGUGAUUAGUUAAGAUAGUUAUAAAGUAGUUAGGGGUAUCUAUGUAAAUAGCCAAAGGCUAUAUAUAUUCCUACACAAUGUGUAAAGUUCUCAGUCAAGUAAAUACAAUCAAGAAAACUUACUGUUGAAGUUUUCUGUUUCUACAGGUUUUGGAUUGGAGGAGUUGACACAAAAUUAUAAAUAUAUUAAACAAAUUUAUCUAUUCUAAAGUUGGAGGGAAAUUGGCCUGUACAUUGCUACAGUAAUUUUUUUUUACCCAAUUUCACGUUAUUUACAACAAAGCUAUCAGAUUUGGGUUGGGUUGGAGGGUAAUUUGUUAAAAGUUAGGAGGGUAAUUUUGUGCAUAGGGUUUAGGUGCCCUCCUAUACAUGACCCUUGAUUUUACUUUAUUUACACCACUGCCAUCAAAUAUGUGGCUGAAUUGGAGGGUAUUAUUAAAAGUUAGGAGGGUAGUUUGUUCAAGGGGUGAGGGCGACAUUCGCAGACAGAGAGCGAUGGGAGCCAUGGCCAUUGCACAGAGAGAAAGGGAGUGAUGGGGGAAAUUACAGACAGAAAAGGAAGGGAUGGGGGGGAUUUGAUGGAUGGUCACAGAGAGAGAUUGGGUGAGGGAUGUGAGAGGAGAUUACAGAGAGAUAAAUAAAAGGGAGGGAUCGGGGGAUGUGAGGGAUGGUCAGGGAGAGAAAUAGUGAGGGAGGGAGGGAUGGGGGGGCUGAUUUUCGGUUCCUCCUUCCAGAUUUGUUCCGUAAAAACCUGUUGGGUAGAAUUCAAUUUCCUCCCCCUUUCCCCUGAACGAAAAAUUCGAAACCUACAACUCAAAACUCACUCAUUUGUCGUCCCUCCUUGGCUUUCCGCUUUACUCAUCUCCCGGUGGUUCUCUCUCCAUACGAUUCCAUUUCGGUGAGUUCUUCGUUGCCCUCAUGAUUUCCCACUUUUAUUUUUGGGGCGUCCUUAGUCGUCGUUUUUAUCUGGGUUUACUGCAUUGUUGCUUUUAGUUUCUGGAUUUUUAUUUUUUUGGCACUUGGAUGAAUCGUGGUUAAUAAUUUCACAUCAUGGGAUUUUCGCACUUCUGAUGGAAUUGAGCGCGGGGAUUCGGGGUGGGGUUUUACUGAUAAUUUGUCUUCAUUCAAACGAAGGGUUAAAAUUUAUGAGUAUUAACAAAUUUUGUAAAUUAUUCUUAUACAUUUUAUUGAGGGAUCUAAUCGAUUUCUUUCUGUAGUGGGAUUGAAAUUGGGGCUUUGUGGUACUCUCUCUCGCUCACUCUCUCUCCUAUGUGUAUGAAUUGAGUUCUGCAGUGAGUUUGCAGGUGGGCGCGUUCACUAACUAAGCUUUCAAGGGAACCGAUCAACGGUUUGCUUGCUGGGGGAAUUCGGAGACUACCAGUGUAUGAUUUAGUUAUCAUUAAUUUUUUUACUUAAUUUUAUCCAUAUAUAAUAUGUGGGUAAAUUUAGAGGUCGCACUUGGUGCGAUGGCAAGUUCCUUCGCCCAUGAGCGGUAGGUCUCGGGUUCGAGACUUGGGAGCAGCCUCUCCAUAAAUGGGGGUAAGGCUAGCCGACAUUUACCUCUCCCAGACCCUGCGUAAAGCGGGAGCCUUGUGCACUGGGUACGAUCUUUUAUAAUAUGUGGGUAAAUUUAUACUAAACAAUUGUGAUAAGCCAAUAUGCUAUACGACUUUGAAAGCAUUGAUUUUGUGUUUAGUUUGCAUUUUUGCAUUGUGAAUGUUGAAUUUUGUGUUUAAUUUGGAUUUUUGUGUUUGAAUUUGUAGCAUGAUCUUCCGCUGCAGCAUCCAAAUUUUGCAUUUGUAAAUUGUCAAAGAAAAACGAAGUAUGAGGAAAUUAUAGGAGAUUGUGUCGGCUUUGGCCAUGAAGGGUAUCAGCAGCUUGUUCCCCCAUACAGGUGAUUAAUCGCAGUCUGUUCUAUUUGGAUGAGAAAGUGAUUGAAAAAUAUGAUUUUUUAUUUGUUGGUUGAUUUUGUAUAACUCCGCCGUGUAAGUUUAUCUUACAUUGCCGGUCCCAAGCCCGGAUAAAGGAGGAGGGGGAGGGCGUCAGGUAGUCGACAGCUGGCACUCCAUGAUCACGUCGAAUCCUUAUGAAAAUGAAUCCAGAACGAAAUCGCGCUAAAGCUAGGGCGUCACCCAUAAGUGGCGCGCUGUGUGGCCCGAGCACAGUGAUAAGUGAGCAAGGGUCGUUGUAUCUCCAUCGGCACCCGGAUGCAGUGUUAAAUGAGCAAGGGGCUAUAGAAACUUCUUUUCGAACGACUCCACUCAAAGUUGUUUGGGAGCAUAUGCUCCUAUCAACUUUACACGGGACACACAAAAGAAGUACUUUGAUCCUAUUAGACGGGGAAGGGUGAAGAAGCUAGGACAGAAGGGUAGAGUUCAAGAGAGCAAAAUGCGUUUAGGAACGUGGAAUAUAGGAACCUUGAACGGGAAAAUCUAUGGAAGUAGUAGAAGUUAUGGUGAGGAGAAGGAUAAAUAUUAUGUGCCUACAAGAAACUAAGUGGGUUGGUCGUAAGGCAAAGGAUCUAGAAAACUCAGGGUUUAAACUAUGGUAUUCGGGCACAAAUAGAACGAGAAACGGUGUUGGCAUCAUCGUGGACAAGACCUUGACACAAGAUGUUGUAGAUGUCAAGAGGGUAGGAGAUAGAAUCAUGGCAAUCAAGAUUGUAAUAGGACAAGAACUUAUCAAUGUGAUUAGUGCGUACGCACCUCAAGUAGGGUUGGAUACGAGUUCGAAGGAGAAAUUUUGGGAAGACCUUGGAGACUUGGUGCAAGGAAUUGCUCAGACGGAGAAGUUAUUUAUAGGAGGAGAUUUAAAUGGACACGUGGGCAGGGAGACAGGCAACUAUGGAGGUUUUCAUGGUGGCCAUGGUUUUGGGGAGAGAAACGAGGAUGGGGAAGCUAUCUUGGAUUUUGCAAUGGCAUAUGAUCUCUUCUUAGCCAACACCUUCUUUAAGAAGAGAGAAGAACAUGUGAUCACCUACAAGAGUGGGUCGUCAAAAACACAAAUAGAUUUUCUUCUAAUGAGGAAAGGGGAUCGUAUAACUUGUAAGGAUUGCAAAGUUAUACCAGGAGAGAGCGUGGCUAAUCAACAUCGCUUGUUGGUGAUGGAUGUACAUAUCAAAAGAGUGAGAAAAAAGAACAAGACUUGGAAGUGCCCAAGGACUAGAUGGUGGAAUCUAAAAGAAGAAAAACAAGCCAUUUUCAAAGAGAAAGUAAUCACCCAGUGUGUGUGGGAUAGAGAGGGGGAAGCUAACCAAAUGUGGGAUUCCAUGGCUAGUUGUAUCCGAAAAGUAGCAAAAGAGGUAUUAGGAGAGUCCAAGGGCUUUGCCCCACACCAAAAGGAAUCUUGGUGGUGGAAUGAGGAGGUACAAACAAAGGUGAAGGCUAAGAAGGAAUGUUGUAAAGCCUUAUACAAGGAUAGGACCGAUGAAAAUGGUGAAAGGUAUAGAAAAGCGAAGCAAGAGGCGAAGAAAGCUGUGAGAGAAGCUAAGUUAGCGGCUUAUGACGAUAUGUAUAAGCGACUAGAUACCAAAGAAGGAGAGUUGGAUAUCUAUAAACUAGCUAGAGCAAGGGAAAAGAAGACAAGGGACCUAAACCAAGUGAGGUGCAUCAAGGAUGAGGAUGGAAAGGUUCUUGCUACAGAGAACGCGGUUAAAGACAGAUGGAAAGGUUAUUUUCAUAAUCUUUUCAAUGAAGGACAUGAAAGGAGUGCUUCUUUAGGGGAGUUGAGUAACUCAGAAGAGUGUAGAAACUACUCUUUUUAUCGUAGAAUCCGGAAGGAAGAAGUGGUUGUAGCUUUGAAGAAGAUGAAGCAUAGAAAAGCAGUAGGCCCAGACGAUAUACCAAUCGAAGUGUGGAAAGUUUUGGGAGAGACAGGUAUAACAUGGCUCACUGACCUUUUCAAUAGGAUUUUGAAAACGAAGAAGAUGCCAAAUGAGUGGCGAACGAGCACUUUGGUGCCUAUCUACAAGAAUAAGGGCGAUGUACAAAAUUGCAUGAACUAUAGGGGUAUUAAGCUAAUGAGUCAUACAAUGAAGCUCUGGGAGAGAGUCAUUGAGCAUAGAUUGAGGCAAGAGACACGGGUUUCGGACAACCAAUUCGGGUUCAUGCCAGGGCGCUCAACCAUGGAGGCAAUCUAUCUCUUACGAAGAUUGAUGGAAAGAUAUAGAGAUGGGAAAAAGGAUUUACACAUGGUCUUUAUAGAUUUGGAAAAAGCGUAUGAUAGGGUCCCAAGAGACAUUCUUUGGAGGAUUUUAGAGAAGAAAGGAGUACGAGUAGCAUAUAUCCAAGCUAUACAGGAUAUGUAUGAAGGAGCAAAGACUGCCGUAAGAACUCAUGAAGGACAAACCGAAAGCUUUCCCAUAACUGUAGGAUUACAUCAAGGCUCAUCCUUAAGUCCUUACCUUUUUGCGUUGGUAAUGGAUGAGUUAACAGGACAUAUUCAAGAUGAUAUUCCUUGGUGUAUGCUUUUCGCAGACGAUAUAGUGUUGAUAGAUGAAACUCAGGAAGGGGUAAAUGCAAAGCUUAACCUUUGGAGAGAAGUGUUGGAAUCUAAAGGUCUUCGCCUAAGCCGAUCAAAGACAGAAUAUAUGGAGUGCAAGUUCAGUGCAAAUGGAGGCCAAAACGAGUUAGGGGUGAGGAUCGGAGAUCAAGAAAAUACCAAAGAGCGACCGUUUUCGUUACCUAGGAUCUAUCUUGCAAAAGAACGGAGAAUUAGAUGGAGAUCUCAACCAUAGAAUACAAGCUGGAUGGAUGAAGUGGAAGAGUGCAUCCGGCGUGUUGUGUGACCGCCGUAUGCCACUGAAGCUCAAGGGAAAAUUUUAUAGGACGGCAAUAAGGCCGGCGAUGCUGUAUGGCACAGAAUGUUGGGCGGUGAAGCAUCAACACGUACACAAAAUGGGUGUAGCGGAGAUGAGGAUGCUUCGUUGGAUGUGUGGGCACACGAGAAAGGAUAAGAUUAGGAAUGAGGAUAUCCGGGGUAAAGUAGGAGUAGCCGAAAUUGAAGGAAAGAUGAGAGAAAAUCGGUUACGGUGGUUUGGACAUGUGCAAAGAAGGCCUACUGACGCUCCGAUUAGAAGAUGCGACUAUGGGACAGAGGUUCAGGGCCGAAGGGGUAGAGGAAGACCUAGGAAAACUUUGGAAGAGACCCUAAGAAAAGACUUAGAGUACUUGGAUCUAACGGAGGACAUGACACAGGACAGAACACAAUGGCGUUCUAAGAUUCAUAUAGCCGAUCCCACUCAGUGACUUGGAUUUUCCAAGUCUCCAACCGAGAAGUUUUCCUCACUCGGGAAAUUAAGGGAACACUACCUCAACCUACAUGCUCCACUCACAAAGCUUCAACAUACAAGCUUCAACAAAAGAAAAUUCAAAGAACUUAGCGAAGAAGGCUUUGGUGUAUUUAACACAAUACGUUGAAAUGAAGGAAAGCUUAUUUAUUGAUAUCCCCGAUAAGUUACAAAUAUGUACAUAUACUUGAGUCAAAAUAAACAAACAAGAGGGAGCCUUCACAAAGGUUGCUUAGGAGAAGUCUCAGCAGUCGGUAGAGCCCCAGAAAGAGAAGGCACCGGAGGGGGAUCAUUCGGAGCCUCAGUACUGGACAGAACCCUAGAAGGAGGAGGCAUCAGAGGUUGAUCAUUUGGAGCUUCAUUACGCGGUACAGCCCCAGAAGACGAAGGCAAUAAAUGCCUUUGGAACAAACCCACAAAUCUCUGAUGAUCAAGUAAAACCUGACCAUCAGAUUCCUUCAUCUGGUCAAGCUUCCUCUUCAUGUUUGUAGCAUAGUCAUGUGCGAGCCGGUGCAACUGUUUAUUCUCAUGCUUGAGCCCUCUAAUCUCCUGUUUGAGACUCAUCACUUCAGCCGCCAAUGAUUCAACUUGGCGGGUUCGAGCAAAUAGGCGUUGGGCCAUAUUAGACACAGAACCUGCACACUGAACACUGAGAGCCAGAGAAUCCUUAACAGCCAACUCAUCAGACCGUUUGGAAAGUAGUCUGUUAUCUUUGGGAGUGAGAAGGUUCCUGGCCACUACCGCAGCGGUCAUAUCAUUCUUCAUCACGGAAUCCCCAACGGUAAGAGGACCAGUAGGGGAGACGAAGGAUGGGCGCCAUAUGUUGUCUGGAGAAGGCGGGGCUGCCUCUUCAACAAGGUUCAAGUCAAAACGACGGUCGGAGGGGCCAGACAUUUUCAAAGGUGUUGAAGAGAGAAGAGGUCGGACAAAUCAAGAUCUUAGAAGUGCAAGAAUGGAGCUUCUACUGGUGGAUAUUCAAGUGUGCUUUGGAACUUAAUGUCAGCCCCUAUAAAAAUCUGCACUCGACGAAGCUUCAGAAAUCGAAGAGGCGCCUGCUCAGAAAUCGAAGAGGCGUUUGCUUUCUCAAAAGCUGGGCUGCUCAGAGACCACGAGGGUCGAUCUCAGAAAUCGAAGAGGCGUUUGCUUUCUCAAAAGCUGGGCUGCUCAAAGACCACGAAGGCCGAUCUCAGAAAUCGAAGAGGCUUGCUUUCUCAAAAGCUGGGCUGCUCAGAGACCACGAGGGCCGAUCUCAGAAAUCGAAGAGGCACCUACUUUUCCAGCCUUGUCAGCACCUGUCACACGCACACUCAGCUUUGCGGAAAUUAUGGGCAUUCUGUCGAAGAUUUCUGGCGAAGUAGAAAGCACAUGAAUCGUACUGUUCAAUCACCCACUUCCCACACGCAACAGUAGCUCAUGGGUACCACAGAUAACUUUGCCAAAGUUCUCUGACAAAGUUGAGACACGUGAAGCUUGCAGCUCCCACUACAUCGCUCUGACCAAGAAGGGUAAAAGAAUUAGCAAAGAAACAACACUAACAAAGUUUAGACACAUAAAUUUUGAAGGUCUAGCUACCAUAUUAUUACCCACAAGGGUAAAGGAACAGUACCACUGCUGGAUAAUUGGAAAGUCCCGGUGUGUCAACCUCUGUGCUUCGUGGCAAGGUAGACUAGCAAACAUGCCCAACCUUUACUCACAUUCGAGAAAACACUCCCAACAAGAUUGCUUGCUCCAAAAUCGAAGAGGCACCGCCCUCCGAAUCUCGAGAGCCAGACUCCCAACAUGAUUACUUUCUCAAAAAUCGAAGAGAGGGUAAAGGAACAGUACCACUGCUGGAUAAUUGGAAAGUCCCUGUGUGUCAACCUCUGUGCUUCGUGGCAAGGUAGACUAGCAAACAUGCCCAACCUUUACUCACAUUCGAGAAAACACUCCCAACAAGAUUGCUUGCUCCAAAAUCGAAGAGGCACCGCCCCUCCGAAUCUCGAGAGCCAGACUCCCAACAUGAUUACUUUCUCAAAAAUCGAAGAGAGGGUAAAGGAACAGUACCACUGCUGGAUAAUUGGAAAGUCCCUGUGUGUCAACCUCUGUGCUUCGUGGCAAGGUAGACUAGCAAACAUGCCCAACCUUUACUCACAUUCGAGAAAACACUCCCAACAAGAUUGCUUGCUCCAAAAUCGAAGAGGCACCGCCCUCCGAAUCUCGAGAGCCAGACUCCCAACAUGAUUACUUUCUCAAAAAAUCGAAGAGACACCGCUCUCCGAAUCUCGAGAGCCAGACCCCCAGCAGGAUUGCUUUCUCAAAAAUCGAAGAGGCAUCGUUCUCCGAAUCUCGAGAGCCAGAUCCCCGACAGGAUUGCUUGUUCGAAAACCGAAGAGGCACCACUUUCCCAACUUCAAGAGCUGGAUCUCCUUGGAUAAAGCUUGUCUGUAAUCUUCACACGCAACAUCAGCUUUCCAGAUACCACAGACCACUUUUUCAAAGUGCUCUGACAGAGUUAAAACAUGUGAAGCUGGCAGCUCCCACUACCGUGCUAUGACCAAGCAGGGUAAAGGAAUAGCAUUAUUACUUGAUGUUAGGGAGACUCCUAUAUAUGUCGACCUCCAUCCCCAACGGACAGGCAGACCUGCAAAAAUGCUCAACCCUUCCUCUUAUCUGAGAGGGCACUCCCAACGAAGCCUUUCGAAAUAUUCAGCUUUCUUUCCCCCCGAUAAUACCUCUGUAAACAAGCUAUACUAGAGCAAGAAUAUCUCAUAUCAUCAGGGUUAAAAGCAAGAGUAUCCCAUAUCAUGCUUUUUCCCUGUCUUUUCCUUUGGCCUUGUUCUUACCUGCAAGACAAGGAGAAAGAGAGCAAUCAGUCAGCACUUGGAAUCAAGCUUCCAGCCAGGAACUGACUGCCUGGAACCCCUUACCUGAUUACUUACCUGGCAUUGCUCUCGAGUACUCAUCUUCAACAUCUUAUGCUUCCAGGGAAGAUACCGCAUCUGCCUGAGGAACAGAUAGGGCAAGUGAGAAGGAUACAAGGAAGCAUGUGGAGACAAGCGUAACAGCACACGUGCCGAUACAUCCAUUACUCUGUCAAAAGCAAAAGUAUCCCAUAUCAGCAGGGUCGAACGUACUCUAGAUUUGAUGGACUUGUUUUGACCCUCAAAUUCUUCAGUCGGCCUUAUACUCUGGAGGAAACCAGAAAACCCUCCAGCCCAGUUCAAGAAUAAGCCUGUGGAAAGUUACUUCUUCAAAAGCAAAAGUAUCCCAUAUCAUCUCUUCUCAUUUUUCUUCUCUUUAUCCUUCAUGCUGCCUGCAAGAUAGGGAGAAUGUGAACAAUCAGCCGGAGCUCUGAUUGCUUACCUUGUCUGUCACCUCUUUCAGCAGAUCCCCUAGCUCGGCGACUUGGGGGACUCCUACUACAUGGUUUGUAUCGCGCUUGACCAAGCCUGAAACUACAAGUAAGCUUCAAGUGACAAUUGAUACAUUACCUUGUGCAUCUCCACCAGUUACAGAUACCACCCCUGGAUGGAGGAAGAGUACUUCCAGAGAAGAUGCCACAUCUACCUAUGAGACAGAUAAGGAAAGUCAAGACGAUACCACACUCCGGUACUUAGAAGUUUCGUGGUUACGAGAUCAUUCUCCCACAAUAUUUCCUAAUGUCAUUUGUACUAAAUCAUUCACUUGUACUCACUAAAGGAGAGCUUGAACCUAUGUACUUGUGUAAACCCUUCACAAUUAAUGAGAACUCCUCUAUUCCGUGGACGUAGCCAAUCUGGGUGAACCACGUACAUCUUGUGUUUGCUUUCCUAUCUCUAUCCAUUUAUAUACUUAUCCACACACUAAUGACCGGAGCAAUCUAGCGAAGAUCACAAAAAAGUGACCGUUUUCGCUACCUAGGAUCUAUCUUGCAAGAGAACGGAGAAUUAGAUGGAGAUCUCAACCAUAGAAUACAAGCUGGAUGGAUGAAGUGUAAGAGUGCAUCCGGCGUGUUGUGUGACCGUCGUAGGCCACUGAAGCUCAAGGGAAAAUUUUAUAGGACGGCAAUAAGGCCAGCGAUGUUGUAUGGCACAGAAUGUUGGGCGGUGAAGCAUCAACACGUACACAAAAUGGGUGUAGCGGAGAUGAGGAUGCUUCGUGGGAUGUAUGGGCACACGAGAAAUGAUAAGAUUGGGAAUGAGGAUAUCCGAGGUAAAGUAGGAGUAGCCAAAAUUGAAGGAAAUAUGAGAGAAAAUCGGUUCUGGUGGUUUGGACAUAUGCAAAGAAGGCCUACUGACGCUCCGGUUCGAAAAUGUGACUACUGGACAGAGGUUCAGGACCGAAGGGGUAGAGGAAGACCUAGAAAAACUUUGGAAGAGACCCUAAGAAAAGACUUGAGUACUUGGAUCUAACGGAGGACAUGACACAAAACCGAGCGCAAUGGCGUUCUAGGAUUCAUAUAGCCGACCCCACUUAGUGGGAAAAGGCUUUGUUGUUGUUGUUGUUGGUUGAUUUUGUAUGGACGAUGUAUUAAUUUUUUUUUUUUUUUGGGAUUUUGUGUAUUGGGUAUUGUGUAGAACCAGCAAUGCAGGAUCUGAUCAGUCACGCCCGAAAAGGGGUUUGUUUCUCAAAUCACAUUAAUUAAUUAGAUUAUUAAUGUGCGUUGGAAGGCUCUUCAAUAUGAUUUCUAAUUUCUCCUUUCCAGCAUUCUCUUUUUGGUUUUUGGAGUAUGUAUGUGAUUUGUAUUUGAUUAUAGAAUAAAAAUUAAUAAAACACGAGAUGCAGCAAUUAAUUUGCAUCCUUAUGACAACACAUAUAUGAAAGUGCAUUCAAUUUCAAUGUGCGAAUGUGUGACAGGACAGGAUGUGCCUGCCUGCUGGUGGUGGUAUGCUUGCUGUUGUUUCUUGCGUUGUUAAUUUUUUGUGUGUUGAUUUGAUUAACAAUUCAAGCGUAUCUUAUUUUUUUUGUGUUGGUUAGCAGCCAGUUUUAUGGCCCCGAUCUAGUGAUGCUUCUCAGUGACUGGUAAUUGCAGUUCAUUGCCACCAGUUGGUCAGCUACCUGCUCUGAAAGAGCUCUACGUAGAAGGGAUGAAAGUUGUUAAGAGUGUUGGUGUUGAGUUGUACGGGGGAAAUCAACCAUUUCAAUGUUUAGAGAAGGUAAAGUUUCGGGAGAUGCCAGAGUGGGAGGAAUGGCAGCCUAGUCCAAGUGGAUGUGAAAGUCCAGACUUUCCUCAUCUUAAGGAGCUGAGGUUAUCCGAAUGUCCGAAGCUGAGAGGAAACUUGCCCACUCAUCUUCCCUCCUUGAAAACACUUUAUGUGAACAAGUGUGAGGUUCUACAUAAAAACAGGGCCAGUAAUACCCUGAACGUGGAAUCCUUACGAGGAUCUCUUGAAAAACUGACAAUAAAUGGAUGCCCGGGUCUCUCAUUGUUACUAGAGUCGAUGGAGACGCUGCCGUCGCUUCAGAAGCUUGAUAUUGAUAGUGUUGGUGGGAAAGAGUUGUUGGUGCAAAUGGUGCACAACAGCAAUCGUCUUCAAAGUUUUGACUUUAUAUAAAUGUUCCUCACCCUUGUCGUUCCCUACAAAUGGUCUGCCCACCACGCUGACGUCACCGAGCAUAACAGAUUGCAAGAAAUUAGAAUUCCUAUCACGUGAGAUGAUGGCCAAAUUGACUUCCCUUCAGUCUUUGCGUCUAUCCAACAGCUGUGAAUGCAAAGGCUUGAGUAAUUUUUGUGAGUCUGCUGUUUGGUUUUUUUUUCUUCAUUUUAGAGAUUUUUCUACUGUUUGGUUUUUGGGUUUUGUCUAAUUUUUGUGGUCUGCUUUAUAGAUUGUUCUCUUUGGAAGCUUCUUUCCAGCCUUGACCUUCUUCUUGCCUGGUGCCUUCUCAUUGAGUAUUGGAGGAGCAUUAAAACACAGGUGUGUGUGUUUUGUCGAUGUAAGAGAUGAACGACAUAAAAACAUCCGUCUUUGUAUUUUUUUGUGCUUUUUCUAACCCAUCAAUUUCUUUUGAGUCAACCAAAUAGUCCCAAAUUGCAACUUAUGUUGUGAGGUAUUAUUGUCUAAAAUUAAGUAUGCAUGUAUAUUUUAUGUUUGUGCGCGCGCACACCUCCGCAUGGUGUUAAUCUCUGUGGGUCAUCUAUGUAUAUGUAGACAUAUCUAUAUGUGUAUGUGUGGAAUGCAACAUAUCGGAUUUAGGUUAUACUGUGCAUAGUUUUAUUGCCUGUUAUUAUCUACGAUAUCACUAUGCCAUUUCUAUGCAGGCUCUGAAAGUUAUCCAUGAGCUUUAUAAGCACUUACCAUAAUUUAAGCAGUCUGUUUUGGGUUCUUUUUCAUUAGGUCAUUAGCUACAGAUUAAUGGAGAAACGAGGACCAUGCAACUGAUUUGGGUUCUUUUUCUAAUUUUCUGAUUUUGGGGUUUUGCAGGGAGUACUGAUGUACUGAUUUUCUGGGAUUUUUUUUGUCCUUGCAGGAUUUUUGGUCUUUGGAAUGGGUAUGUGUUGUUUUUAACGUUUCAGUUCUAGCUUGUUCCGUUCUUCGUUGCUUCGUGAUUCUCAUUUUUUAGUGUUGGGUGAUGGAAAUUUGUUCAAGUAGUUGGUAGUUUUUUUAGAAAGUUGGCAUUUUUAGUUAUAUUUUCUGUUUAAUCCUAAAUGUUAGACUGGAAAAUCAUUGAAAUGACGGUUUUUUAAAAACUCAUAAUUUUUUUGUUCUGGGAGUUAAAAGCAUCUUUUCCAGAUUGGUUAUAAGGGUUAUGUUCUCUUCAAUUGGUUCACCUAAUUUUGAUUAGUUUUAAGUUUUGUCCUUUUAAGUUUUGUCUUUUAAGUUUUGUUCUUUAAGUUGUCUUUUAAGUUUGUUCUCUAAGUUUUGUCUUUUAAGUUUUAUCUUCUGUGCUGUAAUGAGAGAUUUCUGUUGGCCUUUCGGAUUUUGGCAUGGGAAAGUUCACUUAUUUGUCUAAUUAGAUUGUGUAUGCCUUCGAUUCUUUAUUUAAUUGUUCUGUUUGUGUUCAGGUGUGAUGAUCUAAAUUUCAUAUGUUUGGAAUUAUUCACUUAACACCAAUUUGUUACAUUCAGAUCUCCACCCCACAUUUCACUAGUUCAAAUUCCAUAGAAGUCGGUUACUGCAGAUUGCGUCUACAAUUAGAUCAGAGAUCAACUGCUCUUUUGUUAUCCUGCAGAAGAUUGCUUUUGGGAAGGAUCUGAAGUAGUUUCUUUCUGUAAGUUUAUUCCCAUGUAGCUCUGUCUUUUCUAAUUGAUGGUGUUGAUAUUACACUGUAAUUCAUGAUGAUGAUUUAAUUGUUUAUUGAUUUGUAAUUGUUUGUGAAUAAUGUGGCAUAUAUGACUUGCAAUAUGUGUUUGUAUGAAAGGGAUGACAUAUUAUGUUGCUGACUUAAUUGUUUAUGUUUUUCAUAUUUGCGAAUGGUGUUAUGAUCAAUUAGGUGAUUGCUGACCUGUGACUUUGUUUGGAGCUCAAAUUUUGUGAGCAUUACAUUGGAUUGUUUUGAUGUUGUUUUGGUUGACAAUGCAGGGAUAGGAGAAACAAAGAGGAUGACACUUAUAACUGCCCUUCCCCAUCGGCCGUCUUCAAAUUUGGAUCACAAGAAGGGAGCAACAUAGGUGUUUUCCUUCUUCAUUUAGAUAUGGUUAGUGUAAAUAAUUGGACAAAAGAGCCAAACAAACCCUGUUCUCUCAAAUGGAGUCGAUGAUGUGGUCGAUGGCCACCAGCCCCAACUCAAGAGUUUGGCCUUCAUAUAAUUGGAUUGUAGUAUAAUUUUAUUUUGGUUCAUUUCUUUUUUCCUUUAUAUAAGUGCAGGUGUUGUGAUGUUUUGAAUAAAGGGUGAUGAAAGGUGGUUCACACACUUCCUCCUUACUUAAAGCAAGUGGAGAUGAUGGGUUGUAUAAAAAGAAAAACUUGCCAGGUACUUCGAUUUUCUAUUUUAUUAAUUAUUGUUUGGUUUUCCAAAUGUUGUAUUCACAAAGAGAGACCAAUGAUGUCUUUGAGAAACAAGUUUCUUUGUCUACAUUGCGAGAAUUUGCAGUUUGCAACUUUCAUUGGUUAUUAUAUUUGAUUGAGUUAAACUUGGAUUUCUGGAUUUUGACUUUUUCGUUUGUUUCUUUGUUGUAGAGUUGGCUUCAUUUCAUUCCAGUAACUCUAUUCCAGUAACUCUCUAAAAUAGGGCCAAGAACUCACUAAAUAGGUAGUCAAGAGGAAUUCAGUUUUGCCUUCAAUUUUUGCCUUCUGUUUACAUUCUUCCUGGAUGCACUCUCACCGCUUCUCUCGCUUACCACUUUUGUCUCACUCACCGCUUCAUCUCUUCUGUUGCUUACAAGGUCGUGUCAUAUAUUUUUUUAAUUUUUGUGUGUUUAAUUUAUUGAAUAUUUGAAAAAAGAGAUAAAAUUUUCAAUUUACAAUUACUGAUAUGAUGUUUGUUUUGAAAAUCAUUAAGGUGAAUGGAGAGAUUUACAACCAUGAAGAGCUGAGGAGCCGUUUGCCAAAUCAGAUUUAUAAGGUCUCAUCAAUUAUAAAUAAACGACUUUUCAUUCCCAAUGACCUUUAUCGUUUUUCUUAAUGGGUUAGCUGAACAUGAGGUAGAUGCUGACUUUAUAAAAUAUGAGAAUGUUUUAGGAUUUCAUUCUAAUUUUUUGGCUGUUUGAUUACUUUGCUUUUCGUAAUUUGUUUUGCUUAUCGUCAAUUGGAUGGGACAACAUAUUUUUGUAACCAGUUUGUACUUUUUUUUUUUGUGGAAACUAACCAGUAUGUACUUUUACCAUCUCGGUUUUGAUGGAAUUGGAGCUUUCAGUAAUGGGUUCUGAGGGAAUUGGAGUUUUGAGUAAUGGGUUUUUUAACAACUAUAGUAUCAUUUGUGAUUCUUUUAUUUAUAAGAUAUUAUAUAGGAAACUGUUAUUAGCACUCUAAUAAUCUUAUUCUACACUCGCGACAAGUGUAUUUUUCUUUCUAAUUAUGGAAAGUUUGGAGUGCAAAAUGAGAAUUUUGGAGUGCCAAUAACAAUUCCCUAUUAUAUAUAGCUCUACUAAGAAGGCGACUGUAUAUGUCUUCAUCCUGUUAAAUUGUAUAUGGCUCUUGAUGUCGGCUGAAUUAAAUCAAAAUGAAAACCAAGCUGCUGAUCUUACCAGCCCAUAUCACUUAUCACUUAUUUAAAUUAUUUGAAGAUGCAUACGUGGAUUGGUGAUUUUGUUGGAUUCACUUAGCUCAAAUAUAUGUUAUCUGAGUCGCUACAUUUGAGAAUGUGAUUCUGUUCCUACCACCAUUUUGCCCACUUUUUGUGGAAAUUAUUCAUUCCUGUUGUGAAUAAUAUCCCCGGCAGCGAAGUGCGGGCGCAUUUUCUAGUUUAAGUUAAAUCACACAAUGGGUCAUCAAUAAUGACAAACUCGUCAUUUAUGCGAGUCAAACAUGAGACCACCUACCUACUAGUUUAGUGGAAUACCACAAGUGACAUGUUGAUACCUUUAAAUCUCAUAUAAUGGAUUGCAGAAUUAGGAUAUACCUAGUCUAAUUUAGUCAGUGCGUGAACCCGAACAAUUAACCAGGGUUUUAUUCUUGCUUGAAUGUUUGUAAUAUGUUCCUAGUUUGACAAGGCAAUUAUAUUUCCGACUACAAAAGUUAUUAAUUUAGUCGAGAAUUGACGCACCUGAAAUGGUGUGAGGAAAACAUGUAGACACAUCAGACGCGGUCCAUCCUGAGCAUUGUGUAUUAAGGAUAAAGCUCAAAGCCAUACAUGAGGGCAUUGUGUAUGUCUUUAUAAGAGAAGUUGCUGUAGUCCUCAACGUGGCCGGCAGCCAAACUCAUCCACUCUACACUGCAACCCUCAUCCAAAUCCCAUGCUUCCAACCUGCCCCCGACAUAGUCAUCGACCAUGACAUAGCUAUACGUUUUUGGUUGACUCGAAGAAGAAGAAGAAGAAGAAGUAUUAUUCAAGCAUGGAGCAGUGUCCACGUACAGAGAAGAAUUCGAUGGAUUCGAACACUUCAAGUAAUAUAUAGAUAGAGAAUUGAUGUCAUAGGUGGGCCAAUAUAGAGAAUCGAUGUCCUCGAUGGGCGGAAUAUUUUGAGACAUGGAAGAGCAAUUGUUGUUGUCAAGCCCAGGAUCUAGAAGUCGGAUUGUUUUGUUAAUGUAGUUGAUUGCCUGGACAUAGUAUUUUCCGGAAGAAGGUAGGUCUAGUACUGUAAUGUUGCUCUCACAGGACAGAGUAAACCUUACGUCGCCACAGUACUUUGGAUCAUCGUUCAGUCGAAAAGGAUGGCUUAUGUUGUGGAUAUGGCCGCAGGAUGAAGUGCAGGACUUGGCACUACUGUUGUCAGCGUUACAAGUUUCACUGCAAAAGCAAAGAAGAAGAAAGGCUAAACUUAAGGUGAAGGACCUGGUUCCACUGAUUUCCAUUGCUCUGAGAGAGAGAGAGAGAGAGAGAGGGCACUAUAGCUUAAACACCAAGGAGUUAUAUAAUAUGGGAGGGGUUAAAGCACCUCGCUUAAAGUUGCAGUAAGCCCGUCAAAUAUCCUAGGGAAAAGUCGGUCAAUGCUGUCCUAUAGAGAAAAGUCGGCCUUGAUGUUUGACACGGUCACACUCUCUCUCUCUCUCUCUCUCUCUCUCAUUGACGAGGGACACUGUAAUUGAAAAAAAAAAUUGUUAUUCAGAGAUAGAUCUUGAAAUUCUUAUUUUAUAUAAAAAAAAGGGGUAUUUAGAUUUUAGGACCUAUAUAAGAUAAUUUUUAGAUUAUAAGGUUUCAAAAUCUUAUUUUAGUCCCUAAUUUAAUAUUCAUCGCCACAUCAUAUUAUAAGAUACCUCUAUUACCUACCAUAUUUACAAACUUUGCCAUUUAAAUUGUCAACCUAUUCUAUAAUUAAGGCUUAAAUAUAUUCCGUUAAUAAACCAUUCGUCAAUAAGAUAAAUCCAACUAUGGUAAAUUAUACUAAUUUAUACUUGCUGACAAACAAAUUAAGUCUAUAGUAAUUUUAGGUCAGUCACCUUAAGAAGUCGAAGAUGAAAAAAUCAAAUACAAAACAAUAGGUUAAAAAAAUUAAAUAAUAACCCUUAAUAUAUAUAUAUAUAUAUAUAUAUAUAUAUAUCACAAAAAAAAAGUAUAACAACUCCUUAUUGUCUAUAUAUAGGAAUUGCAUAAGUGUCGGUACAUAUGUGUAGGUACAUACAUGCACAUAGGUACGGAAGUAUCGGUAUGGAAGUGCCGGUACAUACGUACACAUAGGUACGAAAAUAUUGAUACGUUAGCAUCGGUACAAAAGUAUCGGUGCGGAAGUGUCGAUACUUAUGUACAUAUAUAUAGGUACGCAAAUAUUGAUACAUAAACAUCAAAAGAAAAAAUCGGUAGAUUCGAUGUAUGAGAAGGUAAAAAUAAAUCAUCAACACUAGAAAAAAAUGAUAAAAGUAAAUCAUGCACUAUUAGAUGCAUAAGAAGAAGAAAUAUUAGAUGUGGAUGGUGGCCCUAGCCCUCUCUUCUAACACGGUUGAAGAUAAUUUUUUGGGUUGGACAAAAAGUUUCAUUUUUAAGGAGAACCAUUUAUGUUAGCAAUAAAACUGAAAAGUUAUAAAUAAAAUAAAUAUAAGACAUUAUAAUUCACUCAAGGAUAAUAUAGGAAGAAAAAAAUUACAUAAAAGGAAUUAACUCUGACAUUAAAUAUAAAUGCUGACUUGGACAUAAGUCAAAGGACUAUAAUUAGUUUUUUAUCUUGGUUAAGGUUUUAGUCUAAAGAUAAUCUUUUUCAAGGAUUAAUAUCUAGUUUCCUAUAAAAAAAAACACCUAAUAUUAAUCAUUCAAAUGAAAUUGUUAAAAUUAAGUAUAAAUAAUACAUAAUGAAAACUGAACACAUACAAUCAACGGUCACGACCAUGAAAUCCUCCGGAUCCUCAGAAAAAAAUCCGACGAUGAUCUUUUUCUGUGUAAAAUAAUUUGAGGGUAUAAUACUGGAUGUGCGAUUAAACCGAAGAACCCACCCACCUCCAUCUUCUCUGACCAACUUGAACCCAGCCACUACUACAUGUCAUCCCGACAACCCACUCUCAGCUUCCCAAACCGCCAUUUUUCACCCAAUGGAACAUUUAAAGAAAAAAUCCAUCUGCAAAUCGAAAACCACCGAAAAAAAUUAAAUCAGAUACAUUGGAAAAAACGCAAAACUCAAUGGAACAACACUGGCGUGGAAGAGAAAAAAAGCAGAAGGUGAGAAUGGAGAGAAAGAAGCGAACGGAAAGAAAAAGCAAAGAAGAGGUUGGAAACGGAACAACAGAAGAACAAUAGAAGAACAGAAAUGGGUAUGGGAAACGGAACAACAGAACAAAAAGCAGGCGGUGUAUAGAGCAAGAAAAGCAAACCUCACGAUGACCAACACGUGCUAAGAGAGGCCCCGGUUCACUGUGUAUCACAUUUUUUAAUAUUUUUUUUGGUCUUCCCACCGGCUAUACAUGGGAUUCCAAAAUUAAGAAGGUAUAAAUUUUUAUUGUUUCUUGUGCCACAAACCAUGUGGCCCAGUCUUAAUCACAUUUUUUAAAUAUUUUUUUUGCUCUUCCCAUCAGCAGUACAUGGGUUAAAAAAAUUAGGAAAGUAUAAAUUUUUAUUGUUUGUUGUGUCACAAACCACGUUGCCCGGUUUUAAUCACAUUUUUUUAAUAUUUUUUUGUCUGCCCACCAGCUAGGUUUAAAGAAUUAAAAAAGGACUAAAAGAAAGACUCCACAGAUGGAGGAACAUGGGAAUAGAAAGGGCAAAUUUGGGAUUUUACUGUACAAAAAAGACAAAAAGUAACUGCUGAAGACUAACUUGAGGGGCAUUUUGGUCUGCACACUGCCCUAGAACAGUAACCAUCGGAUUGGGUUUUAGUAUAUAUAGAAUAUGUUUAGAUAAGGACAAUAAACUUAGAAUUUUGCCAAAAGUCAGAAUUUAUAAAUUGAUACAAUCAAUUCAUUUGUUUGGAUUCAUAAACAUAGAAAUUUAGACUUUCCGCGUGAGAAAAAACUUGGAAUUUGGGACCUUCAAUUCUCAUGUUUAAAUUUCAUGUAAAUAGGUGUCAUUUAUAAAUUUCAGUAAGUGAGAGUUUAAAAAUAACAAACAUGUAUUCAAAUUUCAUUCCUCCUUUGGUUAACCAAAAAAGAAAAUUUAUAAAUUCUAGAAAAUAAAAUUUCUUUAUUUUAAUUUCUGUUAUUUUAAAAUUCUUAGGGCUUGUUUGGUAUUCUACUUGAAUCCAACUUUUUAAACUAAAAAAUAAUUUUCAAGUUUUAGGCCUUAAAAACUUAUUUGGUAGAACUAUUUAAAAAAACUGAACUUAAGACUAACUAAAAAAUAUAAUAUAUUAUCUAAAAACACAAAAAAUGAGUUUUUAGAAUUUUUAAACUUAAAUUCACUCAUUUCUUUUCUCUCCCUCCUCCCCUCUCACUCCAAAUCUCUCUCUCUCUCUCUCUUUUCUUCUUUCUCUCUCCCCUUCUCUUUUUUUUAACCUUUUUUUGUCUCUCAUCUAAUCCGCUCUCUUCAUUUUCUCGGUUCUUUCUCUCACUCAUAUUCCUCUCUAUCUCCUCCAAUUCUCUCUCUUCAUUCUUUUUCAACCAAUAAUUUCUUACUUUUUUCCUCUUCUCUCCUCUUGAUUCUCUCUCUUCAUUCUUUUUCAACCAAUCAUUUUUUACUUUUUUUCCUUCUCUCCUCUUUCUCCCUCGACUUCCUCUUUUUGGAUCUCUUUGUUCAGUUUGAGCUGUAAGAUUUAAAAUUAUUUUAAAUCGUAUACCAAACAAGUUUUUGAGUCUUAAAGAAAAUUGUUUUUCAAAAAAUGUUCUUAAGAAAUGUUUUGAGAAAUGAUAAAAAAUUUCAAAUAAGAUACCAAACAAGCCCUUAAUAAUCUUAAAUUUUCCCAUCCAAACAAAAAAUUUUCUUGUCAUAGAACUUUCAAUUGGAAUCAAAGAAGACAAUCUUUUCACAACUAAUUAUUCUCACCAAAAGCAAUUUUUAUUUUAAAGCAAUCAAUACCAAACUGCAAAAGCAAAGUAGGAAGGCUAAAAUUAAGGUGAAGAACCUGCUUCCACUAAUUUCCUUAGGAGGGAGAGAGAGAGGGGGAGAGAGAACCAAGCGAGCGAGCAGAGAGAGAAAACACCAAGUAGUAUUCUAAUGUUGGUGGGGUUAAGUCACCUUCCGUGAAGUUGCAGUAAGGACUUCUAUCCCAGAGAAAAGUCAGUAAAUGAUGUUGACACAGUCAACGACAAAGACAGAAUUGUGUAACCAUAAUUCUCUCUCUAUCUCUUUUUCAUUAUCGGAUGACAGUGUAACACUACUACGUAUAUAUCUCUGCUCAAUUAUUGAAAAGAAAAAUCCAUGUGCAUUAUUUUUAUUAUUAUUAUCUCAGAAAUGCAGAAAUUGAUCAUCUCUUCCUUUUGCAUAUUGAUACUGGUUUUCUUCAAACUAGUUGAAGCAAGUCAAUAUGUGUGCGCGAAAUCCAACUGUAGCAAUGAUCAAAGCGGGGCUAUCCAUUUCCCAUUAAACAUCAGGCGCACACAUCAUUGUGGUAAUUCUGGGCUUGAAUGCAAUGGGAGAUAUGAACAGCAAAUACUAAUAAAAUUAUUUGUCAAAGACAUAGAUUACAAGCGUCAGGAAAUCCAAGUCUAUUCCCCAAGUAACUGCCUGCUGCUAAAGCAUGUUGAAAUCCCAAACAUGCCACCCUCUCCCUUCAACGUGUCAGUCGAUGACUACAUGAGUAACCUUACCUUAUUCAGUUGUCCUACUUCUUUUGCAAGACGAGAUACGGAUGUGUAUCAAGUCCCCUGCCUCGGCGACCGUGGCAAGAGAACUUAUGCCAUUUAUUCUGAUUAUGGUUUUAGAACUCUCUUCCGGAAUCUACAAUCUUGUACAAAAAUGUAUGAUGUUUUAUCAGUUCCAAUACCCUCUGAAUAUUAUGUUCUUCGUUUCAAAUGGUCUAUACCAAAUUGCAGAAAAUGUGGAGAGGGAAAGAGGUGUGAAUGGCAGAACAAUGAAAUUAAAUGUAUUCAAUGGAGGAAACCAAGUAAGGAUAACAUAUGUAUUCAUUGCUAGUUUUAAACAUCUUUACAUUUGUUUCUCAGUAAUUAUUGUUUAAAACAUGUCCAAUCCAUUUUUACUAUGAAUAUUAACUGACAGUCUCAUUUGAAUUUGCCUUUAUCUUUUACAGGCAACACAUGGAAAUUAGUGGUCACAGGGGGAAUCCUGGGUUCUUUGCUUCUUGUUCUACUGAUGAUUGCAGCAUAUCGGGUAUAUAGCGUUGAUAGAAAGAAAAAAGAGAUUCGAUUACGAAUUGAAAGAUUCUUGGAGGAUUACAAAGCACUCAAACCAAGCAGAUACUCGUACGCAGAUAUUAAGAGGAUUACAAAUCAAUUCAAGGACAAGUUGGGCAAAGGAGCCUAUGGAACUGUCUUCAAAGGAAUGCUCUCUUCUGAAUUCUUUAUUGCUGUCAAAGUCCUCAACAGUUCCAAGGGAGAUGGGGAAGAGUUCGUAAAUGAAGUGCGAACGAUGGGUCAUAUCCACCACGUAAACGUGGCUCGCUUGGUUGGAUUUUGUGCUGAUGGAUUUGUACAAGCUCUUGUUUACGAGUUCUUCCCCAUUGGUUCCCUGCAGGAUUUCAUUUCAUCUGCAGAUAGUAAGAAUUCAUUUCUUGGUUGGGAUAAGCUGCAAGAUAUUGCCCUAGGCAUAGCCAAAGGAAUUGAAUAUCUUCACCAGGGAUGCGAUCUACGAAUCCUGCAUUUCGACAUCAAACCCCAUAAUGUUUUGCUAGACCAAAACUUCACUCCAAAAAUUUCUGAUUUUGGUAUGGCCAAGUUAUGUUCCAAGGAUCAAAGCUUGGUGUCCAUGACUACAGCUAGGGGGACCAUGGGCUACAUUGCACCUGAAGUGUUCUCCAGGAAUUUCGGAAAUGUGUCUUACAAGGCAGAUGUCUAUAGCUUUGGAAUGCUGCUGCUUGAGAUGGUAGGAGGAAGGAAGAAUAUUGGUUCAAUCACGGAUAACACUACAAAUGAAAUUUACUAUCCACAGUGGAUUUAUAAUCUUCUAGGGGAAGGGGAUGACCUACGAAUCCACAUUGGGGAAGAAGGAGACGGUAAAAUUUCAAAGAAACUUGCAAUUAUAGGGCUAUGGUGUAUCCAGUGGCACCCGUCGGAUCGUCCUUCCAUGAAAAUAGCGGUUCAGAUGUUAGAAGGAGGAGGAGAAAGCUUGAGUAUGCCGCCUAAUCCCUUUGUGCCUACUGGUUCUACAACUAGGAAUGCAAGACGCCUAGAGCUAGAAGCUAUUGCUGAAUUAGAGUAAAAUGUAUAUGCAGAUAUAUAGACGUAUAGAUAUAGUAAUAUUUACAUUGAAUAAGAUACCGUUUGAUAACCAUUUCGUUUUCAGCUUUUAAUUUUUAUUUUUCACUUUUUUGAAAACUGAAAACUAAAAUCUUGUUUGGUAAAUACUUUUAGUUAAAAAAAAAUGAAGACUGAGAACUAAAAAGUGAAAGCUCAAAGGAAGUAGAUUAAAAGUAGUUACCAAACAAACCGGAAUCUCAAUAAUAAAAAAGAUUGAAUUGCACAAUGCAAUCCAAACCAAUCAAAACAUUAAAAUAGCAAAAAAAUUAAAAUUCUAGUUGAUUAGAUUCUGAACAUAGUAAAAAUGAACAGAUCCGAUGAAAAAACAAAAAAUUCUCAGAUAAAAAUAGGGAUAAAGUAGAAUAUUUAUAAAUAGCUCAUUGUCUCUUAUGUCAUCAAUUAUUUCUAUAGUAUAUACAGGUUUUUGGAAAAAUUAGGUUCCCAUCCCUUAUUUUCAUAUUACAUUGAUUGAAAUCUUAUUAUUUUUCUAUUUUAGAUCAAGGUCCCUUGACUUAUUCCAUGUCAUCAUUUUAGUAUUUAAAAUAUUACACGUCAUCAUAAACGAAAUCUCAUCCCUUUCUGCAUUUAAGGCAAAAUAAACUAUAUAAGUAAGUUUAAAACAAGGAAAAUCCAUUUGAACUCCUCCAUUCUUCUUCUUCCCUUAUGCACAUCUGGAAUCUACAACACCCCAAACCCAAUUUUCUCCAUUUUUCUUCAUUCCUGAAUUGAUCCAAUGCAUAUAUGUUGAAUAAACCUAUUGUGAUUAAAAUACAAAUUAGCAUCAAUGAUUUUAUCGGCUUGUGAGAUUUGUGUGGCAUAGGCAAGGCAAUGCAGGCAUCGCUUUAUCAAAGAAUCUGGUUGAUUCAAACAUGCAGAGACUGUAGAGUGAGCGGGCUAUGUAAAAACUGUACCAUUUUGAAGUCAUUUUCUUUUGUUCUUUACAUUUUUUUUUCUUUUAUUAUUAUAUAUUAGUCUUGAUUAUUCAAUGUCUGGUUGGCUACACUUAUAUCCAUGGGUACAUUUUUAAUCUACAUGUUUCGUUCUAAUAUAUCUAUUGCUAUAAUAUGUUUUGGUUGGUUCAAAUUUGUUUUACAUAAAUAUAUGGGUACAAAGUUUUUGUAGAAUAUUAUGUAAAAUGGUUUUUAAGGUUGCUGCAUUUUACGUACCCACAUAUGCAUGUCUAUAAAACAAUGUGGUAUGAUGUACAUUCUUUUCUUUGAGUUUUUAAAUGUACCCAUGAGUUUUCUUGUAAAUUCGGUAUGUACCCAUAUGCUAUUUAUGUUAUGGGUACAUACAUUAUUUUUGGUCUAAGUUCAUGGGUACAUUACUUUUGUAUGUAUGAAUUCAUGGAGUACAUUAUUUCCCUUAAUACUACUCAAUAAAAUUCACAAAAAUAUGUGUAGCGUGCAUGAUUUUUUAUUGUAGAAAUUGUUUGUUUUUUUUAAGUCUCAUAAUUCAUGAAAUUUGUACAUAUAUGAUCACAUAAAUUUUUUAAUUUUAUUAAAUUUCUUUUAGACUUGAUCGAUUGAUUGAAUCUCAUAAUACUAGGAUUUUGAAUUACAUAAAUUCUUGGAUUUAAAUCCCUUAAAUGUUGAACUGCAAUCAAUAUUUUAAAUUACAGUUUUUUAUUUAAGAUAUCAAAAAGAUGACAUGGAAAUAUAGUAAUACUAAAAUGCUGAGGUGUACAAAGUCAAAGGACUUUGAUAAAAAAAUAAAAAACAAUAAGAUUUCAAUCUAACAAUUGAAUUGACUAGGGAUCGGAACCAAAAUGACCCUAGAUUUUUAUUGAGUUUAAUCUUAAUAAAAAAAAGACUUCUUGUAUCACAAAAAAUACAAGAACCAUUAUUUGAAUGAAAUAAAAGCUAUGGGAUGGAGAUAUAAAUGGAUCCUUUAUUUCACAAUUGGAUUAUAUUUAUUUGAUACACUGUUGUCAAUAUGAAUGCUGAGAAAAGACUACAAAAGAAAAAAACAAUUUAUAAAUAUAACUAACAAUUCCAAUUUCAAUCAAUUAGACAAUUAGAAUUAUAAGAAGAAAAAAAAAAGAAAUUUCAGUUUUCAGUUUAAAAAAAAUGAAAAAAAAAUGGUUAUCAAAGCCGUCCAAAUAAUACAAGUUUGUUUCCACUCUUUGUUUAAGCAUAGAUGCCAAUUUUUGUUUAUCAUUUUUUUAACCUUUAUUUUUUGUUACAGUAGAAGCCCUGGAAGGAAAUCGAGCACUGGACUUACCAAACUCUUAACUUAUUUCUACACACCAAGAGCUUGAUUUCGGUUCUUAUUUAUACUAUUUAAGCUAUAAGCCGUGACAAGAAUUAGAGAACUAUCAUUUGUUGUGAGCUUCAAUUGGUUAGCACUUUGUAUGUUUUCAUUAGAAUAUAUAUUUCACUUAGACUUUCUUAUUAAAAAAGGGAUCAGCUGGUGACUUUACCACGACAAUCCAAUUUUAUGGGGGUCAUGAAUACUCACAAAGGCAUUUCAGCCUCCCCCUAUAUCUACCGUCGCGUGAUUCACCAUUGUCAGAAAUCGAACCCAAGACGUGUUGUAUAGAAUACGGGCCUAAAAUUCAUUUCUAACCACUGAGUCACCCCGCGUUUGAUUAUAUUUCACUUAGACUUAUCUUGCGGUAUAGCAUGUCAUCCCCGCCCAAGUUUUUCCCUUCGCGUUGACUUUGGGAUACCAAAACUUGCCAAACAAAGUAGAUUGAUUAGUAAGCGAAGCUAAUUAUUCGACUAAACAUUGUUUAGAAUUUUAAUUAAAAGAACCAAUAUGAAUCUGUUUUUUUUUUUUUUGACAAACUAUAACGUUAAGGAGUUAAAUUGUUAGUUGUUAAGAGUACGGGGAUAGGUGAGGAUCGAACCUCCACCAUAGUGCAUAGACAUUAUUGGUUCUACAACUGCUGUAAAUCACAUAAAACAAAACGUAAUACUUUGAGGAUGGAAGACACUUCGUGGAUAGCGGGCAAUCAACACUAUCAGUUGCUAUCCAAAACUUGGAAUUAUGUUUAUUGUCCGAAGGAUUUUUCUUCCAUUAAAUUGCUAAGGAAGAUGAGGAUGGGUAGAGUGUCUAAAUGUCAAGGUUGAUAAGAACGUGUAUGGUGUUCAGCUUGCGAUUGAGAUUUGUUGAGUGGCACAACAAACCACAUAAAAUUUUCUAAAUGAUAAGCUUGAGUAUAAUUUUUUACCACGUAUUUAUCUUUAAAAUCAUUAUAAUUAGAUUUUCUCUUAAUUAAUAUAGACCGUUAGAUUCAUCUAAUGACCCAAGUUUUUUUCCUCUUUUCUUUCUACUCUUUUUUUCUUCUCUGAUUUUCCAUUCACCGUGUAGCAGUCGUUCUUCCCCAACUAAGUUUCUUAUUUUUCUUCACAAAAAAAUUGUAGAAAAUAUUAAGAAAAGAAAAGUCAUCAAUAUCAGACUCGACCAGGUAAUCGUUCCAACCUUCCCAGCAACUCUCAGUCUUAACAAGGCACCAAAUUUUCUCCGCCACCUAACUCGUCAUUCAUUUAUGGGUGUUUCAAGCUUGGUGAAAAUUGAUAGAGUUCCAUGUGUGUACACGGAUGUGAACAUAUUGGCCACUCUCUAAUGUGUUGGUUUAUCACAAAGAACCCAGAUACAAAAUUUUAAAAAGCAAACAAUUACAACUUCUCAAAUAUUAUCUAACAAACUUUCAAUGAAAUGUUGCUCAUAAUUGAAAAAAGGUUGACGAAGGACGGAGUUGGAGUUAUUUUAGAUGGGGAAGAGUUAAAAGAAGGAAGCACCAUUUAAUUAAUAAAAGCGAUUGGAGAAAUAGUAAUUCAAUGGUGGGCGUUUUUAAGGUGUGGACCUUGUAUCACACCCCGAUUCCAACAUACAUUGAGGAUCAACACGUGACAUGGGGACAUAGGGGACAUAAAUCUUAUGUAAGAUACAAAAUGAAAUACUAUAAAUAAUAUCCCAAAAUGAAUAUGAUAGUGGGUUCACCCCUAUAAAAUAUAUACGAGUUUGUACAUUCACAAAAAAAAAAAAAAAAAAAAAAAAAAAACACAUACACACACACAAAACUCUCGCUAGGCCAAGACUUGCCCAUGGUGCUCAAAGGAAAGUCCCAAAAGAAAGAGUACAAUGAAGGAUAAAGGGGUAACCUAAACACUCCAAGUCUCUGAUCUCUGCACUGCUACCCUCACCGGCUCCUCGUAAUCUACUCAGACCUAUCACAUGUACAAACAGUGCCUACAUUGUGGGAAUGGUGCAUCGGGCAAACAAAAACCCGGAUAAGCUGCAAAACUCGUGUGAGUGACAAUAAUGCAACAUAUGUGAUAAUCAAGAAAAACAUACCAUCGAUCGCAGUUUAUAAACCUCAAAUAUAACUUCAUACUUAUGAAAUCAUAAUCAAGUCACUGAAAACUUCGAAUGAGUCACCCAGACAUCCAACGACUUUUUAAAAUCAAAUCUCAGAGAUUCCAAAACUAUCAUUCACAAAUACACUAAAAACUAGGGCUAGAGUGACACAGUUCGGCCAAAGACUACAUAAGUAACCAAACAAGAAGUGGCCCCCCAUAGCGGAUUAACCAAGCAGAGCCACUCCUGAAAAAGUAACCAAGUAGGUAGUGACCCCCAUCACGGAUUAACCAAGCAAAGUCACUCCUACGAAACUGUUAGGUAGUGAUCACCCAUCGCGGAUUAACCAAGCAUGAUCACCCCUAAGUACGUAUGGCCAUACCUAAGAAAUAAGGAUCGCCCACCGCAGAUUAACCAAGCACGAUCCAAAAAUAUUAUGGGUCCCCUAUCACGGAUUAACCAAGCAUGACCAUCCAUGUACCACUACUACAUGGUGUAAAUUCGGUGUCACCUAACCUCGUGACACUAGGGUAACGGUCCUUUACUAGCCCUCACGUUUUUCAAACAUUUCAAAUAUAUAAUUUAAAACACAAUUCAUAAACAUUUCGAAUAAGGAAGUCACAUAGUGUUUAAUAAUGUAGGUCAAUGGAAAACUUUAAAAACAAUUAUUUAGCAUAAAACAUAUUUUAGAAAUCCAUGUUGUAUCCACAAAGUAUACUAGCAUGGGAGAUUUUCAGGGUAAUAACUCUAUCAUAUAUAUUAAAGUCACUCACCUGGAGUCCACACUAACGCACCCUAACACGAAUAUCAAGACGUCACGUACUAUCAUCUGUAACAUCCCACAUCAACCAACGGAGAGAGGGUGAUGUGCCUUAUAUGUACAUGCCCACCUCCAUAGCAUGAGACCUUUUGGGAGCUCACUGGCUUCAUAUUCCAUCGGAACUCCAAAGUUAAGCGAGUUUGGGCGAGAGUAGUCCCAGGAAGAGUGACCCACUGGAAAGUUCUCGUGUGAGUUCCUAGAAACAAAAUCGUGAAGGCGUGGCCGGGGGGGGGGGUUAAAGCGGACAAUAUUGUGCUACGACGAAAUUGAGACUGAGAUGUGACAGAAUGGUAUCAAAGCCACUCUGCCGUGUGGUGCGAGUGUGCCGACGAGGAUGUCGGGCCCCUAAGGGGGGUGGAUUGUAACAUCCCACAUCGACCAACGGAGAGGAGGUGAUGUGCCUUAUAUGUACAUGCCCACCUCCAUUUAGCACGAGGUCUUUUGGGAGCUCACUGGCUUCGGAUUCCAUAAGAACUCCGAAGUUAAGCGAGUUCGAGCGAGAGCAUUCCCAGGAUGAGUAACCUACUGGGAAGUUCUCGUGUGAGUUCCCAGAAACAAAAUUGUGAGGGCGUGGCCAAGGCCCAAAGCGGACAAUAUCGUGCUAUGGCGGAGCCGAGAUUGGGAUGUAACAUCGUCACCUAAGACAAAGUACAAGUCCACAUUUAAAGUUCUUCGUGUAUUCACAUAAUAAAAAAUUUCCAUAUGCCCCCUACAACUAAUGAAGAGAAAUCGAGACACGUUGACAAAAAGUCAACUGUUGAUCAACGGUAGGGUCCAUAACCCUACGUAACUCGAUCUGCAAGAUCCAGCCACUGUAUUUGUGAUUCAUAAGUUCCUAAGGUCCUUAAAUCUUACGUACAAUAACAUACUAAACUUUGGUGACGAUCUAAUUGUCGAAUCAUCAUUUGCUAUAAUGUUCAAAUGACGCAAAUUCAUCAAUCAGAUGUUAAAUAUGGAAUCGGUCAUCGAAUUUAGCUUAGGAAGGUCAAGUGGUGUCUCGAGCCACGUGCUGCCGUGCGCAGCAGCUGGCAACCCAAAUUCGUCGGAAAAAUCACCUAAUUCCAAAAUGAAUGUCGUUAGACGUGGAGUAAAUUGUAUACCUGUGAAGAAGCCCAAUUUGGUCGGGAAGUGGCCUGAAAUCACUUUAGACCGUCGGAAACCCUAAAAUAGGUGAAUCUCGAUUCGUCAUCUCCGGUAUUCCACCGUCCUCAAACUUGUUUAGGGUUUGCUCCUGGUCUCAAAAGAAUGCUAAUGAUGGUGGUGAUUGAAGGAGAAUGUUUCAGAAAUAAUGAAUCGUCGACGAGGGUUUCACGAAACCGACAUGGGUGUUCCUUGUGGAACUAAGACCAAAUCUCAACGGUUUUGGCUAGAAAUGGAUGCUGGGAUGUCGUGGUGAGGUUUGGUAGUGAUGGGAGGUCGAAGAAAGCCAAAAAAAUCGACGAAAAAACAGUCGUCGGAGUCGCAGGAAACGGGUUAGAAAAACGAGUCGCCAGGUCUGAAACGGGUCGAAGGCUUUUGGGACAGCUACUUACUCUCUCUUCUUUGAUUAGUCACUCCACUCACUCUCUCAUUUGAUUAGUCCAGCCUUCCCACAUGGUGGGAGUUCCCUCAUAUAGUAACCCAAAAUUUACUAUUUAAAUCUGGUAUCGAACGUUCGUAACUUUUUCGUUAUAGUUUCGAUUCGCAAACAGCUUUCGCCUACGCGCUCGUAUGAUCGAAUUAUACUCGAAAACAUUAAUUGUGACCUCGAAAAGGUCUACGAGUUUUAAAAGAUUAAUUACAAAAAUUCACACCUUGUAACUAUACGAUCCAAAUUCUAAAAUUAACGGAAUUAAAAUAAACUAAAAAUAAUGUAAACACGAAAUACAGACUUUAAUAAUGAAAUACGUAAUUAAUAGUAGUAUUCCGGGAACGGGAUUUCACACCUUGCGUCCGGACCUUGAGUGCGGAUCAGAAUCCAAAGGUCGUGAUCUGACAAGCUCAUGCAUAGAACGGAGUCGUUGUGACCCAAUGCAAUUCAAAACUUUUAUGUUUUUUAUUUGCUGGGUACGUUUUUGUAGGAGGAAAAGGGGAAGUCGAGGGAUUCUUUGCGCAUUAAAGAGGGAAAGAGAGAAAGGGGGAGCUAAGAGGUUCUUCGCGCGUUAAAUUUUUGCUUCUAAUUUUGCAACCUAGAAAUAAAGUAUUUUCUUUAUGGUUUAUGGUUCAAGAAUAUAAUGGAUGCAACCUAAAAAUGUUUCUUUUUUUAUUUUUUACUUUUUUUCUUCUUAUGUUGGCUUUUGGUUUAUUUUUAUAACGCACUAUAUAUUAACUAAAUUUAUAAACAUUUUGUAUCUUUGUUGCAGUCAAAUUAAUCAUAUGGGUCGGCAUGACUAAGUUCGACUGAGACAUACAGAUGUUUUGCAAUCUUAAGUCUAACCUGACACACCUCGACCUCAAUAUCCAGUGAACACCAAAAUUAAGGUGUGCUGGCCAUCAUCCGGAUGGGUGACGAAACCAUAAUAUGCAUGAAAACAUAACUAAAUUAUCAACCAAUAAAAUCUAUUGAAAAAUUUGGCAGAACAUCCCUUAAAAUAGGGAUAUGCCCAAAUUAAAAACACUUGCACAUGAUCACAAUUAUUCAAACACAUCCCGAAGGGCCACACUUAAUGGGACUUCGACCAUCUAUUACAUGCAUGAGAAUAUGUUCAGAGAAUAAUUACCCAAAUACGUCUUAUUAAAAUAUUGAGUAAAUACCAUACAAGAUAGAAUACGUCAGAGCUGUUGCAAAAUACCUCAACGUCGGAUGUAAUCACUGAUAGAAUUACUGAAUCAUGUAUAAAUGGAAAGCUGAUAAAUACAUGUAAUUUGAGUGGAUACUUACCAACAGCAUGGAUACAAUAUCAUCCACCAGUCGUAACUAGUGAAAACUGGAUAAUAUAAUCAUGUCAUUGCCGAGUAAUCUCAAGGCAAUGACAAGAUGAGAAUGUAACUGAGUAAUCAUAUCAUUACUAAAUAAUUUCAAAGCAAUGACAAGCUGAGAGUAUAACCGUAUAAUCAUGUCAUUACCGCGUAAUCUCAAAAUAAUGACAAGCUGAGAGUAUAACUGUAGUACCUCUUAUUAGUGCAAUGCAUGAUAUGAAUUCCAUCUCACAUAUAUAUGCAAGCCAUAAUCAAACCAAUAAACAUCCAACAAAAGCCACAAUCCUUUUAACAUUCGACCACAAGAUCAAUUUUCAUAUUUCCCAAACCUAGGUUCCGAAGCAUUGUUUCGAAUUAUUAAUACAAGAAACCACCACCACCUCAAUCAAUUCCUAUUCAUAAGUGUAAGCAAUUACUAAAUGCAUCACUUUCGACUCUAGUCUUAAUUAGAUUACUUGGGAUACUCAUUCACACCAUCAGAUCCACGUACAAUUUUGAUAAACUUUAAAUAGCAUGGUUAAAAUAAAUGAAACAUUUGAAUGAAACACUUUUAGAAAAUAAGUGAAGAUGUUGUUUACAAAUAUAGAUGCAUCUGUAUAUAAAAGCUUUGGCGGUUGAUUCGUAUACUUCCAGAGAUAUAAGCAAGUUCAUUGGAAUAUGCAUACAUGGUUAAUGUAUUACGGUAUAAUUAAUAAGAAAACAAUUGCAUCCCCUUCAGAUUAUAUAUAUAUAUAUAUAGACACACACACAUACACAUACAUACACACAGGCCCUUUAUGCAAAGGAAUUUCCAUUUUUUUUCAAAAAAUGGGGAUUAGUUGUGGGGCCCACGCUGCAUUGAACUUUAACGAUCCGAACAAUCUAUUUUGUAAGUCUCGAUUCAUAGAUCAUCCUUGCAAAAAUUCAAUUCAAUCCGAACCCUUUUGCCUAUUUAAUUAUCAAGAUAAAAUUUCAUUGUUUCUUAUAUAACAAAGUAUUCGUUAAUUUCUUUGAACUCAAUUAGAUAUCUUAAACAUUUCCGAUUUGGCUAAUAUUUUGCAAAGAUGAUCUAUGUGGUGCAACUUGAAAAAUAGACGAUUUCGAUUGUUAAAGUUCGAUGUGGUGUGAACCCUACAAUUAAUCUUCAUUUUUAUAAAAGAAUGGGAACCCCUCCCCUUAAAGGUUUCCUAUGUAUAUAUUUGUUCUUCAGACAUAUGCAAAAGGUAAUGUAAAACCAAUGAGAACUUAAAUAGAUAUUCCAUACAUAGGACAAUUCCAUAUAUGCUUUUUCAACAUUUAUAUCGAAAAGCCAAAUUGUUUUGAGGAAAUUAAUUGUAGUAAUGGUCCCUUAACUUUUAUCUUAUUGGAGCAAUGGUCUCUCAACUAAAAAUUCAUGACCAUUGGUUCCUUAACUCCACAAAACGUGUAGUUAUGGUCAUUUUCAUUAACUCCGUCAGAACUUUUGUUAAAACAAGUAAUGUUAGAAGAAUCAUUGCUACAAUCAGGUUAAAGUUGGGGACCAUUGCUCUAAUUGAAUUAAAGUUGAGGGAUCAUUACUCCAAAUUGCUUAAAGUUCAAGGACCAUUUCUACAAUUUUCUCAUCUAGUUUCCCAUAUUUACCCCAUGAUUCAGCUUCACAUGCAUUGCACAUGACUCAUUUUGACAAAAGUUUUAACGAAAUUGACGAAAAUGACCAUAAAUGCACGUUUUGAAGAGUAAGAGACCAAUGGUCGCAGAUUUUAGUUGAGGGAUCAUUGCUCCAAUUUGGUUAAAGUUGAGGGACCAUUGCUACAAUUUGCUCAAAUGUUUCGUAUGCGAAAAUAGGCAUUUGUAAAGUUUGGCUUGUUCAUGGCAUUAUUACUUUAGUCUAAAGUAAGGCUGGAAAUGGCACUGUAGAAAUGAAUAGUGUUCCAAUCCGAAUUUCAGUUUAAUUACAACAAUGCCAUUGCUCUUUGUGUUGCCUUUAGGUGAGCAACCCAACUUCCAGCCAGGCCCAAAUGUAUUGGUUUUAGCUGAGAAGCCCGACCUUUGGUCAGGCCCAAAACUUUAAAUUACAGUUUUGCCCAUACAAAAUAACAAUUUGAUUGUAUCGGGAAGGACAAUUUUGUCCUUUUAGUUUUGGGCGAGAUAGGGGGUAACCGGGUAGAUUUCAUUUGCUGUCGUUGAAUGAAGGUUUCGGGGAUGAAGGUUGUGUGUGUGUGUGAGGGAGAUGACGAUGGAAGGAGAGCGAAGGGGAGGGGAAGGGUUCUCGGCACUGUUGCUGCAUGUGGAUUUCACAAGUGGGUGAAUGGGUAUGGUUAGAGAAUACCAUAUAGGUUGUCGGGAUUUCAGGAAACGGGGUAGGGGUCAUGAAUGAACCCUGCUGAGAGUGGGUGCCGGAUCUUGCGCUGCAUGCCUCAAAUCAAAGAUAAGUUCAUUUUUUUAUUGUAUUCUUUAAUGGUAGCUUAGCUUUUGGAAUUGUUUAGUAUGUUAGGUCCAGUUUUGGGGGAUUUAUCUUUUAGAGAGAGAGAUGGACAGGGAGAUAAAGAUAGACAGAGAGAGAGAGAGGAGGAGGAGGCGGAGGAAGUAUGGCUGUGUGCUAUUUUUGGUGUUAAUUAAUGGGUUGGUGCGCAGGGUGAGUGACAGAGUGACAGAGUGACGGAGGGAUGUGUGGGAGGGUAUGGGUUUUUAGUUCUUUCUUUUGAUUCAAUAGGUUAUACACUGUUUGAAAAACCUUUUUUUUAUUUUUUUGUUCUCGUUUGCUUUGUUAAAACCAUCAUUUGAAUUUUUGGGUUUCACUGUGCUCAUUUCUCUGUUUCUUCAUAAUUUGUUGGUGUUUGCUUCUCAUCCCUCUGUUGGUAGAUCUUUUUCUCAUUUCUUGGUUCCUUAUGUAUUCUUUGGUACAAAUCUGUUUACUUUUUGGUUGUGUGAUAAUCUUAGCAGGUGAACUAUAUGAACGUUUUUUUGAAACGAGCACAGUGAAGCAAGCGUAGAUUGGGAGGCAACCCAAUAUUUCUAUUCAUUGCCUUUUUCUGUCAUUUUCAAUUUUCUUGCAUGCUAAACUGAAUUAUUUCUUUUCUUUGUAUUUGGGUUAUGUCCACCCUUGGAGUUGAUUGCGGAAUUAUAGUUUGGGGGUCAUCAUUUGAUUUCACUGCAAAUUGGGGAAGUUUUUAGUCCAAAUGCCGGAUCACUUCAAGUAUCACCUUCCAUUCGAAGUUCACUUCCAUGCCAUGGAACCUAUGGGAGUGUGACUGGAGGCAUCGUCCGGCUGCAAGACGUUAAAGAAAGCGCUUCUUGGGAGGCAACCCAAGCUUUCUAUCUUUCAUCUUUAUUUUGAAUAAUUUUAAAUGUUCUUGUUCUGUUUUUCUCUUAUUUUCUGGUUUUUGUAUUUAAGUCCUACUUUUGUUCCUUUAUGCAGGUAAUGAUUUUGCAAUCUCUACCACAACUUCUUGCAAGGUAGUUUUACAUUCAUAAAAACGAAAGGAACAUUAAGCAUAUAAAUACAAGAGGGAGCCUUCACAAAGGCUGCUUAGGAGAAGUUUCAGCAGUCGGCGGAGUCCCAGAAGGAGGAGGCAUCAGAGGUUGAUCAUUUGGAGCUUCAUUACGUGGUACAACCCCAGAAGACGAAGGCAAAUGCAAAUAAGGAAGAUCUAUGAAUCGCUUCACAAUCGAAAAGGAACAUAUGGUAGAAAAAUUCAAAGAUGAGCAUACAAACAAGAAGGAGUCUUCAUUGGUCAGGAGGUGUCGCAGCAGUCGAAGGAACAUCAGAAAGACGAAGUGUCAGAGCUUGAUUGUCCGGAGCACUUGGUGAAGCACCAGAUGAUGAAGGCAGAAGUUGCCUCAGGAGUAAAGCCAUAAACCUUUGAUGAUCACUCCGAGCCCGAACUUCAGCCUCUUGCAGCUGGUCCAACUUCCUCUUUAUGCUUGUUGAGUAGUUAGUUGCGAGCAUGUGCAACUCUUUAUCUUCAUGCCUCAGCGCUCUGACCUCUUGCCAAAGGCUAGCCACUUCAGCCAUCAACGACUCCACUUGACGAGUUCGAGCAAGAAGGCGUUGGCCCAUGUUUGAUACUGAGCCUGCACUUUGGACGCUGAAAGCCAAAGAAUCCUGAACAGCCUGCUCGUCAGACCGCUUAGAUAGCAUCCUACUGUCUCUUGGAGUAUGAAGAUUUCUAGCAACCACUGCAGCUGUUGCAUCAUUUCUCAUCACAGUGUCCCCAACUGUAAGAGGACCGUUGGAGGAUAUGAAAGAUGGCUGCCAAAUGUUACCUGGAGACGAGAGGUCAAUAUCUUCUUCGAUAUUCAGGUCAAAACGACGGUCGGAUGGGCUAGACAUUUUCAUAGGUGUUAAAGAAAGAAGAGGUCAGACAAGUCAAGAUAGUAGAAAUGCAAGAAGGGAGUAUUCACAGGCAGAAAUUCAUGUGUGCUUUGAACAUCCUGCGAACCUCUAUAAAAAAUAGCACACAAUGAGAUUUCAGGGAUCGAAUAGGCGAGUUCAGAGAUCGAUGAAGCGCCUGCUUUCUCCAAAGCUAGGCCUACUCAGGAAUCACAGGCUGAUCUCAGGUAGUGAAGACGCGCCUGUCUCUCUCAGCCCCGUCAGCACUUGUCACAUGCAGAGAAAACUUUGAGGAAAUCACGGGCAGUUUGUCGAAGCGCCGAUUCCAACCAUCUGUCUUUCUCAGCCUCGUCAGCUUUGAGGAAAUCACGGGCAGUUUGUCGAAGCGCCGAGUCCAACCGCCUGUCUCUCUCAGCCUCGUCGGCACUCGCUUUCUCAAAAGCUGGGCUUGAAAUCACAGGCCAAUCUUCAGUUUCUAAAUUUGUUCGCACUUGUCACAUGCAACCUCUGCACUCAACGAAGCUCAGAACUCGAAGCGCCAAUUCCGGAUAUUAAAGAAGCCUUUGCUUUAUCAGACGUGUCAGCAUCUGUCAAUUGCACAUCUGCGUUGCGUAAAUCACGCGCAAUCUGUCGAAGAUUUCUGGAGAAACGGAAUGCACGUGAAGUUUACUGUUAAAUUACCCCAGGCUUGCUGACACGAGUACUAGAACAAUGCCUUCCCAGCCAUUAAGAAAAAUUCUACAAAUGUUAAAGGCAACCUCACUCAACUUUCAGCCUCACUCAACCUUUCUUCCUCUCUGAGAAUGUAUUCCCGAAGAAGCCUCCCGAGUCACUCUGUGUUUCUCAUCCCUUGGGAUACCCCUGCAAACAACCCACCCAGAGCAAAAGUAUUUCAUAUCAUAACGGUUGAGAGCAAGAGUAUCUCAUAUCAUGCUUUCUCCCUGUCCUUUGUCUCGCCAGCACUUGGUAUCAAUCUUCCGAGCGGGGACCGACUGCCUGGAACCCAUUCCUGAUUGCUUACCUAACCUUGCUCUCGAGUACUCAUCCUUCUUAUGUUUCCUCUUCGUCUACCACAUAGGGGAAGUGAUAAUGAUACCUCGAAGCAUGUGGAUACAACGUGCUGAUUCAUCCUCAACUAAGGACAAGGGAGAAAGCAAGCAAGAUGUGGGCACUUGGAAAGAUUGAACAAAGAAACAGACUAACACCUCUACCUCGUGCCUGCCUACCGAGCAGAAGAAACAAGCAGAGAAGAAUGCAGACUGCACAAUCAAACAACCCAGGAACUCUGAUAUUCCUCGCUCAGGAUUCCAAACCAGUUUGAGAUUCGCCUACACAAAUUGGUGUGUUCUUUCCUUUUCUUUAUGUGUCUUUAUUUCAUUUUAUAUUUCUUUCCUUCCAUUUUCAUGUCUUAUUGUUCAAAAAUUCCUUUCAUUAUCAUUGGGGACAAUGCUAUAAUUAAGUUUGGGGGUAUUUGGAAAUAUAUUUCGUUAGUUUAUUUCUCUAUUAAAAAAAAAAAAAAAUUUUGCAUUUUUAUUGUUGUUUGUAGCUACUUCUCAAUUCAAUGAUGAGAUUUGAUUUUAAUUUCCUUCUUACUUUCAAGAAAGUCUAAGUUCUUUUCGUUGUCUUUGUGUUAACUGUGAUUUCCAGAAAUCAACUUGAAAAAAGAAAUGUGCCUAGUCUUGUCAAUGUGAAACUUGAGCAUGAUUUAGCGUUUCAUAUGUGAAUCAUGUGAGAUUAUGUAAACCUUGUGAGUUUUUUAGCCUAUACAUGAUUGAACCAUUAUGCAUCAAUCUCAUUCCUUCUUGUGCGUAUGAUCUCACUGUACAUGUAUCUCUAGAACUUGCUUUAUACUACUCGAUUCAUUAAUCAAUUCAUGUAAUAACUUGGAAGUGAUAUAGGCCAUCUUUGGAUCGUUUGAGCCUUUCAUGCCUACCUUAUAUGCUAUGUUUAUCCUUAGUAGCCCUUUGAGCCUUUAACUAAGCCAUUUCUUUGUUAACCACAUCUCUUUACCUUGCUCCAAUAUUGGAGUUGAGCCCAUACACAAAAAUCGAUUCCUUAUUGUUUUGAGAAAGUAUUACAUGGGUUGUGCUUUUGGGGGUUUCAUUUAUAUAGAAAGAUGGAUGGAGUAUGUGUAUACAAUGAAAUGUGAAUUUGAUGGGUGAUGUAGAUUUUGAAAAUUAUUUCAAAAGAAAAAAAAAACGAAAAAAAACGAAAAAAAUGAAAAUUGGAGAGUGUUGAUUUGUUGAAAAUGUGUCGGUAGAGUAUAAAUUUCCUUUUAAAGUUAAAUUUGGGGAGUAACAGGUGCUCGAGGUUUUAUUAUUUUGCUUUCAAUUUGAGGUGGUGUGAUAUUGAGGUGUUGGAAAACUACCAAAGUGUACUUUCUCAAAAUUUUUGAUUUCCAUAUCCUUUCUUUCAUUAGCCUAUCACCUUUAGCCCCAUUACAACCGUAAUAAAGUCCUAUUGAUCCAAGGUAUUACUUAAAUAUUGAUAAGCGAGUUAGGUGGACAAGCAAGCACAUGGCGGCAUGUACAAUGAGAUUACUUGAGUGAAACACAUUAACAAAAAAUUAUGAGUGAAUGAGCGUAUGUCUUGUGAGAAACUCACAUGUUUGCAUAUGAUGAUUUAAAGGAGCUUGGAAUUGCAUUGACAUAGCUAGCUCACACAUGGCAUUUCAACGUUUUGUUUGAAGGAAAUUUGGUUAACUAUUGGAUGAUGUUUUGAGCUCUUGCUUACUUCUUGGCAGUGUAUCUCAUGACUAGCACUUAUCUCUGAAAUCGAAAUUGAGAAGUUGGCUACUAAGUUGUUGAAUCUAGUCUUAGUUGAGUGGUUUUGUUUUGCUAGAGGACUAGCAAAAAUGUAAGUUUGGGGGUAUUUGAUCACUCAUAUAUUUCAUGCAUUUAUACCAUCCAUUUCUAAAGUCUUUGUGAUGUUUUUGUGUUAAAGUUGUGGCAUUUUACCUUACCUUGUGUUAAUGUACAGUUAAUUUUAUUUUAGGAUCAAUUUCAAAGAAAAUGGGCUGAAAAGAAAAUAAAAGAAAAGAAAUAAAUGGGACGGAAAGGAAGACACUGACAGAAUAAAAGAAUGAAGAAAGAGGUAGAACGGCAGAUAGAGAAGUGGGAAGAAAGUGGAGUGCGCAUGGGAUGGAAGUGGAACAAAAAGCAGGAGAGGGAGUGAGGAGUGCGGGAUAAAAGCAAAGAAAAAUAGAAGAAUAAGAAAGAAGUGGGAGGACACGGACUGAGUGGAAGAAUUAAAGAGAGAAGCAGGGUGCAGGCACGGACAGAAAGGAGAACUGAAGAAUAAAAGAGAAGACAGAGAAGCAGAAAAAAGAAGAGAAACUGACGUGAAAGCCAGUGCGCAGAGGGCGCAGAGAGAUAGGAGAGAUUGUGCGGGAGCAGAAGCACAGAAGCAGAGGGAACAAAAUCACAGACUGACAGCAGACGCAAGAGGCACGGCAGAGAGCAAAGCUUCACUCUAUUUUUCUUGGUUUUAUCUUCUCAAACCCAUGUUUUACUUUUGGUUUAAUUUGUGAAUUAUGUGUAACUAAAUUUUAAGUAGUUAGGGGCUGUUUUGAAGCCCCGAAUAUGAUUGUAAGUUUGUUGUGAUAUUUUGUUUGAAUGACUUUUAUGAAAGGAUGAAAAUUGUUUCACUACUUAUGUGAUUGAUAAAUUCUUUAUGUGUUUCUAUGGAUGCAUACAUAGUGAGCAUAUCUAGGAUUUUAAUGCUAUGAAUAUAUGUUUACCUGCCCUUGUUGAAUGAGGACCUACAUAUGUUCUAGAGUAGCACUUGUUAAUUGUGGUUAACAUGUGAACCGAUUUCUAGGAUAAGUAAGACAAUGCCAGUACUUAUCAUGCCUUGUGAUGACUCAAACUCUUUUCGUUCUUAAUGAUUUCUACUUGUUAAAUCUAUGAACACGACAUUCUAGAUUACAUGCUAGGGACUACGUUAAGUUGAAAACGCUAUUCUCUUAACAUACUACGUAAGAAAAAGUAAUAGGUUGUGUUCUAACAUUGAGCCAACUUGAGCAUCUUCAUCCGGAAAUAAAAGGAAUUUGAAUGAAACAUAACAUGUUUGCAUGAUUAUUUGGUGGUGGAUAGCAUUUCCCCUAAUUCGUUUUCUUAACUUGUGAAUUAAAAUCUAUUGGUAUUAUUUAAAACUGGUUGAGGUCCUGUUUUGUCCGAUUUAAUUUAAAUAGCUAAUCAACUUCAAAAAUCCCAAACAUUUGUGUGAGCAUAGCUUGGUGUGUCUAGUUUAUGUGUAUAAAAUUUCGUUGCAUUUGGAUAAGUGUAAGUUAGUCUAAUAAUUAUUGUUCGGUGGCUGGUCAGUGGAGACAACCAUCCUGUUUUUGUGACAUUUUAAGUGUUUGGAUAAAACAAUUUUCUGCGGAAAAGACCCUUAUUUUCAUAUGCUACAAUCGACAAAAUUUUAGUGUUAAUAAGGAAAAUCAAUAGGAUUAUUGUGGGCUACUUUGUGGUGCGUUAUAAUUACUACCAUGCUGUCAGUGGGUGUUAAUAUCAGGUACCCAUGUUCAGUUUUUCGUUUUGAUUUGAAGGAAUUUCUUGCGGAGAGGAGCAAGGGUUUCUUGGUGAGUUCUUCGGGUUGUGCAUAUGGGUAAUUUUCUUUUCGGUUUAACCCUCUGCUUCUGCUGCUCUCUCUCUUUCUCUCAUCCCUGCCUGCUCCUCUCCAAUUGUUUGCUGUUCUUAAAUAUUGUGUUCAUUGCCUGAUACAAGGGGCUGCAGCAAUCUGUUUUAUCCUACACGGGACAACGAGGCAAUGGCGUGACAACAGGUGAGCUUGGAUAUCCAAAGAAAAAGAACAGUUGGUUCAUCUGCUGGAGUCUGAGCUUAGAGAAGUGGAGGAAAAUUGCAGGUGUGCGAGAAAUUUUAUUUUGCUGAUAGGACUCCUUAUUUACUGAUGCAUUUUGAAAUAAUUGAAAAGUUGGAUUUGAGUUAACAGCUAUAAAAAUGUAGACAUGAUUGCUGAGAUUAUGCUAUGAAAGUGGAAUAAAAAAAUGGUAGUUUAUAAUAUUGCGUACCAAUUGUUUUCUCUCUUUUUUACCAAAUGAUAAGGGUGGUGGCUCAGGCCGCCCCCCUAAGCGUCCCCACUCUUCGACAAGUUGAAAUCGUGGUGAUAGUUUAUGGGCUGUGGUCUUGGGAUUCUGCAAAUAGAAUGAAAAACAGACACUUAACUAUCUUGUUAUUAAGCAUUUCUGCAUCAUUCAGUUGCUCUUGAUUUUCGUCUUUUAAGCGAUCUUAUUUCUGCGAUCUGACUUGAGGAGGGUUUUUAGACCUAUGGUUGUGGGUGUUUUCUCUGACCCCAUUAUCCGAGAUUUGUAGACUUGCGAUCGGCGGUCAAACAUUUUGUGAUUCUUGUUUUCUCUGCCUUUCGGUCGUUAAGCGCCGGCAGUCUUUAGAUCUUUGGCAAAUCAAUUUAAUACAACCGAGGUAUGUUUUAUAACUGCUGUCUUUCAAUUUUUGUUCUGUAUUUUUGUUAAUUUGGAUGAAGCUCUAAUAAUUUUGUUUUGGAUCAGUUGUGGUCCUCUGUUAGGAUUUUCCUGGCUAAGAGGGUAUUUGCGUUUUUGUUGCUUGGUUGGUCGAUCACAGAUUUACGAACAGCUGUGGUGGUCCUGUUAUUUUUUGGUAUGUUUUUUCUCCUUUUUGGUUUUUUUCCCGGUUUGAGCACCCAUUCUUGAAGAAUUAAAAUGUGUUUUAUAGUUUUUUCAGGAGAGAUUAGAAAAGUGAUUUCAAUUUGGGAAAAUUUAAUGUUGGUUAAAAUUUGUUUAUAAUUUUUGGGAAGGAAUGAGAGGACCCAUUGAAGUAUGUGUUGUGAUUAUUUUUUAUUCAUAUUUUUAACAAAUUGGGCAUGAAUUGGUAGGUUAACUGUGUGUGUUUAUUAUUUGAAUCGGCCAUGUUUGUCUUUCUAUGGUUCUAAAAAAUUUGUAAAGGCUGUUAACUUGGAAGAAAAUGGGAUCGAGGGUGAGGGGAAAACGGCAGAGAAAGCAUGGAAGAGAGAUUUGGGAUUAGGGGUAGGAAAACAGAUGAAAAGAAUAUGAUAGAGGAAUGGGUUCAGUUCAUUUUCACUAUUUUUUUUUAACUGAUUUGGAUUUUGUUUGGGUUUAACUCCGCCUAUGUCUUACAUGGCCGGUCCCAAGCCCGGAUAAAGGAGGAGGGGGAGGGCGUCAGGUAGUCGACAGCCGGCACUCCAUGAUCAUGUCGAAUCCUUAUGAAAAUGAAUCCAGAACAAAAUCGCGCUAAAGCUAGGACGUCACCCGUAAGUGGCGCGCUGUAUGGCCCGAGCACAGUGAUAAGUGAGCAAGGGUCGCUGUAUCUCCAUCGGCACCCGGAUGCAGUGUUAAAUGAGCAAGGGGGCCAUAGAAACUUCUUUUCGAACGACUCCACUCAAAGUUGUUUGAGAGCAUAUGCUCCUAUCAACUUUACCCGGGACACACAAAAGAAGUACUUUGAUCCUAUUAGACGGGGGAGGGUGAAGAAGCUAGGACAGAAGGGUAGAGUUCAAGAGAGCAAAAUGCGUUUAGGAACGUGGAAUAUAGGAACCUUAACGGGAAAAUCUAUGGAAGUAGUGGAAGUUAUGGUGAGGAGAAGGAUAAAUAUUAUGUGCCUACAAGAAACUAAGUGGGUUGGUAGUAAGGCAAAGGAUCUAGAAAACUCAGGGUUUAAACUUUGGUAUUCGGGCACAAAUAGAACGAGAAACGGUGUUGGCAUCAUCGUGGACAAGACCUUGGUACAAGAUGUUGUAGAUGUCAAGAGGGUAGGAGAUAGAAUCAUGGCAAUCAAGAUUGUAAUAGGACAAGAACUUAUCAAUGUGAUUAGUGCGUACGCACCUCAAGUAGGGUUGGAUACGAGUUCGAAGGAGAAAUUUUGGGAAGAUCUUGGAGACUUGGUGCAAGGAAUUGCUCAGACGGAGAAGUUAUUUAUAGGAGGAGAUUUAAAUGGACACGUGGGCAGGGAGACAGGCAACUAUGGAGGUUUUCAUGGUGGCCAUGGUUUUGGGGAGAGAAACGAGGAUGGGGAAGCUAUCUUGGAUUUUGCAAUGGCAUAUGAUCUCUUCUUAGCCAACACCUUCUUUAAGAAGAGAGAAGAACAUGUGAUCACCUACAAGAGUGGGUCGUCAAAAACACAAAUAGAUUUUCUUCUAAUGAGGAAAGGGGAUCGUAUAACUUGUAAGGAUUGCAAAGUUAUACCAGGAGAGAGCGUGGCUAAUCAACAUCGCUUGUUGGUGAUGGAUGUACAUAUCAAAAGAGUAAGACAAAAGAACAAGACUUGGAAGUGCCCAAGGACUAGAUGGUGGAAUCUAAAAGAAGAAAAACAAGCCAUUUUCAAAGAGAAGGUAAUCACCCAAUGUGUGUGGGAUAGAGAGGGGGAAGCUAGCCAAAUGUGGGAUUCCAUGGCUAGUUGUAUCCGAAAAGUAGCAAAAGAGGUAUUAGGAGAGUCCAAGGGCUUUGCCCCACACCAAAAGGAAUCUUGGUGGUGGAAUGAGGAGGUACAAACAAAGGUGAAGGCUAAGAAGGAAUGUUGUAAAGCCUUAUACAAGGAGAGGACCGAUGAAAAUGGUGAAAGGUAUAGAAAAGCGAAGCAAGAGGCGAAGAAAGCUGUCAGAGAAGCUAAGUUAGCGGCUUACGACGAUAUGUAUAAACGACUAGAUACCAAAGAAGGAGAGUUGGAUAUCUAUAAACUAUCUAGAGCAAGGGAAAAGAAGACAAGGGACCUAAACCAAGUGAGGUGCAUCAAGGAUGAGGAUGGAAAGGUUCUUGCUACAGAGAACGCGGUUAAAGACAGAUGGAGAGGUUAUUUUCAUAAUCUUUUCAAUGAAGGACAUGAAAUGAGUGCUUCUUUAGGGGAGUUGAGUAACUCAGAAGAGUGUAGAAACUACUCUUUUUAUCGUCGAAUCCGGAAGGAAGAAGUGGUUGUAGCUUUGAAGAAGAUGAAGCAUAAAAAAAGCAAUAGGCCCAGACGAUAUACCAAUCGAAGUGUGGAAACUUUUGGGAGAGACAGGUAUAACAUGGCUCACUGACCUUUUCAAUAGGAUUUUGAAAACGAAGAAGAUGCCAAAUGAGUGGCGAACGAGCACUUUGGUGCCUAUCUACAAGAAUAAGGGCGACGUACAAAAUUGCAUGAACUAUAGGGGUAUUAAGCUAAUGAGUCAUACAAUGAAGCUCUGGGAGAGAGUCAUUGAGCAUAGAUGAGGCAAGAGACACGGGUUUCGGACAACCAAUUCGGGUUCAUGCCAGGGCGCUCAACCAUGGAGGCAAUCUAUCUCUUACGAAGAUUGAUGGAAAGAUAUAGAGAUGGGAAAAAGGAUUUACACAUGGUCUUUAUAGAUUUGGAAAAAGCGUAUGAUAGGGUCCCAAGAGACAUUCUUUGGAGGAUUUUAGAGAAGAAAGGAGUACGAGUAGCAUAUAUCCAAGCUAUAAAGGAUAUGUAUGAAGGAGCAAAGACUGCCGUAAGAACUCAUGAAGGACAAACCGAAAGCUUUCCCAUAACUGUAGGAUUACAUCAAGGCUCAUCCUUAAGUCCUUACCUUUUUGCGUUGGUAAUGGAUGAGUUAACAGGACAUAUUCAAGAUGAUAUUCCUUGGUGUAUGCUUUUCGCAGACGAUAUAGUGUUGAUAGAUGAAACUCAGGAAGGGGUAAAUGCAAAGCUUAACCUUUGGAGAGAAGUGUUGGAAUCUAAAGGUCUUCGCCUAAGCCGAUCAAAGACAGAAUAUAUGGAGUGCAAGUUCAGUGCAAAUGGAGGCCAAAACGAGUUAGGGGUGAGGAUCGGAGAUCAAGAAAUACCAAAGAGCGACCGUUUUCGUUACCUAGGAUCUAUCUUGCAAAAGAACGGAGAAUUAGAUGGAGAUCUCAACCAUAGAAUACAAGCUGGAUGGAUGAAGUGGAAGAGUGCAUCCGGCGUGUUGUGUGACCGCCGUAUGCCACUGAAGCUCAAGGGAAAAUUUUAUAGGACGGCAAUAAGGCCGGCGAUGCUGUAUGGCACAGAAUGUUGGGCGGUGAAACAUCAACACGUACACAAAAUGGGUGUAGCGGAGAUGAGGAUGCUUCGUUGGAUGUGUGGGCACACGAGAAAGGAUAAGAUUAGGAAUGAGGAUAUCCGGGGUAAAGUAGGAGUAGCCGAAAUUGAAGGAAAGAUGAGAGAAAAUCGGUUACGGUGGUUUGGACAUGUGCAAAGAAGGCCUACUGACGCUCCGAUUAGAAGAUGCGACUAUGGGACAGAGGUUCAGGGCCGAAGGGGUAGAGGAAGACCUAGGAAAACUUUGGAAAGAGACUCUAAGAAAAGACUUAGAGUACUUGGAUCUAACGAAGGACAUGACACAGGAUCGAGCACAAUGGCGUUCUAAGAUUCAUAUAGCCGAUCCCACUCAGUGACUUGGAUUUUCCAAGUCUCCAACCGAGAAGUUUUCCUCACUCGGAAAAUUAAGGGAACACUACCCCAACCUACAUGCUCCACUCAGAAAGCUUCAACAUACAAGCUUCAACAAAAGAAAAUUCAAAGAACUUAGCGAAGAAGGCUUUGGUGUAUUUAACACAAUACGUUGAAAUGAAGGAAAGCUUAUUUAUUGAUAUCCCCGAUAAGCUACAAAUAUGUACAUAUACAUGAGUCAAAAUAAACACACAAGAGGGAGCCUUCACAAAGGUUGCUUAGGAGAAGUCUCAGCAGUCGGUAGAGCCCCAGAAAGAGAAGGCACCGGAGGGGGAUCAUUUGGAGCCUCAGUACUGGACAGAACCCUAGAAGGAGGAGGCAUCAGAGGUUGAUCAUUUGGAGCUUCAUUACGCGGUACAGCCCCAGAAGACGAAGGCAAUAAAUGCCUUUGGAACAAACCCACAAAUCUCUGAUGAUCAAGUAAAACCUGACCAUCAGUUUCCUUCAUCUGGUCAAGCUUCCUCUUCAUGUUUGUAGCAUAGUCAUGUGCGAGCCGGUGCAACUGUUUAUUCUCAUGCUUGAGCCCUCUAAUCUCCUGUUUGAGACUCAUCACUUCAGCCGCCAAUGAUUCAACUUGGCGGGUUCGAGCAAAUAGGCGUUGGGCCAUAUUAGACACAGAACCUGCACACUGAACACUGAGAGCCAGCGAAUCCUUAACAGCUAACUCAUCAGACCGUUUGGAAAGUAGUCUGUUAUCUUUGGGAGUGAGAAGGUUCCUGGCCACCACCGCAGCGGUCAUAUCAUUCUUCAUCACGGAAUCCCCAACGGUAAGAGGACCAGUAGGGGAGACGAAGGAUGGGCGCCAUAUGUUGUCUGGAGAAGGCGGGGCUGCCUCUUCAACAAGGUUCAAGUCAAAACGACGGUCGGAGGGGCCAGACAUUUUCAAAUGUGUUGAAGAGAGAAGAGGUCGGACAAAUCAAGAUCUUAGAAGUGCAAGAAUGAAGCUUCUACUGGUGGAGAUUCAAGUGUGCUUUGGAACUUAAUGCCAGCCCCUAUAAAAAUCUGCACUCGACGGAGCUUCAGAAAUCGAAGAGGCGCCUGCUCAGAAAUCGAAGAGGCGUUUGCUUUCUCAAAAGCUGGGCUGCUUAGAGAUCACGAGGGUUGAUCUCAGAAAUCGAAGAGGCGUUUGCUUUCUCAAAAGUUGGGCUGCUCAAAGACCUCGAAGGCUGAUCUCAGAAAUCGAAGAGGCGCUCGCUUUCUCAAAAGCUGGGCUCCCUAGAGACCACGAGGGCCGAUCUCAGAAAUCGAAGAGGCACCUACUUUUCCAGCCUUGUCAGCACCUGUCACACGCGCACACUCAGCUUUGCGGAAAUUAUGGGCAUUCUGUCGAAGACUUCUGGGGAAGUAGAAAAAACACAUGAAUCUUACUGUUCAAUCACCCACUUCCCACACGCAACAAUAGCUCAUGGGUACCACAGAUAACUUUGCCAAAGUUCUCUGCCAAAGUUGAGCACGUGAAGCUUGCAGCUCCCACUACAUCGCUCUGACCAAGAAGGGUAAAAGAAUAGCAAAGAAACACAGCACUAACAAAGUUUAGACCCAUAAAUUUUGAAGGUCUAGCUACCAUAUUAUUACCACACACAGGGUAAAGGAACAGUACCACUGCUGGAUAAUUGGAAAGUCCCUGUUUGUCAACCUCUGUGCUUCGUGGCAAGGUAGACUAGCAAACAUGCCCAACCUUUACUCACAUUCGAGAAAACACUCCCAAUAAGAUUGCUUGCUCCAAAAUCGAAGAGGCACCGUCCUCCGAAUCUCGAGAGCCAGACUCCCAACAUGACUACUUUCUUAAAAAUCGAAGAGAGGGUAAAGGAACAGUACCAUUGCUGGAUAAUUGGAAAGUCCCUGUGUGUCAACCUCUGUGCUUCGUGGCAAGGUAGACUAGCAAACAUGCCCAACCUUUACUCACAUUCGAGAAAACACUCCCAACAAGAUUGCUUGCUCCAAAAUCGAAGAGGCACCGCCCUCCGAAUCUCGAGAGCCAGACUCCAAACAUGAUUACUUUCUCAAAAAAUCGAAGAGACACUGCUCCCCGAAUCUUCGAGAGCCAGACCCCCAGCAUGAUUGCUUUCUCAAAAAUCGAUGAGGCAUCGUUCUCCGAAUCAAUCGAAGAGGCGCUCGCUUUCUCAAAAGCUGGGCUGCUCAGAGACCACGAGGGCCGAUCUCAGAAAUCGAAGAGGCACCUACUUUUCUAGCCUUGUCAGCACCUGUCACACGCACACUCAGCUUUGCAGAAAUUAUGGGCAUUCUGUCGAAGACUUCUGGUGAAGUAGAAAGCACAUGAAUCUUACUGUUCAAUCACCCACUUCCCACACGCAACAAUAGCUCAUGGGUACCACAGAUAACUUUGCCAAAGUUCUCUGCCAAAGUUGAGCACGUGAAGCUUGCAGCUCCCACUACAUCGCUCUGACCAAGAAGGGUAAAAGAAUAGCAAAGAAACAGCACUAACAAAGUUUAGACACAUAAAUUUUGAAGGUCUAGCUACCAUAUUAUUACCCACAAGGGUAAAGGAACAGUACCACUGCUGGAUAAUUGGAAAGUCCCUGUGUGUCAACCUCUGUGCUUCGUGGCAAGGUAGACUAGCAAACAUGCCCAACCUUUACUCACAUUCGAGAAAACACUCCCAACAAGAUUGCUUGCUCCAAAAUCGAAGAGGCACCGUCCUCCGAAUCUCGAGAGCCAGACUCCCAACAUGACUACUUUCUCAAAAUCGAAGAGAGGGUAAAGGAACAGUACCAUUGCUGGAUAAUUGGAAAGUCCCUGUGUGUCAACCUCUUUGCUUCGUGGCAAGGUAGACUAGCAAACAUGCCCAACCUUUACUCACAUUCGAGACAACAGUCCCAACAAGAUUGCUUGCUCCAAAAUCGAAGAGGCACCGCCCUCCGAAUCUCGAGAGCCAGACUCCCAACAUGAUUACUUUCUCAAAAAUCGAAGAGACACUGCUCUCCGAAUCUCGAGAGCCAGACCCCCAGCAUGAUUGCUUUCUCAAAAAUCGAAGUGGCAUCGUUAUCCGAAUCUCGAGAGCCAGACUCCCAACAUGAUUACUUUCUCAAAAAUCGAAGAGACACUGCUCUCCGAAUCUCGAAAGCCAGACCCCCAGCAUGAUUGCUUUCUCAAAAAUCGAAGAGGCAUCGUUCUCCGAAUCUCGAGAGCCAGAUACCACAUACCACUUUUUCAAAGUGCUCUGACAGAGUUAAAACAUGUGAAACUGGCAGCUCCCACUACCGUGCUAUGACCAAGCAGGGUAAAGGAAUAACAUUACUACUUGUUAGGGAGACUCCUAUAUAUGUUGACCUCCAUCCCCAACAGACAGGCAGACCUGCAAAAAUGCUCAACCCUUCAUCAUAUCUGAGAGGGCACUCCCAACGAAGCCUUUCGAAAUAUUCAGCUUUCUUUCCCCCCGAUAAUACCUCUGCAAACAAGCUAUACUAGAGCAAGAAUAUCUCAUAUCAUCAGGGUUAAAAGCAAGAGUAUCCCAUAUCAUGCUUUUUCCCUGUCUUUUCCUUUGGCCUUGUUUUUACCUGCAAGACAAGGAGAAAGAGAGCAAUCAGUCAGCACUUGGAAUCAAGCUUCCAGCUAGGAACUGACUGCCUGGAACCCCUUACCUGAUUACUUACCUGGCAUUGCUCUCGAGUACUCAUCUUCAACAUCUUAUGUUUCCAGGGAAGAUUCCGCAUCUGCUUGAGGAACAGAUAGGGCAAGUGCGAAAGAUACAAGGAAGCAUGUGGAGACAAGCGUAACAGCACACGUGCCGAUACAUCCAUUACUCUGUCAAAAGCAAAAGUAUCCCAUAUCAGCAGGGUGGAAAGUACUCUAGAUUUGAUGGACUUGUUUUGACCCUCAAAUUCUUCAGUCGACCUUAUACUCUGGAGGAAACCAGAAAACCCUCCAGCUCAGUUCAAGAAUAAGCCUGUGGAAAGUUACUUCUUCAAAAGCAAAAGUAUCUCAUAUCAUCUCUUCUCAUUUUUCUUCUCUUUAUCCUUCAUGCUGCUGCAAGAUGGGGAGAAGGUGAACAAUCAGUCGGAGCUCUGAUUGCUUACCUUGUCUGUCACCUCUUUCAGCAGACCCCUAGCUCGGCGACUUGGGGGACUCCUACUACAUGGUUUGUAUCGCGCUUGACCAAGCCUGAAACUACAAGUAAGCUUCAAGUGAAAUUGAUACAUUACCUUGUGCAUCUCCACCAGUUAAAGAUACCACCCCUGGAUGGAGGAAGAGUACUUCCAGAAAAGAUGCCACAUCUACCUAUGAGACAGAUAAGGCAAGUCAAGACGACACCACACUCCGAUACUUAGAAGUUUCGUGAUUACGAGAUCAUUCUCCCACAAUAUUUCCUAAUGUCAUUUGUACUAAAUCAUUCACUUGUACUCACUAAAGGAGAGCUUGAACCUAUGUACUUGUGUAAACCCUUCACAAUUAAUGAGAACUCUUCUAUUCCGUGGACGUAGCCAAUCUGGGUGAACCACGUACAUCUUGUGUUUGCUUUCCUAUCUCUAUCCAUUUAUAUACCUAUCCACACUAAUGACCGGAGCAAUCUAGCGAAGAUCACAAAAAGCGACCGUUUUCGCUACCUAGGAUCUUAUCUUGCAAGAGAACGGAGAAUUAGAUGGAGAUCUCAACCAUAGAAUACGAGCUGGAUGGAUGAAGUGUAAGAAUGCAUCCGGCGUGUUGUGUGACUGUCGUAGGCCACUAAAGCUCAAGGGAAAAUUUUAUAGGACGGCAAUAAGGCCAACGAUGUUGUAUGGCAUAGAAUGUUAGGCGGUGAAGCAUCAACACGUACACAAAAUGGGUGUAGCGGAGAUGAGGAUGCUUCGUGGGAUGUGUGGGCACACGAGAAAGGAUAAGAUUGGGAAUGAGGAUAUCCGAGGUAAAGUAGGAGUAGCCGAAAUUGUAGGAAAGAUGAGAGAAAAUCGGCUCCGGUGAUUUGGACAUGUGCAAAGAAGGCCGAAUGACACUCCGAUGUGACUACGGGACAGAGGUUCAGGGCCGAAGGGGUAGAGGAAGAUCUAGGAAAACUUUGGAAGAGACUCUAAGAAAAGACUUAGAGUACUUGGAUCUAACGGAGGACAUGAUACAAAACCGAGCGCAAUGGCGUUCUAGGAUUCAUAUAGCCGACCCCACUUAGUGGGAAAAGGCUUUGUUGUUCUGUUGUUGUUGUUGGAUUUUGUUUGGGUUUGAGGCCAUCAUUGGCGUUAAGACGUUUAUUAUCAGAUCGUGUGUUUUUUGCUAACUUUUAUUGGUAAUUUUAAUGUUGUUCUUAUGAUUUUGUGUGGUAGGGUUUCUGAUUUUUAUCGUUAUUCAUUUGGUUUUUUGUGUGUGUUGGUUUGUUUAUUUUGCAGGUUGUGUUUGUGCUGGGACAACAUUUUCCACCUUCUGUUUGCACUGGGAUGAUUGCGUUUUAAAACUGUUGGGGUGAGAUUUACAUAUGGAAUCAUUCCAUUUUUUUUCUUCCAAAUAUGUGCAUUUAGUUCUCUUUUAUUUUAAAUUUUAAAAAUUAAAUCGUUAUUUGAGUAAAAUGUUUUAUCAGUUUAUGUUAUGUGUUGUGACCAGGAAUUCUGUUGGAUUUGCGAAUUUUGGUUUGAUGAGAGAAAUGAGGAGUUUUUUUUGUUUGAAUUUUUUAUUGGACCGAUUUUCAAUUGGAUUGCAUUCUGCCUUUUUGCACCAUUCGUAUGCAAGCAAUUCAUUGUUUUAAAUACAAUUUGAAGAGAGCUGGGUUGCGGGUUGGAUAUAAAAUGUUAAGGUGAGAUAAAAUCGAGAUACCAAGGGUGGAAGAAUGAUUCAGAAUUGGGGGAGGAAAACAGAGGGAAGAUAGAAGAGUAUAAGAGAAGGAUAGGGUUGACCUCAUUUAGAGUUUUUAUUUACUUAUUUUUUUUUAUAAAUUGAUUCAGGACUUGCAUAUCAUUUCUAAAUUUCUAACAUUUUUGUUUAAUUUGACUCCAGUUGAUGGAAAACAGAGCUCUUACUCCUAUCAAUCAGUUGGUCCCGUACAUAAAUGCAGAAAAAUCAAGGUUCGAGUUUGCAGAGUAUGCAGACCAAGGUUUCCCGAAACUACUGGUGCAUAUUCAGGCUUGCAUUGUAUAUUACUUACCUAUUAAAAAUUUGUUUGGAAUUUGCUUUUCCCACAGAGGAGAAGAGCUGACAGUUACGCUGUGGGCAGAUGUUGCUCGAAGUAUUGCUUCUUUAUCCAUUGAAUCAUUGUCUCUGCCGAUCAUUGUGGUUUUCACAAGUUUAAAGGUCAAGCUGUACCUAGGUAUUUGACUUAGUUAAAAACUAAUCUAUUUACUAUUAAUUUUUCUAUUAUAUUCAAACGUUAUUUAAUAUAUACUCUACUAAUAUUUUCUUAACAUGUCACACAAACAUAUUCACUUCUUUUGAUCAAUUUUUUACAGCGUUUCAUAUAAAAGCUAACAUUUAGUUGAAAUUGAUUAGCAACUCUUUUCUUGCAUGUAUACAUACGAAUUAAACAAUAGUAUUAAACUAUUUGUUAUCAUUCUCAGUUUUUGUUUUAGAAUUAGAUUAAUAUAUUUAACCUGUUUUAGAAUUAGAAUUAUUUGGUAUCACUCUCAGUAUUUGUUUUAGAAUUAGAAUUAGAUUAAUAUACUGAGAUUAUUUAGACAAAUCUAGCAUUUUCUCAAAAUAUUUGACUUUUAAACUUAGAUUAAUAUAUUUAGCAGUUUUUUAACAUGCAAUUUUUCAUUAAUUUUUCAACACACAGACAAGAUAGUCUUGAACACCAUUGGUUCAUCACUUUUCUUCAUUGAUCUAGAUAUUCUGGAAGUAAAUUCAUACAAAUCAGUGUAAGUGUGUUUACUUUGUUUAAAAAAAUAUUAUAUGCUCUCACAAUAAAAGAAGGGCUAUUCUCACAAAAUUUAUGAACUAAUGUUCUGUUUUAACCUCUACAGCUUUUCCAAAUGCACAGAACCUCUAAAAAUACUGCCACCUUUUACAAAACAGGCCCGUGAAGCUCAAAUCUUGCAGACAGCGAAGGUCACAAUUGCAGACGCUGAAAUUUUCAUGCCAAAAUAUGAUGUGGAGGAUGAGAAAUUGUUUGCUGUUGUUCUCUUUUCAGUUUUGCAGGCGAUGAUCUUUUACCAAAUGUCGAGGAGCUUCCAUGGGACAUGCUCUAUGCUCUCGCUUCCCAGUUGCCUCUGUUGGGGUUGGAAAAGCUACAGAUCACAAUGUAAGUCAAAAACAGUAAAGUUCCCAAGAUGUUCUGUGCUGGAGCAGAUUUAAAGGUACGAAUUUUUAAUUUUUUUGUGAAGUCGAUGUUUUGUUUUAAAAGGAGUUAUAAUGGAUUGAUUGGACAAGUACAGAGUGUUUGUUUGUUUGGUUGAAUGUAAAAAGGAAUUGGAAGAAUGAUGAAAGUACUUGCAUUUGGUUGUAGUUGGUCAGGCACUGAAGGACCGGUCAAUACGAAGUGCAUCUGUGGGACAAUAGUUGAAAGAAGGCCAGAGCAGGAAGAGAAGGCAAGGUUUGUGAAGAAAAACAGUAAAAGGUCGUACCCAGUGCACAAGGCUCCCGCUUUACGCAAGGUCUGGGAGAGGUGAAUGUCGGCUAGCCUUACCCCCAUUCUGCUUUUGUUUAAUUAGAAGAAAUGUGCAUUUUUUUUUCCCAGUCAAAUUCUGCUUUUGUUCUGACUAUUUUCCUUACUGUAUGCUGAUUUUAUUAUUUAAUUUUUGGUUUUUCCUUGAUUGGCUUGGGAAUUACAAUCAAAUGAUGAAUCUUCAGUUUACUUGGGUAAGCAUUUUUUAACAUAUAAUUUAGCUGACCAUUUUAACUGUCAGACCAUGUUGUUUUUGGUUAUCUAAUCAUUCCAAGAUGGCAAGUUAGGAUUGGAAGGGUUGCUAGAAAUAAGGAUUAUAUCUUGGGACAUUCGGUGAGUGAUUUUUCAAACUUUCAGUUUUACAAGACAAAAUAUCUAUUUUUGUGUGUAUUCUUCAAGCAUGUUAUCAUUAUUUAGGUUGUAGGAAAAAAAGAGAGUGACUUGAGGUGUUUUUAGAUAUUUUUGUGUGUAUUCUUCACAAUGUAUUAAAAGCGCGAGGCGUGGGCGAGGCGUCCGAGGGAUAGCCCACGCCUCACGCCUUACGGGACCUAAAUUUUUUAAUAUAUACACUGAGCGUACACAUAUAUUAUAUUAAAAAAAAUUAUUAAUCAAUAAUCACCCUGAGCACACAUAUAUAUUAUAAAUACAUAUAUACACAUAUAUAUACAUAUAUAUACAUAUAUUAUGUUAUAUAUAUAUAUAUAAAAUAGAGGAUGAAAAGCACAAUGAGCACACAUAUAACAAUGCAUGCAGACAGCACACAAUAUAGUGCAAGGAAUAGGUAUGAGGUAGUUAAAACCCUACCCAAAAUCUGGGUUUGGGAGUAAAAAUAAAAAAAAAAAAAAAAAUUGCAUGAGGCGCGCCUAGACGGCUCCGACAACGCCUUCCGGCGCCUUCCGCCCACUCCCUCAAAACAAAGGCGGCAACCCUCAAGUCCAGCCUCACAGGGUGCCUAGGCGCACCCUGAGGUGAGCCUUUUAAAACAUUGAUUCUUCAAGCAUGCUAUCAUAAUAUUUGUAACUAUAAAAAAUAAUAUACUAUUAUACCUCUGUUUCUCUUUUCUUUGUUUUCAUGAGAAAUUAAUUGCCAUUGGCAGCACUAUAGAAAGCCAUCUUUCUCCAUUAUUCUCCGCUUCAUGCAUAAUUACAUAAUUCUACUAUCACAGUUGUCAGUCCUGAACAAUAAUGCAAGUCUAGUGGCAAAAACCACCUCAAUGAACAACUCACACACACACACAGACACUGAUCAUACAUCUCUAACUCUCUUUUUCAAAUAACACACUCUGAUCCAAAACAGGGUAAAUAAAAUGCACAUCCUUAUACAUUUCUAACUUUGUUUUUCGAAAUCCAAAAUAGGGUAUUCUAACUCUCUUUUUCAUUCAUUUCUUACAAACCAAUCAUACAUUUAAAAUAGGCUUUGAAUAAAAAUAGGGUAUAUAAUUAUAUACCUCAAAAUGCCUAGGAACCAACUUCCCCCUCCAACGAUUCAAAUUCUUGAAAUUGCCAACACAGUAAAUCCAUUAGUACUAUAUAAAUGAAAACACAAUUGAAACCCAUCAAACAAAACAAUCCCACAAUUUAAAUGAUUCAAUCCUACUACAAUUGAAAUUCACAGAAAGAAUGAAAAACCAGAACAAAACUGCAGCACCUAAAAAGUUGUCAUACAAAAAAAAACAUGGAAUGUAAAAAUAUGUUAAGAAAUCUAGUUCGUUAAUUUCCAGCUGCUAAGUGGCAUUAUGUAACUUUAGUAGUAUAACUAAUUAACUACUUAUCUGGUGGGUUGCACUUUUAUCCAAUUGGUAAGGAAAGGAAAAUAAAAAUCAACCCCUUGGUCUUAGUUGUGGCUGCAAAGUGCAGGCCACCACCAAGUCUCAGUGUUUGUGUUUUAGCAAAACACUUAAAUAAAUUAAAUUCUGAAACGUAAAUUAUAUUCCUAUAACUUUAAGAUGCACAUAUAGUAUUGUUGAAGUCGAACUGAAAGCACUGACAAUUCCAAGCAACAAAGCAGCAAUUAUUAAGAGCCAAAACUCAUUCCUAGUCUCCUCAUCCUGGUACUCAACUCCGUAAUCUUCUGUCAGCAUCAUUGACUGAAAUUAGGAGAGAAAAAGAAAAGGAAUUUCAGAAAUUGUCUAUGAAGCAAAGGAUACUGCAGUUACUUCAAGACAUGUAAAUUGCAUAUGUAUAAAGUAAUUUUCUACAUAAAGUAAUGAGGCAUAACUUUCUCUCUCCUCUUCAAACCCUAAACAGAGCAAAGCAAACUUUACAGAGAUUAGAAUGAGAACUGGAACUAAUCGAACAAUGACUGAAAAGUAACAUACUUGAGGAGUGAAUGAUUUAGUGUUUCCAUCAUCGGAAGCCGGAGUAAGUCGCUAAGAGAGGUCGCAAACAGCCCAAAGGGACAAACCCAGAUCCCCGGCCCCGAUCCAUACCCUUCCCCCUCAAAUCCCGACGGCCCCCAUACUUUUCUCUGACUGUACCCCCUCUCCCACUCAUGAAAUCGAGGAUCUGUCGCAAUGGUACUGAGAUCCCCACUCCUCCCUCUCCCUUUCUCUCUGUCGCUCUGUCUCCCUCUCCCUCUGUCUGUCUAUCUUUAUCCCAGAGCGGCAUGGCCUCCCAUCCCUGAAACCCUCACCGAAAGUUGGCAAUUUUGUAAAUAACUUGAAAUCCACCAACAGCAGGGGUAGAGAAUUGAAACAAACAUUUAGGCUCGUUCGAUAACCAUUUAGGCCAAAACUGAGCACACCUAAACCAUUCCUACUCGUGCCAAAUGUUAGUGGGGAAGCAAGAUGAUGACUUUAUUAUUCAAAACCAAAAGAAAAAAAGAGAGAAAACAAAAUAACAAAUGUAAUGGUUGUAGUGUAAAAGCUGAGAACGUAAAUAAACAUGCAGGGAAAAAAAUUGAAGAUACAAAGUAGCUGCAUCAUGAACACUUACUCCAAUUAGACGCAAAAAGUGAUGGUGAUGAGAAGAGAGAGAAAAUGCAGUCGUUUUGAUUUUUCUGGCUUUUAAAGGGAGCAGCUUUCUUCGACCACCAAAAAAAGGAAGCUGCUUUUCGUGUGGUUGUGAUUUCCUGAGUGUAUGUGAGCGGGUCUAUGGCACUUGCACUGUUUGUGUCGGUUACGGUAACCGGGCGAGCUGGACACGGCAGCGUGGGACUGAAUUCGGAGAGGUGAGAAAAAUUAAAAACACAAAAAGAAGGUGUUCAUUUUGUCACAUUUUUAUUACGAAAAAUUCAAUAAAGUACAUUCAUUAGUAUGGUAACUUAACUAUUUAAUUCCAUCUCAUUAAACUAAAAAAAACAAUUACAAAAAAAUAAGGAAAACCUUGUCCAGAGAGACCUGAGAGAAAGUGACGACUUCUCCUCUCAUUCAACUCCAUACUUGAUCUCUAAAGUCCAUUUGGCAUGUAAUUGAUGUUCACUUUCAAAUUUAGUGGUAGCAAUUAGCAAAGCUAAUGAAAGAAUCAAAUAAAAUGAAAGAAAAAGCAUCAUGAAAUAAAUCAAGAUGAAGAAUGAAAUUUUGGCAACUCGCCAUUCUCUUCUUUUAUAUAAAAGAUACAUCCUAUUUGUAGUGAAAACAGAUCCCGACAAACCCAGUUAUCCUCAAGAAGUAUUUUGUAUGACUUUAAAAACAUAAUCCGUGAAAUUAUCUCUUGGCUGAGAACAACAACAAAUCUUCAUGCAUAGCUUGUAGAGAAAGACAUCAGGCAUACAAAAGAACACGCAAGCAUAAAAUAAACGAAGCAGGGAAAACCAAAAAUACAAUUGAAUACGCUGUCAAAAGAACAUGAAUAAAUGAAAAUACCAAACAAAGCAGUGAUGAGAAACCAAAGUACCCAUUUCAUAAUCUAAUUGCUUUUUAGUUUGCUUGCCAUUUUUAGUUCUUCAAUUUAGAGAGACACCAUAAUUCAGCACAUGAAUAAAGUGAAAACGUAAAAGAUAUGUGGGAUAGGCUGACAGCCAUCCCUGAGUAAUGCAUUCACUUCUGAACCCCAAACACACUGAAACAAAAAUUCACACACAUGAACUACAGCUCCGCUUUGUAACAAGAAUUAAAAGCAUCUCAAAACAAAAUGGCAAACUAUAAGAGCAUUGUAAAAGUAAAAUUGCAAGAAAUCUAAUACUUGGAGGGCAAGUACUCAUCAGACGAAAAUGAAAGAUUGAACUACCUCGCGUGGAACUGUGCCUUGGUUUUUUCCCAUGCUUACAGGAAGCUUUGCACUGAGCUCUUAUAGUCCAAAUUUUCUCUGAAGGAAAAAAACACAAUUUUGAAAUAAGAUUUUCGUAUUAUACCUUAAAGAGAAGAAUUAGACAACAAAAUAGAGAACAAUGAGUACUAUUCAUCAUAUAUUGUUAGAGUAUGUGGCCCUCUGGUCCAAUGGUCCCGCAGCCAUAUUUCCUUUAUAACUCUUUCUUUUAAUCUAAAAAACAUCUUGAAUCUCAAAUUAGUAUGAAUACGGAUUCAUACUUUAUAACUAAAGAUCUUACUGCUCUUGAUAAGAUGAACAAUACGCCAUUUCUCGCAUGCAUUGCAUUACAAUCACAAUGCAACAUCUCAUUAGAAAUCCCCACACAAAUUUUUUUUAUUGCUACUUUGAUUUUAGUUUAUAUUUUUUCUGAAGCAUGAGGGAGCUAAUUUUUUUUUUUAAAUUUUUUAUUCCAAUAAUGUUAUAGGGAGGGUUGCAAGGAUAUUAUCAAUUGUAUUUGAUUGGUGGAACUUCUACAUCUAUAUUUUAGGUUUUCAAUUUUAGCACUGGGAGAGUCAUUCAUAAAAUGUUUGACAGUGAGAUUACCUCCAUGGACUAUGCUCACAAUGGACAGCUCAUUUUCCGCGGUGAUGGGACAAUAUAUUUCAGUCAUUCGCCAUUCAAUCAAUUCAAACUGAGGAACAUGCAACAUCAAGAAGAGGAUCUACCAUGUCAGGAUCACUAUCGUCCAAUUAAUACAAAAAAAUCUAGAUAAAAACGAUCAAUUUACAUAAAAGCCCUUCAUUUUCUCAGCAACCAAGCAAAAGAAAAUACCUAUCCGUUAAACACUCGAUUUGGGAGUAAAUGUUGCUGAAACUGGACUUCAAUCCCCUCAACCGCAACAACCGAAUCGAGGUGUGCAAGUCAUUGAAAAACUCACCCAAGAUUUCAAAAUCUGCAUAGAGAAAUAAAUAAGCACAUAAAUUAGCCCAACCCAUAAAUCAAAGAAAUCAAAAUCCACCCAGAAUCAAAGAAAUCAAAAUCCAUCCAGAACCAAAGAAAUCAAAAUCACACACAGAUAUGCAAGACAACGCAAAUUUGAAGCCUUACUUUUCGGGUAGCUUGGCGGCUGACAUGAGUCUUCUUCAGAGUUUCAUCCAUCCAUGGAUCCAUUUGGUCCGCCCGUCGCUUCUGGGUCGUACAAUCUUAAAAUCUGCAAAAUGAAUUUAAAGAAUCAAUUUUUACGAUUGAAAAGCCAAAAGUGCUACAAACUCCAAAUUGCUGAGAACCAAAGUGGAGUAACAGUUACAGGUCACGAGAUGAGAUGAGGACAUUGUCGGAUUUCAGGGCGAACCUGACUCUGGAAAUUGCAUCUCGGAUCGGGCUUUCGAACUUCAAAGGAGCUCCGCUCAUUGUGGUCCUUGCAGACCGAACUGGCCUAACAAUCAGCGAGAGAAAGGAGACGGCGGCAAGAUGAGGGAUACAAUGGAUGCGAGAUCGUCUGUAUCGUUCUCGCGGGGGGUUUGCAAGACGGACGAGGAAAGUAGGGUUUGAUGAGGCAUUGUCUUCGCGCGGGGUAUGUGUCCUUCCCAUUCCAUGAUUAUCAACACGUGUGCAUCAACAGAAGCGGCAGAGAGAGGCAUUAUUGUAAAUAAAGUGAAAUCGAAGGGCAAUGGCCCUUUUUUUUUUAAGGUAAUGGCAUGGCCAUAAAUAGAAUGAAAUCCAGAUCAAAACACUGUCAUUUGUACAGUACAAUUUCUCCAUCUUCUUUAGACUAAAGUAAUGUAUAUGUUAUACGCACCAACACAAGUCCUUCUUAGAUAAAUCCAAGCCAAACAAUUACAGACGAUAGUUAUUCACAAAAUCACUUUAAAGUAAGAAUUUAAUUAAUAAUACAUUACUGCACUUUCUUAACAAUUUGACUAUCACCUAGCUGACAAUGAACAUGUUAGCUAUGCGUUAGAACAUAUUGGGUUCAAUCCAUUGUCUUGAAUAUUACCCCCAGUCACAGCCGUCUCUUGGGGGCAUACAGAAGGCCUGAGAGGCAUUUGCAGACAUUCAACAUCUCCUCCAAGCAUUUCGACAACUUUGGACAUCGAAGGGCGAUCACUUGGUUUCAUUUGAAUACACCACAAGGCGGUUAUAACCACCUUUCUUAUCACUUUCUUUUCCUUCUCUGUAACAUUGUCUAUUUCCAAGUCAUUUCCCACAAAAUACUGAUCGUAUACCUACAGCGGGAAGUAGAUUUGGCUUGGAUGCUCUACCGUUGCAUUCAAAUUCUUCCUUAUGCUUGCCAUUUCCAUCAACAACAUUCCAAAACUAUAGACAUCGGCCUUGUAUGAGACACCUCCAAUAUUUUUGUAGAACAACUCAGGAGCAAUAUAUCUCAUUGUACCCCGUGCUGUCGUCAAAGAGACAAUGCUAUUAUCUACUGGAUACAAUUUUGCAAGCCCAAAGUCAGAAACCUUUGCUUUAAAGUUCUCAUCAAGAGGGAUGUUAUGAGGCUUGAUGUCAAAAUGUAGAAUUUUCAUUUUACAACCUUGAUCUAGAUAUUCGAUCCCAUGACUCCAAGAGAAAUCUUGUACAUAGUCUUGAUAGUUAAGGGAAGACUUCCUUCUUUGGAAUAAAUGUAUUUAUCAAAAGAGCCAUUAGGCAUAAAGUCAUAUAUUAGAGCGCGCUUUGAUCCCUCGACACAAUCACAAUCACAAUCACAAUCACAAUCACAAUCACAUUCCAACAUGGAAUCCUCAGACGACAUGCCUACUGCAGAACAAGUUUCAUCCUUACUUAACUUCUAUUUAGUCCACUUCCUGUUUAGAUUGUAAUCCUAGUUCUGCGUGUGUUUGUAUAGUACUCCUAUAAAUAUCAAUGAAAACCGCUCACUCUAAUUAGGAGUUGAGAUUCUGCAAAUCAUAUUUACUAUCUUUCAUGGUAUCACGAGCCAAGGUCUAACGACAACGGUUCCUGUUAUAAUUUUUUUCUCUUUUGUAGAUCCUAAACUAUGGCAUCUUCUUCCUCCUCCGAUGCUCCCUCCGUCACAAAUUUUCUUACGAUCAAGCUCGACCUCAACAACUACCCUCUCUGGCGUGCUCAAUUUCUUCCCUUGCUGCGCAGCCGCAACUUACUCUCUUAUGUUACUGGCGAAACUCAAUGCCCAUCUGCCUUUGUUCUUGAUGACAAUGGUAAAUUCACAGACAAAGUCAAUCCAUUAUAUAAUGAAUGGAUCCAGACUGACUAGAUGAUCCUAUCUUGGAUUACGAGUUCUCUUACUCCCAAGGUUCUUGCUACGAUCGUCAACAAAAUUGAUUCG